rnacentral:lncRNA from 1 species
GUUGUUGUGGCUUCUGAUCCGGCGUGCAUCGUUCGCUAGGUUUCUGUGGGUGCAACCCAGCCAGCCCUACUUUGCAUGGACCUGCUCCUCGUGGGCGAUGUGCCCUGUUCGGUUGGGUCGGUAUCCCGGCCUCUCGGUUGAUUAAGUCAUUCCGGAAGCACUUUUUGUGUUUUGCAGAUACCAACUGAUUCUAGUUAACAAUGUAACAUGCAAAUUGAACUAUUUUCAAUCAUGUGGCUAUUCUACUGGUGUUUAGUUUUGAUUGCUUGUUAAUGUACGUUGUAGUCAUGCGUACCAUCACCCCACUACAAAGUAAGAGCAGAGAGUAGUCAAAGUUCAGUAGAGUAGCAUGUCGUUUCCUUCCCUGUUCAGUCUUAUUUAGCCUAACUUGCUUGUUUUUUUUUCUUUUUGCUGAGCUCCUCUAUACUGGUGCAUGUUCGAUGAAAAGAAUGUGUGAAGUGAGAAUCAAAUAACUUUAGCUAAGUUAACUCCGCUUUUCAGGUUAGCAUAUCAUAGCAAAGAAACCUAGACAAGAAAAAUUGAGAAAAUAGAAGUUUGUAUAGGUAAAUUACUACUCCCUCCUAUCUGUAUUAAUUGUUGCAGAUUUACUACAGAUAGGAGGGAGUAAUAGCUAAUGAUUUUCACUGUAGAAAUUCAAACCAUUUGUCAUUGUGAAGCAAACGAGUAGUUUGAGGAAGGCUCUAAAGCAAGUCUCUUGACCAAACAAGUCUCCACUGCACGAAACUGUAAUAAUCUAUGUGUCACGGGAGUGCUACUAUUCUGAAACAGAACAAUGUGGUGUGGUAAUAUCUUGUGAAGUACUCCCUCCGUACCAAAAUAUAUGAUAAUUUCCGGUUUAAAUGGAACUGCAAAACCGUCUUAUAUUUUGAUACAGAGGUAGUACUACUUUUCAAUCGUGAGGGAGGCUGGAAGUAAACAUGGUGUGGUAACAUCUUGUGAAGCACAUUUAUCUAUUUCCCUGAAUUCAAAUGUUGGUGAGGCACAAUCCUACUAGAGCAUGUACAAUGCACAUGUUUUUUCUACUGUGAGUGCUAGAGAGAAUCUUUUUUUCUUUGUUGUAUCAGAAUUUCUCGGUACUGAUUUCCUUCAUCUUUUUGCCUUCCCAUUAUACCCAACUAGUAUUACCGCCUUUUGCAUUUGAGAACAAAAAUGGUCACAUGAGUGCCUAUUGUGCAGCUAAUUUUCCAUGAAGCAUAUGUAAAGGGAUUUUCCAUUUGAGAGAAUGAGUUGUAAAAAAAUCCUCAUCGCUAGCUCUGCUCUAUUUUGAGACUCACUUGAAUGCACUUUGCUUCGCGUGUGUGUGCCCUUACAAGUUCAAAGCGCAGUGCUUGUGUAACUGCAAGUCAGGAAAGAAGGAGCAUUACAGGCUUAAUUUUGUGGCAAACAUUGAGAGUAUCAUGGCCCAUGCUUUGUCACCCAAAUAAUGUUGGAGAGUUUCUAGUCCUGCAAAAUAUCGUGCAACCUUUAAAUAUGAUGGCAAAACAUGAAACUGUAAGUAGACAUCGGGAAAGGAAACUGUUAACCUUUGGAACUAUCCACUCUCGAGAUUGGCCAGGACACCGCAUCGGCAAUGGGAUCUGGAAUUAAGAAAAGCUUUUGGACGUGAGUAUCUAAGAAAAUAGUAGUUGGAAACAACACUCUAUUUUCAGUGUCACGAGCCAAAAUAGAUUUACAGUCAGUAAAUGUUACCAUGGUAUUUUUGUUUUCCUCCAAUAUUGUGGACGAUUUGAAGUUGGAUAAAGAGAUAAACAAAUUAGUAUUCAUAUCCCACUCACUUAAUUGGGUAUCCUAAGGCAGAAGGUAUAUAUAGGACUCCCAUACAGAAUCAUGUGGUAGGUGUGAGCUAACCAUCCAGGAAACAUUGUUCACAUCAUUUGCUACACGAGAGUGCGCUACAAAAUCAUGCAUGUGGCCAUUUAACUUGUAUGUUUAGUUAUCGAUCCAUUUCCUAGGAAGUAUGGCUAUGAACAGAGUGAGUAGAAACAUUGUGUUUGAUUGGAGGAUAAUGCAACACAUGUUCACGAGAUAUAUACCUGUUGCAUCAACUGAGGAAAACAGGAUUGAGAUUAGCCUAAACUGCGGAGGAGAACCAUCAACUGAGGCCGGAAUUAUGAAUGGUAGAACAGAUUUGCCGAAACAUCCACUGCAUGUAACUGACUUUUGAAAAAAGGAAACUGCUAUAAUGUCUUCGUCUAGCGAUUCACGAAGCAAUGUUGCGCGAUCGAGGUUCAAAUUUACACAUAUGUUGAAUGUGAAAAUUGACACACAUCAUUGCUCCAAAGUUUAGACAACUGGAGAUAAGAAUGCAUCUCUCACAGAUGGUUAACUAAUUACCUACCAUGGCACCGUUUUCCUUAGCAUCUUUUGCCAUAGACAGAGUAUCCCAACUUGUACAAAAUUUGGGGGAAUGGUGAAGGAGAUAAUACACCCACAUUACAACAUAUCUGAACAAGAAAAAAACGUGAAGUUCACCAAAGCCGAUAAUAAUCAUGACACAGCCUAGUGCAUUAUUUAAAGCAAACACAUUUUUUUCCAUUUCCAUGCGGUAUUCGUCCUAUUUUCCUCCUAUAAAAAUAAUCUGAACAAGAUUAUUUGAAGCAAAACACAAUUCCCCUUUCCUGCAUCAUAAGGAGAAACAUUUCAGACACCCCAAACGGAUCAAGUGUAUUUCAGACAUCGAUGACAUACUUUUAACUAAUAACAUGAAGAUAAGAAUGCAUGCACUGUGUUCUACUCUACAGAAGACAACCCGAUAAAGUCUGUCAUGCUAGUUAGUUAAACAGUAUCCAAAUGCAUGCAAUGUGUUCUACUCUACAGAUGAUGAUACCUAAACAUACUAGAAAAAAUGGUUAAACAGGAGCUGACACCGCUGGUGCUUCACGACAAUUAAUUGAACAAACAGGUCACGGCCUGACGUUAAGUAGCUGCCAGUACAGGCAUAUAAAGCAGAGGAACAUGGCUCUCCUCUCGGGUGGCCGUCUUUGGCGGCAGCUUGCCACAGCUACGGCUAUGGCUACUUUGUGGAGCAUUACAAACAAGACAAUACUAUAAAGCCAGAAGUAAUCAUACUAUAAAUCUCAAUCACGCCUAGUCUGAUGUAACUUAAACGCUGGUUCAGGAAUAGCAGGGCACAUCACUGACCGACCCACUGACUACUGGAGGCUGUUCUGUAAAGAAACGGGGCUAUAGAAGCAUGUUAGCUAAUCUAGUCGCUGUAGUUUUUCUUCAGUUAGUUUGCUUUCGUCAGACAUAACGUAGCCAGGCGCAUGAGCUCGCGAGUCGUUGUGCGAGCCACGCGCGUAGGCGAUCUGGGUACGAUCGAUGCCCGAUCGAUCGGGGUGGUCAGCCACGAAACCCACUCGUGGGAUGGCACGAGAAUUCGGGAUCAUGGCGCUAGGACCGGGCCACUCUUUCUCUCUGUAACAGAAUAAGUAGAGGAGAUCAAAAACAGAAAAGUCACAAGGUUGUCCGUGACGCAAAAACUCCUGUCUCUCCUCUCAGUGAUCGCAAGCUGUGAGAGAUCGAGCAACCCUGACAAUUGGCAUCAAAGCCGGUUUAAGGUGAUCCCGACGCCCAUGGCUGACACCGGAGCUCAGCCGGACCAGGCGGCGGCGGCACCCCGCAACGGUGGCGGGGGUGGGAGCCGCUCGCGCACUCCACCACAGGAGCGCAGCCGCGGACGGAGCCACGUGAGAAGGGAGUGGCGGGUGGUGAUCCACCAGGCGGUGGCCAUGGAGCGCGCGCCGCUUGUGCCAAGCGCGGGCACCAUGUUCCCGACGCUCACAUCCACGAACUACAUCGAGUGGUCUCUCGUGAUGAAGGUGCACCUGGAGUCUUGGGGGCUCUGGGACGCGAUCGAGGGUAACGCACUGCAUGUGCGUGACGACAAGACGGCGCUCGGCGUCCUGUUCCGAGUCGUCCCCCUAGAGAUGCUUGGCGUCCUCGUCGUCAACGAGACGGCGAAGGAGGCCUGGGACACGAUCAAGGUCAUGCGCAUGGGGAUGCACCGUGUGCGCGAGGCCACCACGCAACGCCUGCGCGCGGAGUUCGAGCAGAUCACCUUCCGCGACGGCGAAACUCUCGACUCCUUCGGCAUGAGGAUCACCGCCCUCGUCAACCAGCUGCGCACGCUGGAGGACAACGUCGAAGAGGUACGCAUGAUCCCGAAGAUGCUCCGUGUCGUCCCCGCCCGCUAUGCCCAGAUCGCAGUCGCGAUAGAGCCCCUCCUUGAUCUGACCACGAUCUCGGUCGAGGAGCUGAUCGGUUGACUGCGCACCGCUGAGGAGCGCUGCGGUGGCGGGGCGGCUCAAGCCAGCGGCGGCGGUCGGCUGCUCAUGUCGGAGCAGCAGUGGGAUGCCUGGCGCCGCGAGCGCGAGCAGGGCCAGGGGUCCAGCUCAAACGGCGCCGGCAACGGGAACCGCAACGGGGGCGGCGGCAAUCUCCGCCGUGGCAAGCCGCAGAACCAGAAGUGCGGCAACGACACUCAAAGCCAAGGCGGCGGCAACGGCCGCGACAGCGCCGGCAACGGUGGGCGCGACAUGUCUAAGGUGAAGUGCUACAAUUUUCUCAGCGCUGGACACUGGUGUGCGCGGCGCCGUGAAACUCGGCGACGGCUCGGUGGUUCAGAUCGAGGGGAGAGGAACGAUCCUCUUCCAAUGCGGCAACUGUGAGCUCAUGGUCCUGUCUGAUGUGUAUUACAUCCCAAAACUUUGCAGCAACAUCGUCAGCAUCGGACAGUUGGACGAAAUCGCCUACGAGACCAAUAUUAGUCACGGGGUGCUCCAGCUCCGUGAUCCCAGUGGGCAGACUCCUCGCGCGAGUGCAACGUAACCAGGGGAGGCUGUACGUGCUGCAGCUCACGCCGGCCCAGCCAGUGUGCUUCGCGGCGCAUGCUGGCGAGGAUGCAUGGUGCUGGCAUGCGUGCUACGGCCACGUGGACUUCCGGGCUUUACGUCAACUCGCCCGGGACGAACUGGUGCACGACCUCCCGCUAUUUGACGAGGCGGAUCGUGUCUGCGAGGCGUGCCUCGCCGGCAAGCAGCGUCGAGCACCCUUUCCUUAGCAGGCUCUCAGCAGAGCCGACGAGGUGCUGGAGCUCGUGCACACGGACCUCUGUGGUCCAAUCUCCCCUCCAACGCCAGGAGGGAAGCGUUACUUCCUGUUGCUGGUUGAUGACAAGAGCAGGCACAUGUUGGUGUACCUGCUCGCGACAAGGACGAGGCGCAGCCCGCUCUGAAGCGCUUCCAGGCGAUGGCGGAUCUCGAUUUCGGGCGGCAGCUCAAGUUGCUGCGCACGGACCGCGGCGGGGAAUUCACCUCUGCCAGCCUCGGCGAGUACUACGCCGACAAGGAGGUCAAGCGCCAGCUCACGACGCCCUACACGCCCCAGCAGAACGGCGUGGUCGAGUGCCGAAAUUAGACGAUCGUGGGCAUGGCGCGCAGCCUGUAGAAGACAAAGGGUGUGCCGGCGCAGUUCUGGGGGGAGGCCGUGAUGACGGCGGUCUACCUCCUGAACAGGUCUACGACCAAGAGCGUGGCGGGGUCGAUUCCGCACGAGGCCUGGUGCAGGCGGCGCCCAAACGUUGAACACCCGCGCGUGUUCGGAGCGUCGCGCAUGUCAAAGUGACGCGUCCGAAUCUGUCGAAACUCGACGACGGGAGCACGCCCAUGGUAUCCUGGGCUACGAGCCAGGAUCGGCGGCUUACCGCGUCUACCACCCGCCGUCGAACCGUGUUCUGGCCUCCAGGGAUGUCGUGUUCGACGACGAAGCAGCGUGGGACUGGUCUCAGGUCGCGGCGACAAACAAGGAGCCGUGCUACCUCUUGAGCAUGCAUUGGUUUUCCCUUAAAGAGGAAAGGGUGAUGUAGCAAAGUAGCGUAAGUAUUUCCCUCAGUUUUUGAGAACCAAGGUAUCAAUCCUGUAGGAGACUACAUGCAAAUCGCCUAGUACCUGCACGAACAAUCAAGAACCUUGCAACCAGCACGAUAAAGGGGUUGUCAAUCCCUUCACGGUCACUUGCAAAAGUGAGAUCUGAUAAAGAUAAUAAGAUAAUAUUUUUGGUAUUUUUGUUGUAUAGAUUGGAAAAGUAAAGAUUGCAAAAUAAACGGCGACAGAAAUUGGCAAGUUGACGGGAGAUUAAUAUGAUGUAAAAUAGACCCGGGGGCCAUAGGUUUCACUAGAGGCUUCUCACAUGAUAGCAUAUCUUACGGUGGGUGAACAAAUUACUGUCGAGCAAUUGAUAGAAAAGCGUAUAGUUAUGAGAAUAUCUAGGGAUGAUCAUGAACGUAGGCAUCACGUCUGUGUCAAGUAGACCGAAACGAUUCUACAUCUACUACUAUUACUCCACACAUCGACCGCUAUCCAGCAUGCAUCUAGAGUAUUAAGUUCAUAAGAACACAGUAACGCAUUAGGCAAGAUGAUAUGAUGUAGAGGGAUAAACUCAAGCAAUAUGAUAUAAACCCCAUCUUUUUAUCCUUGAUGGCAAUAAUACAAUACGUGUCGGUUCCCUUUCUGUCACUGGGAUCGAGCACCGCAAGAUUGAACCCAAAGCUAAGCACUUCUCCCAUUGCAAGAAAGAUCAAUCUAGUAGGCCAAACCAAACUGAUAAUUCGAAGAGACUUGCAAAGAUAUUAAAUCAUGCAUAUAAGAACUCAGACAAGAAUCAAAUAUUGUUCAUAGACAAACUUGAUCAUAAACCCACAAUUCAUCGGAUCUCGACAAACACACCGCAAAAUGUAUUACAUCGAAUAGGUCUCCAAGAGAAUCGAGGAGAACUUUGUAUUGAGAUCCAAAGAGAGAGAAGAAGCCAUGUAGCUAAUAACUAUAGACCCGUAGGUCUGUGGUAAACUACUCACACAUUAUCGGAGAGGCUACGGUGUUGAUGUAGAAGCCCUCCAUGAUCGAUUCCCCCUCCGGCAGAGCGCCGGAAAAGGCCCCAAGAUGGGAUCUCACGGGUACAGAAGGUUGCGGCAGUGGAAAAAGUGUUUCGUGGCUCCCCUGGAUGUUUUCAGGGUAUAAGAGUAUAUAUAGGCGAAAGAAGUAGGUCGGUGGAGCUGCGACGGGCCCACGAGGGUGGGGGCGCGCCUCCCUGCCUCGUGGCUUCCUCGCUGCUUCCUUGACUUCCACUCCAAGUCUCCUGGAUUGCGUUUGUUCCAAAAAUGAUCCUCGCGAAGGUUUCAUUCCGUUUGAUAUUCCUUUUCUGCGAAACACUGAAAUAGGCAAAAAAAUAUCAAUUUGCACUGGGCCUUCGGUUAAUAGGUUAGUCUCGAAAAUAAUAUAAAAGAGCAUAUUAAAGCCCAUUAAACAUCCAAAACAGAUAAUAUAAUAGCAUAGAACAAUCAAAAAUUAUAGAUACGUUGGAGAUGUAUCAAGCAUCCCCAAGCUUAAUUCCUGCUCGUCCUCGAGUAGGUAAAUGAUAAAAACAGAAUUUUUGAUGUGGAAUGCUACCCAACAUAAUUUUCAAUGUAAUUUUCUUUAUUGUGGCAUGAAUGUUCAGAUCCGAAAGAUUCAAGAUAAAAGUUUAAUAUUGACAUAAAAAUAAUAAUACUUCAAGCAUACUAUUUAAGCAAUUAUGUCUUUUCAAAAUAACGUGGCCAAAGAAAGCUCAUCCCUACAAAAUCAUAUAGUUUGGCUAUGCUCCAUUUUCGUCACACAAGAAUGCUCUCAUCAUGCACAACCCCGAUGACAAGCCAAGUAAUUGUUUCAUACUUUAGUAUUCUCAAACUUUUUCAACUUUCAUGCAAUACAUGAGCGUGAGCCAUGGACAUUGCACUAUGGGUGGAAUGGAAUAUGAUAAUGGGGGUUGUGUGGAGAAGACAAAAAAGGAGAAAGUCUCACAUUGACGCGGCUAACCAACGGGCUAUGGAGAUGCCCAUCAAUUGAUGUCAAUGCAAGGAGUAGGGAUUGCCAUGCAAUGGAUGCACUAGAGCUAUAAAUGUAUGAAAGCUCAACAAAAUAAACUAAGUGGGUGUGCAUCCAACUUGCUUGCUCACGAAGACCUAGGGCAUUUGAGGAAGCCCAUCGUUGGAAUAUACAAGCCAAGUUCUAUAAUGAAAAAUUCCCACUAGUAUAUGAAAGUGACAAAAUAAGAGACUCUCUAUCAUGAAGAUCAUGGUGCUACUUUGAAGCACAAGUGUGGAAAAAGCAUAGUUGCAUUGUCCCUUCUUUUAUUUUCUUUUUUAUAUAUUUUUUUGGGCCUUCCUUUUUUUAUCUGGCCUUUCCCUUUUUUUAUUUGGCCUUUUUUUUCAUGGGACAAUGCUCUAUAAAUGAUGAUCAUCACACUUCUAUUUAUUUACAACUCACUGAUUACAACUCGAUACUAGAACAAAAUAUGACUCUAUAUGAAUGCCUCCGCCGGUGUACCGGGAUGGGCAAUGCAUCAAGAGUGACAUGUAUAAAAAAUUAUGCAAGGUGGAUUUGCCACAAAUACGAUGUCAACUACAUGAUCAUGCAAGGCAGUAUGACAAUGAUGAAGCGUGUCAUAAUAAACGGAACGGUGAAAAGUUGCAUGGCAAUAUAUCUCGAAAUGGCUAUGGAAAUGCCAUAAUAGGUAGGUAUGGUGGCUGAUUUGAGGAAGAUAUAAGGGGGGUUUAUGUGUGAUAGAGCGUAUCAUAUCACGGGGUUUGGAUGCACCGGCGAAGUUUGGACCAACUCUCGAGGUGAGAAAGGGCAAUGCACGGUACCGAAGAGGCUAGCAAUGAUGGAAAGGUGAGAGUGCUUAUAAUCCAUGGACUCAACAUUAGUCAUAAAGAACUCACAUACUUAUUGCAAAAAUCUACAAGUCAUCAGAAAACAAAGCACUACGCGCAUGCUCCUAGGGGGAUAGAUUGUUAGGAAAAGACCAUCGCUCGUCCCCGACCGCCACUCAUAAGGAUGACAAUCAAAGAACACCUCAUGUUUCAAAUUUGUUACACAACGGUUACAAUACGUGCAUGCUACGGGACUUGCAAACUUCAACACAAGUAUUUCUCAAAUUCACAAUUACUCAACUAGCAAGAAAGAUGAAUCUAGUAGGCCAAAGCAAACUGAUAAUUCGAAGAGACUUGCAAAGAUAUUAAAUCAUGUAUAUAAGAAUUCAGAGAAGAAUAAAAUAUUGUUCAUAGAUAAUCUUGAUCAUAAACCCACAAUUCAUCGGAUCUCGACAAACACACCGCAAAAAGUAUUACAUCGAAUAGAUCUCCAAGAGAAUCGAGGAGAACUUUGUAUUGAGAUCCAAAGAGAGAGAAGAAGCCAUCUAGACAAUAACUAUGGACCCGAAGGUCUGUGGUAAACUACUCACACAUCAUCGGAGAGGCUAUGGUGUUGAUGUAGAAGCCAUCCGUGAUCGAUUCCCCCUCCGACGGAGCGCCGAAAAGGCCCCAAGAUGGGAUCUCACGGGUACAGAAGGUUGCGGCGGUGGAAAAAGUGUUUCAUGGCUCCCUUGGAUGUUUUCAGGGUAUAAGAGUUUAUAUAGGUGAAAGAAGUAGGUCGGUGGAGCUGCGAGGGGCGUGCCUACCCCCUGGGGCGCGCCUCCCUGCCUCGUGGCUUCCUCGUUGCUUCCUUGACUUCCACUCCAAGUCUCCUGGAUUGUGUUUGUUCCAAAAACGAUCCUCGCGAAGGUUUCAUUCCGUUUGAUAUUCCUUUUCUGCGAAACACUGAAAUAGGCAAAAAAAAUAGCAAUUUGCACUGGGCCUUCGGUUAAUAGGUUAGUCCAAAAAUAAUAUAAAAGACCAUAUUAAAGCCCAUUCAACAUCCAAAACAGAUAAUAUAAUAGCAUGGAAGAAUCAAAAAAUUAUAGAUACGUUGGAGACGUAUCAAGCCGCAGUGGGACACCUUCUCCAUCGAUCUCGAACCGGUGCCCGCCAAGGUGGUCGGCGGCACCCCAUGCAGCGCAACAUCCCCUGAGGCGUCGAGCUCUCCUACCAUGCCGACAUCGACGCACACGAGUGCGGCCAGGACACGGCCCGCGAUGCUGAUCUGUGCCACACCAAGCCCAGACCGCUCUGGCAUGCAAUUCAUGUCUCCACUGCCGGGGGCGUCAGUGCCGCCGCCCGACAAGGAGGCUCCGCGGCGGUACCGCACCUUGGAGAAUCUGUGAGACACCACUGAAGAAGGGACAAGUGAUAACAGUCAGUACAGUUACCUGUGUCUCUUCGCAGGGGAGGAGCCGACCUCCUUCAAUGAGGCGCAGAAGGAGGGAGGAUGGAGAAACGCCAUGAACGAGGAGAUGCAGAGCAUCAUCGACAACGACACGUGGGAGCUGUGCGAGCUCCCUCCCGGGCACCGAGCGAUAGGCCUCAAGUGGGUCUACAAGCUCAAGAAGGACGCCCACGGCACGAUGGUGAAGCACAAGGCGCGGCUGGUGGCAAAAGGCUACGUCCAAGUCCAAGGAGUGGACUUCAAGGACGUGUUCGCUCCGGUGGCACGCAUGGAAUCGGUGCGCGUGCUGGUCGCGCUCGCCGCGCACCACGUGUGGCCAAUUCAUCACAUGGACGUCAAGUCCGCCUUCUUGAACGGGGACCGGCAGGAGGAGGUCUACGUUGUUCAGCCACCCGGGUACGUUGAGCUCGGCGACGAGGGGAAGGUGCUGCGUUUAUGCAAGGCACUGUAUGGGCUACGCCAAGCCCUGAGAGCUUGGAACGCCAAGCUGGACGAAAGCUUGCGUUCUCUGGGCUUUGAGCGUUGCCCCUCGGAGCACGCAGUCUACCGACGCGGGGAGGGCGACAAGCUCCGGCUCAUCGGUGUGUACGUCGACGACCUUGUCAUUACAGGGGCGGACAAGACGGAGAUCGACGCAUUCAAGUGUCAGAUGACCACGCUCUUCCGCAUGAGCGACCUCGCCGAGCUCAGCUACUACCUGGGCAUUGAGGUGCGCCAGGAGCGCGACCGCAUCACACUCUACCAAGCGGCCUACGCAAAAAGCUGCUGGAGCGUGCUGGGCUCAAAGAGUGCAACACCGGCAACGUGCCGAUAGAAGCUCGACUGAAAUUGAGCAGGGACAGCAAGGAGAGGCCGGUGGACAGCACUGAGUACCGCAGCAUCAUUGGAGGGUCGCGCUACCUCGUGCACAUGAGGCCGGACAUCUCCUUCACCGUCGGCUACCUGAGCCGUUUCAUGGAGGCACCGACUUCAGAUCACUACGCGGCUGUGAAGCGUCUGCUAAGGUAUGUAGCAGGCACUCUGGACCACGGUUGUGCCUAUGUCCGGGGGAAGGGCACGCCGGAGCUGGUGGGGUACAGCGACGCGGAUCACGCCGGUGACAUCAACGACAGGCGGAGCACGACGGGAGUGCUCUACUUCCUCGGCACGGCGGCAGCCCAGUGAGUUGGCAGUCGCAGAAGCAAAGGGUGGUGGCACUCUCCUCAUGUGAGGCGGAGUACGUGGCUGCCACCACCACCGCUUGCCAAGGGAUUUGGCUGGCUGGGCUGAUCGGAGAGAUGCUGAACAUCGACGUCUGGCCACCACGACUUCUGGUCGAUAACAAGUCAGCAAUGUGUCUCCAAGAACCCCAUCUUCCAUGAUCGAAGCAAGCACAUUGAGAUACGAUACCACUUCAUUCGUGAUUGUGUGGAAGAAGGGCGGAUCGACAUCGACUACAUCUGCACCAACGAUCAUCUUGCUGACGUCCUCACCAAGGCACUUGGACGACUCAAGUUUCUGGAGCUUAGGGGGAGGAUCGGCAUGACAGAAAUAAUUCGGCGGCGAUGAGCUUAGAGGGAGAUUUGUUAGCUAAUCUAGUUGAUGUAGUUUUCCUUCAGUUAGUUUGCUUUCGUCAGACAUAACGUAGUCAGGCGCAUGAGCUCGCGAGUCAUGCGAGCUGCGCGCGUAGGCGAUCUGGGCAUGAUCGAUGCCCGAUCGAUCAGGGUGGUCAGCCACGAAACCCACUUGUGGGAUGGCACGAGAAUUCGGGAUCAUGGCGCUAGGACCGGGGCACUCUUUCUCUCUGUAACAGAAUAAGUAGAGGAGAUCAAAAACAGAAAAGUCGCAAGGUUGUAGGUGACGCAAAAACUCAUGUCUCUCCUCUUUGUGAUCGCGAGCUGUGAGAGAUCGAGCAACCCUGACAAAGCACAUGACGCCUAUAGUCCAUUGUUAAUUCCUCUCUGUACCUAAUCUUGUUAAUUUCCCACACCAAAGAUGCUAAUCAACUGGCAUUCUAAAACUCUCCUAACAAGUAACAACAGCCGCGCCUAUGGACGAUCGAUCCCACCAGUGGCAACCAAUGGAGGUGCCAACGGUGGUGAUGCAACUUGUUUCCAUGUACAACAACUACGGCAAUCCGUCCUCUCCUACCUGCAUUGUCCUCGAAGGAAUGGAAGCGGACGAGAGAGAGCGUCGACCUGACUUAUAACAUUUUUCUUUCAGCAAUCUCUACAAAAAAUCAUGCCUCUCUUGACUUGGGGUCAAUAGCUCCUGUGCGACAUCUUUCGUGGGAAUUGGACAGAGUGCGACAUUGUUGACGAAAAUGGCUUUGGGGCGACACUUUUGAGCGACAAAAUAGCCCAGACACGACAUGGCCCUUAAACUGAUCUGAUGCCCUCAUUAGCUGUUAUGGGCUGGACCCACAACUUAUCCACGUAAGCGCGGGACCCACCAUUUGUCCAGUAAGCGCGGGACCCACAACUUAUCCACGUCAGCAUGGGACCCACCACUUGUCCAGUAUGCGCGGGACCCACCUCUUUGCAGCUAGAAGAGAUGACUGAUGACCCACAAGUGUAGGAGAUCUAUCGUAGUCCUUUCGAUAAGUAAGAGUGUCGAACCCAACGAGGAGCAGAAGGAAAUGACAAGCGGUUUUCAAUAAGGUAUUCUCUGCAAGCACUGAAAUUAUAGGUAACAGAUAGUUUUGUGAUAAGAUAAUUUGUAACGGGUAACAAGUAAUGAAAGUAAAUAAGGUGCAGCAAUGUGGCCCAAUCCUUUUUGUAGCAAAGAACAAGCCUGGACAAACUCUUAUAUAGAUAAAAGCGCUCCCGAGGACACAUGAGAAUUAUUGUCAAGCUAGUUUUCAUCACGUUCAUAUGAUUCGCGUUCGGUACUUUGAUAAUUUGAUAUGUGGGUGGACCGGUGCUUGGGUGCUGUCCUUACUUGGACAAGCAUCCCACUUAUGAUUAACUCCCAUUGCAAGCAUCCGCAACUACAAAAGAAGUAUUAAGGUAAACCUAACCAUAGCAUGAAACAUAUGGAUCCAAAUCAGCCCCUUACGAAGCAACGCAUAAACUAGGGUUUAAGAUUCUGUCACUCUAGCAACCCAUCAUCUACCUAUUACUUCCCAAUGCCUUCCUCUAGGCCCAAACAAUGGUGAAGUGUCAUGUAGUCGACGUUCACAUGACACCACUAGAGGUGAGACAACAUACAUCUCAUCAAUAUAUCGAACGAAUACCAAAUUCACAUGACUACUAAUAGCAAGACUUCUCCCAUGUCCUCAGGAACAAACGUAACUACUCACAAAGCAUAUUCAUGUUCAUAAUCAGAGGGGUAUUAAUAUGCAUAAUGGAUCUGAACAUAUGAUCUUCCACCAAGUAAACCAACUAGCAUCAACUACAAGGAGUAAUCAACACUACUAGCAACCUACAGGUACCAAUCCCAGGCUAUGAGACAAAGAUUGGAUACAAGAGAUAAACUAGGGUUUGAGAGGAGAUGGUGCUGGUGAAGAUGUUGAUGGAGAUUGGGCCCCUCCCGAUGAGAGGAGUGUUGGUGAUGACGAUGGCGAUGAUUUCCCCCUCCCGGAGGGAAGUGUCCCCGGCAGAACAGCUCUGCAAGAGCCCUAGAUUGGUUCCGCCAAGGUUCCGCCUCGUGGCGUCGGAGUCUCAUCCCGAAAGCUUGCUUAUGAUUUUUUCUCAGAUGAAAGACUUCAUAUAGCAUAAGAUGGGCACCGGAGGGCCACCAGAGGGCCCACGAGGUAGGGGGCGCGCCCCCACCCUCGUGGCCAGGGUGUGGGCCCCCUCUGGUAUUUUCUUCGCUCAGUAUUUUUUAUUAUUUCCAAAAAUAACUUCCGUGGAGUUUAAGGACUUUUGGAGUUGUGCAGAAUAGGUCUCUAAUAUUUGCUCCUUUUCCAGCCCAGAAUUCCAGCUGCCUGCAUUCUCCCUCUUUAUGUAAACCUUGUAAAAUAAGAGAGAAUAAGCAUAAGUAUUGUGACAUAAUGUGUAAUAACAGCCCAUAAUGCAAUAAAUAUCGAUAUAAAAGCAUGAUGCAAAAUGGACAUAUCAACUACCCCAAGCUUAGACCUCACUUGUUCUCAAGCGGAAGCCGAUAAUGAUAAAUAUGUCCACAUGUUUAGAGGUAGAGGUGUCGAUAAAAUAAAAUACGGACAUGAGGGCAUCAUGAUCAUUCUUAUAACAGUAACAUAUAUGGAUAUUGUCAUAUUAUUUCUUAUGAUAAAGUAACAAUCUAUCCACAAUGUCAAGUGUGAAUCAGAAACUUCAUUGAGAACUAACAAACGAUAAUCUCAGUCAUUGAGGCAAUUGCAAUUUAUCAUAACAUCAUAAAGAGUCUAUGUAAGAGCUUUUCAGCAAGUCCACAUACUCAACUAUCAUUUAGUCUUUCACAACACUCACGCAAUACUUGUGGUUAGGGAGUUUUAAUCGGACACAGAGAAAGAUAGGGGCUUAUAGUUUCGCCUCCCAACCUUUUACCUCAAGGGUAAUGUCAACAAUAAUAGUUCAUUCUAAUUUGCAUCCAAUUAUAUAUAUAUAUAUAUAUAUAUAUAUAUAUAUAUAUCAGGAUCUUUCCAACACAAGGUGCUUGCCAAAGGAUAUAAAAUGUAAAAAGGAAAGGUGAAGAUCACCAUGACUCUUGCAUAAGGUAGAAAAUAAAAGUAAAAGAUAGGCCCUUCGCAGAGGGAAGCAGAGGUUGUCAUGCGCUUUCAGGGUUGGAUGCACAAAAUCUUAAUGCGAAAGAACGUCACUUUAUAUUGCCACAUGUGAUAUGGACCUUUAUUAUGCAGUCCGUCGCUUUUAUUUCUUCCACAUCACAAGAUCGUAUAAAGCUUAUUUUCUCCCACACUAAUAAGUCAUACAUAUUUAGAGAGCAAUUUUUAUUGCUUGCACCGAUCACAACUUACUUGAAGGAUCUUACUCAAUCCAUAGGUAGAUAUGGUGGACUCUCAUGGCAAAACUGGUUUUAAGGGUAUUUGGAAGCACAAGUAGUAUUUCUACUUGGUGCAAAAAAUUGGCUAGCAUGAGGGAGAAAGGCAAACUCAACAUGUUGGAUGAUCCAUGACAAUAUACUUUAUCUCAGAUAUAAGAAAACAUGACCCAUUAUGUUGUCUUCCUUGUCCAACAUCAACUCUUUAGCAUGUCAUAUUUUAAUGAGUGCUCACAAUCAUAAAAGAUGUCCAAUAUAGUAUAUUUAUAUGUGAAACCUCUCUUUCUUUAUUACUUCCUAUUAAUUGCAACGAUGACCAAAACUAUGUUUGUCAACUCUCAACAACUUUUAAUCAUCAUACUCUUUCUAUGUGAAGUCAUUACUCUCCAUAAAAUCAAUAUGAUCUCUUUUUAUUCUUUCUUUUUCUUUUAUUCACUCAUAAUCAUAGCAAGAUAAUCAAGCCCUUGACCCAACACUAAUCUCUAUUAUAUAGCUCACGGACUUGAUUACAUAGAGGGAUCAUAAAGCAAAACUCAAAACUAAAUCAUAUUAAAACUUUAUUCUACUAGAUCAAGAUAUUACCAAAAGGAUCGAACUAAGAAAAACGGUAAAGAUAGGAGUGUGAUGGUGAUACAAUACCGGGGCACCUCCCCCAAGCUUGGCAGUUGCCAAGGGGAGUGCCCAUACCCAUGUGAUUAUAUCUCCUUUGCUGGCGAAGGUGAUGGUGGAGUUGUUGAUGAUGUGGGCUUGUCGUCCAUCGAGCGUAAGAGGUCCUCCAACUUGCAGAUAAUGCCCUUGAGUGCGAUUUUAUAUGCUCCCUCAACAAAAUAUUUUCACAUGUGAGAUACUUCUUUUUUAUACGAGCUAACUCAAUCAUCUUGAAAGCUUCGAUCUCAGUUGGGGUAAGAAGAUUGUGAUCAAGUUGAAGGAUGUCUUCUGCUGCCGGAGCUUGGUCCUCUGUGGCCUUAUUGAUCCCUUCAUCUUUGUUGAUCUCCAUGGGUUCUUCCCUCUUCAGCUCUAUCUUCAUUAGCCAAGCAUCGUUGUCACCAUUGUUGGAGGAGGAGGACGACAUGAUGCCUGGCCUAGACAACCCUGACAGAAAAUAAUGCAACUCGAAACAAGAACAGAGGAUAAUUGCGUGAUACGGGAGUCAAAAUCUUCGGGAGUUUAUAUAAUGAAUUUUUACCGACCGAAAGAAGUAUCGUGCAAGAAAACGGAGUCCGGAGAGCACACGAGGUGCCCACGAGGCAGGGGGACGCGCCCAGGGGGUAGGGCGCGCCUCCCACCCUCGUGGAAGCCUCGUUUCCUUCCCGGACUGCUUCUUAUUUUCCUAUUUUUCUAAAUAUUCCAAAACAGAGAAAGUUUGCAAUUAGAACUGUUCUGUAGUCGGUUUACUUACCGUACCACAUACCUAUAACUUUUCGGGGUCUGAAACGUUCUAGAAAGUGUCUCUUAUGUAUUCCUCCGGUGUUACGGUUUCAACAACAUUAGUUUCAACAUUUAUAGGGUUACCUGAGAUAUAAUGUUUGAUUCUUUGACCGUUCACCACCUUCGGACUUGUGCCUUCAAAGUUGUUGAUUUUUAUGGCACCGGAACGAUAGACCUCCUCGAUAACGUAAGGACCUUCCCAUUUAGAGAGAAGUUUUCCAGCAAAAGAUCUUAAACGAGAGUUGUAUAACAAUACAUAAUCACCUACAUUAAACUCAUGCUUUUGUAUCCUUUUUUCAUGCCAUCUUUUAACUUUUUCCUUAAACAAUUUGGCAUUCUCAUAGGCUUGGGUUCUCCGUUCAUCAAGUGAGCUAAUGUCAAAUAACCUCUUCUCACCAGCAAGUUUAAAAUCAUAAUUGAGCUCUUUAAUGGCCUAGUAUGCCUUAUGUUCUAGUUCGAGAGGUAAAUGACAUGCUUUUCCAUAAACCAUUUUAUACGGAGACAUACCCAUAGGAUUUUUAUAUGCAGUUCUAUAGGCCCAUAAUGCAUCAUCAAGUUUCUUGGACCAAAUCUUUCUAGAUCUAUUAACAGUCUUUUGCAAAAUUAAUUUGAGCUCUCUAUUACUCAAUUCUGCUUGACAACUAGACUGUGGGUGAUUAGGGGAUGCAAUUCUAUGAUUAACAUCAUACUUAGCACGCAUUUUACGAAAAGCACCAUGAAUAAAAUGUGAACCACCAUCGGUCAUUAAAUAUCUGGGGACUCCAAACCUGGGAAAAAUAACUUCUUUAAGCAUCUUAAUAGAGGUGUUAUGAUCAGCACUACUAGUCGGAAUAGCUUCUACCCACUUAUUAACGUAAUCAACAACAACUAAAAUAUGUGUAUACCCAUUAGAGGAAGGAAAAGGUCCCAUAUAAUCAAAGCCCCAAACGUCAAAUGGUUCAAUAACAAGUGAAUAAUUCAUAGGCAUUUCUUGACGUCUACUAAUGUUACCAAUUCUUUGACAUUCAUCACAAGAUAAGACAAACUUACGAGCAUCCUUGAAGAGAGUAGGCCAAUAAAAACCGGAUUGCAAUAACUUAUGUGCAGUUCUAUCUCCAGCGUGGUGCCCUCCAUAAGCCUCGGAGUGACACUUGCGUAGGAUCUGUUCCUGUUAAUGCUCAGGUACACAACGCCUAAUAACACCAUCUACUCCUUCUUUAUAAAGAUGUGGGUCAUCCCAGAAGUAAUGUCUUAAAUCAUAGAAAAACUUUUUCUUUUGCUGGUAUGUGAAACUAGGUGGUAUAAAUUUAGCAACAAUGUAAUUAGCAUAAUCAGCAUACCAUGGAGCAGUACGAGAAGCAUUUAUAACAUUUAAUUGUUCAUCAGGAAAGCUAUCAUCAAUAGGUAGUGGGUCAUCAAGAACAUUUUCUAACCUAGACAAGUUAUCUGCAACAGGGUUCUCAGCUCCCUUUCUAUCAAUAAUAUGUAAAUCAAAUUCUUUUCGCAAGAGAACCCAUCUAAUAAAUCUAGGUUUAGCAUCUUUCUUUUCCAUAAGAUAUUUAAUAGCAGCAUGAUCAGUGUGAAUAGUUACUUUAGAAUCAACAAUAUAAGGUCUGAACUUAUCACAAGCAAAUACAACUGCUAAAAAUUACUUUUCAGUAGUGGCAUAAUUUCUCUGGGCAUUGUCUAGAGUUUUACUAGCAUAUUGAAUAACAUUUAAUUUCUUAUCAACUCUUUGCCCUAGAACAGCACCUACAGCAUAAUUGCUAGCAUCACACAUAAUUUCAAAAGGUAAAUUCCAAUCAGGUGGCUGAACAAUAGGUGCAGAAAUCAAUGCUUUCUUAAGUAUUUCAAAUGCUUCUACACAAUCAUCAUCAAAAACGAAAGGUAUAUCUUUUUGUAAGAGAUUAGUCAGAGGCCGAGAAAUUUUUUAGAAGUCCUUAAUGAACCUCCUAUAAAAACUAGCAUGACCAAGGAAACUUCUUAUACCUUUGAUGUCCUUGGGACAUGGCAUCUUUUCAAUAGCAUCAACUUUAGCUUUAUCAACUUCACUACCUCUUUUAGAAAUUUUAUGCCCCAAGAAAAUACCUUCAUUAACCAUAAAGUGGCACUUCUCCCAAUUCAAGACAAGGUUAGUUUCUUCACAUCUCUGCAAAACUCGAUCAAGGUUGCUCAAGCAAUCAUCAAAAGAGGAUCCAUAAACGGAGAAAUUGUCCAUGAAAACCUCACAUAUCUUUUCACAAAAGUCAGAAAAUAUAGCAAUCAUGCAUCUUUGAAAGGUAGCAGGUGCUUUACAUAAACCAAAAGGCAUACGUCUAUAAGCAAAAGUACCGAAAGGGCAAGUAAAAGUGGUAUUUGCUUGAUCAUCAGCUGACACAGGUAUUUCAGAGACACCAGAGUAACCAUCUAGAAAGCAAAAAUGUGUAUGUUUGGAUAAUCUUUCUAGCAUUUGAUCAAUAAAAGGUAAGGGGUAAUGAUCUUUUUAGUAGCCUUAUUUAAUUUGCGGAAAUCAAUUACCAUCCUAUAACCUGUAAUAAUUCUUUGCGGAAUCAAUUCAUCUUUAUCAUUGGGAACGACAGUAAUACCUCCCUUCUUAGGGACACAAUGGACAGGACUUACCCACUGACUAUCAGCAACGGGAUAAAUUAUACCUGCCUCAAGGGGCUUUAGUAUUUCCUUUCUUACCACUUCCUUCAUCUUAGGAUUCAGACGUCGUUGAUGAUCAAUAACUGGUUUGGCAUCUUUCUCCAAAUUUAUUUUGUGUUGGCAUAGAGUGGGACUAAUGCCAUUAAGAUCAUCAAGAGUAUAUCCAAUAGCAGCACGGUGCUUCUUCAGAGUUUUCAGUAAUUUUUCUUCCUCCUUCUCUGAAAGGUUAGCACUAAUAAUAACAGGAUAUAUCUUCUUUUCAUCAAGAUAAGCAUAUUUAAGAGUAUCAGGCAACGGUUUAAGCUCAAACACGGGAUCACCCUUGGGUGGAGGAGGACCCCCUAGGAUUUCAACAGGAAAAUUGUGUUUCAUAAUAGGUCCAUGUUUAAAGAAUACUUCAUCUAUUUCCCUUCUUUCAUUCAUAAACAUAUCAUUCUCAUGGUCUAGCCAAUAUUGUUCUAAAGGAUCACUAGGAGGCACGGCAAUAGAAGCAAGACCAAUAAUUUCAUCCUUACUAGGCAAUUCCUCAUCACGCGAGGUUGUCUACGAAAUUUAGAGAAAUUAAACACAUGAGACAUAUCAUCCAAACCAAUAGUAACAACAUCCUUUUCGCAGUCUAUCUUAGCAUUAACAGUGUUCAAGAAGGGUCUACCAAAUAUAAUGGGACAAAAGCUAUCUUGUGGGGAACCAAGAACAAGAAAAUCAGCAGGAUAUUUAGCCUUCCCACACAAGACCUCAACAUCUCUAACAAUCCCAAUUGGUAAAAUAGUAUCUCUAUUGGCAACCUUAAUGGUAACAUCGAUAUCUUCUAUCUCAGCCGGUGCAAUAUCAUGCAUAAUUUCUUUGUAUAAGUAAAUAGGUAUUGCACUAGCACUAGCACCCAUAUCACACAAGCCAUGAUAACAAUGAUCUCCUAUUUUAACAGAAAUAACAGGCAUGCCUACCACAGGUCUAUGUUUAUCUUUAGCACCAGGUUUAGCAAUUCUAGCAGUAUCAUCACAGAAGUAUAUAACAUGCCCAUCGAUAUUAUCAGACAAGAGAUCUUUAACAAUAGCAAUAUUAGGUUCAACUUUAACUUGCUCAGGAGGUGUAUAAGUUCUAAUAUUACUUUUACGAACCACAGUUGAAGCUUUAGCAUGAUCCUUUAUACUAACAGGAAAAGGUGGUUUCUCAACUUAAGCAGUAGGAACAAUAGGAUCAUUAUAAGUGAUAGUCUUUUCUUCAACUUUAAUAGGUUCAACUACUUUUACUUCUAUGGGAGGAUGAUAUUUAAACCACUCUCCUUAGGGAGAUCAACAUGAGCAGCAAAAGAUUCACAGAAAGAAGCUACUAUCUCAUAGUCAAGUCCAUAUUUAGUGCUAAUAAAUUUACGGAAAACAUCGGUAUCCAUAAAAGAUUUAACACAAUCAAACUUAGGUGUUAUACCCGACUCCUUACCUUCGUCGAGAUCCCAAUCUUCAGAGUUGCGUUUAAUUCUUUCCAGUAAAUUCCAUUUGAAUUCAAUAGUCUUCAUCAUAAAAGAGCCAGUACAUGAAGUAUUGAGCAUGGAGCGAUUAUUGUGAGAAAGCCGAGCAUAAAAAUUAAUAAUCAUUUCUCUUGAGAGUACAUGAUUGGGGCAUGAAUAUUACAUUGACUUAAGCCUCCCCCAAGCUUGAGCGAUGCUUUCUCCUUCGCGAGGCCAAAAAUUAUAUAUAUAAUUACGAUCACGAUGAACAAGAUGCAUAGGAUAAAACUUCUGAUGGAAUUCCAAUUUCAACCGUUUGUAGUCCCAUGAUCCCAUAUCAUCACAUAGCCGAUACCAUGUCAAUGCAUCUCCCUUCAAAUAUAAAGGGAAGACCUUCUUAUUGAUAACAUCAUCGGGCACACCUGCAAGCUUAAAUAAUCCACGAACUUCAUCCACAUAGAUUAAGUGUAAAUCGGGACGCAAUGUUCCAUCUCCUGCAAAAGGAUUAGCCAGUAGUUUCUCUAUCAUACCCGAAGGAAUUUAGAAGUAAACAUUUUCAUUUUCAGUAGGUUCAGUAGGUUGAGGAGCAACUCUUUGCUCUACUGGUCGAGGUGAAGAUACCCCGAACAAGCCCCUCAAAUGAUUACUUUCCAUAGUAACAAGUGACAGUAAAUUUCAGCACACUAUAUAAAAUUUUCAUUACCAAAUUCCACCUACCAAAGGCGCUUCACUCCCCGGCAACGGCGCCAGAAAAGAGUCUUGAUGACCCACAAGUUUAGGGGAUCUCUCGUAGUCCUUUCGGUUAGUAAGAGUGUUGAACCCAACGAGGAGCAAAAGGAAAUGACAAGCGGUUUUCAGCAAGGUAUUCUCUGCAAGCACUGAAAUAUAGGUAACAGAUAGUUUUGUGAUAAGAUAAUUUGUAACGGGUAACAAGUAAUGAAAGUAAAUAAGGUGCAGAAAGGUAACAAGUAAUAGAGAAAAGCGCUCCCUGAGGACACAUGGGAAUUAUCGUCAAGCUAGUUUUCAUCACGUUCAUAUGAUUCGCGUUCGGUACUUUGAUAAUUUGAUAUGUGGGUGGACCGGUGCUUGGGUGCUGUCCUUACUUGGAAAAAUAUCCCACUUAUGAUUAACUCCUAUUGCAAGCAUCCGCAACUACAAAAGAAGUAUUAAGGUAAGCCUAACCAUAGCAUGAAACAUAUGGAUCCAAAUCAGCCCCUUACGAACCAACGCAUAAACUAGGGUUUAAGCUUCUGUCACUCUAGCAACCCAUCAUCUACUUAUUACUUCCCAAUGCCUUCCUCUAGGCCCAAACAAUGGUGAAGUGUCAUGUAGUCGACGUUCACAUGACACCACUAGAGGAGAGACAACAUACAUCUCAUCAAAAUAUCGAACAAAUACCAAAUUCACAUGACUACUAAUAGCAAGGCUUCUCCCAUGUCCUCAGGAACAAACGUAACUACUCACAAAGCAUAUUCAUGUUCAUAAUCAGAGGGGUAUUAAUAUGCAUAAUGGAUCUGAACAUAUGAUCUUCCACCAAGUAAACCAACUAGCAUCAACUACAGGAGUAAUCAACACUACUAGUAAUCCCAGGCUAUGAGAAAAAGAUUGGAUACAAGAGAUAAACUAGGGUUUGAGAGGAGAUGGUGCUUGUGAAGAUGUUGAUGGAGAUUGGCCCCCUCCCGAUGAGAGGAGCGUUGGUGAUGACGAUGGCGAUGAUUUCCCCCUCCUGGAGGGAAGUGUCCCCGGCAGAACAGCUCUGCCAGAGCCCUAGAUUGGUUCCGCCAAGGUUCCGCCUCGUGGCGGUGGAGUCUCGUCUUGAAAGCUUGCUUAUGAUUUUUUCUCGGACAAAAGACUUCAUAUAGUAGAAGAUGGGCACCGGAGGGCCACCAGGGGGCCCACGAGGCAGGGGCGCGCCCAGGGGGUAGGGCGCGCCCCCCACCCUCGUGGCCAGGGUGUGGGCCCCCUCUGGUAUUUUCUUCACUCAGUAUUUUUUAUUAUUUCCAAAAAUAACUUCCGUGGAGUUUCAGGACUUUUGGAGUUGUGCAAAAUAGGUCUCUAAUAUUUGCUCCUUUUCCAGCCCAGAAUUCCAGCUGCCGACAUUCUCCCUCUUUAUGUAAACCUUGUCAAAUAAGAGAGAAUAAGCAUAAGUAUUGUGACAUAAUGUGUAAUAACAGCCCAUAAUGCAAUAAAUAUCGAUAUAAAAGCAUGAUGCAAAAUGGGCGUAUCAACGACCGCCCGUCCCCGUCGGCCCGCCGCCACCCAUUGCUUCCCCUUUCCCCAUUCUUCCUCUUCUCUGGCGAGCUGGUGCAGAUGUCCACCUCCUCCGCCACGCACUGAAAAUGGCGUCAGUAUGGUCCAGUGCCGCUCACAAGGUGCCCUGACUGCCCACGCCCAGAGCCUCUAAAACGGUGGGUCAGUAGAACUGAUGAGAAUGGAAAUCUUGGGCGGGAAUUUGUGAAGUGCUUGAGCAAAACAAUGGCAGAAAGGGAUGGCAAGGUUAGAUCUCAGUUCUUAGCCCAUUCUUUCACUGUCGUUUGCUCUGAUUUAUCCAUAUUUUGUUUUUUUCCUCGAAUUUGGAAUUUAGGGUUCAUGUUGUUGUUUUUUCCUCGAAUUUGGAAUUUAGGGUUCAUGUUGUUGAUUUAUCCAUAUUUCAUGUUGUUGAGAGGAUUCAGUUCGAGGGCUACAUUGAUUCGAGCGGGGCCGCAACCUGGGAGCUCAAUUUGGGGGGAGGGGUGCCGCAGAUGGAGAAUUUGGGGUCGAGCUUGGACAGAGGGGCGGGCAGAGUCGUGUCGAUGGCUAGGUAUGCGCGCAAUGCUGAACUGCACUUGGAGUCUGAACUAACCGAGGAACUGAAGAUAAUCAAGAAAUCAAAUGGAGAUGAUCAAUCUGCAGAAGCAAGCAAAUAUCAUGGCAGGGGGGGUUCUAUUGUUGUGUCAUUGCUCUGUUUUUGUUUUACUUGUUGUUCAUCCGUCAUUAGAGGGAGCAUUUAGGUCUAUCAGGGCAGAGGAUGCGAUCUGUGCGCCAUGCCAAGUUCAUGUAACUGAAUCGAAGCAGAAAUAUUCUAUGUUGAUGCUUUGUUCUUGUUCUUCAGUUAACAGAGUGCACACCCCCCAAAUUCAGUUUCUAGUAAGAAAAUCUUGCUGCCGAAUAGAUGUUGGGCCAUGAAAAAACAACGAGGCCCAAAUAGAGACAAGCCCACCCGCGUAGGGGCACCAGCCCAGUUUUAUAGCAUAGAGGCACCCAUGUUUAAAAAAAAUGUUCGACUAAAAACUCAAAAUAAAAUAUUGCUUCGGCAAAUAAACCUUUAACAAACAUAUACUUCUUUACAUAUUUGUUGCUUGUCCACGCUUGCACAAAAUAUUGGCCAGAGGUAAAAUUCAAACUAAUAUUUUUAGGAGCACAGAAAUAUUUCUUUUGUGACCAAUAAUUGUUUGCAUGAACUAAAAUAGUUGCAUUUCCAUGGUUGCAAAAAAAAUUGCACCGUACACCUAAUAGCUAGGGUGAUCCUAUUUGCAUGAACUAAAUUAGUUGCAUGUCCAUGGUUGCACAAAAAUUAUCACCGUACACCUACUAGCCAGGGCCUAGAUACAUGCAAGCACACAUGCAUCACACCAAGAUAUGAAAAAAAAUUGCAAAAAAAUUUGGGUACCCAUACACUUGCAUGUCCGUAGUGGAAGCUACCUUUUAUUAGUAAGACAUAGAUCAAAUAGGGAUCCAAUCAACUAGAUAUAACAUGGGUACCCAUAGAACAUCAAGCACCAUAUAUAUCAACUAACCAAUAUCAACUAGAUAGAAAAAAAUAACAGAUAGAACAUAGUAGCAUAAGUAGUAGCAUUGCAUAGAUAAGGGUAGCACGACAUAUAUAGUACCACUACAACAUAGAUAAUUCAUAGUUCAACCCAACACGACAAUAAUAAAACACCACCAGCUUGUUUGCUUGCUUGCUCAAAGGCCAAAUCCUCCAUGGCCAACUCCUUCACUCGUCGCCGUUGGUGGGGUACGGGAGGGUGUGCAUGCGCUCAUCGGCGGGGAAGGCACUGUCGAAGUCCGUGAAGAUGUUGUACAUGGUGAAUGCGAUGAACUCGCAUCCACAUCAAAAAACACGACCGAGGAGGUAGUAGGCGUCGAAGGGGUUGGUGAACCUCACGAUGAGCCCGAUAGGAUGGCCACUGCUACUGACCUCUUUGACACGGAACAUGGCCGGAGAGCCCCUCGGGAGGUGCCGGUAGCCGGCGGAGAGGAAGAACUCGGUCAGCCCCCUUGCCCCCCUCCACCUCGAGAUCGCCCACACCCGUAGGGUGUUCUCCACCCGGACUCCGGUAGGGUAGAGCCUCUCAGGGAAGGUGCGCGGCACACGGUAGGUAGCCCCGGUGAACUGCAUCUUGCUUGCUAGCUUUGAGUGGAUCUUGGAAGAUGGGAGAUGAAGGAGAGUGAGAGGAAGAUGUGGGUAGAGGAAGAUGUAGGCUUGGGUGUGCUUAAAUAGCCGAGGUGCAGUGUUUUAACGUUUUGUUUUCCUCUCCCUCGUAAUGGCAUGGGAAACGAGCAAUGUGGCAUCGAGUCACCCGAGCCAACCCGUGUGUACACGCGCAUGCAUUGUGGUAGUAAUGCCAAUGACCCGCGUAGCACUCUAGCAAUAAAAAUGCGUCGAGAGAUGAGCUCGAUGCCAUGCAUGCAGCGGCUAGCGGUCGGGCAUCUAGACCCAUCUAGAAUGGGUAAAUAGCCAUAAUGCUACGAGGGUGUCGGCGGGCAUGCUCGCCCGCGAUGCCAUCCAUGCAACGUCGAACGCUGAGAGGGCGGCCGCAGGAGGGCUACACGCGCGUGCAUGCUUUUCAGGCCGAAUGCAGCGUCGUGUCCAUCGGUCCAAUGGGUGGGCCGCUUUAAUUAAGCCCAACAACACAUGGCAGGCCUGCUUAGUCUUACAAUGUAAAAAAUGGGCUAAAACGACCAGCCAAUGAAAGCGCAACACGCGGAUCUGUGACGUGGCUCCUAAUCCAGACUGUUGCUUAUGUUCACAUCCAUCCAAUGGUCCAGAAUGCUACGUGUUAUAAUAUUCAGCAUCUUCGAAUCAGCCAAUCAGAGUGCUGCCUGCAGAUCGCUGACGUAGCCCUGGUGCCUGAUCCAGACCGUCCAUUCAUAGCGAUCCAAUGGCCGAGAGGAGUGUGGGGUUUCAAUGGGGUUUUGAGUGGUUUUCAGCGGUUAGGGUUGAGCAUAACUAAUUCAAAAAAAUCAAAAAAACUAUAAAACUUGUGUCGAUCAUCGUUCUAUGUGACUAAGUAUCUAGGAAAAAUAAGAAACUUGUACUACGGAUAUUUUCAUGAAAAAACCUUCACAAAAGAUGGCUAUCAAGAACGACCUUGUAGGGUUUUGAAGAGAAGUGAGCUAGGGUUUAGUGUCAAACAUGUCAUACUUUAUCGAAACAAUCCAAUAUCAGGAAGGACUCUUAUAUACACACACUAGAUGUCAAGUUUCCUUUUUGGGCUCAUUUAGAGAAGGUCGAAAAAAGCUUGCUUACAAAUGGGUCUGUUUUCCCUAGCUUUGGAGGGGUUUUGGAGGUCAUGUGGAGCACAUUUUUCAUGUCCAGAGUUUUACAUAAUAAAAGUGCUCCGAUUAAUCAACUAACAUGCAUAAUAGUCCAGAAAUCAUUGUAACACCAACACCACAGACCAAAUAACUUCAAAUUUGAAUUUUGUCUCAAAUUUGAAUUUUGUCUCAAAUUUGAAUAGUAUUACACAAAUACACAUCAUAUCAAAGUACAAAUAUCAUUACACAAAUUCAGGCAAGGUUUUAUUACUACAACAUACUAGCAAUACACAAGUUUCAACAAAUUUUCACUUCUGCUUCUUCCUACCACUCGAUUUGUUCUUCUUCUUUUUACCAAUGCUUGUUUUUGGUUGUACAACACCCAGUUCACUCAAGCUCUUGAUUUUCUUCACUGGACUUCCUGGAACACAAGCUUCAUUUCGCACCACAACAGUUGCAGUAUCAUCGGACCCAAUAUCACCAGUUGGCAACACAACUUCCAAUAUAGGCUCAGUUGGCACCACAUCAACUGGAAUAUCUUUAGUUGGCAACUCAACUUCCAACAUAGGCUCAGCUUGCACAGCAUCAGCUGGAAUAUCUUCAGAGGUACCCAUAGCUUCAGUUGGCACCAGAACAUCAAAAUCUUGCUCAUCUUGCAGCAGCACAUCCAAGUCUUGCUCAUUUUGCACCACACCAUCCAAGUCUGGUUGAAUGUGUAUUGUUUCACCAAAACUUCUCUUUCUUCUAGAGCCAUUGCCUCUUGCUUUUUUCUUUGGCCAGCACACUUCAACAACAAGGGGCUCACCUGCACGCUUCCUCCUAAAAAGAUAAAGCAUGUCAACUGGUUAGUAAUUGAAAAAUGCAACAAAAUAGUAAACAAUGCAAACAUAUGCCCACAUACUUUGGCCAUUCAUGAGUGUAACAACAUUUGGGAGAUCCAACUCGGUGCCCAAGUUCCUGGCACAACUUGCCUCUAUUUUUUUUUACCUUUUUGGGACCUUUUUGGCUUUGCAUUCUUCUUUCCCUUGCCCUUUUUACUACUCCCACCUUUCUCAAACCAUGCCUUGAAUCUACUUUCUUUAGGCCUGCCAGCCUUUCUUUUUGUUAGGGGAGGACCCAUGGAAAAUUCAAUUUCAACUUCAGGCCACUGAGACUGAUCUGUAAGUGCUAGAAUUGGAGUUGCAUAUGCAGCCUUGAAUCUUGCUACUAAGUAAUAUUCGUGCAAAUAUGGGUGCAUGUUUAUCUUCGGUCGGGAGGCCAAGAAAAGUAUGGCAUGACUCACAUGGUUUCCCAGUGUGCUGCCACUCCAAACAAGUGCAAUCAUGCAUUUCAGUGUUAACAACAUGCCUUCUACCAGUUUUGGUAUCUCUAACUUCAACACCCCACACAGAAGAUUUUUCAACAGAUAAAUGUGUAAGAUUUAUGCUCCUGUUGACCACCUGGUGUACCACUGCAGGAAGCUUAUCCCCUUGUAGACAAUCACCAAUCCUUCUUCUCAAUUCCCACAAGCGCAUGAUCAUGAUCCUGAUUUGGUCAACCAUGUCAUGCACAGGAAAAAAAUUUAACUGCUUCACCCUGUUGUUAAAACUUUCUGCCAAGUUGUUGUUGAUAUGAUCACACUUGAUGGCAGUGUUAAAUCCCGACCUAUACCAUAAUAGAGAAUGGUACGUGUUCACCCAUGGACCAAACUCAGGACAUGAUGUCAUUAUCAUACCAAGAUGAUAUUAAUGUGUUUGUUUAGUGUAAGAUCUUGCUGCUGGCCACAUACGACCAAAUUCUUCCCCUUUGAAUUUUUUGAUCAAAUUCAUCCACAUAUGGCCGAAGCACUCCCUCUGCUCACAAUGGGGGAAAACAUUCUUCACUGCGUUUUCUAGCCCUUUGCAUGCAUCUGUGUGGACUGCCAAAGGUGACACUGGACCUAUGCAUCUUUUCAACUGCACCAUGAACCAUGUCCACGAGACCUCUAUCUGUGACUGAAAUAAGCCAAUAGCAAUAGGGAACAUCCAGUUGUAUCGAUCCAAAGCAUUGCAAGCUGCCAAUUGACCAAUUGAAAGUGCACCUAUGCCUAGGUGGUUUUGGUAAUUCCUAACAACAUAUAGCUCAUUGAGCUAAUGAUAUCUCAAGAUAAAUAUUUCAGGAAAGCACAAUGAUUGGCAUGGCAUGGAUUAGAAAUGUGACCCCUCAGAAUACCAAGGACAAAAGAAUGGCUCAAGCUCUAAAGCUCAAGACUCUACAUUUUACUUUUAGUGAUCCAAGAUCACAUUGAGUCCAUAGGAAAAGCAAAUACUAUUAAAAGGGGAUGAGGUGUUGCUUAAUGGGUUGCUUGCUCAAAAUGCUUAGUGAUAUGCUCCAAAAACCCUCAACUACUUUCUCAUAUCCACAUAUGUCCCAAACCAGAAGUCAAACUCGGCCCCACCAAAACAUCCUAUCUGGCACCACCGAGUUCUCUUGACAUAGCCACUGCCACAAACCCUAGUCACUUUGGUCUCACCGAUAGGGAUCUCGGUAUCACCGAGAUGGGAUUGCAAACAUCUGUUUCCCUUCCUAACGUUUCGGUCCAACCGAGAUGAGCGAUCGGUCCCACCGAGUUUGCAAUGCAAACUCUCUGUUUCCCCUUCGUAACGUUUCGGUCUCACCGAGAUGAGCAAAUCGGUCCCACCGAGUCUGCCUCAUCAACUCUCUGGUUAGCUUAUCACCAAAAUCAGUCCCACCGAGUUUGUGUAAUCAGUCUCACCGAGAUUACGUUAUGCCCUAACCCUAAUGAAAUCGGUCCCACCGAGUUGACAUGUCGGUCCCAUCGAAUAUCCUAACGUUCACAUUUUGAACUAAAUCGGUCCGACCGAGUUUCAUUAUUCGGUCCCACCGAGUUUGAUGAUUUGUGUGUAACGGUUAGAUUUUGUGUGGAGGCUAUAUAUACCCCUCCACCCACUCUUUAUUCGUGGAGAGAGCCAUCAUAACAUGCCUACACUUCCAGCAUACAUUUUCUGAGAGAGAACCACCUACUCAUGUGUUGAGGUCAAGAUAUUCCAUUCCAACCACAUAAAUCUUGAUCUCUAGCCUUCUCCAAGUUGCUUUCCACUCAAAUCGUCUUUCCACCAAAUCCAAAUCUGUGAGAGAGAGUUGAGUGUUGGGGAGACUAUCAUUUGAAGCACAAGAGCAAGGAGUUCAUCAUCAACACACCAUCUAUUACCUUUUGGAGAGUGGUGUCUCCUAGAUUGGUUAGGUGUCACUUGGGAGCCUCCGUCAAGAUUGUGGAGUUGAACCAAGGAGUUUGUACGGGCAAGGAGAUCGCCUACUUCGUGAAGAUCUACCCUAGUGAGGCAAGUCCUUCGUGGGCGAUGGCCAUGGUGGGAUAGACAAGGUUGCUUCUUCGUGGAACCUUCAUGGGUGGAGCCCUCCGUGGACUCGCGCAACCGUUACCCUUCGUGGGUUGAAGUCUCCAUCAACGUGGAUGUACGAUAGCACCACCUAUCAGAACCACGCCAAAAAUCUCCGUGUUUAUAUUGCGUUUGCUCCCUCCAAACUCCUCCCUUUACCUUCAUGUGCAAUGUUUUACAUUCCGCUACUAUACUCUUAGACUUGCAUGUGUAGGUUGAUUUCUUGACUAGUGCUAAGUUGCUAAAAUCUGCCAAGACUUAAAAUUGGGGAAAGGCUAGAUUUUUAUUUGGUCAAGUAGUCUAAUCACCCCCCCUCUAGACAUAAUUUCGAUCCUACAAGUGGUAUCAGAGCUACGGUCUCCAUUUGCCUUGAUUUCCAUAGCUUUUGGUGAUCAUAGCCUUGGUUUCACAACCUAGGAGACUAUGGCGUCUAGCAAGGGAAAUUACCACCAUAGAGGUCCUUACUUUGAUGGUACUAAUUUUGCUACUUGGAAGCACAAGAUGAAAAUGCAUAUUCUUGGACAUAACCCCGCCGUUUGGGCUAUUGUGUGUAUUGUCUUGCAAGGUGAAUUCUUUGAUGGGAGAGAACCGAACCGUGAAGCUACUGCGGAAGAGUUGAAGAUGCUACAAUACAAUGCUCAAGCUUGUGAUAUUCUCUUCAACGGAUUGUGCCUCGAAGAAUUCAACAAAAUCAGCCGUCUUGAGAAUGCAAAGGAAAUUUGGGAUACUUUGAUUGAUAUGCAUGAGGGUACCGACUCCGUCAAGGAAUCCAAAUUGGAUGUGCUUCAAAGUCAAAUUGAGAAGUUCAAAAUGAAGGAUGGUGAAGGUGUCACUGAAAUGUACUCUAGGCUUGCUCUCAUCACAAAUGAGAUUGCCGGCUUAGGAAGUGAAGAGAUGACCGAUAGAUUCAUCAUCAAGAAGAUCCUAAGAGCCUUGGAUGGAAAAUAUGAUACCGUGUGCACAUUGAUCCAAAUGAUGCCCAAUUACAAAGAUCUCAAGCCAAAGGAAGUCAUUGGAAGAAUUGUUGCUCAUGAGAUGUCACUUAAGGAUAAGGAAGAGCUCCACAACAAGUCAAGUGGUGCUUACAAAGCCUCAUGUGAUGCUCCUACACCAUCAAGUGAGAAACAAACCUUUAAUGAAGAAUUGAGCCUAAUGGUGAAGAAUUUCAGCAAGUUCUACAAGAGUAGAAGCAAGGAAAGAAGUUCCAAGUCAAGAUCCUACAAUGACAAAAGAUCUUCAAGUCGUGAACGAAAUUGCUACAAUUGUGGAAGACCCGGACACUACUCCAAUGAGUGUACGGCUCCCUACAAAAGAAGAGGAGAUUCUCCCAAAAGACGAAGUAGAAGAGAAGAAUCAGCACCAAGAGAGAGAAGGAGUAGAGAUGAUUGUUAUGAACGAAGAACCUCUCGGAGAAGCAAGGAUUCGGAAAGGAAGGACAAAUCAUCAAAGAGCUACACAAAACGAAGACAUCAAUCUCACGUUGGUGAAUGGGUAUCCGGCUCCGACUCCGACCAUUACUCCGAAAGAAGUUAUCACUCCGACUCCGACUAUACUCAAGAAGAAGGUGUUGCCGGUCUAGCACUUGCGUCAACCAACUCCUACAACAUAUUUGACUCACCAAAUGAAGGAAUUGGAAGAUGCUUCAUGGCUAAAGGCCCCAAGGUAUCACACCCCGAGUUUGUUGAUUUCAAUAGUGAUGAAGAUGAUUUGCUAGGAGAUGAUGAUUUACUUGUUGACAACUCCAGUUAUGAAAACUAUGAUGAACUUGCUAUUAGUCAUGCUAAUCAAGAUAAAACGAAUGACGAUGAUAAGAAGGAGAUUGAGCGUCUAACUAAAGAAUUAAACACUCUUAAAUUAGCUCAUGAAACUACCAUGGAAGAUCAUCGAGAACUUUUAAAGACUCAUGAGAAGCUACGCUUUGAAAGGCUCAACCUUGAGCAAGAGCAUGGGUUCUUAAAAGCAAUCAAUGAUGAUCUUCGCAGGAAAAAUUCUUCUUACAUUGCCAAGCGUUUACUCUUGUCUACUUACAUGCCACAAGUAGAAUCUAGCAACAAGAGUAAGAAAGAUUCUUCAUCUAGUAGUAACAAUAAUCAUGCUAAAUCCAAUGUUGUUGCUUCUAGUAGUUCUCUUGAUUCCACUAAUGAUUCUCUUAGCCAAGUUACAAUUGAGCAAGAAAAUAGCUUAUUGAAGGGAAUUAUAGAGAAAGGUGUUUACAAGAGCCUUGUCGGAAGUAAGCAAUUUGAGGAAAUUGUACGCAACCAAGGAAGGCACCGGAAAAAUCAAGGUGUUGGUUUUGAACGAAAGUUCAAUGCCAAUGGAGUUGAGUGGGAAGAAGAUCAAUACCCCAAGACGAAGUUUGUUCCUCAACAAGAGAAGUAUGAUCCUACUUCCUUCCAAGGAACACAAGCUCAAGAUGAUCUUCCACCACAAGACCACAAGCAAAAAGGCAAGGACAAGCUUCAAGAGGAGAUUGAUGCAUUUUAAGAAGCUCCCAAGGCCUUGGUCGAGUGGGUUCCCAAGACUACAUCAAAUACGACUACAACUCCAAGGAUUCCCAUCAAGAUGAUGUGGAUCCCGAAGAAGAAGAACUAGAGAGUUCUUGAGGGUGACUCCGCCAACAUACUUCACUCAUAUCUUUUGGCAAGGACAUGUGAGAACAACUUCCACAUAUUGCACUAGUUCAAGGAGUCACAAACCCUCUUGUUUGUAAGACAAGGGACAAGGUAACCUAAUGCUUUCAUGGACAUCAUCUUGUGUGUACAUCACUCUAUGUCUAUGGAUAUCCUUGUUUGUUCCUUGUGGGACUAACCAGUGUAGGUAUUGGAAGUGCAACUCACUCCAAUGGAUUGCUCCGAAUGAUCUACAUCAACAUUGAGCAUCCACAUCUUCAACACCUACAUGAAGUCAUCAUCGACAAAACCCAAGGUUAGUUCAUCCCUCUUAGGGGGAUAUCACAUCUAGGGGGAGCUUUACUCUAAUAAAUUGAGCUAAAGCAACUCUAAUGGUGUGAACACAACAAUGCUUUAUGUGAAAGUGGUAACCCCACUUAUGCUUAAACGAUGAGUAUGACCUAUGAUCAAAUGUUCUCAUUUGACUCCUAAGUCAAUAUACUCAUAUAUAGAUGACCUAGUCAUCGCCAAUUGCUUGAUAGAUGCUAGAGUCUUUGUGCAUGCUUUGUCACAUAUUUCGUUUGCCAUUUUAUUGUGUGAGCAUGUUAAUUGCAUAUUUUACUCAUUCGAGGACAUCCAUUUGUUGCUUUGAUUGUUUGGCUUUUUCUCUUUUGCCAAAUGGAUGGACAAGAAUGCCUAAGAACUCCCUCUAGCUAUCUAUGCUUUUCUCGUCUCAAACUCUAUUCAUGCUACAUCACAAAGUUUGAUCAAGUCAGGUUCGAACCACUCUGUGUGAGGAGCACUCGGAGUCCCCGAUUCGUCAUAGACUUAAACUUCCAAAACCUCUUUGUGCAUUUCGGUAUGACCGAUUCAUCCAUUUUGGUCACACUGAGUUCACUAAGUUGAUCUAGGUUUUCCAUCUCGGUGCAACCAAUUUGAACUUUUCGGUCACAUCGAGUUGCAGUAACCGCUUGCGAUUCUGCAUCUCGGUGCCACCGAGUUGUUCCACUCGGUAACAUCGAUAGGGUCGGGAUAUAUAAACCCACAGGUGAGAUUUUGGAAAUUUCUUCAAACUCCUCAGCCCGCGUGUGUCCUGCUCUGCCUCCUCGGGUCUCCGGAUCGUCUCCUCGCCGCCAGCGACCUCCCGCCGCUGGUUUCCGUUGCUGUCAACGGAAUUCUCCUCUGCCGUUGUCGCCAUAGCGAACUCCCGCCGAACUAGGGUAUGGGUUCGACUCUUUGUGCUAUUUCCCUACUCCAAUUUGUAGCACAUUUCUUUUCCAUGAUCUUUACCACGUAUGAAAAUAAUCUAUCGAGAGAAAACAUCCUUUAGGUUAGAUUUGAUUCAAAAAUUUAGGGUUAGGUCUCCGCCGAACUCAUCUCAGACCAACCGAGUUGUAGAAAUCGGUCUCACCGAUUUGGCUUAGGCCAUUGCACAUGCUUUUUGGUCUGACUGAAAACGGCAAAUUGGUGCGACCGAUUUCGAAUCUCUGUGAAACCCUAGCAAUCUCGGUGCCACCGAACUGUGACUCGGUCUGACCAAGUUCACUAGUUUAGGUUCCAAAAGUUGCUUCGGUAUCACCGAGUUUAACAAAUCGGUAGCUCCGAAAUGCUUUCUGUGGAGAACUAUAACUAAGUUUUUGAGUCAUCUGUUUUGCAAAAGCUCUGCACUUUGUGAUGCUCAUCCACUCUACCUCAUCUAUAUCUAUUCACAGGGUUUGCUGUCAGUGUGAUUGCCAAGAUGUCUGAUCAAAGUGACAGCCAGAACAGAUCUGAAGAGCAAGUGCAUAUGAGUGAGGGCACUAAUCCCUCAAGCAGCUAUGAUGAGGGCAGCAGAAGCACACCAAGUAACUUGCCCAAGGUAGCCACUAGAACAAGGAAGAAGAGAACCUCAGACUCCGAGGAUGAGGACUAUGUGGCCAUUGAGGAUGAGGCCACCUCAAGGAAGAAAGUGCUGAAGAAAGAGUAUGGCAUAGCUGCUGCAACUAAGCCAGGGUUGCAUAAGAAGGCAACAGCAAAGAGAGUCCCAAUGUCAAAGCCAACGAAAGUUCCAACAGGAGAAACCAUGAAAUUCACAAUAUAAUCAGAUGAUGGUGAGGCAGUUGGUGAUGGCAAGAAGAAGAAGAGGGCAAGAACCACAUCUGCAAAAGUUCUUGGAAAAUCAACUAUGGUAAGAGAUUCAGAAGAAGAGGAAGAGGAAGAGGAUGCUGCACCAGCACCCAAGUCUCAGAAGCUUAUGGGAGAUGCUAUCAAGUCAGGGGCUGCUCCAUCAAAGCCCAAGACUGCUCCCAAAGCAACAGCUCAAACUCAGAAGCCCUCUAAGCCCAAGAGAAGCACCAGAAACAUUCCUGCAGAAGAGAGGAACAAGGCCUCAGUGCCUAAGGUUGAAGAAGAGGAUGAUGAAGCCCUAGUGCUAAGAAAACUGAAACCCAAGAUUCCAGACCACAAUGACACUCAUCCAGUGGCUGAGGACAUGCACAUCAGGAAAGAUGCAGGAUUGAGACUUUGGAGACAGUCUGAUCCUUAUGCUGCGACAAGGAGAACUGUUGUGGACUACAUGUUCCACACCAAAGAACAACAAGACUUCUAUGAGACUAUUCUGCUUGACAAGAAGCCAAUUGUCUGUGAAAUGAGAUGGGUUGAUUGGGAAUACAUCAAAGAGAAUGAAGAUCACUUCCCAGGUGUACCAGACAGCUUCAAAGCAAGUGGAGUUGAUAAGUUUGUAGGUCAGAAGCCCACCAAAUGGAAUGAUGAGCUAAUCAUGCAGUUUUACUCCACUGCUCAUUUCUAUCCAGAUGGGAGAUAGUGGGGAUGUCUGAAGGUACAAGGUACCAAUCAACUGUAGAAAAAUGGGCCAAGUUGAUCAAUGCCCCAGAAGAGUAUGAGGAUGAUUUGGAUGUGUAUGCCAAGAAGAAGAAAGACCACAACUCUAUGGCAAAUAUGUACAAAGAGAUCCCUGAUAAAGCUUUGGAGACACACAAGCUUGGAUCUGUGCACUAUUUGUUGUCUGGUCUACCCACUAUCAACACUAUCUUAAGGCAUACUCUGGUACCCAAAUCUGGAGAUCACAAGAUGAUCAGAGGACAUUCCAUCAACUUGCUGCAAAUCUUUGAUGUCCCUUAAAAAUUCAAGGUCGUGAGUCUGAUUGUUGAGACAAUCAAGAGGACAGCUGCUGACCAGAAGAGAUCUUGUGGGUAUGCUCCACACAUUCAGGUGGUCAUCAACUCAAAGAUGGGCACAGGGACUUACAUGUUGGACAAAGAACAUUUACCCUUGUAUCCAGAUUUUGAAGAUAAUGAAGUUGUCAUGAAUGAGAAUGAACCUUCAUCAGCACAAGCACAAGAGAAGAGAGCUAAAGCAAAGGCAGAAAAGGCUGCAAGGAUGCCAAGUGCCGAGGAAGCAUCUCAGGUGUCCCUGAAGAGCAAGAAAGAUCAGCUUAUAUCUGAUUCAAGCUACAUUGAGGAUUGAGAAGGGCUUGGCCACCCUGACUCAGAAUCAGGAGAGCUUGGAGAGGAUCAUAGAGACAAAAUAUUAUGAUCUUGAUCUGAAGGUCACUGAGAUACAGAGAGCAGUUGAGCAGCUCCAGGAGGAAGCAGGAGAGAGGAAAGGGAAGGCAACUACAGAUGCUUUUCGGCGAGUGCCAAGAGGUCAGAGGUCUGCUGCAGUGCCAGUAUCAGAUACUAGAGCUACAUCGUCAGCACCAAUAGCUACAGCUUCAGUGCCACCUCCAGCAGCCACUCCACCAGCUCCAGCUACAUCCACUGAUGCCUUCGUCCUUGGAGUUCUCUCUACUCCACCUCCUGAAGACCAAGCCUGAGAGACGCAUAGCACUAUGCAUUUUCGAACUUUUUGAUAACUUGUUGCCAAAGGGGGAGAAAUGUAUAGAUCAUAGGCUUCGAGAGAGAGUGUUUUGCUUCUUUGUCUCUCUUGAUUUUGGUUGAACUUUAUGGUGUUCUUGGUUGAUACUCUAUGUCUGUGUGAGAUACUUGUUUGAUCAUGGGUUUGAUCAUAUGCUACUUUAAUGCUUGCUUGGAUGGUAUUAUCUCUUAUAUCCCAUAUAUGUUCAUUCACUUUGCUUGGUGAUGAAUGCUUUCUUUUAAUUUCCACGAUCCUAAUUGAUUGUGCAUUUGCAUUCAAAAGAUGUAUGUGACAUGGAAGAGUAACCCAUGAUCCUAAUCGAUUGUGCAUUUGCAUUCAAAAGCCUAUUUUUAAUAAUGCACAAAUUUAGGGGGAGCUCUUGCUUAUCACAUACUUCUCAAAGCGACGAUGUAUUUCAAUCUUAUGAUCAUUUGUCAAAGCUUUGAUCUAUAUGUUUUCAUCAAUUAUCAAAAAGGGGGAGAUUGAAAGUGCAACUAUCCCUGGGUGGUUUUGGUAAUUCCUAACAACAUAUAGCUCAUUGAGCUAAUGAUAUCUCAACAUAAAUAUUUCAGGAAAGCUCAAUGAUUAGCAUCGCAUGGAUUAGAAAUGUGGACCCCUCAAAAUGCUAAGGACAAAAUAUUGGCUCAAGCUCUAAAGCUCAAGACUCUACAUUUUACUUUUAGUGAUCCAAGAUCACAUUGAGUCCAUAGGAAAAGCCAAUACUAUUAAAAGGGGAUGAGGUGUUGCUUAAUGGGUUGCUUGCUCAAAAUGCUUAGUGAUAUGCUCCAAACCAAAAGUCAAACUCGGCCCCACCGAAACAUUCUAUCCGGCGCCACCGAGUUCUCUUGACAUAGCCACUGUCACAAACCCUAGUCACUUCCGGUCUCACCGAUAGGGACUCGGUCUCACCGAGAUGGGAUUGCAAAAUCUUUGUUUCCCUUCGUACAUUUCGGUCCAACCGAGAUGAGCGAUCGGUCCCACCGAGUUUGCAAUGCAAACUCUCUGUUUCCCCUUCGUAACGUUUCGGUCUCACCGAGAUGAGUGAAUCGGUCCCACCGAGUUUGCCUGACCAACUCUCUGGUUAGCUUAUUACCAAAAUCAGUCCCACCGAGUUCGUGUAAUCGGUCUCAUCGAGAUUACGUUAUGCCCUAACCCUAACGAAAUCGGUCCCACCGAGUUGAAAUGUCGAUCCCACCGAAUAUCCUAACAUUCACAUUUUGAACUAAAUCGGUCUGACCGAGUUUCAUUAUUCGGUCCCACCGAGUUUGAUGAUUUGUGUGUAACAGUUAGAUUUUUUGUGGAGGCUAUAUAUACCCCUCCACCCACUCUUCAUUUGUGGAGAGAGCCAUCAGAACAUGCCUACACUUCCAGCAUACAUUUUCUAAGAGAGAACCACCUACUCAUGUGUUGAGGUCAAGAUAUUCCAUUCCAACCACAUAAAUCUUGAUCUCUAGCCUUCUCCAAGUUGUUUUCCACUCAAAUCAUCUUUCCACCAAAUCCAAAUCUGUGAGAUAGAGUUGAGUGUUGGGGAGACUAUCAUUUGAAGCACAAGAGCAAGGAGUUCAUCAUGAACACACCAUCUAUUACCUUUUGGAGAAUGGUGUCUCCUAGAUUGGUUAGGUGUCACUUGGGAGCCUCCGUCAAGAUUGUGGAGUUGAACCAAGGAGUUUGUACGGGCAAGGAGAUAGCCUACUUCGUGUAGAUCUACCCUAGUGAGGCAAGUCCUUCGUGGGCGAUGGCCAUGGUGGGAUAGACAAGGUUGCUUCUUCGUGGACCCUUCGAGGGUGGAGCCCUCCGUGGACUCGCGCAACCGUUACCCUUCGUGGGUUGAAGUCUCCAUCAACGUGGAUGUAUGAUAGCACCAUCUAUCGGAACCACGCCAAAAAUCUCCAUGUCUACAUUGCGUUUGCUCCCUCCAAACUCCUCCAUUUACCUUCAUGUGCAAUGUUUUACAUUCCGCUGCUAUACUCUUAGACUUGCAUGUGUAGGUUGAUUGCUUGACUAGUGCUAAGUUGCUAAAAUCUGCCAAGACUUAAAAUUGGGAAAAGGCUUGAUUUUUAUUUGGUCAAGUAGUCUAAUUACCCCCCCCCCUCUAGACAUACUUUCGAUCCUACACCAUUCCACUUGCCAGUCAAAAAUGAUGAGUCUAUGCUCAAAUAUGGACGACACCCUACCUUGAAGCCAUCAAUGCUAGGCUUCAAAGCCAUAAUAAACGUAUAGAAAAGUACUCUUCCAUCCUCUGUUACCUCAGUAUCUAUCUCCACAACACUCCCAGGUGACCUCUUCUCCACCUCUGCUUUGAAAUUAUAAAGCAUCCUAAAAGUAUUUGCCCAGUCACCAUAUAAUUGUUUCAUUGCCCUUUGUUUUGCCUUCCACACCGUGUUAUACUUCUCCUUAAUGGGGUAUUGCUUUCCAAGUAUACUUUAAGUUUCUUUGCAGUGGUGUUUGGUUUCUUGGCUAGAAUAGGAGUGAUCUUUUCUGCAAUCCAAAGCUGUGAUGUCAUGGUUGAUACUCUCGGUGAACUUGUAAUACAAGUAUGUUGGUGAGGGAUUUGAUUCACCCUAAUGGUACUUCCAUCAGGUUGGCGUCUAGCAGAUAUGUACUACUUGCAAGGCUUGACACUUCCAUCAAAACCUCUACACCUUGCAUAAAACUUCUUUCUAUCAGUCCACUUAGUCUUGGCACCAAACUCAUGUUUGACUGCAUAUGUCUUGAAACACAUCCUAAACUCAUCCAUGUUUGGGAACAACAUCCCCACUUCAAUAACAGGGUUUUCCUUGUCAUACACAUUUACCAACUCAUCAUCAUGUGCAUCAUCUACAUCAUCUGCAGCAUCUUCCAUCAGCUAUCCAUCCAGAUCUUCAGUUCUAUCUUUGUUAGCAUCAGUAUCAGUAGGCAUACUAGAUUCACCAUCCUUCUCCUCCUUAUCUUCAUCAGCUACUGGAAUGCCAAAUUUUUUGGCCAUCUCAGUGUCAUCCAUUGGUGCAAUGACUAAAUCAGUUGGGUCAUUUAAUUCUACUGAAUUCCAAUCAACAUAAACAACCCUUCCAACACCCUCAGAGCCAUCUUCUGCAUCACCCCCCUCAGGUAAUACUGUCACUUCACCUGUACACAUGGGCAUUAUCUGCCUCUCUGAAGCCCAAUCAUCAUCUACCAUUUGUGAAGCUAACUUUGAGGGCACAUAUCCAACCUUAGAAUCUGAUUUCAGAUCAACAAGCUAUGCAUGAAACAUAGUUUGUUUGGUUGUCCAGCCAUCUUGUUGAUCAAUUUCAUCAACCAUGUCUUCACCAUCCUCAAUUCUCACAUACUCUCCUUUCCAAUUAUCAAACCGUAACAAUGCUACCUCUUGCUCUGGACCCCAAAAAAUGCUCUCCCCAAUUUUUUUCCACCACAUUCUUCAUGGCCUUCUCUUCCAUGCUCUGUAGUUCUUGUGGAUCAAUCUCUGCAAAAUCAAUCUCCGGAUGCUACCAUCACCUAUGUCCCGCAUGCUACCAUCACCUAGCUUCGCCUUAGAAGGAAGGAAUUCCGCAGUGAAUUUGAACGUCCGAGCAACAUCCCCCCUAUUUCGGGGCAGUGUGAGGUGAGCUACCGGAAGCAGACGAGGCACAAAUCGCAUUCCUUGGAAAGGAUGCACAUUAAGGGAUUACCUUCUAGAUGUUGUUGUCUCUGGCGGCUCCAUCGCGUGCAGGCCCCCCUCCCACCCACCCAAAUCUGGAUCAAAUUGACCAAAAACACCAAAAAACAGAGGGAAAGAGAGGCGGUGAGAUCUAGCUCGACACGGAGGGGAACGGGAUAGGGUUCCUGAUUCACUCAACACAGCCGCCGCCGUCGCCGAGAACGAAAGCUCCUCUGCGCUGCUAUCACCGAGAACAAAAUCUCCGGCGCCGGCGCCGGCUCACCGCCAAGAACAAAGAGGGGGGGUACACGUUCAGAUAGGCAUGGGGACACGUUUCACCUGAUGCACUGCCAAGUGGGGCCCGCAACUAGAUGCACUGCCAAGUGGGAUCCACAUGUCUUAAACAUAACCUCACUCCCGUUGACGACCAGUUUAAUCGCCCGAGUGGACCUUGGCUAUUUGGGCCUCUGAAACAUAGUACUACAGUUAUUUUCGUCAACUAUGUCGCUUUCCUUCCAUUGCACCUCAAAUAUGUCGCACAGGAGCUAUUGACCCCUUGACUUGUUGCAGCUGGCCAUUUUCUACUACGAAACCAAUUUUCUAGGAGUAAAUAAAUAAAUGAACAACUACAGCAUACAUCAUAUGAGUUUCAGACUUUAUGAAGCCUGAAUGUUGAAAAAAUAAGAAAAAGAGACAACGUAAGGACCUCUGCUCUGUCGUGCCGAUGGAUGACAGAAGCUAAUUGCAGAUGGCCGGAGUUGCGACAUCAGCCUCUUCGAGACACGCGGAGACCUCCGUAUCUCCUCGAGCUCUCCUGCCGCGCGGGGCCGUCAGCGCCCAACAACCUAUGCGGUGCCGCCGCCGUCUGUCUCAUAGGGAACAGCAGAAAGGCCAUUUUCUUUCGGGUGCUUUGAUAAAAAAAAUCAUAUAUUACAGGUGGGUCCAGGACUACUUAUCAACAAUACAUCUCCUUCUCAAUGUAUCCGAAAUGGGGAUUUUGAAAUAUAUUAACCGGAGUCUCUGAAAUCUAACACACUAAAAUUCAGGAACCUAUGAAAACUGGUACAUUUCUUCAUCAACCAUCCUUCGAACCUCAUGUGGCAACGCAGAUAUCAGAGCAUGUGUGUCUUCCUUCUAAGACUUUUGCAUGUUGCCCCUCUAUGCUCCUUUUUUACGGCCAAUGUGUGGAAGGUCAUGUCCAUAACCUCAUUGAUAGUCAAAACAUAGACGAUGAUGAUUGUGAACAUCCGCUGUGGCUUCAGAUUGCGAUGAUGUUGCCUCAUCCCCCAAUUGUGUAGACACAGGCUCCCAUUACACAAAGGGAAUGGUGGGGCGAAUAGACUCGUACCUCUGAAGAGCGAGGAGAAGAUACAUGUAUUUGUUUUCCUCCAAUAUUUUAGAUGGGCCUAGGACAGAUUGAGAGGGGAGCAAAUCCGAAUUUAUACCACACUCACAUUGACAUCCCAAGAUGGUGGAGUAUAUAUAGAACUUCUAUACAUCUUGUUUUUAAUAGCUCAUUUUUAGGAAGGAAAAAAAUAAAUUGUUAUCAUGGGAUAUGUGUUGAGCAGGUCAUUCAAAAAUGUUUAUUUAAUCAUGUGACUGAAUACACCAGAAUCAUGUGAUCAUCCUACUUGCAUGUUUAUGUUAGUCUCCAACUUCCAAAGUAGAACCUAGUAUACAUGGUAUUCUAGUUCUCUCCUGUGUACCAUCACUCCAAGUCCAUUGCAUCAUGAAAGACGUGUGAAACGUGAGAACUGGCAUUGCAUGAUUCUUCUCCAUCUCUAUGUUUCAUCUGGAUAAAGGGUGUCAGAGUAGAUGAUGGGUUUAAUGGCAGAGAGGGGGGGGAGAGGGAGAGGGAGAGAUCUCAUUCUUGUAAAAUGUAAAAAAAAGGAAUGGAAGGAAAGGUCCACACUUAGACAAACUGAUUAGAUCCGUAAACUAAUUAGACCCGCAAAAAAAGAUGACGCUAUAAAUAUCUCAUAACAACAGAGGGAGAGGAAGGCCAUAGCUUUUAUUGUGUAUGGUGAGACCGGCUUUUCAACACCCGGGUGUCAGACACCCGGCUAUCAGGCCGUUCAGGCAAUACCUCUCAUUGGGAUAUGUGUCUGGUCCUGCACCACCAUUUUCAUUAGCAGGCAAGGUGAAUAGUAAAUGGAUGUGACAACAGAGAACGGCCAUAGAGCGGACGAGCUCGCCUGUGUUGAACAGCCUGUCACGUUACACAAGGUGCACCGAAGCAGGAGUAUUGAGCCGCACCAGAAGUCCCAAUAUAUUGGUAGAGAUAAGCUAGGUAGUUAGUUCAUAUCUAUCCUUUGUAACCUAUUCUAUCUCUUCUCCUUCAAGUCUCCUGUAAUAUCUCAACUUCUAACUUGUAUGUGCUUCAGGGAUUGCGCCCCUGCCUAUAACAUGCAACGCGUCCCCUCGCACCGAGGUAAAGACGUUUCCGCAUCUCGCACAUGGUAAUCAGAGCCAUCCUACUUCCCAUCUAGUUUUCUCUCGAUUCCAAUCGUGUCCAAAAAUCAUGUCUUCCUCCUCCGGCAUCUCUCACCCUAGCCUCAGUGGGCAGGUCAUUGAGAAACUCUCCCGCACGAACUACGUGCUAUGGCGCACACAGAUCACGCCACAAUUGCGUGGCGCCGAUGUCUUCAGCUAUGUUCAUGGCACCUCGCCGGAGCCGGCCAAGCUCCUCGCCGCCAAGGACAAGGACGGCAAGGAGACCUUCCAGCCCAACCCUCUCCACCCCAUCUGGGUCAGGGAGGACCAGCAGGUUCUCGGCUACCUGCUGAGCAACCUCUCCAAAGAGGUGCUCCUCAUGGUGACCACGAUCACCACGGCGCAGCCGCUCUGGACGACGCUGGCGGGCAUGUACUCGUCGCAGUCGCUUAGCCGCAUCAACAACAUCCGUACCUCGCUCAUCAAUGCGCAGAAGGGCAACCAGUCCGCCACCGCCUACUUUGCCUCCAUGCGCGGUCUCGCGGACGAGCUGGCAGCGGCCCGCAAACCCAUCCAGGAUGACGAACUCAUCUCGUACAUCCUCCACGGGAUGGAUCUGGAGUACCAGCCCCUCGUCUCCGCCCUCGACACCCGUGUUAGCCCCGCCUCCCUCGACGAAAUCUUCUCCAUGCUCAGCAACUUUGACCAGCGCAUGGCGCGGUUCCAUAGCUCGGGCGGCGGCAGAUUCAAGUCCUCCGCAAACGUCGCUACCCGUGGACGUGGCGACGGCUCUCGCUACCGCGGUCCUUCCCGUGGCAAGGGGAGGUCUGGUGGCGCCAGGACUAGCAGCGGUGGUGGGAUCAGUGGCGGUGGCAGGCGUGGCAACAAGGGUCGCCGUGGUGGCGACUCUGGUAGAACCCGCCCGGACACGCCGCGCUGUCAGAUUUGUGGCAAGCCGGGGCACACUGCCAAAGACUGUUGGUACCGCUAUGAUGAAGACGAGGACGACUCUCAAGAUGAUGGAAAGGUCGCUACGGCGGCUGAUGGCUCCUACGGUGUUGAUACCAACUGGUACCUCAACAGCAGCGCCACUAAUCAUCUCACCGGUGAGCUUGAAAAGGUGACUCUCCGUGAGAAGUACCACGGCAAGGAUGAGAUUCACACCGCCGAUGGUGCAGGUAUGAGAAUCAGUCACAUUGGUCAUUCGGUUAUACAUACCCCUCGUCGUAAAAUUCAUCUUAGGAAAAUUUUGCAUGUUCCUAGUGCCAACAAAAACCUCCUUUCCGUUCAUAGAAUUGCACUUGACAACCAUGUCUUCAUUGAAUUUCAUCCCUUUUUCUUCUUGAUCAAGGAUCAGGCCACGAGGAAAACCCUAUAUCGAGGUAGAUGUGUUCGAGGACUCUACCCGUUGCUUCCGGAGUUUAGAAGACACAAUAAACAAGCCUAUGCUGUUGUCAAGCUUUCUUCAACAUGGUGGCAUGAUCGUCUAGGAUAUGCUUCUUUUUCUUUAGUUGAACAUUUGCUUAGGAAGAAUAAGCUCAUGUUUGUUGGUGAGCGUCAUGUUGAAACUGUUUGUGAUUCAUGCCAAAGAGCAAAAAGUCAUCAAUUGCCUUAUCCUGUUUCUACUAGUGUUUCUACUCAACCUUUGUAAUUAAUCUUUUCGGAUGUCUGGGGUCCUGCUCCUUGUUCGGUUGGUAGACACACAUAUUACGUAAGCUUCAUUGAUGACUAUACCAAGUUCUCAUGGAUCUACCUUCUCAAGAAACGAUCCGAUGUUUUUCAAGUUUUUCAAAACUUCCAAGCACUCGUUGAAAGAAAUUUGACAGCAAGAUCAUUGCAGUCCAAUCUGACUGGGGGGGAUACGAAAAAUUAAAUUCCUUCUUCCAAACCCUUGGCAUACCCCAUCAUGUUUCAUGCCCUCACCCUCACCAACAAAACGGCUCUGCCGAACGCAAGCACCAACACAUAGUUGAAGUUGGUCUAGCUCUCCUAGCCGGUGCUUCCAUGCCCCUCAAGUUUCGGGACAAAGCCUUUCUUACCAUCGUCCACAUAAUCAACAUGCUUCCUAGUCGUGUCAUCAACAACGAAACUCCCAUGGAAAAACUCCUUCACAUCAAACCAGACUACAAGUCUCUCCGUGUGUUUGGUUGUGCUUGUUGGCCCAACCUUCGUCCAUACAACAAUUGAAAGCUCAUAUUUCGAUAAAAACAGUGUGUUUUUCUUGGGUAUAGUGCCCAACACAAGGGUGUCAAAUGUCUAUAUGUAUCCACUGGUCGCAUCUAUAUUUCACGUGAUGUUGUUUUUUACGAGACCAAGUUCCCAUUUGUUGACCUUCACCCCAAUGCUGGUGCACUCCUUCGCAAAGAGAUCCUACUUCUCCCUUCUCAUCUCACUAGUUUUGAUCAAGGGGGCGAUAAUUGUAAUGAUCAAGUGUUGACUGGCCCUCUUAAUACCACAUAUGAGCCUGGUGAUGAUGCAGGAGAAGGCACAGAAAAAAACAGCAGUCAAGAUGGUGAAGAAAUGCGCUCUACAGAGCCAUAUUUCAUGUGUCCAGGUGAAGGGAACAAGUCCCCUUCGGGAUCCGUGCUGCCAGGCGUGUCAGCCGCAUCAUCCUCAGGAGACCGCGCAGACGCGUCAGGGCGGCCACGCGAAUCUGCACCAGAAUCCGCGCCAGCCUCGUCAGGCGUGGUCGGGAGCGAGCCAUCGAGCGGCGACUCCGAGCCAGCCACGCGGCGCCCUGUGGCUGGGGAACACGCCUCCUCUGCUCCGCGCCAAUCACGCAUUUGAAUAUUCAAGCGUUUGAAUAUUUUUAAUAAAGUAUUGCAAAUGUUAAUCAAGCAAUUGAAACUUGUUAAGGCCUUGUUCGGUUUGGCAGGGUUUGAAGAGGUUUGAAAGGAUUGAAGGGGAUUAAAUCUCUUGCAAGUCAAAAUCCUUCUCAAACCUCGCCAAUCCCCUUCAAUCCAUGUGGCAAGGGGAUUAACCGAACAUGGCCUCAAUGUGUAUAGAAAAAAUGGUUGCCAUGUAAACAAAUAAUUAAUAAAAAAUAUACAAUGUGUAGGAAACGAAUGUUGAUGGUGUAUUUAAAAAUGUUGAUAAAUAAUUAUAAAUUUAUCAAUGUAACAAAAUAAAUUUCUCAUGUGUUCAACAUUUGUUAGUGGUCAUAAUACUUUUUGCGCGCACAAUGCACAUUUCUUUUAUAAAUCAAGAACAUUUUUUUACAUUCUUAAUAUUAUAAAAAUACAUAAUUACCUUUCUUAAAUACAUUUUUAUGGUGUCUACUUUUACUUAAUGUGCAUAUUACAUUUUUGUAUAACUGAUCAGCAUUUUUAUAUACACGUUUAACAUUUUAAAAAAUAUGAUCAAUAUUUUUCCAUAUGAACAAAGCAAAGGCAAUAAAAACCAACUAAAACCUAAAUAGAAACAAAUGAAAUAAAAAUAAAAAAUAAAAAAACACCGCAGAAAGAAUAGAAAACAGCAAAAAUCGAGAAAAAAGGAAAAAUGAAAAAAGAAAGACACAAAUAGAAAAUAAAGAAGAAGAAGAAGAAGAAGAAGAGAAAUAAAAGAAAAAACAUCUAAAAACCAAUAAAGAAACAGAAACAGAUCAAAGAAAACAAAGAAAGCUAAAAGAAAUGAAGAAAUACACAUUCACCAGUGACGCGAUCAUGAGCGGGCAUUUUUUUGUUUUGUUUUGAGAAAUGGACCUCCUAGUUGCUACACGAGAGAGUUAUUCCUUCCGGGUAAAGAAGCUACGAACUCGGGUGAAGCAAGACAUAGCUCUCGCGGGAAAAGAGAGCUCCUCGUUGGCGCGUUAAGCGAGGCGCACCUAUGUAUCGCUUGAUACGAGAUGAAACAUGCGACCGCUUAGGGGUCGCAAUACAUGGUUCGGCCCAGAUAGGUUCCAGGUUAGGUCAUCCUUUUUCAUGUGUUUCUACUUUUUUCGAAAAUAUUGUAAACAAAUAUAUACAAAAACAUAAAAAUUGUUACUAAAAAUAGGAGCUGCAAUUUGAAAAUGUUAAUGAAAUGUAUGUUAGCUUAAUUAAAAGAAAUAUUGGUAGCGUACAAAAAAUAUGACAUUUAACAAAUAUUCACGUGUUUCAAAAGUAGUAUGUGACUUUAUAACCAUGUAUUUCAAAAAUCUUAAAUUUGUAUGUAGACUCUUCUUUAUUUACACAAAAAAUGUACAAAUGUGUACGUAAAAAGUAGACAUAAAUGACAUAUAUUUGGAAAAUGACACUUCUGUAUUAGAAAAAUAUUAAAUAUGCAUCCAAAAUGUUCUUGAUGUAUAAUAAAUUGUACAAUACGUAUAAAAAUCUACAUAUAAACAAUUAUUUGAAACAAAAAAAUUAAUCAUGUAAAUUUGCCCGUCUCCGCGAGAUCAAUUUGUGGUUCCGAACAACGAGCUCGCUCAACGCAGAAGCCAUGGCGGUGGUUGAGGCGCUAGACAAGGAGGUAGUGUCAAGGUGUUUCCCUGGUAACAAGAGCAACCAUGGUGGUUCUCUAAAUAAUGGAGGAGGCAGAGUCAACAGAUCCCUCCAAGCAAUUCAAGUGGGCGGUGUUCAGGUCCCUUACCACAAUUUUCCUUGCGUCUGUGGAGGUGGUAAGGGUGUUACCGACAUCAAGAAGCAGUUCGAUGCUGAUUGUGAUUUCAGAUGAGGAGCUUGAGCUGCAGCGGGUGAAGAAGAAGGGCAUGGUGGUGAGUUUCCCACACGGCUCCGCCAGGCUCCAUGCCCUCUCCGCGCAGAGUAGGUGUCUCCCCGGAUGGUAGCUGCUUCUAGUUGGUGGCCGCGGAGGAUUGCGACUAGGCUGAUGCUGGAGAGGGUUGCCCGCCGGAUAUCUCAGGCAUAUUUCUAUCUGCUAAAUAUUUGCAUUCUGCUUCACAUAUUAGUGAUGGUAGAAAUGUUUUGGGUUGGAAUAAAAUUCAAUUGAAACUGAAAAAGAAACAACAUAAAUAAACACGUCCAGCUACAUGAUUCUAGAGUUUGUGAUUGGGAAAAUAAAGUUGAUGAAAAUUCGUCUUCUGUUUGUUAACCAUGUAUAAAAAUAUGCUUAUCAUGUGUAAAACAUUAUUUAGUGGCGCUAAUUGCUUUUGCACGCACAAUGCACAUUUUUUGUACAUCAAGUACAUUUUUUCUUAACAUUUUAUAAAUACAGAAUCAAUUGUUUAAAAAAUAUGCCGUCUACUUUUAUUUAAUGUACAUAGUAUAUUUUUGGUGCAAAUGAUCAGCAUUUUAAUAUAUACAUUUAACAUUUUUUAAACAUGUUCAAUGUUUUCCAUAAGGACGAAAAAGACAAAGAAACCACCUAAAACUGAAAAAGAAUCAAAUGAAAAAAUAAAAAUAAAAAAGAAAGAAAACCACCUCAAAAAGCAUAGAAAACAGGGAAAACCAUGAAAAAAAUGAAAACAGUGAAAACGAAAGAUACACAAAAAAUGAAAAAAAGGAUGAAUAAAUAAAAUAAAAAACAACUGAAAACCAAGAAAGAAACAAAAAAACAUGAAAGAAAACAAACAAGAAUAAUAAUAAAUCGAAUGGAGAAAAAAAUAAAAAUCGAUGGAAAAUAAAUAAACAAGGAAAACAGGCGAAGAAACAAAGAAAAAAAGAAGUAAACGGACCUUGCCAGUUGCUACGCGAGAGAUCUAUUUGUUCAGGCAAGAGAAGCUACGAACUGAAGUGAAGCGAGAUAUAGCUCUCGUCGCACACGAGAGUUCUUGGUCGGCGGAUUAAGCAAGACGGAGCGUGCAAUAGCUUUGGUGUCAGCUAUACAUGGUUCGGCCCAGAUAAGUUCCAGGUUAGUUCGUCCUUUUUAUGUGUUUCUCCUUUCUUUUGUUCUUAUUUUGAAAAAUGUUGUAAAUAAAUAUAUACCAGAACAUAAAAUUUAUUUAAAAAUAUAAAAAUGUUGAAUGUGAAUGUACUAAAUAUGUUAGCUUAAUUCAAAAAAAUAUAGGUAGCGCACAAAACAAUUGUGACAUUUAACAGAUAUUCACGCGGUUCAAAAAAAGUAUGCAACUUUAUAACCAUGUAUUUCCUAAAUGUUAAACGUCUAUAAAAAAACUCUUCUUUAGUUACGCAAAAAAUGUAGAAUUGUGUAUGAAAAAAGUAGACAUCAAUAACAUAUAUUUGAAUUAUGUUACUUUUGCAUUUAAAAAAUGUUAAACAUGCCUAAAAUAUGUUCGUGAUGCCUAAAAAAUGUUGCGAUGAGGAUGGCUGUCAUCUCGCACCCGCCGACUGCUUGAACAGCUAGCGUCGCUGAGCUUGAGGAACCCCUUGUAGGGACCAAAGCAGACAACCUUGACGUUGCUGGCCUCCGUCGGCAUAUCAACAAAGCGCGACGCUUUCACUGUCGGACCAAAUCAGAGAUGGAUUAGGUCUAAAAUAUAUAUUUCUUGGUUAAAGGAAAAACAUGUAAUAACUGAACUCGCACUUAAGAAUUAAUCAACAUGUUGAUUCCACCGAAGCAUGCAUGCCUCCUGGAUGCUGAAACACGACUCACUGACUAUAAAAGCAGAGGACUCACUGACUAAGUACAGGAGCGAGUGACCGACUCUCGGCUCGGGUGAGGAUAAAAAAGAUCACCUGCUGCUGCUGGUUAUUGGUAAAAUCCAUGUGAGUGCUUGAUAAAAAAUUAUGGAACAUUGUAUAUGUUGUUACACAUAAAUGUUGGGAUAAAAAGAAUCAUCUUGGUACACUGCCUAGUCUUUUGGUGGACAGAAGAUUGUAUGGUGCAAGAAGCUAUUCAGAUACAACAACACUGGGCUACAUGACAGGAAUGGUGUACACGCCCCAAGGGCCAGCAGGCAGCAGCAAACCAGGUCAAGAUGAGAUGGUCUGGGCCUAGGAUGUUGAUUCAGAGAUGCCUGACUCGACGCCAAGCAGCAGCCACCCUACACCGCAGGCCCCGGCAGUUCUCGACCGAGAGCGACUGCGGCACAGUUCAGUUGUAGAAGCAAUCACAUGCCAUUCCCCCAGCAGAGCAGAACAGAGCAGAGCAACAAUCAGGGAUCAGGCCUGUCAUUGAAUAGAAGCUGAAUGACCUUCAGCUUCAGCUCCGGCAGGCCUGCCUCCGCUCACGGACUAGCCUCGGUAUUUCCUUCCAUGUCUUCGGUUUCAAUGGUUUGAAUUCCGUUACUGCACAUACCAAAAACGAUGUCAGAAAAAGCUUGCACAAAUUAAUGUGUUAUAUCAAAAUAUAUAGCAUGAUGGCAUUCAAAUAAUGGAGAAGAAACUUCUGCAAACGUGUUAGACCAUUAUGUACAAGGGAUGGAACGGAUGACUGCAUCUGUUUGUUAAAUGUGGCAAAGAUAGAAGGACGUGCUGCAAGCAUACCUUCAUAGCAGGCAUCUAGUCGUUUGCGGCUGAUGCUGCCCAGUUGCUGCUGCAGGCAUCUAGGGAGCUUCUUUAUAGCAGGGCAGCCUCUAAUUUGAAGAUACACGAGAGACCUGUAUACUUGCAGCUCAUUCGGCAGGGAUGCCAGGGUACUGCAUCUGUCAAGAUAAAGGACAUCCAGCGAUGGGGGGUGCUCUCCCGACAGACACUCCAGCGAUGUCAGCCCACUGUUUCCCAUAAUCUGCGGUCCCUUGAGGGGUGCAGGUAGACGGAGAGUCCCACCCAACAUGCCAGCACAGUCCACUAUUACUAGAGAUUCGAGAUGGGGAGGAAGUAAAUGCUCUCUUGCAGUUGGUGUUGCUGCUGCUGGUGGCUGUGGCAUGAUAGGACUUCUGCUUAUGGAGGUAGUGACUUCUGGUUUCUGGAGCCCACCCAGCUGGCAUGAUAGGACUUGAAUACUACUACAGCUAGCAAUACGAAUGUACUUUAAAGACGGAGGAAGGUUCAGAACCGCUGGUAAGCUUCCACAUCCAGAUAAAAGUAGAUCUUCUAGGCAUGGACAAAAGUGAUUCAUGGGUGAGGAUGGCAACUCUGAUACAGCUGCAGCCCUGAUUGCCUCACUGCUAGAAGAUACUUGGACUAACUCUGCCAUGCCCUGCUGCUUGCUGAAUAUGGAGUCAAGCUUAAUGCACCUAUCAAAAUUCAUUUUCUUGAGAGAUGCCGGGACGUUGAACAUCUCUACUAAACUUGGGCAGUUUUCUAAGCAAAGAGACUCUAGACCUCUCAGGUGCUGACUCCUUUCGGACGCCAAUGGCUCAAGAGGAGCUUGUGCAUAUCCAAUCAGAUUUUCACAGUUUGUAAUCGCCAAGCUCCUCAAGGACACCAAGCUUUGGAACACUUUCUCUGGCCAGUGGACGAGCACAUCGCAUCUAUCAAUUUCCAACUUUUCAAGAUCUACAAAAUACUCACACGGCUCUAAUGCACCCGAUCCAAAGAACAAGUUGCAGCAUCUUAGCUCCAUAACUGUAAGAGGGGAUUUCUGGUUCCAUUUCUCCUUGCUGUCCACCAAUACAAUUGAAGUGCACUCAACCUCUGAUGUUGUUUCUGUGUUUUCUAGCUUCAGUAUCAGAUUGGUCAAUGAGGGCAAAUAUCUAUCUACAGAAUCGGAGAUCUCUUGCUUGCCAUCUUCAAUUUCUAAUACACUGAGUUUUGGUGCUUCAGGCAAUGCUACCAGUUUUGGGCAUUUCUGGACUGACAAUUUCUCAAGGUGGGGAAACAAUGUACCUUCGACUGCAUCCCAUCUCUGAAAGCUCCCCAACCAUUUCAUUUUGAGCACCUUUAAGGCAGGAAAGGCUGAACGUACCAAUCUAUAACCACCUUCACUACAUGGUUCUUGAAGCAAUGGUGCUUCAGGUAACGCUGUCAGCUUUGGACAUUUCUCAAUUGAUAGUUCCUCCAGACAAGGAAACACUAUCUGUUCUCCUUGAGUCUCUUCGACUGCAUCCCAUCUCCGAAAGCUCUCCAACUCUUUCAUUUUGAGUACCUUUAGGGCAGGAAACGCUGAGCGUACCAAUGUAUAACCACCUUCACCACAAGGUCCUUGCAGCAAUGGUGCUUCAGGUAAUGCUACCAACUUUCCACAAUUACUAAUAAACAACUUCUCAAGCACAGGAAAUAUUGUUUGUUCUUCUUGCCUCUCAUCUAUUUCCCACCAUCUUACAAAACCCAACAAACGUUCUAGCAUUAGUACCUUCAGUUUUGGAAAAGUGAAGCUUGCACUGCAUCUGAACAAAACUUGCAAUCUUUCACAAUGGAAAAGAUGGAUCUCAACCAUGUUUUGCAGCAUACCCAUGCACUCUCCUCCAUAGGAAUAUAUCUUCAGAACCUGCAACCCACCAUGUGGUUCGAAAUUGUCGAGCACCAUGCUGUCACAAACAGAAUUCCAUCUUAAUGUCAGUUCUCUGAGAUCCUUCUUGUUUCCAAGGUUUGCCACUUUUGCCUCUGCCUCUAUAACAUUCUCUAUCUGACAUAGCUCUAACUGACCACCAAGGUUUAAAUGCUGCAGCUCUGCAACAUCACUGCAAUCAGUGCCAGUAACUGCUGCUGCAAAAAAUGUAAGCGUCUGCAGCUUAGUGAGUUUUCCUAGUUCUGGUGGCAUGCUCUUCAAGUUGCGACAUCCAAGAGUGUAGAGGUGACGGAGGGAAGUCAUAUACUUCAUUUGCCUCGGAAGUCGAUCAAGAUGAUAGCAGUUGGAAAGGUCUAACGUUUGCAGGUUAUAUAGAAUACUUAUAUCUUCAGGAAGUGCUUUGAUAUCACUGUCUGAGAGAUCAAGGUACCUCAGGUGAUACAGAUACAUUGAUUUCAGAAGAAAUGAUUCUGUGCCUCUAAUACAGAGCUUUAAGGCAUGCAAAGAGCUAUAUUUUGAUAGAUGCUUCAAUGAGCUUCGCACAUGGCUAUCACAUAUCAGUGUUUGAAUGGCAGGGGAUUUUUUCUCCAGAGCAUCAUUCAAAAUACCUUCUGUUUCUUCACAUGACAAGAACAAAUGCCGAGCAGUAUCUGGAAGCCACUCGGUUUGCCUUGGUUCCAUAGUUGCAACAACUCAUUCCUCUUCCAUAACAGACAUUGCAAUAUCAUGCAUAAGAUCAUGGAUUUUACAUGUAUUUCUGGAAUAAUACUCCCAGUCUUCUUUACUCUUCUCUAUAUCCAGAAAGAAUGACCUUGAAGCAAGCUCAUCAAAAAUAAGUUGUCCAAUGGUUUCAAGACUAUCUUCCUUGUGUUCAGGGAUAAAGCCAUUUGUGAUCCAUAGUUGGAUCAGCUUUGCUACAUCAAUCUUGUAAUCCUUUGGAAAUACAGCACAAAAAGCAAAGCACUGCUUCAUGUGCGAUGACAAGUCAUUGUAGCUAAGCUUCAAUAUUGGCAAGAUUCCAGUUUCCUCAGUGCAAAUGCUGCUUCUAGAUGCUAUAGCCUUCCAUUCUUUCACGGUGGUCUUGGUACGAAGUACAGAGCCCAGUGCACUUGCAGCUAAAGGAGAGCCACGACAUCUGUUCACAAUCUGAUCAACCAUCUUGACUAGCUCAACAGGCUUUUUUUUUCCGGAACUGAAUGCUCGAGCCUCAAUAAUUUCCUUUAAGAAUAUAUCAUCCAAACGACCGAGAAUGUGGGUAUCUGCACCCAUAAUUUCAGCAACUCCUUUAUCACGAGUUGUUGUCAGCACCGCACUACCCAUGACACCAUGCUUAAGAUGGUCCUUCAGCCUUUCCCACUUAUGGACUUCUCUGUUCCAGACAUCAUCUAAUACAAGGAGAUACCUCUGCCCGGUGACCAAUUUCUGAAGUCUCUCUAGUUGUGGUUUGUUUGUAUGAUAAUUUUUCUUGGGAGAUGCUUCAACUAUACUCUUGGCUAGGGAGUUCACAUCAAAGAUAUCCGAGACACAGACCCACAGCAACAACUGGAAAUGCUUCUGAAUUCUAGGUUCAUUGUAUAUGAGCUGUGCUAAUGUGGUCUUACCAAAGCCCCCCAUUCCAACGAUGGCAACCACUGCGAGAUCAGCACUAUUAGCUUGGCGAAGUAGUCUACCAACAACUUCCACCUUAUCUUUGUCUCUGGAUCUGCUAGCAAUGUCUUGCAGGUCGGUGAUAACAGAAUCCGUCUGCCUCCACUGCUUGGACACGGGUGGCUGUGGUCGGUACUUGAACCUAAAGGCAUGCAUCUCUGCUAUGAGCACAUCAAUGGCCUUCAGGAUCCGGCAAAGCUUGCGACCCAUUUUGUAACGGAACACAAUACAGUUGUGAGUAGGGAAGAGUUUAAUUACAUCGAAGCCGAGCUUGCUGUAGUGCCCCUUCUUCCUGGCUUCACGACGGAGUGCUUCGUACUUGAAUUCGUCAAACACUUCAUUUGCCUCAUAUGCCACCGUCUUGAGCUCCUGGAGCCAGGUUUUGGCCCCAUCUCUAUGCUCCGUCGCCUGCUUCUCGGCGUCGGUCAUGACGUCGAGGAUGGCCGGAAGCUUGCGUUUGAGAAUCUUGUGCUGCUCCUCCAUUCCCUCCAUCACCUUGUACUGGUCCAGGAGGGAGUUGCCCGCCUUGUUCACCAGCAUGGACACCAGCGGCCGGAUGGCCAUGGCGGCCACCACCUCCGCCAUUGGAACGCCCACACGAUUGGCACAGCAACACGAAGCAGUGUGGAAUGGAGAAUGGAAUGGUGUGAGCAAGACGUGCUUGCUUUGCUAGUAAUGAAACUGGAAGCCAAGGUGAGUAUUGACUUUCUGGGAGCGAAGUGGAUGAGCUCGCGUUACGGGAACCAAUCACAACUAUCCAAUCCUGAACAGCUCAGCACUGGGCAUUGUUUUUGGGCUGAUGCAUAAUAGGACAAUCAGCAUACCACAUUAACAGCUGGGGGCAUCUUCAUUUCUUAAUGAGACACAACCAGAGUGCAAGACGACGCGGGCAACCAUAAUAUUGCAAGUAGAUCAUUGUAUUAGGUAUUUGUGUCAGUACAUCCAAUCCAGUUUUUCAAAAGUGACGUUUCACUGGCUGUGACCUUAGCAGAUGGUACGAAUUUCCUUAACAAAUACAAAGAGUUGCAGGAAUGCAAAUUAAAUAAUUACUUCCACUGGCUAGACGUGUGACAGCACACCUACUGCCUAACUACAGCAUAUACUUAUCUCAAGUGCCUGCCGCCCAGGGAGACCAGAAUAAUGGUGUUCUUGGAUUAGUUGAACCUUCAAUGCAUCACUACUUAUCACCGAAGCAUUAUUUUAUUGUUCUUUUUUUUUUGGAAUGGCCUCUAAGUAUGAUUGAGUACAGGAUUGAUCUCAGAGCAAACAUAAUCGGCUGGCAGAGAAUUAUGUCUUGUUCAUAUAGUCUGAUGCAAUUUUGUGGUUACACACUCCUCAGUUUUUAUAACUAAAUACAGAAUUUUAAUCUGUUGACAGAUCAGACAAACGUAGAAACAGUUAGCAAGAGCCCCAAUGAGAUUAUAUGCAGCAUCAUUUUAAUCGGAAAGCAAUUGCCCUCAUGAGAUCAGCAACCAUACACAGUGCCAAUAAAAAAAGGUGGCUCGUACUAACGACGCAGGUUUCAAAUUAAUCAAGUGGCUAAACCGAGGCAUCGACAGCCAUAUGGGACAAUGUGCACUUCAGUUAGAAAAUGAACACUUGCAGGCAGUAAAAUAAUUUAUGUCAGUACACCCACGAUAUUGCAAAUAGAGUAUUAAUUACGUAUUUGUGUCAGUACAUCCAAUGCAGUUUUUCAAAAGUGACGUCCCAUUGGCUGUGACCUUAGCAAAUGGUACGAAUUUUCGUUCUAAGUACUACAAAAAGUUGCAGGAAUGCAAAUUAAACAAUUACCUCCCAUGUCUAGACGUGUGAGAGCACACCUACUGUGCAACAACAAAAUAUAUUUCAUCUCGGGCACUUACCGCACAGGGAGGACCACAAUAUUGGUUUUCGUGAAUCUAAAAUACAUCACAUGCUUCCUGCUGAAGAGGGAAGACCCGGUGGCAAGUGGUUAAUUUCUUGUCCUUUUUUAAUGACACCUCUAACUAACAUUGAAGGGGCAUGAUUGAUCUCAGAGAUGAGCAUAAUAAGCUGGCAGAUGACCAUCCCUUGCUCAUAUGGACAAAUGAUACACUUAAUAUACUGAUAUGAUAAAAUACAACUUGACAAUCUCCUGAUAUUCGACGAUGAAAGAUAUGUAUGAGUAUGCGAUUCAAUUUGGUGGGCUUAAUAUGUUCCGUUAUUGAGAGACAGUGAAAAGCGGAAUAAAGGGCAGGGUGGAAUUCUCUAUAUCAGGUUAAGGAGAUCGUCUUAACUAACUAAAAUCAGAUGAAGCCUAACUUUGCAACCAUACGACGGAAGCAACAAAAAUAAAGACAGGGAGCCAGAACAGAACAAAGAUAAAUUCCAGUGCCCUUUUAUUGAUCACUGCCUAUGGCCAUAUAGAUGAGAUCUGGGACUCGGCCAGCUGAAACAUUCCUCUAGAAAGCACAUUUCCGCUGAUGCACAUAUGAAAUACGACAGUACAAAGCAGAAUAAACACUGAGAUUAUACAGAUGAUUGGACGCUGUAACUAAGUUGGAUAUCGCGGCGCGCAUAGGCGGAAAUGAGAGAGAAACGGAAUGUCCAAAGCCACAAAUGUACAUCGCUGUCAGGCUACCCAGCUGAAUCCUGCUUCCUGCUGACCCUCCUGAUUCACGCAGACGCAGCUAGCAUGGAGAUGGGCACGCCUCUCGAAUUCAUGUGAAUCGAAUCGCUGGAAGAGACGGACGGACAGGAUCAAUACCUUUGUGUCGACGGGGAGGGGAGGCCGGAGUGGCUGCCGUCGACGUACGGCGCGCAGCCGACGGGGGAGCUCCGGGACCUUCUUGUCGACACCAUCUGCAAUGGAAGUAAAAAAGAGCUGUUAGAAGAGGAUACGAGAGAGGCUCACGGUAGGAAGGAAUGGGGAAGGGGGAUGAGUGAGUACCUCGAGCGGCCGCGGUGGUGGUGGGCGGGCGGAUGCGGAGGGUGGGAGGGAGGCUGACACCUCCGCCGCCACAGACGUACGUGGAGCGGCCACGGGCGUUGCGUUCUGGUAGAGGCCACGGGCAGUGGGGUCCGGGAGACGUCGUGCGCCGGCGAGGAGGACGGGGAAGGGGAGACGAAGACGACGCGGAUCGGCGGAGUGUGGGCUGGGCUUGUGACGUUGGGGCCUCCGAAAACUAUAGCCCAGUUCGAAUUGGUGCCCUAACACACACAGCGCUUACGUCGGCUAAAUCCUAUUUGGCGCCUUCAGCGCCCGCUAUAGGUCUUUCGGCCGGCCCAGUUUCGACAUUUUUUCUGUGUUUCCAAAAGGCAAAAAGGGCGCUAGAGCUGGGUAUCGAAAACGCUACAACCACUCAACCACACCCCUUGGUGUGAUUGGUUACAUGUUUUCUCGUCUUUUCUUAUGCUUCUUUUCCUUUUUAUUCCUUUUUUUCUUUCUUUUUUCAAAUUCGCAAAACUGUUUCUUCAUGAAUAUUUUCUGCAAAUCGAUGAACUUUUCUCUUUGAAUUUGAUGAUUUUUUUCGAAAAAUUUGAUGAACGUUUUUUCAGAUCCGAUGAACUUUUUUUUGAAUUCCAUGAACUUUUUUCAAAUUCGAUGAACUAUUUUUCGAAUUCAAUGAACUUUUUCUGAAUUCGAUGAACUUUAUUUCGAAUUCAAUGAACUUUUGAUCGAAUUCGAUGAACUUUUUUAAAUUUGAUGAACUUUUUCAAAUUCUGAUGAACUUUUUGAAAGGACAAGAGUACAUACCGUAGCAAAACGGUUUGUUUUUUCCAAGAAAAUCAGUACACACUGUAGCAUUUUUUGAGCGAGAGAAAUAAAAAAGUGAUCGAGCGGUAGCUAGCGACCGAGCGGCGACAGCAGCGAGCGUUGCUGGGCCAGGCCCAUGCAAGCGACGCAGUGGGCGCCGUGUUCACUCGCUCCACCUCUGCAUUGAUGUCUCUAGCUUGUAGCAAUUGCCAUCCUUUACAUGUAAAGAGGAUUUGAUGAGUCAUGUCAUGCUCUAUAGGCGUCAGUUCAUCUUAUCACCUUAGAGGAAAAUACAAAGUUAGUUUUUCGAAAAGCAACCGAGCCUAGAAGAACCGUACCCUCGACACGCAAGGCUUUAGCAUAUCUUAAUAGCCGAGACACGAUUGCGACUUGGUUCCACACAAGUUUCGUCUUUCUUGUUAAUGGCUGACAGCCCAUACAAGAUUCCAAACUCGGUUGCAAAAGUGAUACUAUCCUGAUAAGUGCGUGACAUGUAAAGUGAAUAAGGUGAUUCAUCUAUAGCAAACUUUAGGAUUUCUAUACUUUGUGUAUAAUCAUAUGCACAACUAAAAAGCAACUUUGAUGAUCAAUCCAAAAGUACGCUUGUAGCUAGUGCAACCUAACACAAUGUACCAAAAAUCCAUUUCAGAAACAUCCAAACAUAAUUAUUAAAGCUGAUGGAAAGAAGGAAAGAGAUGGUGCCCGGGCUACUAUAAAUAGGCAUGAAGUAUCAAGAUCAUCACAGGCACAAUCAUCAAAACCAAGCAAUACUAGUUAACACCAAUCCACCAUGAAGACCUUCCUCAUCUUUGCUCUCCUUGCCAUUGCGGCGACAAGUGCCAUUGCACAAAUGGAGACUAGCCGCGUCCCUGGUUUGGAGAAACCAUGGCAGCAACAACCAUUACCACCACAACAACAACCACCAUGUUCACAGCAACAACAACCAUUUCCACAGCAACAACAACCAAUUAUUAUACUGCAACAAUCACCAUUUUCGCAGCAACAACAACCAGUUCUGCCGCAACAGCAACCAGUUAUUAUACUGCAACAACCACCAUUUUCGCAGCAACAACAACCAGUUCUACCACAACAACCACCAUUUUCACAACAACAACAACAACAACAACAACAACAACCACCAUUUUCGCAGCAACAACAACCAGUUCUACCACAACAACCACCAUUUUCACAACAACAACAACCACCAUUUUCGCAGCAGCAACAACCAUCUUCACAACAACCACCUUUUCCACAACAACACCAACAGUUUCCACAACAACAAAUCCCUGUUGUUCAACCAUCCGUUUUGCAGCAGCUAAACCCAUGCAAGGUGUUCCUCCAACAGCAGUGUAGCCAUGUGGCAAUGUCGCAACGUCUUGCUAGGUCACAAAUGUGGCAACAGAGUAGUUGCCAUGUGAUGCAACAACAAUGUUGCCAACAGCUGCCGCAAAUCCCCGAACAAUCCCGCUCUGAGGCAAUCCGUGCCAUCGUCUACUCCAUCAUCCUGCAAGAACAACAACAGGGUUUUGUCCAACCUCAGCAGCAACAACCCCAACAGUCGGGCCAAGGUGUCUCCCAACACCAACAGCAGUCGCAGCAGCAGCAGCAACUCGGACAGUGUUCUUUCCAACAACCUCAACAACUACAACAAUUGGGUCAGCAGCCUCAACAACAACAGAUACCACAGGGUAUAUUCUUGCAGCCACACCAGAUAUCUCAACUUGAGGUGAUGACUUCCAUUGCACUCCGUACCUUGCCAACGAUGUGCGGUGUCAACGUGCCGUUGUACAGCUCGACCACUAUUAUGCCAUUCAGCAUUGGCACUGGAGUUGGUGGCUACUGAUAAGAAAAGAUUUCUAGUAAUAUAUAGUCGUUAGAUCACCGUUGUUUAGUCGAUGGAUAUGUCGAUGUAGCGGUGACAAAUAAAGUGUCACACAAACGUCAUGUGUGACCCGCAAACUAGUAGUUAAAUUCUGGAAUAAAAUACAAAUAAAGUUUUCUCUAGACAAUGUUCAUACCGGCGUUCUGUGGACGUCGAUGUGACUACCAUGCUUGCAAGUUCAUAAGUUCGUCUUGUCUGGUCACAAACCUGGUGCGUUAAUUUAUUAUUCAUGUAUAGAAAUAAUCAAAAUUUAAAUAUAAUAGUGUUAUUGUAAAAUUUUGGUUGAGUUGAAGCAAGGACUAACAUACAACUCUUUAAUGGUUGGAGAUUCAAGAUCUUAUUUUUAUUGGUUUGUAUCUGGUUCCAACUACCACCAUGGUCUACAGUGACAACCACAACUGGUUUGAUCGUUAACUCUCUUUGCUUGGUUUUUUUGCAAAUAUGUUCAUUGAUUCUUUGCACAAUUUUUUUGUCAAGAAAAAGGUCAGCUUUUGCUUGAACUUCACACACACACACCACUACAUAGUUAAUUCGAAAUAAGUUGCUGGUGAUGUCCUAGACCAGCUAGCACAGUCAGUGUGUGUGGGGAGGGGGAGUUGUUGCAUGCGUAUUCUUCGCGCAUUAUUUUAUUUUGUUCUUUUGAUGCUCUUACACCAUACCACAUUUUUACUUGAUGGAAAGCAAAAUAAACAACGCAGCUAGAAACCAUAGAACUUGAUACUGGGUGUGUGUCAACUUCACAUCCUCCUCCUUACGUCAUUUCAAUUGGAAAGCAAUAGCCCUCAUGAGAUCAGAUAUCCAUACAUAAUGCCAAAAUAAACAAGGUGAUGGCAUUAACGAUGCAAGUUUUAAAUUAGUCAAAUGGCUAAACUGAGGCACCGGCAGCCAUAUGAGACAUCCACGAGCAUGUAAUCCAUCUUAUUGCAAGUAGAGCACUGUAUUAUGUAUUUAUGUCAGAACAUCCAGUGCAGUUUUUCAAAAUGACGUUCCAUUGGCUGCAACUAGCAAAUGAUACGAAUUUUCUUUCCAAAUACUACAAAAAGUUGCAGGAUUGCAAAUUAAACAAUUACCUCGACUGACUAGACGUGAAACAACACACCUGCUGUGCAGCAACAACAGAUAAUUCAUCUCAAGCACCUACCCAGCAGGGAUUAGUUCUCGUGAAUUCAUGGAAUUUAGAAUGCAUCACAUGCUUACUGCUGAAGAGACAAGACCCAGAAGCAAGUGGUCACUUUCUUGUCCUCUUUAAAUGACACCUGUAAUUAAGAUUGAGUACAUCAUCGAACUCAGAAGUGACCAUAAUCUGCUGGUAGACCAUUAUUUCUUGUUCAUAUGAACAUACAUAAUACUUAAUAUACUGACAUGAUACAAGGCAACUUGACAAUCUCCUGUUAUUCGAAGAUGAAAGAUAUAUAUGAGUAUGCGAUUCAAUUUGGUGAGCUUAAUAUGUGCCGUUAUUGUGAAACAGUGAAAGACUGAAUAAAGGGACAUAUGGAAUUCUUUUUAUCAUAAUAACGAGUUUCUAAACACAGAACGAAAGCAACAAAAAAUAAAGACAGAGCGCUAAAAUUUCAGAGAAGUUUUUGAAGAUAUAAAAUGCAGUGCCCUUUUAUUGAUCACUGCCUAUAGCCAUAUAAAUAAGGUCUGGGACUCGGUUCGCUGCAACAAGCCUCUAGAAAGCACAUUUCCUCUGAUGCACAUAUGAAAUUUGAGAGUAAAACAUAAAAACGCCGAGAUAUACGGAUGAUUUAAUGAUGUAACUAACUUGGAUAUCCUUCUAGUGACCACGGAAUGGACAAAUUUUCUUCCGAGACGUCGAAAAGGGAUGGAACCUCCACACCCACUGCUUCUCCUUCACCUGCAUAGCGUGCGUAGGCGGAAAUUUGAUGAGUAUUUGAAGUGACAUCCACAUAGAGCAGGAGUUAUUCGGCUAGCAAAGUGCAAAUGUACAUCACUCUCAGGCUACAAGACUGAAUUCUGCUCGAUGAUCUUCCUGAUUCAUGCAGCGGAUAUGCAAAUGGGCGUGCCCCUUAAAUUCAUGUGAAUCAAAUUGCAGAAGAGACGGACAAACAGGGUUAAUAUAUACCUUAUUUCUUGUGUUGACGGGAUGGCUGGAGUGGCUGUCGUCGAUGUACGGCCCGCACUCGACGAAGAGCUUGAAGACCCUCUUGCGAAGACCAUCUGCGAGAGGAAGCAAGAGUUGAGGUCAGAAGAGGGUACAGUAGAGGUUGAGGGUGGGAAGGAAGGCAUCAACACUAGUAGAAAAAGGGCCUAAUGUGAAGCACAUUAGUCCCGGUUUGUAACAAAACCGGCACUAAUGUGUCCAUUAGUGCCGGUUCCAACGGCUAGGCGGGUGGAGCUAAAUUAGACUGAAUUGAACUUGUUCUUUAUAACUAGCUUGGGACAGAAAAAUUACUAUGAAAUGCACUUGAUUAUACUUGAUUUUAUGGGCUACAAAAAAUAUCAUCCAAAAAUGCUCUAAAAAACACGUUCUAAAGUAGGUUUGGCAGGAGAUGCGGCACAUUAUCAUUCAGAAAUUAGACCAAGAUAAAUGUGGAGUUGGCGGCUCAACACUCUAUAAGACUGUAACAGGUUGUCCCAGUGUCUCAGUCCUUUAGGACAUAGAUCCAGAAAAUGUAGAACUAACAUAUUAGCGGUUAGGAUCAUAUUUGCAAUGUGGGAACUUGGUGCGCUCGCUCCAACAUGCCUAGUGGAAGCAUGUGUCCUCUGAUGCACAUAUGAAAUAUGACUGGUACAAAACAUAAGAAACACUGAGAUUAUACGGAUGAUUGGAUGCUGUGGCUAACUUGUGCGUCGCUCCAGUCAACUGAGUGGACGAACUCGCUAAGAGCUUUCUUCUCGGAGAUCAAAGGGGACGGAACUUCCUAAGAGCUUUUGAUUCAACCUCCAUGCUAACUAACUACUUCUCCACCUGUUUAGUGGGCGUAGGAGAAAAUUUGAUGAGUAUUUGAAGUGACGUCCACAUAGAGCACAUAGCUAUAUUCAGUUAGAAAAGCCACAAAUGUACAUCACAUCCAGAUUAAUGGAGGUGGAAUGUGAAUGUGUGUGCCCUUAAAUUCAGGUGAAUCAAAUCGCAGAAGAGCCAGACGAAUAGGAUAGAUACCUUGAGUGGACGUGGAGGACGGAGUGUCUGCAGACAAUGUAUGGCCCACACCUGAAGGAGACCUUCUUGCCGAAAGCAUCUGCAAGAGGAAGUAAGAACAUGGUUGUUGACAUCAGAUUUUGGCAUGGUACAAAAAGCAAUUAAGAUUGCCCCAAAUGGAGAAGUGAUUUACAUGAAAAAGUUCCAUUUUGUCGACCUGAACAUCUUUGAAGUUUGUGCCAUCGCCAUCUAAUCUCAUCUCGAAGGCCAAAGUUAUGUUCGAAAUACUGAGAUUUUGUAUCCAGAGCACUGUUCGGCCGAUUAUGCCUCAAGGGAUGGUCACUUUCUACAUGAAUUGUCUUCGUCUCAUCAAAACGGUCGAUUUUGAUAAAAAUUCAUGUCAAUCCGAGGUUGUAUGUAAAAGUUAGAGCCACCCGAGUGCGGUCAUGAGCCAAAAGUGGCGAGUAAUAGUCUAUUUUGCACGAGCAAUUCGUCCCUGAAGUUGGCAUCUAUUCGAAACAUGUUUAACAUGAAUGUUGUUCGUCUCGGUGAAACGGUUAAAUUUGGUUCUUACACGAUUUUGAUCUGAGGUCAUUUACUACCCAAAAAAUGACCCGCAAGGUGAAGCCAAUUUUUAGAUCGAAUAGUUUUGGGAAGUUCGGAUCGAACAAUCCGAAUAGGAAUCAAAUUAGGGUUUUGGACAUGAAUUCUAACCUUUCCUUGCACGGGAAGUCCAUCCACCUCUUAUAUACAUGAGGGGUGACGGCCGAUUGAGAAACAACACACAAUCGCAAAACCCAUCUACAAACUUUCAUCUCCUAUCCUACUUUUCUGCUUCUCGUUCAUCAGUGUUCUUUGCUUCGGAGAGCUCUGAUCUAUGAAGUCCUAGGGGUGGGCGAACCAACCUAGGGCAGCCCAGCACUGUCGUGCGGCCAGACAGGGUCUCUUCCGACCGCGUGGGGUUUCGGGUCUUCAAAAGCGCUCGCCGGAUUGUAUUGCGUACCACUCUUCCGGUGAGCCUCCUUCGGCGAUGUGUCUUGCGUAUCGCGCUCGACGCCGAGGGUACACGGUGACGUGUUUGUGUGUGAACACACUUUUUGGCGACUCCGCUGGGGACCAAAGAGCAAUCAUCAUCAUCCAUCAUGGUCAAUCUUCCCAAGCCAUCUGAAGUGGAUGCCGAUAACAUCAACAAGCCCAAUUUUGAGGAAUUAUCGGCAGAACAUCGCCAAGCUUGUGAGUAGUACAAGAAGGCACGUGAAGGGAAGGAGAUGCAGGAGUUCCUUGCUAAGUUCAAAAAGGAUCGCCAAGGCAACAUCACUUCAAUUGAAGAAAUCAAGUUUCCUCCUCUUCACAAUGAGUAGGUAGAGUCGGCUGAAAUCACUACUCUUAUUGCUCAGAAUAAUGAUCGAAAAAAUACUCCUCAAUCAUCUAAUGGUAGAAAAUAAUACUGAUCGAAAAAAUACUCCUCAAUCAUCUAAUGGUAGUGGUAGUAUGUCUGCUGGUGUGGAAAACUUUAGUCCAAAUUUACCUAUUCCAGCGGUGCUGCCCAUGCCAUUGAAUUCUUAUCCCAGUCAGACAAACCAACUUGUUGCUCCACCAUUUAAUCCAGCCAGGAAUAUGCCAAGUUCAGUGAAUCCAACUGCAUUGCUAGGUUAUGGUUCGGCAAGUCCAAGUGGAUUGCUGCCGAACUAUGGUAUAACAUACACACCACCAUCUCUUCCGACUAGCACUAUACCAACUAGUAGAAAUCAUAUUCACCAUGCGCCACAACCACACGCAACGCCGCUCAAUACGAGUGAUAUUUUGGCUAAUGUCAGAGAGGAGAUGUCGAGGGUGUUCCGAGAGCAUUGCGGGAUUGAACUACCUCAACCACGAAUUUCUAGGAAACCAUAGCUAGAAAUUUUUGAUGUCGUGCCAUGUCCUCCCGGAUAUAAAGUUCCAGAUUUUGUUAAAUUUAGCGUAGAGGGAAGAAAGACUACAUGGGAGCAUGUUAGUCGGUACUUGGCACAAUUAGGUGAGGCAAGUUCACGAGACGAGUGGAAAGUACGUUAUUUUCCUUUAUCUUUAACCGGUACUGCUUUCCCGUGGUUUUCUGCAUUACCACCCGGUUCUAUUACUGCAUGGUUUCACUUGGAGCAAAAGUUUCAUGACCACUUCCAGAGUGGUGACAAUGAGCUUAAACUAUCCCAUCUUACAUCGGUUAAGCAAAAGCAUGAUGAAUCAGUCUUCGAUUAUGUCAAAAGAUUUAGAGAUACAAAAAACCGGUGCUAUAGUUUGGUGAUAACCGAGAGAGAUGUGGCUGAUCUCGUGCUUAGUAGUUUGAGAACUCACAUUAGAGAGAAGCUGGAAGGCUAUGAGUUUUCAAGUAUCAACCAUGUCUUAGAAAAGGGCUUUGGCUCAAGAAAGCCAAAGCAAAGAGUUUAAAGAGGUGCAUAGGUAUAACACUGAUCAUCCUAAGAUAAAUAUGAUUGAGUAUGAUGGUGAGCACUCGGAUGAUGAGGGUGAUAUUUAUGAUACUGAAUUUGUUUGGCCAUCUAAGGCCAAACCAUUUACUUGCAAUGAUAUAAAGCCAAUUUCAUAAGAAUCGUGAUGAAGAGAUGAAAAUUACUUUCAACAUUACUAAGUGUGAUAGAAUAUUUGAUGCUUUGUUGCAAGCGAACAUUAUUAGAAUAUCUCAUACUUUACCGCCGUUUCAAGAGCUGAAACGGCGUGCUUAUUGCAAGUAUCAUAAUUCUUUUUCUCAUGCCACUAACGAUUGUAAUGUUUUUCAACGACAAAUACAGCCGGCCAUUAAUAACGGACGAUUGAAAUUUUCUCAGAUUCCACUUGAUAAGCAGCCCUUUCCAAUGAACACCAUGGAUUUGGAGGGAAAAAGAUGUUAAUUCGGCCCGAUAUAGCCGAAUCAGCUAAUAAAAAUAAGAUUGUCAUUGGUGAGCCUCAGAAAAGCAAGGAAGACGACAAGGCCUUGGGGAGACAAGUUGUGCUUGACAAGCGACCCGGUGGCAAGGAGAUCAUUAAGAUCACCAUCAAGAANNNNNNNNNNNNNNNNNNNNNNNNNNNNNNNNNNNNNNNNNNNNNNNNNNNNNNNNNNNNNNNNNNNNNNNNNNNNNNNNNNNNNNNNNNNNNNNNNNNNNNNNNNNNNNNNNNNNNNNNNNNNNNNNNNNNNNNNNNNNNNNNNNNNNNNNNNNNNNNNNNNNNNNNNNNNNNNNNNNNNNNNNNNNNNNNNNNNNNNNNNNNNNNNNNNNNNNNNNNNNNNNNNNNNNNNNNNNNNNNNNNNNNNNNNNNNNNNNNNNNNNAAAUUUGUUAAACCAAAGAAUCCAGAGGUUGGCAAGUGGAAGACGAAUGAAGCUAAAGUACAACGCAAGAGAAUCAAGCCAACUUUUGUUAUGUUGCUAUGCAAAUGUGCCAAUCAAGCGGCCAAUUCUAGCUCUAACCGGUCAUCAAAUUUAAAGCUCUCCAGGUCACCUCCUCGACAAGAAUUUCAUCAUCAUGCAAGGCCAUAUGGGUCUUGGGCACCUUGACCAUCGAUGGCACCACCCCCCCUAUGUGUCAUACUACAUGGGAAACUUUAAUGGAGGAUGGGGGCAACCUCCAAUGACCCCUUAUGCUUUUCAUCCGGGUUGGGUAGAACCAAGGAGGCCCGUUUGUGAGAGGCUUUCUUACCCUAUACAUGGCCGUUUGAACAAUGGUGUCAAUCGGCCAAUGCAGGAUAAUCAAAAAAGGUUCAGCAAUCAAGUGUGGCGAGCUAAAUCACCAAGUGCUGAAAUUUCAGAGGCUAGCAACCAAAAGGAGAAGAGUACUAGUGCUGAAACUAUUAUUGUAGGCACUAAAGAAUUAACAAUCAAAUAGCCGAUUAUUGUUGAUAAUGCAGCUAUUUCUAACAAGGAUGUGGCUGCUGUCCAACAAGGUCCCGUGGCUAAUGAUCAUGAAGCUAGCACAAGCAAGGCCAAGCUGAGGGAUCCAAAAUAUACUUAGCCUAAGUGGUGUCCCUCCGGUCUGACCAAGGCACAAAAAAGUAGGUUGCAGCACAUGAGAAGCCACGAGAAGGAGGGAUAAGAAGCGGAGAGGCAAAGGGAUAAACUGUUCAAUGAAACCCGUCCCAUGAUGUCCGCAAAACAAGUGUGGAGGCCUAAGCAAAAGGAAAACAUAGUAGCUUCUGCAUUGGUAAUAACAGCACCUACACCACCAAUGGAGGACGAUGCGACUGCUAUUACAUCGUCCACUUCACCUAUUACUUCCUCUUCACUAGGAGAUAUUUCGGAGUCGAUGGACAUGCUUCAGGAUGGAGAUGGUAUUUUGGAUUAUGAGUCUACACCGGUUCAUGAAGGUAUUGAUAUUAAUAUGGUGCACUACUUACCCGCUGAAUUCCGUGCUAUAUAUGAAGAAGGGCAAGUACCUCAGUUGGAUUUUGGUCCUAAAAAUGCUAUAAUCGAGAAGCCAAAAGAAUGGGUGACGCACCUGAAGCCAUUGUUCCUUAAAGGUCAUAUUAAUGGAUCGCCGAUUGCUAGAAUGCUUGUUGAUGGUGGUCCUGUGGUGAAUCUUAUCCCAUAUUCAGUCUUAUAAAAAAUGAGGCUGCGUGAUGAAGAGUUGAUAAAGACCAACAUGGUGCUCAACGGAUUUGAAGGUAAAGAGAAAAUUGAAGCCAAAGGUGUGAUGUAUGUGGAGCUUACGGUGGGAAGCAAAACUUUGGCUACCGCAUUCUUUGUCGCCGAGGUGCAAGGUAACUCCAAUGUGAUAUUAAGCCAUGAUUGGGUUCAUGCAAACCAAUGUGUGCUAUCUACUAUGCACCAGUUUUUGAAUCAAUGAGUUGAUGAUGAAGUGGAAGUCAUUCAUGCGGAUAAUUCGAUCGGCUUGUGUUGCUUUGGCCGAUGAAUCGGUGGAUUGGCAACAUCCCAAUGCUACUUGCUUGACGGGGCGCGACUUAUCAGAAUUUGAUUUUCUUAGCGCUACAAAAUUGGUUUCGUGCCCCUUUCUAUAAAGCCGGUUGGCGAUAAUCGGCUCCAAGGUAUGAUGUAUUUAAAUGGAUCCUAUCUCAGAGUGGUUUCAAAAGCGUCUUGUAGAAUAUCGGUCCAAUGAGAAUGAUAUGUAUGAGUCCAUAGAAGAGUUAGAUGAUAUGGAUAAAUUAGGACAAGGUUUUACAUCGGCGAUCCAUUAGAAGAGAUAGAUAUAGCAGAUGGUUCAUUUCUUAGGCCGACAUUUGUAAAUAAAAAUUUAAGAGUCGAUCAUAAACUUAAGUUGAUCGAGCUGUUAAAAGAAUAUAUUUGUUGCUUGGCAUGGGAAUAUCAUGAGAUGCCCGGUUUAAGCCGAGAGCUAGUGGAGCAUCGAUUACCUAUAAAGGCUGGUUUUUGACCGUAUAAGCAAUCGACCAGAAAGUUUAAUCCAAAAACAUAUGACCGGAUCAAGGAAGAGAUCGGUCGUUUGCUGAAAGCUAAUUUUAUUAGACCUUGCAAGUAUGCCGAGUGGAUUUCUAACAUUGUACCAGUGAAGAAGAAAGGCUCGGGCAAGUUGAGGGUGUGUAUUGAUUUUAGAGAUUUGAAUAGAGCUACACCCAAAGAUGAGUAUCCCAUGCCCAUAGCCGAUAUGCUUAUUAAUGAUGCCUCUGGACAUAAGGUCAUUAGCUUUCUUGAUGGUAAUGUGGGGUAUAAUCAAAUUUUUAUGGCCGACGAUGAUAUGACCAAAUUAGCUUUUCGAUGUCCCAGUUUCCUUGGUUUAUUUGAGUGGACAGUGAUGACCUUUGGUUUAGAGAAUGCCGACACCACGUAUCAAAGGGCUAUGAAUUUAAGUUUUCAUGAUUUACUUGGUGUUAUACUUGAAGUCUAUAUUGAUGAUAUUGUUGUCAAAUCGGAUGCUUUUGAAUCUCAUCUAGCUGAUUUGUGCUUAGAUUUUGAGAGAAUGAAAAAAUAUUGACUAAAGAUGAAUCCUUUGAAAUGUGCUUUUGGUGUAUCGGCUGGUAAGUUUUUGGGUUUCAUUAUUCAUCAACAUGGCAUAGAAAUUGACCCAAAAAGAUAGAGGCUAUACAAAAGGUGUGGGCUCGAACAUGCAAGAGAGAUAUGCAAAAAUUCCUUGGCAAAGUCAAUUAUUUGAGGAGAUACAUAGCCAAAUUGUCAGGGAAGGUUGAUACAUAGCCAAUUAUUUGUGCACUUCUCUAGUGUUGAAAGCCCCCAAGCAUAGAGAGCCCUUUAGGCUUUAUAUUGCGGAGGAGAAAGCCCCCAGGCAUAGAAAGUCCCCUCAAGAGACCGAAGGAAAGGAGCAUGCUAUUCUUAUUUGAGUCGACGCUUAUUGGAUGUCGAGAUAAGGUAUACAUUGAGAAAUUAUGCUUAUGCUUAUAUUAUGCUUGCACAAAAUUGAGACAUUACCUAGUGCCUAGUACAUGCAUUAUAGCUUUUCAAACUGAUGUCAUCAAAUACAUGUUGCAUAGGCCAAUUCUUAGUGGUAGAAUUGGCAAGUGAGCUUAUGCUUUAAUUGAAUAUGAUUUGGUUUAUGAAUCUCUGAAAUUCAUGAAUGGGCAAAUCGUUGUUAAUUUUGUUGUUGAGCAUCGGAUUGAUGACAAGCAUGAUAUUGAUCUUAAACUUGUCUAUUAGUACCAUGGAGAUUAUAUUUUGAUGGUUCCGUUUGUAGCAAUGGACAAGGUGUUGGUAUUGUUUAUAUAUCUCCUCAUGGAGCUAUUUUUCAAGCCUCAUGCCGCUUAGAGUAUUUUUGUACAAAUAAUUAGGCCGAAUAUGAAGCAUUUUUACUCGGUUUAGAGAUGUUGCUUGCCAUAGGCGCUACACAUAUUGAGGCUUUUGGUGAUUCGUUAUUAGUAGUGCAACAAAUAUCCAGAGUAUUUCAAUGUUUUCAUGAAUCACUUAAUGUUUAUCUUGAUAAAUGUCUAGAUAUAAUUUCUACUUUGGAUUAUUUUAGCAUUCCUCAUAUAUCUAGACAUGACAAUUGGAGAGCAAAUCAGUUGGCACAACAAGCAUCUGGCUAUCAUGUUAAUCAUGACAUGUUUCAUAUUUACCAAAGGCCGAUGUCUAUUCUUGCCAACGUAGGGGAGGCUGAACCGGAGCCCACCGUUUCGGUCACAAAUGAAAAUUUUAAUGUAGAAAAUCUGGACUAGAGGAAAGCCAUUAUUGAUUAUUUGCGUGAUUCUAAUAAAAUUUUGGAUGAGGACCAAGCAAGAGUUGCUAUGAGAGAGGUUCAUGAAGGAAUUUGUGGGACUCAUCAGUCGGCUCCCACUAUGAAAUGGUUAUUGCGACAGGCUGGGUUUGAUUGACCAACGAUGAUUAAUGAUUGCUUCAGGUAUUAUAAAGGAUGUGCAGCUUGUAAAAUGUCUGGUGAUAUUCAGCUAGCUUCUGCUGCUAUGUUACAUCCUAUUAUUAAGCCGCGGCCUUUUAGAGGUUGGGGAUUAUACUUUAUUGGAGAGAUUCAUCCUUCUUCUUCAAAGGGGCAUCAGUUUGUGUUGGUGGCAACUGAUUAUUUCACUAAAUGGUCUGAAGCAAUACCGCUAACAAAUAUGACGCAUACGGAGGUAAUUCAAUUCAUAACUUAGCACAAUAUUCAUAGAUUUGACAUUCCUCAAAUGUUAACUACGGACCAAGGUUCAUCUUUUAUGUCAGAUCAAGUUAGAGAAUUUCCCGAAUCAUAUAAGAUAAAGUUGCUCAAUUCAUCUCCGUAUUAUGCCCAAGCCAAUGGACAAGCUGAGUCUAGCAAUAAAAUAUUAACCAACCUCAUCAAGAAGAAGAUUGAGGAUAAUUCAAGGAGAUGGCAUGAGCUAUUGUCCGAAGCUUUGUGGGCACACAUAAUCUCAAGGUAUGGUGCUACAAAGGUAACUCCAUAUGAGCUCAUAUAUGGUAAAGAGGCCGUUUUACCAGUGGAAGUGAAUUUGAAUGCUUUGAGAAUAGCAAAACAAAAUGAUUUAUCGGCGGUGGACUUUUAUAACUUGAUAAUGGAAAAUAUUGAUGAAGUCGCUGAUAAAUGUUUUGUUGCUUUGAAGGCCAUAGAGAGAGAUAAUUUGAGGGUGGCAAGAGCUUACAAUAAGAAGGUCAAGUUGAAGAAUUUUCAAGUUGGCGAUCUCGUGUGGAAGGUGAUUCUACCAAUUGGUUCGAAAGACAUAAAAUUCGGGAAGUGGUCUCCAAGUUGGGUAGGUCCUUUUAAGAUUACAAGGGUAGUUCCCAGAAACUUAUAUUUAGUGGAAUCCGUACAAAGGACAUUGUUACCUCGAGCUGUCAAUGGCAAAUAUUUGAAGAAGUACCACCCAAGUGUGUGGCAAGAAGCCUAGAUAAUCAAUGGCCGAUAUACGACUAUGGCCCUUAGCAUAAACAUGGCCGAUAUAUAAUUAUCGCACCGAGAAGUAUAAAUGACACAUGGAGUGUUGACAUCGUCCUUAGAAUAAACGCGAUGCAAAUUAUUUUCCGGCAUUCAAGCUCUGCCCAAAACAGAGGAUAAGGGUUGACACCAGAUUUUAGCAUGGUAGGAAAUGCAAUUAAGAUGGUCCCAAAUGGAGAAGUGGUUUACAUUAAAAAAAAGUUCCGUAUUGUCGACACAAACAUCUUCGAUGUUUGGGCCAUCGCCAUCCGAUCUCAUCUCGAAGGCCGAAGUUGUGUUCGAAAUACUGAGAUUUUGUAUCCCGAGCACUGUUCGGCCGAUUACGCCUCAAGGACGGCCUCAAAUGAGAAAACUUUCGACAUGAAUUGACUUCGCUUGGUCGAAACAGUCAAUUUUGAUAUAAAAAUCGUCUCAAUCCAAGGUCGUAUGUAAAAGUUAGUGUCUCCUGAGUCCGGCCCUGUCACGAGCCAAAAGCUACGCGAGUAAUAGUCUAUUUUGCGCGAGCGAUUUGGCACUGAAGAUUAUAUCGAAUCGAAAACUGUUCAACAUGAAAGUUGUUCGUCUCGUCGAAACAGUUAAAUUUGCUUCUUCCGCGAUUUUGAUCCGAGGUCGUUUACUACCCCAAAAAUGACCCGCAAGGUGCAGCCAAUUUUUAGACUGAACAGUUUUGGAAAGUUUGGAUCAUACGAUCCUAAUUGGACUCAAAUUAGGGUUUUGGACAUGAAUUCUAACUUUUCCUUGCACGGGAAGUCCAGCCCCCUCUUAUUUACAUGAGGGGUGAUGACUGCCCCUCCUAGAAAAAACCAGACUGGGAGGACAUUUUUUUCCUGUCCGAAAGCCGUUUCCGCCUCUUGGAAGAAGAAGAAGAAAAAAGAGAAAACACGUUUUUUUUCGUUUCCGAGAGCCUCUCGCGGAAACAAAACAAUGCCGCUCAUGGAAGAAAAACAAAAAAAUGCAUUUUUUCACGAAAGCAAAACCGUGCCUCUCGUGAAAGAAAGAAAAGAGAAAACACAUUUCUUGUCCUUUUCGUGAGGCACGGCAGUGCCUCUCGCGGAAGCAAGACCAUGCCUCUCGCGGAAGCAAAACCGUGCCUCCCGCGGAAGAAAAAUACAGGGAAAACACGAUUUUUUUUCGUUUAUGAGAGGCACGACUGUCUCGCGGAAGCAAAGCCAUGCCUCCCGCCGAAGGAAAACCGUGCCUCUGGUGAAAAGGGAAAAAAAGAAAACGUGUUUUGUCACAGGAAAAAAAUUAAAAAAAAUUGGUCCAAAACCUAGGGAAGACCGGUGAACAACCAAAAAGCCGGAAAAUUAAAAAAAAAAACAUCUAAAAUACCAGAUGGAGGUUGAGAGUGCACCAAGUGACGCGCUCUCGGCCCAUCCACAAAUGACCCUUGGGAAGGGUGGGAACGAGCGCUCUUUAGUAUUAUUUUUUGAGGCAAACCGUUCUUUAAUUAGUUGCUCCGGGGAAGGGGAAUGGAAGACGCAGAUCGGCAACGUGUGGGCUGGGCUUGUGACGUUGGGGUCUCAGAAAAUAUAGCCCAGUUCGAAUUUAGUGGUCUCAGCAAGUAAAACCAGCGCUUAUGUUGGGCCUAAUCACUCACUCCAGGCUGUGGGCCUCGCUAGCAGCCCCAUCUUACCAUUCCCCUCGUUCUCUCUCUCUCUCGCAAAAAAAAACCAUCAUUUCCGUCAAAAAGAAAAGACAUCUACCCGUCUCGCCGCCAAGAGAUCCAGGAACCCCGGGGUCGUUCCAUUGUUUUGCAUAGCGUGUAGAUUAGGUUUUCUCUGUUAGUUUUAUGUGUUCUUAGUGGCGAUGGCUUGACGGUGAAGGCGAGAGUGAUGAUGGUCUCUCGGCUCCAUUCCUGUUCUGAUUAUGCGUUCCCGGCUAAGAAGGCCAUCAAACAUAACAUAAAUGGGGUGCUUUCUUUUCUUCUUACCGAUCUCCUCCUAGUUUACCGGCUCAAGGUGUAUCGGCUCUACAAACAUCUUGUAUCCACCUCACGUCCUGGGAAAUUACUGUCGGUAACUUUCAUCGUAUUGCGAUAACAAUAUUUUCUUUCAAGAACCCGCCUUCCUUGAAUUUCGUACAAAGUUAAUUGUCAAUGUCAUAACUAAUUGCAAGACCAGGUACAGCUCUUCUCUACAGGAAGUUACAGUUUCUAAAUUGCAUGACCCUGUAUCACUUUAUGAAGCAAGCACAUCACCUUCAGCUCCUCAUUUGCAAACUUAGGACCCAUUUGGACCACAUAAAUUUUACAAUAUGUUUGCUGCAUUUCACAAGAAACCAUCGAUUUUGUGAAGAAAGAAUUACAUUGUUUCAUCGCCGUUACAACACAACAUUAAUCAGAUCACCUUAAUACCUCCCACUGCGUUUUUUUUUGGAAAAAUACACAACAUACUGAUUGACCUUAAAGAAUGAAGGAGGCCAUAAGGUCUUGUACAAUGCUAGGUGUUUAGAAAGAUAAACCGGAUUUUACUGAUACACCGGUGCCUAUUUCUACCGGAGAGACGUCUAAUUAAGCGUAUACCCUGUACAAAUAAGUAUCAGUGCUUAAGGAAAGCCUGGUUUAUUUCUCGAAGCACCUCUCCUAAGCACCUUGCAGUGUACAAGGCCGAGAAGAAAGCUCUGACUUCCUAUUGUUGCUGCAUCAGCAGGAAAAGUAGUCUUCAUUUCAAAAAGAAGCUGAAAGUGCUAGAGUGAAAAAUAUCAUAUGUACAGAAGCUGGAUAUAUAUUACCAGCAAGGUGGAGAAGUGGGGAAAAAAAUGCUCAAAUGUGGUUAUCAAUCUUUUGAAAUGCAAGCAAGUAAGCGGAUGGGUGUUUGAGCUAUCUUUGUGUGAUCAGAACAAAUCCAUGUCCAUUAAUUAGUCUUAAUAUCAUCUUCACAGUACCAGGGACUCCCGGAUACUAAGAGUGCUUAAUAAUCUUAUAAUUAGGUGGAGACAUUUUCAUUACCUGCAUACAAAUGCGUACGAAUGAUGAUAUUUUAUAUUUUUUUCUUUGCAACUUCGGAGUGCCCACAAAGUGAAAUAGAAGGUGUAAACAUAACUUCUUUCAACCUCCAGUAAAAGUAACAAUUCUCUCUCCAUGUACCACUCUAUACCAACUUCUUCAAUACCUGUUGACUCUCAUGUUUUUGUUUUCCUUCAAUAUUUCAGACGUUCUAAAGCUCGGUCGAAAUCACUCGAGCUGGUCAACCCUGCCCCCGUGUCGCCCGCAACAGACGAUACGGGGAAAACUUUCGUCGCCGCCGGUAGCCUUCCUCCGCCAGUGCCCCUCCCCCCCCCCCCACAUCGCUGCCGCAGGAGGGUCGGCCAGCGAAGUCGCGCCGCGCUCGGGGAUGGCGGCGGCGGGGCGGUUUCGUACCCUCCCCCCCGAUGCGCUGCCCCAACAACCCCUUCGCCGCCAUCACCUCCCCGCGCCGCUGCUGCCGCGUCGCGCCUGAGGGUGGGGGCGGCAGGGCAGCUUCAUUCCCUUCAUGCUGUAGCUCCUCGUCCCCAACCUCCUCGCCCCCCAGAUCCAAUCUGGUGCGCCGCGGGCUCCCCUACCCUCCAACUGCUACUGUGUUCGUCCUGCCUGUCCGACGAGGUGGCGCGGCCGUGCCCGUCGUGCACCUCCCCAGUCUACCUCUUUCACCUUGCUGGCGCAGCUUCCUUCUUGUUGUUGUUCGCUGGGGCAUGCGAGGACUCGUGUGGAGGUCACGGGCUGGCCAAGGCUCGGUCUUGCCCCGUGUUGCAGACCACCCUUCGUCUCUGAUGGCGUCUCCUUCUAGUUACGGCGGCGACCUCUGCCCGUGUGUGGUCAAGGUGUUGUUUUGGGCAGCGGGAUGAAGCUUCGCGGUGGGUCCUUGCCGACACUGCUCCGGUCCCAGCGGCCAUCGACCAGCGUUCUUCGGCCUCCCUACCGCCGUGAAUUCAGCCCCAACACUCCGGUCGCUGCGUCUCCUUCCGGCAUCUUCGGUUUGCCGGUGUUCUGGUGGUUCCACCUCCGGCAGCUCGGAGUUGUGCUCCCUUCCGCCUCCAGCUUGUCAGCGGCGCCGGUCACCAUCCCACCCUCCAUGCCGGCUUUCUACCAUGCUGCCUUCCCGACCCUGUCGACACCCGCAACAUGUCAUUUCCAAAGCUCGUGUUCUUUCGGCAGCAGGUGCAGCCCCACCACCUCCGUACCGGGAUGGUGGUUGACUAGCGGAUUGUCUUCCUCAUCUUCGGAUCCUGAUUUGGCAGCUAUGGCAUUGCUCAGACUAAGGCCAGGCGAAAUCCAUGCUCUGCUUGCCAAUGUUGGCAGAGGCGACACUCGUGAGUGCUUUGCCAUGGCCUUUAUCCGGGCCCCUCUUCGAGCGCUGGGGGAAACCCUAGGUCCGGUUCUUCGGAUCGGAUGGUGGCGGUGUCACGAUGUCGCACCCCUUCCUGAAGGCGCUAUCUUGUUCGCCCCCGGUGUCCCUGUUUGUUUGAUUUUGAGAUGUUCGACGUCGUGCUUGUUCGGCCUGCCUCUCUGUUUAGGAUUUGUGGGUGUAGUUGUGUCAUUUCCCCUGUUCGGGCUGAGCACCCCUUGUCUCUCUGCUCCGGGUUCCAUGAUCAUGCCUCUUUGGGUUCAUGCCAUGUGUUGUAUCCUCUGUUGUACGCAUUCUCUUUCUUCUAUCAAUAAAGGAUAUGCAAGCUUUGUGUAUUCACAAAAAAAAAGACGUUCUGAAGCUCUGAAGCUAAAGAUGUAAAUAAAUCUGAACUCUCGCACUCACUUUUAAAUCGUGGGGCAGUAUACUCUAAUCUAUCCAGCUCUUCCUGUAAAACAAAUAUACUGUCAGCAUGUGAUUUAUCAUUCAUGAAUCGUUUAUCAUGCCAUUUUUAGAAUGUGACUGGCAAAAUGGUGUGACUGUACAAUUCUACUUUUUUCGAAAAAGAGGAUUACCCCUAGUAUCUACAUAGAGCCAUGCACACAACCAUUUUAUUAUAUUAUUUAACGGAACCAAACGAAACAAAUAUAUGGAUCAAGCCAAAGCCACCUCCCUAGAAACUAUUGUCGUUACACGUACAAGCUUUAAUGGCGUGCCCUGACCACUUAUCAACACACAUCAUAUAUUCCGGUCGCCUCACCAAGAUGCCUGCCGGCAAUUUGAGAGCAUCUACCGGUCUAGCUAGACCCUCUGCACGCACAUCAUGCACACGCUUUAGAUUCAGCCACCGCCAUGUUCCGCGGUCCCACCUUCAAGAGCGAUCAACGUAUUCAUCUCGCUAGGCCAUCUCGACACCAGAUAGCUCCACUAUCCAGCGCGGGCGCCCGUCGCCGACACUCCGCCGUGCCACGCCACCGAGACCCUGUGUCGUCCUUUCGGUAGAUGUAACACCGCUCCUCCACUUGUCUCUUCCAGUCGGCUCCUACUCGAGACAAUGCCCCUAGGAGGGAGAACGGCGCUGAAGGCACCAUCAUCGUCCGAUCCGGGAUACCCAGAACUAGAGUUUCCCCCGGAACAACCCGAGCGUAGUGACACAACUUACAAAUGACGAUGCCUCGAAAAAGGAAACAACGUUAGAGACGCCACCAUCUGCCAUGACCGCAGUUAGCACAAUUUCACCGGAAGUCGCGUCGACAUGGAGACGUAAGCUGUCGCCGGAACGUCGGCAUAGGGCCUCCAGUCGCCCCUGACCUGUCCCUGCACGCAUCGCCUGCCGGCCAAGGCCACGCCAAGAUGGAUCUGGAUGGGACGCUAGUUCCGCGGCCACUGCCGCCACCCAUCACAUGGUCGGCCAGGUCAACGACUAAUCCCACAGCCAUGGACAAACCGGUCGCCGCCGCCAGCCCGGGUCACCACCCUGACCGCACCGGCUGAAGACACAGGUGUCGUCGCGAGAUUGAUACGGUGAACAAGGCCCGAAUCCCUCGUGCUCGACCUUGAUCAGCCACACACAAGCAUCUCUCCACGCUGACGAGGGGUCCACUAUGGGAUCCAUCGCGCCGACUUCCGCCACCGCGCCGCGGGAAUAGACUGCCCUGAUGCUGCCGCCCACUGAGGCGGGCUUCGCCUGUUCGGCCUCCUCCAACAGCGUCCGGCCGUGGGCUGCNNNNNNNNNNNNNNNNNNNNNNNNNNNNNNNNNNNNNNNNNNNNNNNNNNNNNNNNNNNNNNNNNNNNNNNNNNNNNNNNNNNNNNNNNNNNNNNNNNNNNNNNNNNNNNNNNNNNNNNNNNNNNNNNNNNNNNNNNNNNNNNNNNNNNNNNNNNNNNNNNNNNNNNNNNNNNNNNNNNNNNNNNNNNNNNNNNNNNNNNNNNNNNNNNNNNNNNNNNNNNNNNNNNNNNNNNNNNNNNNNNNNNNNNNNNNNNNNNNNNNNNNNNNNNNNNNNNNNNNNNNUUCAGCCUCUCCACUUGUGGGAACAAUAUCCUUGAAUGUUUAGUUUCUCAUAUCUUUACGAAAACGGAGUAAGGGAAAUAUCGUGUGUGGUUGCAGGGAACUCACAUCAAAUGAUUGGGAGAUGUUCAUAAAUCAGUGAUAAUAGCCUUUGCAAACAGGCUAAUCCCAAAUGAUUCAAUGAAACCAACCUUCAUGUACUCAAUGAACGUAUUAUGCAUGUUAUGCUAGUUCAAGUCAUACUAAAUAUCACUUGUCUGGCAAAUAACAACAGCGUUCUCUGAAACCAUUGCAUCAUGAGAGAAUUGUGUGAAAUGGAAAUUGACACGAUUUAAAUUUUCAGGUUCCUUUCCUGGUGAGCCUAUCAUAGUAAAGAAACCUGGAAGAAAACAUUGGAGAAAGGAAUUCACAAAAUGCGGAAUUAUUAAUACUAAAUGACUGUUGAUGUUCAAAUGCAUGUCAGUUCUAAAUAAAUAAAUGAUUUUCUUCUUCUUUCUGCUCUUCAAUGUUUUCUUCCCUUACAAGAUUCUAGCAGUCUUAACACCAUUAUGGCCACAGAAAAAAAAAACAUCUAUCCCAUUUGUUACACGAGCUAAAAAUAAAAAUAGCACAUGAGCAUGGGCUGCAGAAAUGCACAUUCUUACUUCUAAGAAUAAUGUCAUCAAGAGAAGCAAAAGGCUGGUUUUUUGUGACAAUAAUUUAUUCAAUGAAAAGAGUGAGCCCGGGUUGCACGAAAUAUGAGUUUAUCUAUUUUUCUUCCAACAAAAUAUCUGGUCUACCAUCACUGCACCUUCGAACAUCAGAGUGCACACAGAACAAGAAAUAAAGAAGCAAAAGGGCCCUUGCGUAACUCAUGUAUUUUCAAACAAUGCUACAGAAAAUAUCCCUUAUACUCCCUCCGUCUAGGUUUGUAAGUCAUCUUACGAAAACAAAAUAAUCCCAAAACACUUAGGCGCGGUGCGUUAACUUCUACCUCGUUUCUUGUUUCUUGACAUAUCAACCAAUAAGAGAUAUGGGUGUGCAUGCUUUUAAUGACUUGAGACUACCAAACACGACAUGCAGUGGUUAGUUCAUUGCAUGCAAUGCUAUUAAUUAGCAAAAAACAUUAAGUUCUCUCGUUUUCCCUCCUCCUUGGUCACGGUGCACAACAUAAGAUGACUUAUUCACUUAGACGGAGGGAGUAUCAUGGAUUUGCGCCUGCAUCAAUUGUUUCCGAGUGCUGUCAAAGAGAAAAAUUUACUAAGAUUUCCAUUGUCAAACUGUGAUGUCCGACUAGUGUUGGUGGAAGAAUCACAUAUUGGAGAGGAUAAUUUGGAGUAGGGGAUGAGAAGAAGUUGAAGAACAGAUGAAGAGGGUGAGAUGUAGAACAGAGUAGGUGAGAGUUCAAACAAUUCUCAUUUCAUCGAUAAGUUACGGCACAUGUCUGAUUCACUUGCCCCUUUUAAACACAUAGGCACUCUCUUACAAGUGGGCCCUCAAAUCCACACGCCCAGUGCACUAGAUGAUCUUCCUAUGGCUCACUCCUAAGUUGUCUCUCUCUAGUUGUUGGGCCCUUCGUCCUCCAUAUCCUAGUCCUCCUCAUUCCACUGGACUGGGAUCUUGAUUUCCGUCGAGGGUGUGGUAGAGAGCAGAUGCAUGACACAAUCUUUGUUCCAUUACGCUUCCUCAAAGUCGCCAUUUUAGACAUUGUCAUGUCUACAACACACAAUUAGACGCUUGGUGACCUGUUGCUUCAAAAAUAUAUUUUGAAAUCAUGUGCCUAGAGGUGUUUUGAAUGUAUGGCUACAAAUGUCACUGAGGUUCCUAGUUCCUGUUCCAUCAGCAUACCCUGCCGAAGUGGUAAUCUGACUUCAAGUGGAAUAAGCAAGACAGGAGAAAGAAUUAAGGUGGUAUUCAGCUCGUUUUCCCCUCACCUUUUUGACUCUCACAUUUUUGUUUUCCUCCCAUAUCUUAGAUGGGGUGAAGCUAUAUGCAUAAACAAAUAUGAAUUCAUAUCACACUCACCUCGACAUCUCAGUAGUACAACACAGGGCUUUCGUCACAGGGCAAUUUUCACAUUAGUCCCGGUUCAGUCACGAACCGGGACUAAUGUGAGCAUUGGUCCCGGUUCGUGCGGCUAAGGCAUUAGUCCCGGUUCACCUGGGCCCUUUAGUCCCGGUUGGUGCCACGAACCGGGACUAAAGGGUGCGAUGCCCAUUAGUACCGGUUGGUGGCACCAACCGGGACUAAAGGUCUAACCUUUAGUACCGGUUGGUGCCACCAACCGAUACUAAUGCGCUUUGAGGCAUUAGUACCGGUUCAUGGCACGAACCGGUACUAAAGGGCCCAUUUUCAAACUCUACCCCCCCUGGUGGACCGCCUUUUCAGUUUUAGGAAAAACAAAAGAAAAUGAUGGAAAUGUCAAAAAAAUAAAAUAAAAUAAGUUUCCCAUGUGAUAUGUGGUCUAGUUGUUGGGAAAAUUAACAAAUAUGAAUUUCGACUUUAUUUGCAAAAUCUCUCUGAAAUUUCUUAAAAUGGGCAUAACUUUUGCAUACGAACUCGGAUGAAAAAGUUUUUUAUAUGAAAAAUCAUCUACUCAAAAUCCUCAAAAACCUAACAGAAAAAAAGAUACGGGACUUUUAAGAUCUGGAGAGGCAAAAAAAUUCAAAAAAUUUCAAUUUGUGGUCAAACUGUGGUCAAACAAUAGUCAAACUAAUUAUUCUAGAAUAUUAGUGUUACUAAAUAAUUAUUUCAGUUUUUUUGAAUUUUGGUCAAAUCUGGUCAAACUGUGGUUAAACAGUGGUCAAACAAUGGUCAAACUAAUUAUUCCAGAAAUAUUAGUGUUACUAAAUAAUUAUUGUUUUUAAAAAUAAUAGUUUCAAACUCAAACAGUGAAAUAUGUCACUUCAUGCUCAAGCUAAAUUCCUGAGGGUUAAUAAAAUUGACAUCUUACUAUUGUCAGGAAAACAACAAGUGCAGACUUGGAAACGAGGGAGAAUAGAACCCAGAAGUUAAGCGUGCUCAGGCUGGAGUAGUGAGAGGAUGGGUGACCGUCCGGGAAGUUAGAUGAUUUGAAAUGAUGAGGGGUGAUUAGAGAUUAGAGGAUAAAUUGAGCAGUGAUGAGGGGUGGUGAUUAGAGAUUAGAGGUUAAAAUAAUUCAGAAAUUUGAAAAUCAAAAAAAAAGUUCGCAAAUUUUUUUUUCAAAAAAAAUAUAUCAUAAAAUUCUGCGUCCACGUGGACGGCCUUUAGUCCCGGUUCGUGUCUAAAGGCUUGGGUAUAUAUAGACCUUCUACACGUCUCCAAUCUCUAGUAGCUCUUCAUAUGAUAAAAAUAUAUUGUGAGUAUGGGAUAUGUGUUGAGAAGGCCAUUCAGGAAUCGUUUAUCAUGUGAGUAGACUGCAAAAUGACAUAACCAUUCCACGAGCAUGCUUAAGUUUGAAAACUCUUUCCCGGGAAGUAUCCUAUGUGAUUGAAUGUAACUCAUAAUUAUUAAAGAAUGUAUAGAAGUUUCUAAACGAGCGAGUGGUUGAAUGUCAAAUGCAUCUGAUACUCGGCGAAGACUUAUGUUUGCCAAAUUCGGUACUCGGCAAAGUUUCGCCGUGUUUAUUAUGGGCUCUGCCAAGUUUCUAAGAAGACAAUCCGGGUAGUGAUGGAUGCCUGAUCUUUAACAUGGAAUGUCUGUAUACAUAGUCCUCAAUGUGGGGCAUAAUGUAGUAGCCGGACAAGACGCUUGAUUAAUCUGGUUCUUCUCUACAAUAGAAACUCGCCUUGUACAUGAACAUAUUUUGUUUUGGGUAUAUAUAGACCUUCUACACGUCUCCAAUCUCUAGUAGCUCUUCAUAUGAUAAAAAUAUAUUGUGAGUAUGGGAUAUGUGUUGAGAAGGCCAUUCAGGAAUCGUUUAUCAUGUGAGUAGACUGCAAAAUGACAUAACCAUUCCACGAGCAUGCUUAAGUUUGAAAACUCUUUCCCGGGAAGUAUCCUAUGUGAUUGAAUGUAACUCAUAAUUAUUAAAGAAUGUAUAGAAGUUUCUAAACGAGCGAGUGGUUGAAUGUCAAAUGCAUCUGAUACUCGGCGAAGACUUAUGUUUGCCAAAUUCGGUACUCGGCAAAGUUUCGCCGUGUUUAUUAUGGGCUCUGCCAAGUUUCUAAGAAGACAAUCCGGGUAGUGAUGGAUGCCUGAUCUUUAACAUGGAAUGUCUGUAUACAUAGUCCUCAAUGUGGGGCAUAAUGUAGUAGCCGGACAAGACGCUUGAUUAAUCUGGUUCUUCUCUACAAUAGAAACUCGCCUUGUACAUGAACAUAUUUUGUUUUGUGGAACUUCCUCCGGAUUAAAAAUACUUGAAGAUAGCAACAUAAUUGAUGAACUAAAAAAUGGUACUCUGGUAGCAAUGGGAUAAAACAAUAUUAUGCCUUUCUUUCAUUAGUUAACUAAAAAUUUGUGCUGCAGUAGUAACGGGAUAAAACAAUAUAAGUAGAAACAAUUUUGAUAAGCAAUAACAUUUCCUUUUGCUAGGGCAACGCUAUAGGUAACUCCUACAAACUAUUUCUCCUAGGUGUUGAUUAAUAAAUUAGCCAUAUGCAAAAUUAAACUGCAGUGGAUUAGUAAUACACGGUUGAAGUCAACACUUCCGGUUAAUCUUAUAAAAUCUAGCCUCUUUAGUCUCCAAUCUCACAUUGAGACAUGGUUAAUAGUUGUUGGUAUAUCUAAAUCCUAUGGGAGGACAUCCUCUUAUUCUCAGACACAUGAGCCCAAGUAUCUCCACAAAAAGUUCACCAGACAUACAUAUCAUGUCCUUUCAUAGCCAUCCAAAAAAAGGAAGGUGCUAUGAUGUAGUGCAACAUUGAUGGAAUAAUACCAAAAAAUGUAAAAAGGGUGUUUCAUUCUCAAAAAUAACUUUGGAAGUAUAUCGGUGAACCAUCUAAACAGGAACAUACUAGUAAAUUUGUUGAGGAAAUUGUUAACUGGUAGCAGCUUGGUUGGCUAGGGAGUAGGGGAUUAAUAGGGUGAUCGGCAAGUUUAUUGGCCUAUUAAGCAAUUAAACGGAGGAUUUAUCAGUUUAUUGGCUACAUGGUGACCUUACAAGUAGGGAUUAAUUCCCAAGUUAACUGGUUAAUCAGACGAAUUCUUCAACAGGACCAGUAAUCAUGCUAAUAUGGUACAUGAUAAUCUCUUAUGGUUGAAUGAAUAUGAGUAAUGUCUGUAGCUAUCUUUAACAGUAUUUUAUUGAGUACCUAAAUAUGUAAAGUUCAGUAGUUUGUACUAUCAUGUUAUUGCACAAAAAAAAAGGAAAUCUCUCAUUCCAAUUUUUUUAGCUAAACUAAACAAAAGAUACUAGCAUGUUGCUCAGGAGAUAGGAAUGGUAGCAGGGGUAGAUAGCCAACAAAAACAUUAUGUUAUUACAGUGUGAAUAAUAAAUAAGAUUAUUUGGAUCAUAUGAAGGAUAAAGCCAUCAAUCUCGCCCAUGUGCAAUAAUUUUAAUUUGUCUUUGUGUAGUAUAUAUUGUUGAUUAAUCAUUCGUGAUGAGAUAUGCACCUUCAUAUGGUUUAACAAAUAGAAGAUGGGUGGCGCCAGAAUAAUUUUUCUGACCGUGCAAAGAUAGAGAUCUGCAUUGCUCUCAUCAAUGACCUGCAACGAUUCAUGCAUGCUUCUACUAUGAUCCUUGAGCCUAUCAAAAUUAAUUGCUAUAAUCUUGACUGACCGAGCUACUGAUAUGUGGGCGUCUUGAUGAGUAUGGCGAAUUCUCUUUUAUCUUGGUGGUUGUUCAUUUCAUAGACAUCUCAAUAUAUUGUUUAUUUGGAUGGUUUUGUCUCCUCCUUUAUUUUGGGGUUAUUUUUACAAAGAGAAGUCUAGUUUUCUCCCUAACAAUUUCACAUGGAGAAGUGUCACUCAUAUUUAUUUCAAUCACAUUUACCUCUUGACCUUAAUAUUCACUCACAUUUACCUCCUGACCUUUUGGUUUUGGUUUAAUUUUUCCAUUAAAAUUUCACAAAUGAUAGAAUCCUCCCUGGAAGUUUUAAGAAAAAAAAAAUCUAGUAAAGGCAUAUGUAAUUUUUUUGUAAAGGAGAAUGUAUUAAUAUCAAGCAGAUACCAAUUAUUCCCAGACUCUGCAACAACAAGAUGCCUAAAAACAUCCAGGAUGCACACAGCUAAAAAUUAAAAUAAAAAGGGAAGAAAAAAUGAGAAAAAAUAUCCCGCCACGGUGAUCAAUCACCCGAUGUAGCCGCACUCUAACCACCACCAAAGAUGUCACCCGGACUACAAAAUAGGUUCUCCAAAAGCAAUGCCUCUAGAAAGGAAACAAAACACAAGCAUUGUCGUUGCCCGAUCAAAGAUAUUACGUUUUCACCCUGGAGAAAGAUCAGGUUCCCAACAAUAAUGCCUUCAACAAGACUACCGCCAGGCACAACCAAUAAAGGCCAGACCUUGGGUUUUCACCUUGGAAAUCCUGAUUGGGUACUCAAAGGAGCACCGAAUAACAAAGAAGUCCUCCAAUGCCGCCACCCCCACUUGCGGAGGCUAAUACUGCAAGUCACGCACCAUUAGGCUCACAGGAAUUCACAUCCCGCCUGGACGGGAACAUAUCCUGUAAGCCAUGUCUAAACAACUGCCUAUGAAGCAAAGUCUUCAUCGCAUCCAAGACCUCGCAUUCGCCACUUGCAAGUCCUUCAAUCACGCCAUGGCAUUCUCCGUAUGUGUUGAUCCCAUGGAAAUCUUGGUGCAGACAUGUCCCAAGGUGCCAACAAAAACAGAGCUUCACGAUACCCCGGUAAACCUGGUUAUGCUGAUGUUGCGGGUGCGCACGACAGGCCCCUAUCUAGUCAAGGUGUCCAAAGAGCGCCAUAUGUGCCAGUCCUUUUUUUCCUUCAAAGGAGAAGUCCGGAAAUCGCAGAUGGCCAGAUUGAAGAUCUCAGGUUCUCAAUUGCAUGAGCUUGUGAGCAACGAGAAUGAGCAAGACCGAACAAGGGGAAACCAUCCAAGGACGGGAACACCGUGUGCACAAUAUAUAGGAUCCAAUUUGCACCAGCAAUGUUUAUACAGGAAUAACCAAAAUGUGAGUGUUGCCACGUACAUGUAUUUACUACUGCAGAUAGUUUUCUUUAUUGCACAGGUAUAAAACUUGUUCUUAAUUUUAAUCAAUUCUCUUGCACAAAUUUAUCCACAGAGAGCACAUAUAUGAUUUAUCUAACACUAUGUUUUCAAUAUCACAAGAUAAAAUCUUGUCUUUACAGAGCAAAAUUAUACACCGAUAAAAAUGUGUUGUCUGCCUGCAUGAAAUUACAUAUGCUAUGCAAAACUCUUUACUUCGUAUCGUCAUGAUCAUCCACAAUAUUAAAAUUGUAAAUAAACAAAAAAAGAGGUGCCGGCAAAUAGUUUUGGAUAGAGUAGUUUGGCACAAUAUAUAUGUUAUCCCUGAAAAUAUAACGUCUUCCUGGAUCACACUGUAGCUUCGUGAUAGUUUUGACGGCUAUGAUAACAAAAGCUGCCGACACAUGGCUCUGGAAAUAGUUAUGGCUGUAGGGGUAAAUAUAAUAGCUGACAGCUCUAAAAAAUAUUCCCGCAAAAGAAGGCAGCUCUAAAAAACAAGCCGACAAAAGAAUCAUGAAGCUACAGUGUGAAUUAUACUCUCUCCAUUCACAUUAUUAUGGGAAAACGAAUUGUGCGAGUACAGUCUGCCAAAAUGAGUGGUCGUCCAUGCACCUUGUUUAGGGGCAACUUUAUUUUAAUGUGUCUUUUUGUAGUAUAUAGUGUUGAUUAAUCGUCCGUGAUGAGAUCUGUGCCUUUGUGUGAUAUAACAAAUAGAAGAUAUAUGGCGCCAGACUAAUUUUUCCAUCCGUACGUGCAAAGAUGAGAUAUGAAUGCAUUGCUCUCAUGAAUGACCUGCAACGAUAGACAUAUGCAUUCAUACAUGCUUCUGCUGUGAUCCACGAGCCCGUCAAAAUUAAUUGCUAUGCAGUGGCUUAACUACUCAGAUGAACGUGGGCGUCUUAAUGAGUAUGGUGACUUCUCUCUUAUGUUGGUGGUUGUUCGUUUCAUAAACAUUUCGAUAUAUUGUUUAUUUGGAUGGUUCUGCUUCCUCCUUUAUUUUGGGGUUGUUUUUACAGUGAAAAUUCAAGUUUUUUCACUAACAUAUUCGCAUGGAGAAGUGUCACUCAUAUUUAUUUUCACUGACAUUUACCUCCUGACAUUUAUUUUCACUCACAUUUAACUCCCGGCCUUUUGGUUUUGGUUUAGUUUUCCCAUUCAAAUUUCAUAAAUCAUAGAAUUUUCUAUCGAAGUUUCAAGAUUUGUUUUUCUAAAAAAGGUACAUGUAUGCACUAUAUAUUAGAUCUAAUUUGUACCAGUAAUGUUACCAGCUACAUGAAUUUACUGCUGCAGAUAGUUUUUUUUUGUAUUGCAUAUGUAUAAAUCUUGUCCUUAAUUUUACUCAUUUCUCUUGCACAAAGUUAGCUUCAUAGUGCACAUGUAUGAUUUACCUAAUAUUAUUAUUUCAAUAUUCCAAAAUAUAAUUUUGUCUUAACAGAGUGAAAUAAUACACCAAUAAAAAAACAUUGUCUGUAUGCAUGAAAUUACAUAUGCUAUGCAAAACUCUUUAGUAUGUAUCGUCAUGAUCAUCCACAAUAUGAAAAAAUAGUAAAGAAACAAACAAGAGGAGCAGACACAUGGUUUUGGAUAGAGCAGUUUAGCACAAUAUAUUUUAUCCCUGUUUAUAUAACGUCUUCAUUGCUCACACUGUAGCUUCGUGAUAGUUUUAUUGGCUAUGAUAACAGAAGCUGCUGACACAUGGUUCUGGAAACAGAUAUAACAGCAGGUGUAAAUAUAAUAGCCGCAGCUCUAAAAAAUAAGCUGACAAAAGAAUCAUGAAGCUACAGUGAACUAUACUCCAUCCUCCCUUGUCUAGGGGCAACUUAAUUCGCUUUGCGAAGGAUAAUGCAUCCAUGGCAAACAGUUUCAGGGUUGUCAGAAUAAGAAAUCUUAUGCCUCCCGAUCAAGAUCUAGACAGAUUUUCAGGGCAUGGUGUGGCCGUCCAACUACCUGAUAAAAAAAAAGAUAAUGAAAAGGGCCCACAGCAUCAAACCAAUGACAGAUAUGUUCAGUUUCGAAUCUCUUAAUAUUUAGUUUGAAAGCUGCAGAUUUUCAGGUUGUGAGAGCCGAAACUCUUGGACCAAGCCAUAUGUUCAGUUUCGAAUCUGACCUAGUAGCGUCCUGGAACUAGUUAUCAUCGAUUGGCUGCCAAACUCCCCCAAGAAACUCCGCACACAUCUCUGCAAUCGAACCAGGGCAAAUUAAUUUAGCGAAGGGAACUCACAACGCAGUGUCUCUUGACACAUCAUCCUAUUUAGUGAAAACUAUUUAGAGACAAUGACCCCUAUUCAUUAUAUACUCAACACGUCUCUUAAUAUUUAAAGUAUCUUAUAAAUGUCGUAUCUAAAUGAUAUUCCAUUUAAUUAGUUUAUGGACCUUUUUUGCAUGUCAACAUUGUGGCCUACUCCAGUUGUGAAGACAAAAAUUGUGAGAUAAACCACAAAGGCUCAAAGCGUUAGUCACUAUACGCAGAAAAACAAGUUAAUUAAGAGCCAUAUCUACACUAAAUAGAACAUAGGGAAGCUCAUCGAUCCAUCACCGGCCACACUUCUUGAGUUAGGCGAAUGUUCUCUUUUGGAGACCAUUGAGGACAUGCGCAUUUCAUCGCUCCAUCUGCCUGUCACUACAAGGGAUAAGGCUACACUAGUAGAAAACAGGGUUUUGGUUCGGCCAGAAAAGAGCAUUAAUCCCGGUUGCAUUACGAACCGGGACUAAUGUGAGCAUUAGUCCAGGUUCGAGCGGCUAGGGCACCGUACAUGCAUUAGUCCCGGUUCAAAUGGGACCUUUAGUCCCGGUUGGUGCCACGAACCGGGACUAAAGGGUGCGAUGCCCAUUAGUACCGGUUCGUGGCAUCAACCAGUACUAAAGGUUAGAUCUUUAGUCCCGGUUCGAGCCACCAACCAGUACUAAUGGGGUUUGAGGCAUUAGUACCGGUUCAUGGCACGCCUUUUCAGUUUUGUAAAAAGCAAAAGAAAAUGAUAAAAACUUCAAAAAUUAAAAUCCUUCCAGAUGUAGUUAUGUUACUACAUGUCCUAGUUAGGAAAAUUUAAAAACUUCAAUUUGGACAUGUUUCGCAAAAAGUGUAGGGAAAAUGUAAAACGGCUAUAACUUUUGCAUACGAUGUCAGAAAAAACGUAUAAUAUAUCGAAAUGUUCAGCACGAAAAUCCGCAUCCGAUUUUGACAGCCUACGGCCUGUUUGUAAAUUUUUAGAAUCCUCAAAUUCUAAAAGGGAAAAAAGUUAUGCUAUUUCUGUUUUUUUAAUUUUUGUUAAAUCUGGUCAAACUAUGGUCAAACUACUUAUUCAAGAAGUAUUAGUGUUACUAAAUAAUUAUUCAAGAAUAUUAGUGUUACUAAAUAAUUAUUUCAGUUUUUUUGAAUUUUGGUCAAAUCUGGUCAAACUGUGGUCAAACAAUGGUCAAACUAAUUAUUCAAGAAAUAUUAGUGUUAGUAAAUAAUUAUUUCAGUUUUUUUGAAUUUUGGUCAAAUCUGGUCAAACUGUGGUCAAACUACUUAUUCAAGAAAUAUUAGUGUUACUAAAUAAUUAUUGUUUUUUAGAACAAUAGUUUCAAACUCAAACAGUGAAAUGUGUGACUUCAUGCUCAAGCUAAAUUCCUGAGGGUUAAUAGGAUUGACAUCUUACUAUUGUCAGGAAAACAACAAGUGCAGACUUGGAAACGAGGAAGAAUAUAACCCGGAAGUUAAGCGUGCUCAGGCUGGAGUAGUGAGAGGAUGGGUGACCGUUCGGGAAGUUAGAUGAUUUGGAAUGAUGAGGGGUGAUUAGAGAUUAGAGGUUAAAUUGAGCAGUGAUGAGGGGUGAUUAGAGAUUAGAGGUUAAAAUAAUUCAGAAAUUUGCAAAUCAAAAAAAAAAAUUUAAAAAAAAAAUCAUAAAAUUUCCUUCAGUACCGGUUGGUGUUACCAACCGGGACUAAAGGUGGACCUCACGUGGAGGGCCUUUAGUCCCGGUUCGUGUAAGAACCAGGACUAAAGGGGGAGGCUUUAGUAACGACCCUUUAGUCCCGGUUCCAGAACCGGGACUGAAGGCCCUUAUGAAGCGGGACUAAAAGCCCUUUUUCUACUAGUGCUAGUAGUGGCGCGGUUUAAAGGCAUAGGAGUAGCGCGGGUUGCCUCUCUACUUACAUUAGCAACUAUAUAAAAACUCAUCAUCAUCAUCAUCAUCAUCAUCAUCAUCAUCAUCAUGUAACAACUCAUCAGCGCGUAGCUAACUGGUUCCUAGUAAGACGGGCCAGGCUCGGCUCUAAUACUACUUACAUUAGUAGCAGCGCGGUGUUUGGCCCGUGCUACUAAUAACUAGCUAUAGCGCGAGGCCCCCCGCCACUACUAACUCUAUGUAUUUCCUUUCUACAUAUUAUACUAUAUUAUACAAUAAUUAUACAGAUUUUUAUACACUAGCAACUAUAUAACAACUCAUCAUCAUCAUCAUCAUCAUGUAACAAAUCAUCAUUAUCAAAAUGAUAUAACUCAUCAUCAUCGUAGUGAUAUAACAGCUCAUCAUGAUCAUAAUUAUAUAAAAAUGUCUCAUCAUCAUCGUCAUCAUCACCAUCAGCAUCAUCAUAAGUUAACCACUACUAGCUAAUUGUCAUCAUCCUAGGUAAGUAACUUUCAAGCACAUGACAAGUACUAUGACCUACUCUAGUGUCUUAGGUAAAAUAGAAUAAAACAGAAAAAAUAACUACAUCUCCAUGAUGGACCACAGAGAUCCCCGGUCUCCAAUUUGUUGCCCGCGCUCAUUGACUAUUUGCCUCCAUCAUUCAAUUUUGAGGCAUCCAUUUGAUUAACACUCAGUCAAGUAUGUAUAUUUGAAUCCGAUCUUCAAAGGGCAAAUAAUAGUCAUCUCACUUUUGACGUCCAUCAGCAGAGGCACAACAACAUUUGGGACCUUCCGCUGAAGUACAUAAUAGUAACAUAGUCGAAAUAUGCAGAUAUAGCAAGAAUGAUCCUAAUUUAUUUAGGCAUCACUACCAGUUUGCCCUCAAUGCCUCGAGCGCCAUCUGGCAGAUCAACCAAGUUCCAAACUUGAUUGUCAUCCAUGGACUUUAAUUCGGAUCUCAUGGUCUUAAGCCAUAACUCAGAAUCAGGGCUCUCCGUCGCUUCUGCAUACAUUGCCGACUCGUUGUUCUCCAAGAACAACACAUUGCAGUUAUGCAUAUUGCGCAACCUUUCCGACCUCUGUGGAAUCAGCGUCGACUCCACUAUGGGUUCCUUGACUAACUCCAUGUGGUUCUCGAAUUUCCUCUAGUCGGAUCAUCCUCCCACUAGCCUUCCGAUUGAGAAACUCUUUCUCAAGGAAAACUCCAUGUCGAGCGACAAACACUUUGCCCUCUUCACAGAUGUAGGAGUAAUAUCCCAAGGUUUCCCUUGGAUACCCCAUGAAUAUGCACUUGUCCGAUUUGGGUGUGCGCUUGUCUGACUGGAGUCGCUUGACGUAUGAUUCACAACCCCAAAUUUUUAGAGAAGACAAAGUUUGGCUCUUCGCAGUCCAUAUCUCAUAUGACGUCUUAUCUACAAACUUGGAUGGUACCCUAUUUAGUGUGAAAGCUGCAGUUUCUAGAGCGUAUCGCCAAAAUAACAAGGGUAAAUCCGACUGACUCGUCAUUGAUUGGGCCAUGUCUAACAGAGUCUGAUUCCUUCGUUCCAACACGCCAUUUCUCUGUGGCAUACCCCGAGGAGUCAGUUGUGGAACUAUCCUACGACUCUUCAGAUAAUCAUCAAACUCCUGGCUCAUAUACUCAUUCGCCACGAUCAGAUCGCAGAAGUUUGAUUCUCUUGUCGAGUUGAUUCUCCACUUCAUUCUGAAACUCCUUGAACUUUUCAAAAGUUUCUAACUUGUGCCUCAUCAAGUAGACAUAUCCAAAUCUACUCAAGUUAUCUGUAAACGUCAUGAAGUAUUGGAAACCACCUCUAGCUGGACUUGUUUUACCAUUGUUGAAAUGUCUUGUGCAUCGGGAUUCCGAGUCUGAUCGGAGGGUCUCGAGAUGGAGGAUUGUCUCUGCGGAUCGUGAGCUUGUCAUGGGCAAAGUUGGGACACCCCUGCAGGGUUUAAACUUUCGAGAGCCAUGCCCGCGGUUAUGUGGCAGAUGGGAAUUUGUUAAUAUCUGGUUGUAGAGGACUUGAACUAAACUCAAUUAAAAUACACCAACCGCGGGUGUAACCGUGACUGUCUCUUUCCAGGUGCGUUCGAGAAGAGAAUACGGUUGGGUUAUGUUUGAACGUAAGUGGUUUAGGAUCACUUCUUGAUCACUAUUAGUUUGCGACCGUUGUGUAGAUUCUCUUCUUACUUUUGUACUCGUAAGUUAGCCACCAUACAAAUGCUUAGUGCUUGCUGCAGCUUCACCACUAUCCAUUCCAUACCCAUUAAGCUUUGCUAGUCUUCAUACCCAUGGUAAUGGGAUUGCUGAGUCCUCGUGGCUCACAGAUGACUACAACAAUAGUUGUAGGUACAGGUAAUGCAAUGAUCUGACGUGAGAGCGAUGCUUGAUUGCUUUUGGAGUUCUUCUUCUUCUUCGAUCAAGGGAUUAGGUUCCGGGUCGGGGAGCCUGGGAUUAGUGGGGUGGAUAUUAUUCUUCUUUUUUGUUUGAUUUCAUCCGUAGUCGGAUCCUGCCCUUCUGUGUGCGCUCGAAAUGCGGUUGGAACAGACGAUCGCUAGACAGCGCGCCCGCAUUGCCACCCUCAAAGACGGUGAUGCCAGCUCUGCCUUCUUUCACCGGCAGUGCUCGUUUCAAUGACAGAAAAACCGCAUCUUCUGCCUCUCUGCGAACGGCACGCUACUCACAGACCAUGACGAGAUGGCCGAGGCUGCAUUCCGGCACUAUGACACACUGCUUGGCACGGCGGUCGAACACGACCACUCGAUGGACCUGUCGCAGCUCAUCGAGGGGAGCGAUCUCUCCGACCUUGACGCGACCUUUUGCCCGGAGGAGAGAUGGGAAGCUGUGAAACGCCUCCCCGCGCACAAGGCAGCUGAGCCUGAUGGCUUUAGCGCUGAAUUUCUCCGCGUGUGCCGGAGCAUCAUCAAGCAGGACUUCAUGGAUGUGUUCCAGUAGCUCUUCGAGCUGCGUGGCCGUGGCUUCUGCAAGGUCAACCAGGCCCUUCUCACGCUGCUGCCGAAGCCCAGGAGGUGCGCAACUACCGCCCGAUAUGCCUCAUUCAUAUCGUGGCCAAGGUACUCGCGAAGGCCCUCUCGCUCCGGCUAGCUCCAAAACUUGACCGCUUUGUCAGCCGCAAUCAAAACGCGUUCAUCCUCGGACGGAGCCUACACGACAACUUUAUGCUCGUCAGGCAAUCGGUCAAGCUGCUGAGCCAACUUGGGGGCCCCAGGGUGAUGCUCAAGCUCGACCUCACGCGCGCUUUUGACUCCAUCUCCUGGCCGUUCCUCUUUGAGGUUCUGCGCCAAUUUGGGUUCGGGAAUCGCUUCCUCGAAUGGAUCGCCAUCCUCCUGUCCUCGGCAAGCACUCGGGUGUAGUUGAUUGGUGUCCCAGGCCCACUGAUAUGGCAUAAGGGAGGGCUGCGGCAGGGGGGACUCCUUGUCCCCGCAGCUGUUCGUGCUCGCGGUCGACACUCUCGGCCGGCUGAUUCGGCGCGCCCAUGAUACGGGCAUCCUCCAGCCGCUGCAUCUGCGGAGGCCGAUACCGGCUAUAUCCCUAUACGCCGACGACGUCAUGCUCUUUUGCCAUGCCACGGAGAGUGACGUGACUGUCGUCAAGGAAAUCCUUGACCUGUUUGGUAGAGCGUCCAGCCUCAAGGUGAACUACACCAAGAGCUCGGCCACGGUCUUGCAUCGGGAAUAGGUUGCCUCCGAGAUGAUCACCAGCUUGGGGUGUUCGACUGCCGCGCUCCCGGUCACCUACCUCGGUAUACCUCUGACGAUGCGCCGCCCUUCCGCCGGGCAGUUGCAGCCCCUUGUCGACAAGGUCACCGGACGCUUGCCCACCUGGAAAGCAUGGCUCAUGAACAGAGCCGGCAGGCUCGCCCUCGUCAAGUUCUUCCUUUGCACUAUCCCGGUGCACCAGCGGGUUGCAUUUGCCCCCUCGAAGAAAAGACUGCAGCAACUCGAGAAAAUUCAACGAGGGUUCCUCUGGGCCGGGCGAGCCAUCACCAACGGCGGGCACUGCCAUGUGAACUGGCAUCAUGCUUCCCGCCCGCUCGCGCUUGGCAGCCUUGGGGUUCGUGAUGUCGAGCGCGUUGGACUCGCGCUCAGGCUGCGGUGGCUCUGGCUCUCGCGAACGGACGAAGGGCGCGCCUGGCAGGGGCUGGACCUCCAAUUUUCUAGCAACGAGCGUACACUGUUCUUUGCCUCCACCUACAUGACCAUUGGAAAUGGCAUGAACGCCCUGUUCUGGGAGGAUCGAUGGCUCAACGGGCACUCGGUUGGCGAGCUCAUGCCCCUGUUCUACAGCUGCAUCCCCAAACGCCGGCGCAAAGCUAGAACGGUGGCCGAAGGUCUCAACUGCAACGCAUUGGCCCAUGACAUCCAGGGCGUCCUCGUCAUCCACGAGAUAGGCCAGUAUCUACAGCUUUGGCAACUCACGGAACAGGCUAUGCUCAGCGAUGCUCCUGACCAGCUGAUCUGUAAGCAGACUGCGAGCGGCAUCUAUUCGGCGCAGUCUUGCUACGCGGCUACCUUCCAAGGAUCAGUGCACUCCUACUCUUGGAAGUUGAUCUGGAAGGCUUGGGCUCCCCCUCGACUCAAGUUUUUCCAUUGGCUUGCCAACCUGGAUCGCUGCUGGACUGCCGAUCGACUGGCCUGCCAAAGACUGCAGCAUCAUCUGUGCUGCCUUCUUUGCGAUCAGGCGCCGGAAAUGAUCCGGCACCUCAUGCUUGACUGCCCCUUCUCUAGGCAGGCAUGGCAUGAGACCCUGGCCUGGCUACGCAUACCGGCGUCGAUCCCCAACCAGGAGCCCACCCUCAUGGACUGGUGGCGGCACGCCGCAAGCACAACGCAAGGCCCUGCAAUCCGUAGUGCUACUCGUACCAUGGCUCGUCUGGAAGCAUAUGAACAGCCACGUCUUCGACAGCGCGACGCCCUCCCUAGGCACGCUAGUCGACCGGAUCAAGGAGGAAGCCGACUCCUGGGCUAAGGCCGGAGCAGUAGGCCUUAGAGUAGUCCUACCCCCUUUAUGGGACGUGCACUGAGCAUUGUAUCUGAUCCUUCAUUAUUCAUCCUAGGACGACUGUAACUGACUCCCUACCUUUUCAAUGAAAAGAAACGGAAAGGUCUUUUGCAUUUUCUCGAGAAAAAAAAGAAUGACCUUGAGGCAAGCUCAAUGAAAAUACGUUUUCCAAAGGUUUCAAGACUAUCUUCCUUGUGCUCUGGGAUAAAGCCAUUUGCAAUUCAUAGUCAGAUCAGCUUGUCCACAUCAAUCUUGUAAUCCUUUGGAAAUAUAGCACAAAAGGAAAAGCAUUGCUUCAUGUGUGAUGGCAAGUCAUUGUAGCUAAGCUUUAAUAUUGGCAGAAUCCAGUUUCCAAAGUGCAAAUGCUGCUACUAGAUGAUAUAGCCUUCCACUCUUCGACGCUAGUCUUGGUACGAAGUACAUAGCCCAAUGCAGUUGCAGCUAAAGGAGAGCCAGAACAUCAGCUUACAAUCUCAUCAACCAUCUUGCUUAGCUCGACAGGCUUUUCUUUCUCCGAACUGAAUGCUCUAGCCUCAGUAAUUUCCUUUACGAAGAAAUCCUCCACAAUAUUGAGAUUGUAGGCUCUACCUGCACCCAUAAUUUCAGUGACUUGUUUAUCACGAGUUCUUGUUAACAUUGCACUACCCAUGCCACCAUGUUGAGGACAGACCUUCAGCCUUCCCAACUUAUAGACCUCUCUGUUCCAGACAUCAUCCAAUACAUGGAGAUACCUGUGCCCGCUGUCCAGUUUUUGAAAUCUAUCCAAAGGUAUCAUAGACCUCUCUGGGGGAUGCCCGCUGUACCCAGAGCUGCAACUGAAAAUGAUUCUGAAUUUCAGGUUCAUUGUAUAUGAGUUACGCUAAUGUGGUCUUGCCAAGGCCCCCCAUUCCAACAAUGGGAACUACUGCGAGAUCAGUAUUGCUAGCUUGACCAAGUAGUAUGUCAACGAUAUUAUUCUUAUCUCCGUGUUUGGAUCUGUUGGCAAUUUCUUGUUGGUCGCUGAUGACAUAAUCUGUGUGCCUCCACUCCUUGGACACUCGUGUUUGCCUCAACUGAUUAGACACCAACAACGUCUGCCUCAACAUAAGCGCGACGCGUUGUUGGGCUAGGCCCAGAACGGUGCGCGGGCAGGUGGGGCGUAUUUUUACCGUAGUAACUGUUUCGUCCGCUGCGCUUCCCCACGACCUGCGUUGAACACGCACGUGGAGGGUCGUGCGUGACGUGGGGGUCAUGCGUGGGGCGGUCUCCACACGCAUGCGUCACAUCGCAUUUAAUGGGAAAAGAGGCGGCCCACGCCUUCCCCGUAAAAAGGAAUAACAGCGGGCGCGCUGUUCAUUUACCCCCUGCGUCUUCUUCAAUCUCGGAAUCGCCGUCCCCUUCUUCUUCCUUCUCAAACUCUCGCCUUUGCUCGUUGCCGCCGCAUCUUCGCUGUCCUCCGUCCUUUGCCUCUCGCAGCCGCCAUGGCCCCCAAAACAAGUAAAGGAAAGGGAGUGGCCAAGGAUGCCGGGGCGAAGGAGCCGCCGGAGAGCGAGUUGGUGGCGCGGCGGACGCAUCUCGCCUACUUCCCCUCGACGGUCGACGCGGUCGAACUCCGGGACUACUUCAGGNNNNNNNNNNNNNNNNNNNNNNNNNNNNNNNNNNNNNNNNNNNNNNNNNNNNNNNNNNNNNNNNNNNNNNNNNNNNNNNNNNNNNNNNNNNNNNNNNNNNNNNNNNNNNNNNNNNNNNNNNNNNNNNNNNNNNNNNNNNNNNNNNNNNNNNNNNNNNNNNNNNNNNNNNNNNNNNNNNNNNNNNNNNNNNNNNNNNNNNNNNNNNNNNNNNNNNNNNNNNNNNNNNNNNNNNNNNNNNNNNNNNNNNNNNNNNNNNNNNNNNNNNNNNNNNNNNNNNNNNNNNNNNNNNNNNNNGCGUGUCAUCCCCGCCAAUUGCGCCGAGGCCGCCCCGAAUCGGUAUCCGUUCUUCGUCGAUUACUUUUCUUGCGGUCUCUGCCCCCCUUUCUCCGAUUUCUUCAAUGAUGUCAUGCACACAUUUGGCUUCCACCUUCUGGAUUUCACUCCCAAUGCCGUGGCGUGCAUGGCUCUUUUCGCCCAUCUCUGUGAGGGCUUCGCCGGAGUUCUUCCCAACACAUUGCCCUUCCGCUAUUAGUUUUACCCUCGCAUCCAAAAGGGAGGCGCCAUCUCUGGUUGCGUCGCCUGGAUACCAAGGUCCAAAGGGACGUACCCGGAGGGCGCCCAGAAGGAGAGGUUGGAAGAGUGGCGGGGCCGGUGGUGCUGGAUUGGGGAGGACGACCCGCCGGAAUUUUUCCGGGUUCGUCAGGCGCCGCCGGUUCGCAGGAACGACUGGGGCGAUGUCAACGCCCUGGAUGACAAGCUCAAGGUCGCCACCACCAGGAUUCACCGCCUCACCGUUGCCGGGCUCACCCUGGAGAUGAUUGGGGCGGACUUGAUCCGCCGCCGAAUCGCUCCACUGCACAACAAGGGGAGACCGGCCUGGCUCUUCCAAAACGCGGCUGACAUCAUGAGGCUUCACUCUGGCCUCAACAACAACUUCACGGUGAUGGGGCACGCCCACUUCUGCUAGCGGAUCUUUCAGCUCGACGUGAACCGCGACGGCAGGGCCAAGAGGUCCGGCAAGGCUGCAAAGGCCGGCAAGGUCCUCAAGGGGCCCUUGUUUGGGUUGCCAGCGGGGGUGGUCCCGCUGAGCAACAACUCGCGCCAGACCGACAUCAUCGCCAUGAUGUCGGACUACAAUGCACACGGUCCCGUCCCAAAUUGGUUCGAGCCGCUAGCGGAUCAGGUGCAGGAGUUCUUUGAUACUUUGGCGGAGAAGUAUGUCUGCGACGAGCCGCUGCUCAUCUAGGACACCACCCAAGCAGAGCUGGACUACAUCGCCGCCAGGGCGGCGGAGGCGGAGCUCGCUAGGGAGGCCGGCAGCGCUGGCGGCAUGGAGGACGAGGUCGCAGCAGCCGCAGAGGAGAGGGAGCUCGCCCAGUGGGAGGAAUCCGAUGGGGAGGCCAGCAGCGCCAGCACCGGGGCCCCUCUUAUUGAAGAUGUGGUCGACGAUUCGGAGGAGGAGGAGGUCGAGGCUGUCGAUCCUCCGGUCAUGGGGAGAGGGCGAGUCCUGCGGCGGGCCAGCUCCGGCAAGCCGGUCCAGCCCGGCAGGGCUGUGCAACCGCAGCAGACCUAGGAGGGGUAUGUGCGCCAGACAAGGGCCGCGGUGGCGAGGAAGUUGGUGAAGGCCGUGGUGGCGAAGAAGAAAGCAACAACCUCUUCUUCGUUCAAGCGUGGCCAGACUCCACCUUCUUCCCCUCCUCGGGCAGACGUUGACACGGAGGUCGUCUUCGACUUUGGGUCCCUCAGCCCAAGGAGGAAGAGGAAGGCAUCAGAAGAGGAGGUGGAGGAUGAGUAAGUUUCUUGUUACUUUUUGUCAUCUCCGUCUCCUCAGACUGUGCUGCUUAUCUCGAUUUGUUUUCAUCUUUGCAGGGAUGCGGAGACGCUGGCCCAGAGGGUGAAGAGGGCCAGGUCCUCGGCUGGCGGCCGGCCUCCGGCGGGCACUUCGAGGAUGCCACUAGUGGUGGUGAGCAGCCCGGACAGCAGUCCCCGAAGCAGCCCCCGGCGUAAGUUCCCCACUCGUCCCUCGUCAACGUGUGUUGGGGGUACGAUCCCUUGGCGCUAACCUUGCCGUGAUUGCAGGAGGAGGACAACAGGAGGAGGAGCCACGGAGGGUUACCCCCAACACGCUGCCCCCAUCGACCACGCCGCCCCGAGGGGUGGUGUCUACUACGCAACCUUCUUCUUGUAGACGUUGUUGGGCCUCCAAGUGCAGAGGUUUGUAGGACAGUAGAAAAUUUCCCUCAAGUGGAUGACCUAAGGUUUAUCAAUCCGUGGGAGGCGUAGGAUGAAGAUGGUCUCUCUCAAGCAACCCUGCAACCAAAUAACAAAGAGUCUCUUGUGUCCCCAACACACCCAAUACAAUGGUAAAUUGUAUAGGUGCACUAGUUCGACGAAGAGAUGGUGAUACAAGUGUAAUAUGGAUGGUAGAUAUAGGUUUUUGUAAUAUGAAAAUAUAAAAACAGCAAGCUAACUAAUGAUAAAAGUGAGCACAAACGGUAUUGCAAUGCGUUGAAACAAGGCCUAGGGUUCAUACAUUCACUAGUGCAAGUUCUCUCAACAAUAAUAACAUAAUUGGAUCAUAUAACUAUCCCUCAACGUGCAACAAAGAGUCACUCCAAAGUCACUAAUAGAGGAGAACAAACGAAGAGAUUAUGGUAGGGUACGAAACCACCUCAAAGUUAUUCUUUCGGAUCGAUCUUAUUCAAGAGUUCGUACUAGAAUAACACCUUAAGACAAAAUCAACCAAAACCCUAAUGUCACCUAGAUACUCCAAUGUGACCUCAAGUAUCCGUGGGUAUGAUUAUACGAUAUGCAUCACACAAUCUCAGAUUAAUCUAUUCAAACCAACACAAAGUACUUCAAAGAGUGUCCCAAAGUUUCUACCAGAGAGUCAAGACGAAAACGUGUGCCAACCCCUAUGCAUAGGUUCAUGGGCGGAACCCGCAAGUUGAUCACCAAAACAUACAUCAAGUGGAUCACGUGAUAUCCCAUUGUCACCAGAGAUACGCACAUGCAAGACAUACGUCAAGUGUUCUCAAAUCCUCAAAGACUCAAUCCGAUAAGAUAACUUCAAAGGGAAAACUCAAUCCAUUACAAGAGUGUAGAGGGGGAGAAACACCAUAAGAUCCAACUAUAAUAGCAAAGCUCGCGAUACAUCAAGAUCGUACCACCUCAAGAACACAAGAGAGAGAGAGAGAGAGAGAUCAAACACAUAGCUACUGGUACAUACCCUCAGCCCCGAGGGUGAACUACUCCCUCCUCGUCAUGGAGAGCGCGGGGAUGAUGAAGAUGGCCACCGGUGAGGGUUUCCCCCUCCGGCAGGGUGCCGGAACAGGGUCCCGAUUGGUUUUUGGUGGCUACAGAGGCUUGCGGCGGCGGAACUCCCGAUCUAUUCUGUUCACCUAUGUUUUUAGGGUAUAUGGAUAUAUAUAGGCGAAAGAAGUCGGUAAGGGGAGCCACGAGGGGCCCACGAGGGUGGAGGGCACGCCCAGGGGGUGGGCGCGCCCCCUACCUCGUGCCUUCCUUGUUGCUUCCCUUACGUACACUCCAAGUCUUCUGGAUUGCUUCGGUUCCAAAAAUAACUCUCCCGAAGGUUUCAUUCCGUUUGGACUCCGUUUGAUAUUCCUUUUCUGCGAAACACUGAAACAAGGAGAAAAACUGAAACUAGCACUGGGCUCUGGGUUAAUAAGUUAGUCCCAAAAAUAAUAUAAAAGUGCAUAGUAAAUCCCAUUAAACAUCCAAGAUGGAUAAUAUAAUAGCAUGAAUACUUCAUAAAUUAUAGAUACGUUGGAGACGUAUCAGCAUCCCCAAGCUUAAUUCCUGCUCGUCCUCGAGUAGGUAAAUGAUAUAAGAAAUAAUUAUGAAGUGUGAAUGCUAGCAGGUGCACAAGUUUGAUCAAUGAUAAUUUCAAUCACCUUUUCAAGCAUCAUUAUAUGUCAUAACAGUAGCUCAACUCAUAAAACUUUUCAUGAUCAAGUAACAAGCUAUUCACAUAUUAAAGCAUAGACCAUAAACUUUCUUGAAAACUAACAAACUAUGUUCUCAGUCAUCAAACAAUUGCAAUUCAUCUUAUUUUCAGGAAGGGUCUAUGUAAGAGCUUUGAUUUAGCAAAUCCCACAUACUCAACUAUCAUAUAGUCUUCCAUGAUUGCUACCACUCAAAGCAUAUUUUCGGAACAAAUAGCAUCCAUCGAACACAGAGAAAGAUAGGGGCUUAAUGUUUCGCCUCCCAACUUAUUUAUCAUAUAGAUAAUUGUCAACAAUAAUAAUUCAUGAUCAAAUAUAUUUGAAUGGCCAUAUAUGCUUAGAUCUUUCCAUCACAUGAUGCUUGCCAACUAAAAAGUAGGUUGGAAUGAGAAGGAAUACUACUGACUCUUGCAUAAAAGUAAAAGAUAGGCCCUUCACAGAGGGAAGCAGGGAUUUGCAGAGGUGCCAGAGCUCGAAGCUAAAACAGAGAUGAAAAUAAUUUUGAGAGGUAUGCUUUCAUUGUCAACAUAACGACCAAGAGUUCCCAAUAUCUUCCAUACUACAUACAUUAUAGGCGGUUCCCACGCGGAAAGGUAAAGUUUUUACUCCCCCUCCACCAACAUUCACACUCCACGGCUUGUCCGAAACAAUGGGUGCCGUCCAACUAUCAACAUUCUUGGGGGAGUUUGUUGAAAUUAUUUGUGAAUUUGUUUUUGAUCUUUUGAUCAUAGGACUGGGCAUCCCAGUUACCAGCCAUUUUCUCGUGAAUGAUGAGCGGUGUCCACUCAUCGUGAGAAUAACCCACCCAGCAUGGAAGAUACUGACAGCCCCUAGUCGCUACAUGAGCGAUUCGGGCAUACAAAACAGAUUAUUAUUUGAAGGUUUAGAGUUUGGCACAUGCAAAUUUACUUGGAACGGCAGGUAAAUACCGCAUAUAGGUAGAUAUGGUGGACACUCAUGGAAGAAACUUGGUUCGAGGAAUUUGGAUGCACAAGCAGUAUUCCUGCUUAGUACAGACAUUUUGGCUAGCAAAUGAUUCUAAAUAGCAAGCACCACAAGUUAGAGGAUCCAUAACAAUAUAACUUCUAUACAAAUAUACCCAAGCAUAACUCAUUAUGUUGUCUUCCUUGUCCAACUUCAACUAAUUUGCUCAGGUUUGCUAAUAAUUAAUGGGGCUCACGAUCAUAGAAGAUGUCCAAGAUAGUAUUAUAUGUGAAAUCUCUCUUCCUUCAAUAUUCUUUCAUGAAUUGUUCAAGUGACAAAUACAAAGUUUGCUAACCUUCAAAAAAUUUACCACCUCUACUUCUUAUAUGUGAAGUCAUUACUCCCCAUGGGAUAAGUAUAUGAAACAUAUAUAAUUUCAGAUUUAUAAUAUUCAAAUCAUUCAACUAUUUACUCAUAGGAUAUAAGUGAAGCACACGAGUAAAUGACAAACUACUCCAAAAAGAUAUAAGUGAAGAUCAAUGAGUAGUUAAAUAAUUAUGUAGUUAUCUGAAGACUCUAUCUCAUUUAAGAAUUUCAGAUCUUGGUAUUUUAUUCAUACAGCAAGCAAAACAAAAGAAAAUAAAAUGACGCUCCAAGUAAAACACAUAUCAUGUGGUGAAUAAAAAUAUAGCUCCAAGUAAAGUUACCGAUGAACGAAGACGAAAGAGGGGAUGCCAUCCGGGGCAUCCCCAAGCUUAGGCUCUUGGUUGUCCUUGAAUAUUACCUUGGGGUGCCUUGGGCUUCCCCAAGCUUAGGCUCUUGCCACUCCUUAUUCCAUAGUCCAUCGAAUCUUUACCCAAAACUUGAAAACUUCACAACACAAAACUUAACAGAAGAUCUCGUGAGCUCCGUUAGCGAAAGAAAACAAAACACCACUUCAAGGUACUGUAAUGAACUCAUUAUUUAUUUGUAUUGGUGUUAAAUCUAAUGUAUUCCAACUUCUCUAUGGUUUACAAACUAUUUUACAAGCCAUAGAUUCAUCAAAAUAAGCAAACAACACACGAAAAACAGAAUCUGUCAAAAACAGAACAGUCUGUAGUAAUCUGUAACUAACGCAAACUUCUUGAACUCAACAAAUUCUACCAAAAUAGGACGACCUAGAUAAUUUUAUUAUUGAUCUGAUGCAAUUGGAAUCAGUAUUUUAUCACGUUCUGGUGAUUUUAAACAAUUGUUUUCGUGAACAGAAAGUUUCUGGAAUUUUCAGCAAGAUCAAAUAACUAUCAUCCAAGAAGAUCCUAUAGGUCUUACUUGGCGCAAACACUAAUUAAAACAUAAAACCACAUCUAAACAGAGGCUAGAUAGAUUAUUUAUUGCUAAACAGAACCAUAAAGAAAGAACAAAAAUAAAAAUCGGGUUGCCUCCCAACAAGCGCUAACGUUUAACGCCCCUAGCUAGGCAUGAUGAUUUCAAUGAUGCUCGCAUAAAAGAUAAGAAUUGAAAUAUAAAGAGAGCAUCAUGAAAAAUAUGACUAGCACAUUUAAGUCUAACCCACUUCCUAUGCAUAGGGAUUUUGUGAGAAAACAACUUAUGGGAACAAUAAUCAACUAGCAUAGGAAGGCAAAACAAGCAUAACUUCAAAACUUUAAGCACAUAGAGAGGAAACAUGAUAUUAUUGCAAUUCAUACAAGCAUACAUUCCUCCCUCAUAAUAAUUUUCAGUAGCAUCAUGAAUGAAUUCAACAAUAUAACCAGCACCUAAAGCAUUCUUUUCAUGAUCUACUUGCAUAGAAAUUUUCCUACUCUCCACGUAAGCAAAUUUAUUCUCAUCAAUAGUAGUGGGAGCAAACUCAACAAAAUAACUAUCAUGUGAUUGAAAAUUAAGAUCAAGAUGACAAGUUUCAUGGUUAUCAUUAUUCUUUAUAGCAUACGUGUCAUCACAAUAAUCAUCAUAGGUAGGAGGCAUGCUUUCAUCAUAAUAAAUUUGCUCAUCAAAACUUGGGGGACAAAAAAUAUCAUCUUCAUCAAACAUAGCUUCCCCAAGCUUGUAAUCAUGCUCAUCAUUCAAAUAUUUAGUGCCAAACAUUCUAAUGCAUUCUUCCUCUAGCAAUUGAGCGCAAUUAUCGGAAUCCUUAUUUUCACGGAAGACAUUAAAAAGAUGAAGCAUAUGAGGCACACUCAAUUCCAUUUUUUGUAGUUUUCUUUUAUAAAAUAAACUAGUGAUAAAACAAGAAACUAAAAGAUUCCAUUGCAAGAUCUAAAUAUAUACCUUCAAGCACUCACCUCCCCGACAACGGCGCUAGAAAAGAGCUUAGUUGACGGGGUGUGAGUGCCGCUUACCUAGCCUCCCCGGCAACGGCGCCAGAAAAGAGCUUGAUGUCUACUACGCAACCUUCUUCUUGUAGACGUUGUUGGGCCUCCAAGUGCAGAGGUUUGUAGGACAGUAGCAAAUUUCCCUCAAGUGAAUGACCUAAGGUUUAUCAAUCCGUGGGAGGCGUAGGAUGAAGAUGGUCUCUCUCAAGCAACCCUGCAACCAAAUAACAAAGAGUCUCUUGUGUCCCCAAAACACCCAAUACAAUGGUAAAUUGUAUAUGUGCACUAGUUCGGCGAAGAGAUGGUGAUACAAGUGUAAUAUGGAUGGUAGAUAUAGGUUUUUGUAAUCUGAAAAUAUAAAAACAGCAAGGUAACUAAUGAUAAAAGUGAGCACGAACGGUAUUGCAAUGCGUUGAAACAAGGCCUAGGGUUCAUACUUUCACUGGUGCAAGUUCUCUUAACAAUAAUAACAUAAUUGGAUCAUAUAACUAUCCCUCAACAUGCAACAAAGAGUCACUCCAAAGUCACUAAUAGAGGAGAACAAACGAAGAGAUUACGGUAGGGUACGAAACCACCUCAAAGUUAUUCUUUCGGAUGAUCUUAUUCAAGAGUUCGUACUAGAAUAACACCUUAAGACACAAAUCAACCAAAACCCUAAUGUCACCUAGAUACUCCAAUGUCACCUCAAGUAUCCGUGGGUAUGAUUAUACGAUAUGCAUCACACAAUCUCAGAUUGAUCUAUUCAAACCAACACAGAGUACUUCAAAGAGUGUCCCAAAGUUUCUACCGGAGAGUCAAGAUGAAAACGUGUGCCAACCCCUAUGCAUAGGUUCAUGGGCGGAACCCGCAAGUUGAUCACCAAAACAUACAUCAAGUGGAUCACGUGAUAUCCCAUUGUCACCACAGAUAUGCACAUGCAAGACAUACAUCAAGUGUUCUCAAAUCCUUAAAGACUCAAUCCGAUAAGAUAACUUCAAAGGGAAAACUCAAUCCAUUACAGGAGUGUAGAGGGGGAGAAACAUCAUAAGAUCCAACUAUAAUAGGAAAGCUCGCGAUACAUCAAGGUUGUACCACCUCAAGAACACGAGAGAGAGAUCAAACACAUAGCUACUGGUGCAUACCCUCAGCCCCGAGGGUGAACUACUCCCUCCUCGUCAUGGAGAGCGCGGGAAUGAUGAAGAUGGCCACCGGUGAGGGUUCCCCCCUCCUGCAGGGUGCAGGAACAGGUUCUCGAUUUGUUUUUGGUGGCUACAGAGGCUUGCGGCGGCGGAACUCCUGAUCUAUUCUGUUCCCCGAUGUUUUUAGGGUAUAUGGAUAUAUAUAGGCGAAAGAAGUCGGUAAGGGGAGCCACAAGGGGCCCACGAGGGUGGAGGGCGCGCCUAGGGGGGUGGGCGCGCCCCCUGUCUCGUGCCUUCCUCGUUGCUUCCCUUACGUACACUCCAAGCCUUCUGGAUUGCUUCCGUUCCAAAAAUAACUGUCCCGAAGGUUUCAUUCCCUUUGGACUCCGUUUGAUAUUCCUUUUCUGCGAAACACUGAAACAAGGAGAAAAAACUGAAACUAGCACUGGGCUCUGGGUUAAUAAGUUAGUCCCAAAAAUAAUAUAAAAGUGCGUAGUAAAGCCCAUUAAACAUCCAAGAUGGAUAAUAUAAUAGCAUGAAUACUUCAUAAAUUAUAGAUACGUUGGAGACGUAUCAAGGGGCGUCCCCGGCAAGGGCGCCAAGCACCGAGCCCAUGCACACAGAGGAGGAGGAGGCAGACUUGGGCGCUAGUGGCUCCGCCUCGGUGCCAGAUGUUGGCAGGGAAGGGGCUACUUCUUCCCAGCCCGGCACGGGUACGUCACUUGCCUCCUGUCCCUGCUUUUUCUUCUUCUUUUUGAAUCUUGGUCUUGGCUCCGCCUCAUCCCCUUCUCGAUAUCCAGACCCUCCCUCGGCGGACCGGGAGGACAUAGACACCGUCAUCGAGGAUGUCGCCAAGGACACCGCGGCGGAGGCCGAGAAGAUUGCCGCCGAGGAGGCCGCCAAGGGCGCUGCCGAGGACGCCGCAAAGCGAUCUGCCGGGGAGUCCGGCAUGUCUACUGCCAAAGUGGCCGGCAAGGGGCCUGCCGGGGAGGCCGGCAAGGCCGCUGCCGGGGAGGAGGUGGUUAACGACCAACCUUCCUCCUCUGCUGCCUCUGGUUCCGGCAGGUAUCUGAAGGUGAGCGACGACCUAUUCGUCAACCUCCUAGGGACGGCGAGCACUAGGGCGCCCACCGAGGGAGAGGUGUUCGACGAGGAGGUGCUUGCCGCCGCUGGGCUCGAGGUUGUUGACGAGUCGAGCGCCGGUGGCGACGGUUCCCAGGAAGAGCGGCUCCUUCAGGCCAUGGGCGCCAGCUUUCGGAAGCUCCAGGCGCUCCACCGCGCCCGCCUGGACAAGGCCAAGUCCAGGAUGGCAGCGGUGGAAAAGGCGGAGGCGGACCUCGAGGGUCGCAUCGUCGAGACGCAGGCUUGGUUCCGCCAGGGCUGCGAGGAGCUGAAGACCGCCCAGGACGAGCUGGCCAAGCGCAAGGUGGAGCUCGUCAUGAAGCAGGCCGACAUCGAGAGGGGCCAGGAGUUGGCGAAGAACCAGGCCGCCAAGGACGAGGUCGCUCGGUCCCAGCACCAGGCCGCGCUGAACUCCCAGGAAGAGGACCUUGCCGCUCGCGAGGAGAAGCUCGCCGUGACACUCCGCGGCAAGGACGAGGAGGUCAAGAAGCUUGUCCUGCAGCGGACCCAGGAGUUGGAGCAGAAGCACGAGGAGGCGCUCAAUGCCCAGGCUUAGGUCCACGCCGGCAAGGUGAAGGAGCUGGAGGUGGAGCGGGACGAGCUGAAGAAGCAGGCCCUGGAGUUGACGGCGGAGAGGGACGCUGCCAAAGGUGCCCUGGCCGACGCGCAGGCCGCAGUCCUCAGCAAGGCCGGGCUACUCUCCACGGCCAACGAGACCAUCAAGGACCUGAAGCUGAAGCUGGAGGGCCUUGAGGGGACGCUCUCGGAGGCCAAGGCCCGGGAGGAGACCCUGGCCAAAGAUUUGGAGGCCGAGAAGCAGCUGCGGAAGAACGAAACCGCCAACCACAAGGAUUUUGUGGAGGGCGAGAACCGCUGGAUCAGCCGCCUCAAAGGCGUCGCCGGCAGGAUCACCACGCAGCUGGCUACGAUGGGGAUGCCAAAUGUGAGGUACGCCCCGGAGCCCAAUGUGACUCCCAAUGCCAAGCUGACCCUAUUCUUCGAGGGUGUCCUUGGAGCCCUGGAGCAUCUUCGCUCCAGCAGGGCGGCCUCUUUGGCCGAUGAGGCCCGGAAGCUUUGCCGGGGUGCCAUGACCAAGGUCCUCACCAAGGUGGCGUACUGGAACCCCGACCUCGACUUCGACGCCGCACUAGAGAGCUUGCCGGAGGAUGCUGACCUCGCGGCGCUCAAGGAGCGUAUCAAGCCCAUCAUCAGUCGCGUCGACGGAAUCCAGAGGGUGGAGGGCCAGCGCUGGGAUUAGGCACCCCGUUUCUCAUUGCCGCUGCAGGUUCAUGACCAUGACAAUUUCUAUCUUUAGUUAGAACCGCGGCAACAACUGAUGUAAUAUAACUCUGCAGUACAUUCGUGAUGAUGUAUGUUAUCUUCCUGUUUGAUCUUCCUUUGUAUGUUCACCCUACGUUAAUCGGGUAGGCUUGCCGGCGCGUAAACCCAGGCCGCGGCGCCUUGAGGAUGGAUCCCCAAUGGCCUGCCGGGUAUGCUUGCUGCCAGGCGAACCACCUUACCGCAUUAGUAGAAAACAGGGCUUUGGUUCCGGCCUGGCCAGCCCAUUAGUCCCGGUUCUUCAUGAACCGGGACCCAUGGGGGGCAUUAGUCCCGGUUCAUGAGCCCAGGGGGCCGUCCGGGGCCUCGUGGGCAUUGGUCCAGGUUCCUCUGGAUCCAUUUGUACCGGUUCUAGAGGGCCGCGCUCCUUGCCCACAGCCAUUGGUACCGGUUCGUGCCUAUAACCGGGACAGAAGGGGGGGGGGCUUUAGUACCGGUUCGUGCCACAAACCGGGACAAAUAAGUUGCCUAUAUAUACUCGUCGCCGCAGCAGAGCACUCCACAGUGCUCUGUUUUUUCUGGCCGGCGAGGGGAGGGCAUUUGGGUGCUCUAGCUCACCUCCUAUGCACAUGAGGUGUUUGAUGAAAUGCCCGAGCGACACUAGUUAAGCUUUCUCCUCUUGAAGCUCGACCUCGGAGCUCCAUUUUUCCCAAGAUUUGUCUAGAUUUAGCGGUCCGUCACGCCCCGUCCCCGUUUUCACCGCCGUCAAUCGCCCGUGCCGAUCUCGUCGCCGGCACCAUCGUGGUGAGCCUCUUGUUCUUAUCUUCUUUCUGAUUUGCUUAAUUUAGAUAGAUACUUGUCUGAUUUUCUUACUUUUGACACACAUAAUUAUAUAUAAUGCACGCAGAUGAACCGGCAAUGGAUGUACGGUGACAGACACACCUCCGAGUACAUUAAGGGCGUGCAUGAAUUUCUCGAAGUGGCAGAGGCAAACAAGCAGAAUGGUUUUAUGUGUUGUCCAUGCCCUAAAUGUGGGAAUACGAAGUCUUACUCUGACCGGAAAAUCCUGCACACCCACCUGCUUUACAAGGGUUUCAUGCCACACUAUAAUGUUUGGACGAGGCACAGAGAAAUAGGGGUUAUGAUGGAAGACGACGAAGAAGAAGAGGACGAUGACAACUAUGUGCCCCCUGAAUACGGUGAUGCUGCAACGGGGGGAGCUGCCGAAGAUCAAGAGGAACCAGACGAUGUGCCCGAUGAUGCUGCAAUGGGGGAAGCUGCUGAAGAUCAAGAAGAACCAGACGAUGUGCCCGAUGAUAAUGAUCUCCGCCGGGUCAUUGUCGAUGCAAGGAUGCAAUGCGAAAGUCAAAAGGAGCAGCUGAAGUUCGAUCCCAUGUUAGAGGAUCACAAAAAAGGGUUGUACCCCAAUUGCGAAGAUGGCAACACAAAGCUCGGUACCGUACUGGAAUUGCUGCAGUGGAAGGCAGAGAAUGCUGUGCCUGAGAAAGGAUUUGAGAAGCUACUGAAAAUAUUGAAGAAGAAGUUUCCAAAGGACAAUGAAUUGCCUGACAGUACGUACGCAGCAAAGAAGGUCGUAUGCCCUCUAGGAUUGGAGGUGCAGAAGAUACAUGCAUGCCCUAAUGACUGCAUCCUCGACCAUGGUGCGUACAAGGAUUUGAACGCAUGCCCGGUAUGCGGUGCAUUGCGGUAUAAGAUCAGACGAGAUGACCCUGGUGAUGUUGACGGUGAGCCCCGCAGGAAGAGGGUCCCUGCGAAGGUGAUGUGGUAUGCGCCUAUAAUACCACCGUUGAAACGACUAUUCAGAAACAAAGAGCAUGCCAAGUUGAUGCGAUGGCACAGUGAGGACCGUAAGAAAGACGGGAAGUUGAGAGCACCCGCUGACGGGUCGCAGUGGCGAAAAAUUAAGAGAAAGUACUGGGAUGAGUUUGCAGGUGACCCAAGGAAUGUAUGGUUUGCUUUAAGAGCGGAUGGCAUUAAUCCUUUCGGGGAGCAGAGCAGCAAUCACAGCACCUGGCCCGUGACUCUAUGUAUGUAUAACCUUCCUCCUUGGAUGUGCAUGAAGCGGAAGUUCAUUAUGAUGCCAAUUCUCAUCCAAGGCCCUAAGCAACCCGUUAACGACAUUGAUGUGUACCUAAGGCCAUUAGUUGAAGAACUUUUAUAGCUGUGGAAUGGAAACAGUGUACGUGCGUGGGAUGAGCACAGACACGAGGAAUUUAACCUCCAUGCGUUGCUGUUUGUAACCAUCAACGAUUGGCCCGCUCUCAGUAACCUAUCAGGACAGACAAACAAGGGAUACCACGCAUGCACGCACUAUUUAGCUAACACCAAAAGUAUAUACCUGGACAAAUGCAGGAAGAAUGUGUACCUGUGCCAUCAUCGAUUUCUUCCGACCAACCAUCAAUGUCGAAAGAAAGGCAAGCAUUUCAAAGGCGAGGCAGAUCACCGGAAGAAGCCCGCCAUGCGUACCGGUGAUCACGUACUUGCUAUGGUCAAUGAUUUACACCUAAUGUUUGGAAAGGGUCCCGGCGGACUAGCUGUUCCGAAUGACGCUGGGGGACGCGCACCCAUGUGGAAGAAGAAAUCUAUAUUUUGGGACCUGCCCUACUAGAAAGACCUAGAGGUCCGCUCUUCGAUCGACGUGAUGCACGUGACGAAGAACCUUUGCGUGAACCUGCUAGGCUUCUUGGGCAUGUAUGGGAAGACAAAAGAUACAGCUGAGGCACGGGAGGACCUGCAACGUUUGCACGAAAAAGACGGCAUGCCUCCAAAGCAGUAUGAAGGUCCUGCCAGCUAUGCUCUUACCAAAGAAGAGAAGGAAAUCUUCUUUGAAUGUCUGCUUAGUAUGAAGGUCUCGACUGGCUUCUCGUCGAAUAUAAAGGGAAUAAUAAAUAUGCCAGAGAAAAAGUUCCAGAACCUAAAGUCUCAUGACUGCCACGUGAUUAUGACGCAACUGCUUCCGGUUGCAUUGAGGGGGCGUCUACCGAAAAACGUCCGAUUAGCCAUUGUGAAGCUAUGUGCAUUCCUCAAUGCAAUCUCUCAGAAGGUGAUCAAUCCAGAAAUCAUACCAAGGCUAAGGAGUGAUGUGGCGCAAUGUCUUGUCAGUUUCGAGCUGGUGUUCCCACCAUCCUUCUUCAAUAUCAUGACGCACGUCCUAGUUCAUCUAGUUGACGAGAUUGUCAUUCUGGGCCCCGUAUUUCUACAUAAUAUGUACCCCUUUGAGAGGUUCUUGGGAGUCCUAAAGAAAUAUGUCCGUAACCGCGCUAGGCCAGAAGGAAGCAUCUCCAUGGGCCAUCAAACAGAGGAUGUCAUUGGGUUUUGUGUUGACUUCAUUCCUGGCCUUAUGAAGAUAGGUCUCCCUAAAUCGCGGUAUGAGGGGAGACUGGCUGGAAAAGGCACGCUUGGAGGGGACUCAAUAAUAUGCAGGGACGGAUAUUCUUGGUCUCAAGCACACUACACAGUUCUACAGAACUCUACCUUGGUGACCCCUUAUGUCGAUGAACACAAGAACAGUCUGCGCUCCAAACACCCGGAGCAUUGCGACGACUGGAUUACAUGUGAACACAUCAGGACUUUCAGCAGUUGGUUGGAAACACGUCUCAGAGGUGACAACACUGUUUGUGAUGAGAUGUACUCGUUGUCCAGGGGACCAUUUUCGACUGUAUUGACUUACAAAGGAUACAAGAUAAAUGGGAAUACAUUUUACACGAUCGCCCAAGAUCAAAAGAGCACCAACCAAAACAGCUGUGUCCGCUUUGAUGCAGCAACCGAGAGGGGAAAGGACACAUAUUAUGGUUACAUAGUGGACAUAUGGGAACUUGACUACGGACAUGAUUUUAAGGUCCCUUUGUCUAAGUGCAAAUGGGUCAAUCUGUCAGGAGGCGGGGUACAGGUAGACCCACAGUACGGAAUGACAACAGUGGAUCUGAACAAUCUUCGGUACACUGACGAACCUUUCGUCCUAGCCAAUGAUGUGGCACAGUUUAUCUAUGUGAAGGACAUGUCUACCAAACCGAGAAAAAGAAAAGAUAAGGAAGCGAAUACAUCAUACGAUGAGCCAAAGCACCACAUAGUUCUUUUAGGAAAAAGGGACAUCGUGGGAGUGGAGCGCAAGACAGACAUGUCUAAAGAUUAUGAAAAGUUUCCUGAAAUUCCUCCCUUCAAAGUCAAGGCUAACCCAAGCAUCCUAAUAAACGAUGAAGAUUAUCCAUGGUUACGGCGCAAUAAGCAAACGACACAAGCGAAGAAAAAGUGAAGACUUUCUCUCUACAACUAUUAUGAUGAUGCCUUUGAUCUAGAAUAUCACUGCAAUUACAUGUGAAGAAAUGAAAUGCAUGUUGUAACAAACGAGUUUCCGUGUGAAAUGAUGAUACCAUGCCAAUUUGCAACCUUAUCGGAGUUCAUUUGAAAUGGUUUUCAAUUUCCGGGUCUUAUAGCUCAAAAAAGCAGUAAAUGCAUGAAAAAUAACAAAUGAAGUCAGAAAGGGUUGAAAAUUGAUGAUGUUGCUUUGAAUGGUGCAUUUUGAACACACAAGAAGUCUGGAGUUCAAAUAAGUUCGAAAAAAUGAAAUCCCUUUGUAACAGAUGAGCUUUCGUGCGAAACCCUGAUACUUCGAAAGAGAUUGUCCGUUUUGUACACAAAGUGCAUCUAGUUUUUGCCGUAACCCUCUCAACUUUCUUGCACAUGCUAUGUGGGUGAAAUGAUGAUAGCAUGCCAAUUUUCAACCUUUUCGGUGUUCAUUUGAAAUGCUUUUCAAUUUUCGGGUCUUAUAGCUCAAAAAAGCAGUAAAUGCAUGAAAAAUAAUAAAAUGCAUAAAACUAUAAUAUUUGUUAUGAUCACUAAAAAACUAAAAUCAAUUAAAAUAUUAAAUAGCAGGAAAAAGAAUCACUCAAAAAUCUAUUUUUAUAGUAAAUUUAUUCAUAAAACUAGUGAUUCACAUACAUUUAAAAAAAAUCAAAUUUUAAAACUAAUGGCACUAACAGAAAGUUUAUAAUUUUGUGACCCAAAAGCAAAAAGAAAUCACUAAAAAACUAUAAAAUUUAGUUUUAAGUAGAAAUAAAAAAAUAAAAAGAAAAAAAGGAAAAAAAAUGCCACCUACUGGACCUCCUCGGCCUAAAUACGACUAGAAACCCUACAAUGGGCCAGGAUUCAGGCCCGCAGAAGGCCCAAUAGGCCCAACAGGCAUGGCAAAGUAGAGAUUAGGCCCGUAAGCCUGCAAUAGAGAGGAGCUCGAGAGGGUGGCGGCAGCAAAGCUUAUAAACCACCCCGAGCCCCUCUCAACUAGCGAGGUGGGACUAAACAUCCCACCGCACCGUGCCAGCACAAGGCCUAUGGUCCCGGUUCAUGCCACCAACCGGUACCAUAGGCGGGCAUUCGUACCGGUUCGUGGCACCAACCAGUACCAAUGCCCACCUACGGUCCCGGUCCGUGCCACCAACCGGGACCAUGGGCCUCUGUUUCCCGCCCUUGGGGCUGCCGAAAAGAGACCUUUGGACCCUGUUGGUGGCACGAACCGGGACCAUAGGUAGGCAUUGGUACCGGUUGGUGCCAUGAACCGGUACCAUUGGUUUUGCUAUAUAAGGUAGCACUUGUGAAAAUUUCGCCAACUGCUCCCCCAUUCCCCCCGACGCCGCCAGGCCGUUCCUCGUCGUCGUCGCCGUCGCCGCCCCGAGCCCCUGCCCCGACGNNNNNNNNNNNNNNNNNNNNNNNNNNNNNNNNNNNNNNNNNNNNNNNNNNNNNNNNNNNNNNNNNNNNNNNNNNNNNNNNNNNNNNNNNNNNNNNNNNNNNNNNNNNNNNNNNNNNNNNNNNNNNNNNNNNNNNNNNNNNNNNNNNNNNNNNNNNNNNNNNNNNNNNNNNNNNNNNNNNNNNNNNNNNNNNNNNNNNNNNNNNNNNNNNNNNNNNNNNNNNNNNNNNNNNNNNNNNNNNNNNNNNNNNNNNNNNNNNNNNNNNCCCGACGACGUCGCCGCGCCCUUGACCCGCCGUUGACGUCGUCCUCACCGUCGCCGUCGUCGUCACCGCCCCCGAGCCGCUCCUCCCAGAGCCCUCGCUGUGCGCGUACCCCUCCCCCAAGAGCCCACCGUCCUCGUCGCCGUCAUCGUCACCGGCCUCGUCGUCGUCCUCGUCACCGGCCUCGUCGUUGUCCGGCCUUGAGCCCCCAGUGAGCCCCUUCCAAUCCCGAUCCGUGCACUGCCGCAGCUGCCGCCGCCCCCCCGCGCCGCGCCGCCGCCCCUGUUUUUUAUAUGUAUGUAUGUAUGUAUCUAUGUAUAUGGAUGUAUGUAUGUACGGAUGGAUGGAUAUGCAUGUAUAUGGAUGGAUGUAUGUGUAUGUGUUCAUAGUUUUUUUUUGUUCAUAGUUUUUUGUUGAUAGCAUUUUUAGGCUGUAUAGUUUUAUUUUUGUUCAAUUUUUAUGGUUAGAAGAGGAGAGGAAAAAAUUGUGUUGCUAAAGUUACAUUUAAGGUUAGUUGAUUUAGUUCAUUUUAGGUUAUUAGUUCUACUGUUAGUGCAUUUAAGGUUAGUUUAUUUUUAGUUGAACUAGUUGAUUUAAUAAAACUAAUUUAUUUUACUAUACAUAUAAGUAGUUUAUUUUUAGUAAGUACUACUUUAUUUUAUUUAUAGUAAGUGCUUAGUAGUUGAACUAGUUGAUUUAAUAAAACUACUUUAUUUUACUAUAGAAGUAGUUUAGUUUUAGCAAGAAAAUUAAUAGAAUUAGUUUAUUUUUUAGUUCAAGCAAUUAUUCCCGCAUCGACAUCGACGAUGCCUAUCCCGCAUCCUCGUCGUCGACUCGGCGGAGGAGGCCGACUUGAUCAGAGGGGCCAUGUCCGGGACUGGGCUCCGCCGGGCUGGUAUUGGGAGGUGCUACCUUCCGGGGGGCGUAGGUUGGUGAGGAGCCAGCCCGUCGUUGACCCGAUCCUUGUUUGGUGGCGGUCGCGUGGGCCAGUGACUGUAUCGAGGCUUCCGGACACCGCGGAGGUGGUACGUCACCAUGUCAGCGAGGAGGACGAGCACGCCCGUCGCUACAUGGUUGCGUUGGAGGGCAGGUUCGACAAUACCUGGCAGCUUCUUCAGGGAUCUCAUUGGAGCUAUGAUCAUGUGAUGGUUCCUUCUCUUUGGGCAUCCACCGCCCGCGCCGAUACCCGUCGGGCGCUACGGUUCUAGCUGUACUAGCGAUGCUAUAUGUAUGAUAGUAUUCGAGGUGUAUUAGUGAUAAUAUUCGACGAUGUACGGACGCAAGAGAUGAUGUAGUUUUGCUUAUAAUUGAAUGCAUCCUAAUUUGAAUACUACUUUAUUUUGCGAUCUGAUUUUGCUUAUUGAAUGCUCAAAUUGGAAAACUACUCCUACUUUGAAUGCUAAAAUUAGAGAGCACUAUGCAAGGCGUAUGCAUAUGAUUAGUUGAUAGCUUAUAGUGUUUUUGUUUUCGCAAAAAUAUAGGAGCCCCCAACCAUCAUCCCCGCCGUCGUCCCCGUCACUGACCCCCUCCGACGUCGAGGUGAGACCAGCCAAAUCUCCAUGUCAAUAUGAGUCCUAUAAUAUGAGUCCUCGGGUCGACUUUAAGUCUGUCGAGUCUCCACCAUAUAUGAAAGGACGAAGAAUCAUGACUGUUGUCGUGGGGGUAGCUUCUCCUUCGUUCCCGUGAUGAAUAAUAAUGAUCUAACUUAGGUUUUUAGUACAUAUAUUUAAUUGUAGAUGUUUAAUAUUUGAAUUAUGAACAUAGGAAAUGUCGUACUCAGACUACGAAAGUCUCCCGGGGGAGUGCGACUGGUGCCACGACGACCGAGGUUAGUGCGACCGGCCUCACCUGGACGAAGAUCAGCGCUUCAGCAUUAAGCUGGAGGAGACCUUCGAUGUUGAAACGGUACGCAACGACGACAAGUGUUAUUUUUUCGUAAUUAAGCACGACUUCAAGUAUUUCAACGUGUACUUCUUAUCUUUUACAAUUCGACUAGCUUAUCCCAUGCCAUGCAAGACGCUAUGUCUUGGAGAGGAUGGGUUUUGAAGACCAGGAAAGUUUCGAAACAAAGAAAAUUCAUCUAAGGACCCAUCAUGGUGUGGAUUUUGAAGUAAAGCGGUACAAUUCUGAGAGCGUAACCCAUUUUGGUUGCAAAAAAUGAGAAGCACUUUGCAAGAUGUAUGGUUUUGAUGAGGGUAUGCUUGUCACCAUUGAUCUUGGUGACCCUGAAAUCGAGCAAGACAAUAUGGACAUUUGGGUCCUUGUUGAUACGCCUCCAAUUCUACCGCUAUGUGAGUUUCUCAAACAUAGUUAUUAGCUAAUUUAUAUUGUUUAUUUCAAAAUAGUUGACAACUUAUUUCCAUUGACAGCUUAUUUUGAUUGUUCAAACAAUGUGCGGAACAUGGUAGACAAAACCCACUACACCGAUGGCUCCGAAUUAACUUAUCAGGAGAAAAAUCAUCUGGUCUGAUUUUGUACUGAUAUUGAGAAUUACAAUAUCUAGAAUCAAACUCCUCAACAUUAUUGUCAAUACGUGCCACUAGUGCACGUGUUGAACUACAGUAACUACCAUGGAGAUACCCUGGUAAGAUUUUUUACUAUUACGACAUCCGUGCAUCUUUUGCAUACUUCUAAAACUAGUACAUCAUUGCUAACUAUGAAGUUAUUACUAUGUUUUUCAACAGAGAAUCCCAGAGGAUUGUGUGCCUCAUUUGAUGUAGCAGAAUGGCAGCCUUCGUGUUUUGAACAUAUAUCCAAGUCAUCCAACGAAUCUCAACUGUCCAUACCGGAUUUAUCAAUGAAGUGGAGACAUGCUAAUCAAAAAAUGGAAAAAAUGUAUGGACAGUCGUAAGGAGGUUCUUGGAAGCAAAAGGAAGCGAAGCGUAAGAAUUGGAGACAGGAUGAUCUCCAUUCUCCAUAAUGGAGAGUCAGGGUCUAUAUUGUUUUAUGCUAUUUUACCUUAAAGAGGGUAUUUAGGUCCUACCUAAUACUGAUGAUCAUGUGCUAAGAACAAUUAAGUAGGGCUGGUUCGAUGACUAUGAGGAUGAUGAUCGUAUGACUUGUUAUUAAUAACGAGUAGAAGUUGUAUGAUGAUGAUUAGUAGGACUUGUUAUUAUAUAAGAUGAUGCAUGAUGCGAGCAUGAAGAGUUAUUAUAUAUCAGCGGGUGAAAUGAACAUGGAUUGGAUUGAAGUGAAGGCAACAUGCAUGUGGUGCAUGUCGAAAGUACUACAAUCCAAACUUGAUCAAAGUUAGGAUUAGUAUUACUUUCGACAUGCACCACAUGUUGCCUUCACUUCAAUCUAAGCCAUGUUUAGGCAUAGCAGUAGCGUUGGUAAACCAAGCACGGAGAUAUAAGAGAGGACACUUCUCUCUAUUAUAUUAGCUAGCUAAUAACAACCUAAAUUAACCCCCAAAACCCCUAAAUCAGCCCCUUUAAAAAAACAAAAAGCUCAACUCCAGCCAGCUGCUGACGCGUGGAUGCCUUUUGGUCCCGGUUGGUGUCACCAACCGGGACCAAAGGCCCCCCUGCCUGGGCUGGCCGUAGUGGCCACGUGGAGGCCCAUCUGUCUCGGUUCGUGUAAGAGCCGAGACUAAAGGCCAAGGGCAUUAGUAACGACCUUUUAGUCCCGGUUCCUAAACCGGGACAGAAGGCUCUUACGAACCGGGACAAAUGGCCCUUUUUCUACUAGUGCCGCUCUAAACGCGGCCGCUCGAACUGUUGAGCUUGACUCGAGUCAGAAUCGAGAGCGUUGCCGAUUGCGGAAGGCUAUGUUGCCGUUCUCGACGCGGCCGCUUGAGCUAUUGAGCGGACUCGAAACAGAGUAAGGGCGUUGCCAAUAGCGGAAGGGCCCCUUUGCGUGCAUGUUUUCCAUACAUAGGGCAGGACCUUCGAGUACAAUAACCUUCUAUAUAAAAAGAUAUUGCUUAAAGUUUCACACGACUUAGCUUUUCUGUCAUUGCACGGGCGUCCACCGCAUCUGCAGAUGGUGCCGUCAAGCUUGGUCGUCUUCUAUCUUGGAACGACGGCCACGAUGAAGCCGCUGCUCCGAUCAGACCAAAUUUCCACAACUGCGCCCCCUACCUAGCGCGCCAAAGAUGUCGGGGGAAAUCGACACCUAUGGAAUCACAGGGAUCCCUUCUACGGUUGGCGGGCGCGGGGUUGUGCAAAGAGCAGGUCUGACAGGAAGCACGCAGAUCGUUUACCCAGGUUCGGGCCGCGGAGAUGCGUAAUACCCUAGUCCUGCUAUGGUGGAUGUAUUCGAGUGUUCUUGUGUUCUUGAACUAGCUACGGGGUGUAACUUGCCCAGAAGAUCCGAAUCCCUGUCCUGGAUGCCUCGGGCCUCCUUUUAUAGACAAAAGGGGUUGCCACACUGGCACACAGGAGGUGGAAAGGUGUACAGUGGAUGAGUCUAUCCUCUGGCACCGUUGGACGAACACAUUUAAUGCGCUGCCAACGUGACCCUCUCGCUUUAUCGGGGACGGUCAAGGAAGCUCGUCCCAGCUGUCGCCGCCUCGCCUGGCUUCGACACGCGUCCGAGCUGACGAGGCGUCGUGGCGCCACAUUGGCUGGCUGCUGGGCUGGCGCGGUGGUGGAGCCUUCACGAAGGUCUGCAUGCCACCACGCAGGUGCUUGCUGUGUCGGUGUAGAGGCCGCUCGUCGCCACGCAGGUGCCUGCCCAGCUGGUUGGGCUAGCAGCUGCACGGGGACGGCGGUGGAGUCUUGGCAGGCGCGGGCCUGGCUGUGGCCCCGCUGAUGCCCUUGGCAAGGGUCUUGCCGGGGGCCCGGCAAGGGUCUUGCCGUGGUGCCGCGGUCGUCCCCGGCAAGGCGCUUGCCGGGGGUCUCGUGGAUUUCCUCGGCAAGGACCUCGCCGAGGAUCAUCGUCUUCUGGUCCUCAUCUGAUCUUGUGUAUUUAUGAUCUUCACAAAGAUCAGCAUGCCACCACGGAGGUGCCUCCCGAGCCUUGGUCCCAAUGUGGUUGAUGGCGUUGGAACCCUUGGGCUCAAUGGAGGCGCGCUUCGUUGGCGUCAGGCAAGUUGCCCCGGCAAGGCUCUCGCCGGGGCUGAGGAGGCCGUCCCGGCAAGGGUCUUGCCGGGGGAGUCCACCUCGCCCUCUUGCCCUUUGUGUCUCUGGUCUUGGCAUUGCCAUGGCUGUCUUGUGCUCCGGCUUCCCUCCUCUGCCCUGCUAAGUGUGGCCGUGGGCGCGGCUCUGACUACCAGUGCACAAGUAAAGGGGUCAAAAGGAGAGCCCCUAGUUUUAUACACCGACAUGUAUCCUCCCAGAAUCUCGUAGAAGUACCGUUACUGAUCACAAGCUUUGUCUGAUUGAAAAAAAUGGAUUUAACUCUCAUCAGUCCUUUCCAAAAGGGCUAGUCCAUUGGCCUCACUGUGACCUGGGAUAAAGUUCUGGAAUGAAGGUACUUAUUACGCAGUAUUUGUGCCCAUGUAGCCCCCGUCUCGCUAGAUAGCUUAUACAGCCAUUUGCUGAGAAGACAUAUGUUCUUCACCUUAAGAUUUUUGAUACCUAGACCCCCUUGGUCUUUGGGUCGACAAAUAAUAUCCCAUUUAGCGAGUAUACUUUCUCUUCAGAUCAUCACUUUGCCAGAAGAAACGGGAUCGAUAGAAAUCUAGUCUUUUCCGAACUCCAACUGGUACCUCGAAAAAAGACAAGAGAAACAUGGGCAUGCUCGUGAGAACCGAAUUAAUAAGAAUUAAACGGCCUCCAUAUGACAUGAGUUUGCCAUUCCAGCAACUGAGUUUCUUCUCAAAUCGAUCCUCAGUGCACUUCCAUUCUCUCUUUGUUAGCUUACGAUGGUGAAUUGGUAUGCCCAAUUAAGUGAAAGGCAAAGCCCCCAAUUCGCAUCCGAACAAUUGCUUAUAUGCCUCUUGUUCCUCAUUGGCUCUUCCAAAAUUGUAUAAUUCGCUCUUGUGGAAAUUAAUUUUUAGUCCGGUCAAUUGUUCGAAUAAGCAUAACACCAGCUUCAUAUUUCUCGUUUUUGCCAAGUCAUGGUCCAUGAAGAUGAUAGUAUCAUCGGCGUACUGUAGGACAGACACACCUCCAUCCACUAGAUGAGGUACCACAGGAGAGCACCUGCGAUAAUUAUAUCAUGCCACACGAGUACAAAGGAUGAAGCAUCUUAGACGUUUGGAAUAGAUUUGGGCAUCACAUACGAUUUAUUUUUCCAAAAAGGUAUGCAUGAUUGGGCUCUAUCUGUAGGAGAUAUGCCCUAGAGGCAGUAAUAACAGUUAUUUUGUAUCUCCAAGUUUGUAAUGAAUGUUUAUGAUCCAUGCUAUAACUGCAAUGAUUCUCGAGUCUACAAUAUCCACGAGGCUCGGAGGGAACUCAUAUGCACGUGUGGUAUUAUAAACGGUAAAAUAUAUUCCUAGUCUUGCCUCUAAGACUAGCUCAAGUAUUGCAUGAUGAUCCUGUUUCCUGAUCAUGGGCAUGACUAUGCCGGCAAUUUUGAGGGCACAAGUUUGGUAGAACGCUUGUGUUGAAUCAACCCGGAUUGAUGUUGUGCUAUGAGAUGCCUUCGUCACAAGUUUAUGGUUAAUAUCAUUGAGAUAGUUAAUGUUUGCAUAAUUCCUUAGACCAUGAGAGUAUCAAGUUCCUUCGUGCUUGCUUCGUGAACUUUGGGGUUUGUUAAACGUCAUCCGUAACUUGGUGGCUAUUAUGGCAGCUUUCGGGUUCACGGAAAAGUAUAGGAAGUAACAAGAUAGCUCAAGAUUGGGAUUUGCUCCUCCGACGAUGGAGAGAUAUACUCGGGCCCUCUCAGUGUAACGGUAUCCAUCAUCGUCUGGCCAGACACAUUGUGAUUUGAUCACUGGGAUGCCGGAACACGGAAACGAGAAAAGAGAACAAAACCGGUAACGAGGUAACUUGCAUGGUGGACAAAUUGUUCGUCCAUGGGCAUGCAAUAAAUCUCACCUCGGGUGUUUGUGACAUAUCGCGAAGCAACAGGAAUAGCUCACUACAACUAGAGGUUCACUCGAAUAUUCAUUCGUGUGGGUAUAGGGGUCAAUAUGGGUGUCCACGGCUCCGAUGUUGAUCAUUGAUCGGAAGGGGUUCCAGGUCAUGUCUAUACUUCACCGAACCUAUAGGGUCACACGCUUAGGGGUCAUCUAUCUGUUGAAUACUAGACAGGGAGUCUGAGAGAAAAUCACCGAAAAAGUUUCGGACACCGAAAAGUUUCGGACAGCGGAAUCGUACCGCAGAGAGAGGUCAUCGGAUAAGUUUCGAUGAUACCGAAAAGUUGUUUCGGGAUACACCAUUAAGUCAAAUUGGUUUCGGCACAUGCCUGAUAAUUCUUGGAGGAUGCCAGAAUCAUUCUGGAAGCUUUUUGGAAUUUUCUGACAUAAAAACCGGAAAUGUUCCGGAGCUGCCGGAGCCACUUCAGAUGCGUUUCGCAGAUGAAAAUCACUAAAACCGGAAUUGUUUCGGAACGCGUUGAAAAACAUUUUAGUGGGUACUGGAAAUGUUCUUAGCCCACAUAAAUAUUUUCAGUUCGAUCAGACGCUGAAAAAUGUCGUCGUGAAUAGUGAAAAUCAGCUUUAUGGUUACUUUAUGGAAAGCCACCUUUUGGGGCUUUGCUCCAAAAGAUCUUGGGGAUGACAUGGAUGGAUAGGACCCAUUUUUUGGGCCCCUCAUGGGGGUGUGGCCGGCCACAUGGGGUAUCCCCCCUUGGGGACCCUUUUGUUCAUUGGUUUCACUUCUAGGUCCUUGUGGAAGGACUUCAUUCAUGUGCAUUUUGGGUUUUUGUGUGAAACUACCCUACCCCUUGGGAUUUCCUAUAAAUAGAGGUGGAGGGGCAGCCCUCCACACUCAUCCCUUGCUCUCAUACACAUGCCAUGCAUUAUCUGGCUUCUUCUCUCCCUCCCACGAAAAGAGUUUCGUAGAGCCGUAAGGCUGUCUGGGUUCCGGCAGGAACUAGUUCUGGACGGCGAAGCCCUGCCGGAUAGCUGACACCGUAUGUGUGCAACCCCGUAGAGAGAUUGUAGUUUCGAUCUUUUGCCCGAGGGGCUGUUCGAGUGUCCUCCCGAAGGGCUGUCCGAGUCUCCGUCCGAGUUUCGAGGGUCCUCCCGAAGGGCUGUCCGCGACAUUGUCCGGGGGACUGUCCGACCGCCUCCCGAAGGGCUGUCCGGAGAGGGAGUACAUCCUCGCGGUUGGGAGGUUGUAAAUCCUAGCUGCGGGGAUCUGCACCGACGAUCUACACCGACUCUUCUUCCGCUGCGCUUCGAGUCGGUACGGAUCAGAUCAAACCUUGUAUGCAGUCUCCAUAGUGGUCCUGGGCGUGCUCGCUAUACCGAAAAUUUUCGUUUUCUGUCGCGUUCCCCUACAGUGGCAUCAAGAGCCGUGCUAUGCGUAGAUGCAGGUUACGAUCUAGAAUACAUGGAGAUGUAUGGGUAUUGCAUAAUAUAAUUUUGGAGUAGAUGAGAUGUAUUGCUGAAAAUUAUUUAUGCGGGUGACAGAUGAAAUCUGUUACCCGACGUUCUUGUUGCUUCCCUAGAAUUUGCGUUUGCUCAAUCUCGAGACAGGAUGGUGGAAUUUGACAAAGUUCUGGCAAUCCGUGAUCCUGAUUGAUCAUGGAAGUGCUAUCAGUUCUUUGGGUUCUGCCAUAGUCAAAAGAAAGAUGAAAUUCGCAGAUGAAAGGGCAUUGCAGAUAUGAUCUGCACGGGGGUCAUGCGUAUGACGAAGUUUAGUAUGGGGCUCGAGAUUUAAUUAUCUCGUGUUUCAUACACCCCGAGAUGUUAAUCUAGCAACUUGAAUAAUCAUACUUGAUGAUAAAACGUUGGUAGCUGCGGUUUAAGUCAAAACCUUAGAAGCCACGUAAAAUAAAAUUUUGCAUAAACCGAUUAGAGGCGUCUAACUUGGUUUUGCAGGAUGUGCAUGUGAUGUGGUAUAGCAAUGCUCAUAUUCAAUUUGAUUAUGUAUGAGAUGACUAUAUGAUGUAACUAACAUGACCUGCGUGUCAUGAUUCUGCAUGAUGGCUGGAGCCAUAUGAUUGCACUUUAAUGACCUGCGUGUCAACCUUAAGUAAUGCACUUAUUUUAUUAGCUAUAGAGAUAGCAAUAUUAUCUGGUGCAUCGACAAGGUGGUGGCAAUCUUCGCGAAGGUGAACACCGACGCAAAUGCCGAAGACGAAGAAUUGAAAGACUUCUCCGUCAGAAAGGGCUAUACCAUAUCAUGCUAAUUAUGAAUUGCCUGAGAUGUUUAUCCCCUAUGAUGCACCCUUCUUGAUUGCGCGGUAGUCGCUUUUAUUAGGGUGAUCUCUCACUUAAAAAUAUCAAGUAGAUAGUGUUCUCCCAAGUGUAGCACCGUCACGGCACCUAUCGUUUCGGGGUGCGCCGUGUCACACGGGUACGAACGAUUAGAGAAGUGUGAGGCGGGUGAGUUGAGACCUCGCAGCGAGAUCACUUGGUUGUCUUGACGUUCAGGCAUGACCGUCAUGAGCUCGGAACACACGCAUCGAAAGAUGAACAAGAGUCACAUAGUGAUGUGAUUGGCAAGUUGGCCUACCGGUUAAGAUUUUCGUCAUCAGUGGUGUUACACCAAUGGCGAACAAUCAAGACACGGAUCUUGAAUCACUCAUAAUCAAUUUUGAGAGAUAUUGAUUUGAGUGGGAGUGCAUUUUAGAAUAAAAUGUUUAUUCACUAGUGCAAAUUUCAUUAUAAACAAAGUCUAAGUGAAACUUGUGUCUUCGUUGUAGAUCAAAUGGCUCGCAACACCGCGUUCAACUUAGGCCCGAUGUUAGAGAAAGAGAAGUUAGCUACGACUGGAAACAACUAUGCGGACUGGGCCCGUAACCUGAGGAUUGUCCUCAGGAGCGCUAAGAAAUUGUACGUGCUUGAAACUGCUCUUCCAGCUAAACCGGCGGCAGAUGCACCGGUAGAUGAACAAAAUGUCUGGGCCACUAAGGAUGAUGAUCACAACUUAGUGCAGUGCCUCAUGCUAGCUUGCAUGAGUCCAGGGCUUCAAAAACGUUUUGAAUUCCAUAAAGCCCGUGAUAUGAUCCGGGAAUUGGAUGCUCUGUACAAGGAAACCGCAAAGUCUGAACGAUAUGAUAUCAUGAAGGCUUGGAUGGAUUGCAAGAUGGCUGAGGGUAGUUCAGUUGGCGAACACGUGGUCAAAAUGAUUGGCUAUUCUGAAAGGCUUAAAGCCCUAGAAUUUCCACUUCCACCUGGCCAUAUGAUGGACAUGUUGCUUUCUUCACUCCCCCCGUCUUACGACGGUUUUGUCAUGAACUACAACAUGACAGGGAUGGAGAAGACGCCGAAAGAAGUGCUCGCCAUGCUGAAAACUACAGAAGGAGGACUGCGGAAAAAUCGCAAGUAAGUGUUGCUUGUGAAUAAAACCGCCUGUUUCAAAAAGAAGAAAGGCAAGCCAAAGAAGGGCAAGGGCACCGGUAAGACCGGCUCCCAAAGCAACUCUAAGGGCGGAGCCAAGAAUGAAACUGAGUGCUUCUACUGCAAGGGCACAGGACACUGGAAGAGAAACUGCAAGAAGUAUCUGGAAGAUAAGAAGACCGGGAAAACCGGAAAAGGUAUAAUUGUUAUACAAGUUAAUGUCAUUGACGUUUUGCUUGCUAGCGAAAACUCUAAGUCUUGGGUAUUUGAUACCGGAUCGGUUGCUCACAUUUGCAACUCGAUACAGGGACUUCAGAAGGUGCGCAAGCUAGCAAAGAAUGAAGUCGUGAUGCGCGUCGGGAACGGCGCUGGGAUCGCCGCUCAAGCCGUCGGCAUUAUGCCUCUACGUCUCCCUUCAGGAUUUAUCUUAGAACUAAGUAACUGUUAUUUUGUUCCACUGUUGUGUAGAAACAUUAUCUCCGGAUCAUGUUUGGUACACGAUGGGUAUUCGUACAAGUCUGAGAACAAUGGUUGUUCACUUUAUUGUAAGGAUAUGUUUUAUGGAUUUGCACCCAUUGUUGGGGGCCUUUUCAUACUAAAUCUUGAAUGUGGAAGUGAUGUCUUUAACAUGAAUGCUAAACGCCUUAAGAAGGCUGAUACCACCACCACUUUCAUGUGGCACUGUCGCCUUGGCCACAUCGGUAAGAAACGCAUGCAAAGACUCCAUAAAGAUGGAGUUUUACCGUCCCUUGAUUUUGAAUCAUUUGACACAUGUGAAGCUUGCCUGAUGGGGAAAAUGACCAAGACGCCGUUCACGGGUCAUCCUGAACGGGCGGGUGAAUUAUUGGAAAUAAUACAUAGUGAUGUAUGUGGUCCAAUGAACACAGGCGCACGGGGUGGAUAUUUUUACUUCGUGACUUUUACUGAUGAUUUGAGUAGGUAUGGCUAUAUCUACUUAAUGAAGCAUAAAUCGGAAACCUUUGAAAAGUUCAAAGAAUUUCAGAAUGAGGUAGAAAAUCAUCGUAACAAAAAGAUUAAGUUUCUGCGGUCUGAUCGCGGAGGCGAAUAUCUUAGUCAUGAGUUUGGCCAACAUCUGAGUGAUCGUGGAAUCGUUUCACAGCUUACGCCUCCCGGAACUCCACAGAGAAAUGGAGUAUCGGAACGACGUAACCGAACCUUGUUGGACAUGGUAAGGUCAAUGAUGUCUCUUACAAAUCUUCCAAUAUCUUUUUGGGGUCACGCACUACUUACUGCUGCUCACACACUAAACAAAGCACCGUCUAAAUCUGUUGAGACGACGCCACAUGAGAUGUGGCACGGGAAGAAACCCGACCUGUCGUUUUUCAAAAUUUGGGGUUGUGAAGCUUAUGUAAAACGUUUACAGCCAAGCAAGCUUGAUCCCAGAUCAGACAAAUGUUACUUUGUAGGUUAUCCCAAGGAGACAGUUGGGUAUUCUUUCUACCACGCCUCCGAGAAUAAAGUGUUUGUUGCAAAACAUGGAGUCUUUCUUGAGAAAGAGUUUCUCACUAAAGAAGUGAGUGGGAGGACAAUACAACUCAAUGAGAUUAGUGAAUCUUCGGGAACCGUUGAUAUGGCUAAGGAACCGGAAGAAAUUCCGCUAAUUAUCCCUACAACCGAGCCGGAAGUUGUCGCAUGUGAUGCGGAGACUUCAGACAAUGUUGUAACUGAACCGCGCAGAUCAGGUAGGGCUAUCCAGCCACCUGAGUGGUUUCAUAACGAAAUCUUCAUUCUUGAAGACGAUGAACCUGCGCACUACAAGGAAGCGAUGGCGGGGCCCAGCUCAAAAGAAUGGCACAAAGCCAUGAGAUCCGAAAUGGAAUCCAUGUACGAAAACCAAGUUUGGAACUUGGAAGAACUUCCAGAAGGCAUAAAGCCCAUUGGUUGUAAAAUGGAUUUUCAAAAGAAAGACGGACGCGGAUGGUAACAUUACUAUCCACAAAGCUAGACUUGUCGCGAAAGGGUUCACACAAGUUCCAGGAGUGGACUACGACGAGACUUUCUCGCCAGUAGCUAUGCUUAGGUCUGUUCGGAUAUUGCUAGCAAUUGCUGCUUAUUUCGACUAUGAAAUAUGGCAGAUGGAUGUCAAAACGGCUUUCCUAAAUGGAAACCUCAAAGAGGAUGUAUACAUGAUACAGCCAGAAGGUUUUGUCAUUCAUGAGGAUGCUGGAAAGGUAUGCAAACUUCAGAAAGCCAUUUAUGGUCUGAAGCAAGCAUCAAGGAGCUGGAACAUUCGUUUUGAUGAAGUGGUCAAAGAGUUUGGCUUCAUCAUGAAUGAUGAAGAAUCUUGUGUUUACAAGAAGUUUAGUGGGAGCGCAAAAGCAUUUCUAAUCUUGUAUGUGGAUGACAUAUUGUUGAUUGGAAAUGACGUGAAUUUUCUUAGCGAAAUAAAAGACUCAUUGAAGAAAAGUUUUUCAAUGAAAGACUUAGGCGAAGCGGCAUAUGUAUUAGGCAUCAGGAUCUAUAGAGAUAGAUCAAAACGCCUGAUAGCGCUUAGCCAAAGCACGUACAUUGACAAGGUGUUGAAAAGGUUCAACAUGGAGAACUCCAAGAAAGGCCUACUCCCCAUGUCACCUGGCACAGUGCUUUGCAAGAAUCAGAGUCCUCGGACUCUGGAUGAGCGAGUACAAAUGAAUGAUGUUCCAUAUGCCUCGGCAGUUGGUUCUAUUAUGUAUGCCAUGCUAUGUACAAGACCAGAUGUUUCCUAUGCGCUAAGUGUUAGCAGCCGGUACCAAAGUGAUCCAGGGUUGGAACACUGGGCCGCAGUCAAGGGUAUUCUUAAGUACCUCAGAAGGACCAAGGAUUUACUCCUUGUGUACGGAGGUGAUGAAGAGCUCAUUGUAAGUGGUUACAAUGAUGCAGGCUUCAUGACUGACCCAGAUGACUUCAAAUCUCAAUCAGGCUACGUUUUCAUAUUGAACGGCGGCGCAGUUGAUUGGAAAAGUUCCAAACAAAAGACUGUGGCGGAUUCUACGACGGAGGCGGAAUAUGUUGCUGCUUCAGAAGCCUCCAAGGAGGCGGUAUGGAUCAAACAAUUUCUUGAAGACCUUGGUGUGGUUCGUAGUGCCCAGGACCCGGUGGAGAUCUAUUGUGAUAAUAGUGGCGCCGUGGCUCAGGCAAGGGAGCCAAGUUCGAACCAUAAGACAAGACAUAUUCAACGCAAAUAUAAACUCAUUCGACAUCAUGUCGAAGAGGGUUUAGUGAAAGUACGCAAAGUUCACACGGAUCUGAACGUGUCAGACCCGAUGACAAAGCCUCUACCACGAGCAAAACAUGAGCAACACCGGAUAGCCAUUGGUGUUAGGGAAGCCAUGUAACUGGAUUAUGACUCUAGUGCAAGUGGGAGUCUGUAGGAGAUAUGCCCUAGAGGCAGUAAUAACAGUUAUUUUGUAUCUCCAAGUUUGUAAUGAACGUUUAUGAUCCAUGCUAUAACUGCAAUGAUUCUCGAGUCUACAAUAUCCACGAGGCUCGGAGGGAACUCAUAUGCACGUGUGGUAUUAUAAACGGUAAAAUAUAUUCCUAGUCUUGCCUCUAAGACUAGCUCAAGUAUUGCAUGAUGAUCCUGUUUCCUGAUUAUGGGCAUGACUAUGCCGGCAAUUUUGAGGGCACAAGUUUGGUAGAACGCUUGUGUUGAAUCAACCCGGAUUGAUGUUGUGCUAUGAGAUACCUUCGUCACAAGUUUAUGGUUAAUAUCAUUGAGAUAGUUAAUGUUUGCAUAAUUCCUUAGACCAUGAGAGUAUCAAGUUCCUUCGUGCUUGCUUCGUGAACUUUGGGGUUUGUUAAACGUCAUCCGUAACUGGGUGGCUAUUACGGCAGCUUUCGGGUUCACGGAAAAGUAUAGGAAGUAACAAGAUAGCUCAAGAUUGGGAUUUGCUCCUCCGACGAUGGAGAGAUAUACUCGGGCCCUCUCGGUGUAACGGUAUCCAUCAUCGUCUGGCCAGACACAUUGUGAUUUGAUCACUAGGAUGCCGGAACACGGAAACGAGAAAAGAGAACAAAACCGGUAACGAGGUAACUUGCAUGGUGGACAAAUUGUUCGUCCAUGGGCAUGCAAUAAAUCUCACCUCGGGUGUUUGUGACAUAUCGCGAAGCAACAGGAAUAGCUCACUGCAACUGGAGGUUCACUCGAAUAUUCAUUCGUGUGGGUAUAGGGGUCAAUAUGGGUGUCCACGGCUCCGAUGUUGAUAAUUGAUCGGAAGGGGUUCCAGGUCAUGUCUAUACUUCACCGAACCUAUAGGGUCACACGCUUAGGGGUCAUCUAUCUGUUGAAUACUAGACAGGGAGUCUGAGAGAAAAUCACCGAAAAAGUUUCGGACACCGAAAAGUUUCGGACAGCGGAAUCGUACCGCAGAGAGAGGUCAUCGGAUAAGUUUCGAUGAUACCGAAAAGUUGUUUCGGGAUACACCAUUAAGUCAAAUUGGUUUCGGCACAUGCCUGAUAAUUCUUGGAGGAUGCCAGAAUCAUUCUGGAAGCUUUUUGGAAUUUUCUGACAUAAAAACCGGAAAUGUUCCGGAGCUGCCGGAGCCACUUCAGAUGCGUUUCGCAGAUGAAAAUCACUAAAACCGGAAUUGUUUCGGAACGCGUUGAAAAACAUUUUAGUGGGUACUGGAAAUGUUCUUAGCCCACAUAAAUAUUUUCAGUUCGAUCAGACGCUGAAAAAUGUCGUCGUGAAUAGUGAAAAUCAGCUUUAUGGUUACUUUAUGGAAAGCCACCUUUUGGGGCUUUGCUCCAAAAGAUCUUGGGGAUGACAUGGAUGGAUAGGACCCAUUUUUUGGGCCCCUCAUGGGGGUGUGGCCGGCCACAUGGGGUAUCCCCCCUUGGGGACCCUUUUGUUCAUUGGUUUCACUUCUAGGUCCUUGUGGAAGGACUUCAUUCAUGUGCAUUUUGGGUUUUUGUGUGAAACUACCCUACCCCUUGGGAUUUCCUAUAAAUAGAGGUGGAGGGGCAGCCCUCCACACUCAUCCCUUGCUCUCAUACACAUGCCAUGCAUUAUCUGGCUUCUUCUCUCCCUCCCACGAAAAGAGUUUUGUAGAGCCGUAAGGCUGUCUGGGUUCCGGCAGGAACUAGUUCUGGACGGCGAAGCCCUGCCGGAUAGCUGAAACCGUAUGUGUGCAACCCCGUAGAGAGAUUGUAGUUUCGACCUUUUGCCCGAGGGGCUGUUCGAGUGUCCUCCCGAAGGGCUGUCCGAGUCUCCGUCCGAGUUUCGAGGGUCCUCCCGAAGGGCUGUCCGCGACAUUGUCCGGGGGACUGUCCGACCGCCUCCCGAAGGGCUGUCCGGAGAGGGAGUACAUCCUCGCGGUUGGGAGGUUGUAAAUCCUAGCUGCGGGGAUCUGCACCGACGAUCUACACCGAUUCUUCUUCCGCUGCGCUUCGAGUCGGUACGGAUCAGAUCAAACCUUGUAUGCAGUCUCCAUAGUGGUCCUGGGCGUGCUCGCUAUACCGAAAAUUUUCGUUUUCUGUCGCGUUCCCCUACACUAUCGCAGCCGGUUAACUUGCGUUGUGUGUGAUGGACACCCUUUUCGCACACCUUCACACAGCGAUGCAUCAAAGGUACGUGAGCAAAAGGGGUUUUUAACCGUUUGUGUUGGACUUGCGUGCACUAGUGUGACAUGCGUUACUUAACCUAGCUUUUGUUUAGUUUAGUUAAAUUUCAAGUAGUUUUUUAUGUAACUUGUUAAAUUUUAUCAUAUAUGCAUAUAUGUAAUAUAUCGUACUAGGUUUAUUUUCAUUCGUAAUUCAUUUGAAAUGUGUUCCGAACCGGGGGGUGGUAGUUAAAUGCAGAAAAAACACCACAAUAGCCAUCUCAUUAGCAAAAACAACCACUUUACAAUUUGUGGCAAAAAGGACGACACGCAACAACGGACAGUGGCAAAAGAGCCGGUCGGGACCGGCUCUUUCAAAAUGUGGGGUCCCACUCACCCACUCACUCUCUCACUCACCAGCUCUCGCUCACACUCGACGCCGGUGCCGCUCCUGCUUGACGCUGCCACACAAUGCAUUCAUGGAAUGACGAAGAGGAGAGCAGCAAGGAUGCCCUCAAGUACAGCAGCAUGGAUAUGGAUUUGUGGGUAAGUUUCAGCGCUCAAUAACUAGACGUUUGGAUUAGGGUUAGUGUUUGGAUUUGGGGAUUUAGGGUUUGUGCUCGUUUCCAGCCUUAUUGAAAGGAUUUGUUAGUUAAUUUAGAUAUUGUCAAUGCAGGAGAACCCUGAGACCAUUGUGAAUUCAUUUUACUAUGGGACAGUGGCAUUUUCGGCCAUCAAAUCCAAGCUUUACCAGGCAAGAGCCAAAAAAUCUGUUGGUUUUGGUGACAGACACUAGGAGGAAACUUUAUGGCUGCACUGCACAAGUACUCCCUCCGUCCUAUAUUAAUUGAGCUAAAAUGGAUGUAUCUAGUACAUAUGGAUACUUUCAUUUCAACAACAAUUAAUAUGGGACGGGGCAGUAAUUUUAACUUGCCUUGCUGUUUCACCACUUUGCUCUGUAGCUGUUUGAUUUCGCUGUGUAGUUAUCUAUGUAGUGACGAGUCAUCUGAACUUAGUUGUAUCUUGUUCAUUUUGACUGGAUUAAACUUAGUCUUGCUGCUAUUAAAGGUUAGUCUGUAAUUUAGUAAAUCGAAAUUUAACUGAAUUUUGUUGUUCAAGUUCAGUAUGUAGUUUAGUGAAUCAGAAUUUAACGGAAUAUUGUUUUUCAAGUCCAGUCUGUAGCUUGCUGAAUAUGUAUUGUACUGAUUGUUGUUACUCAAGUUCAGUAUGUAGUUAAGUCAAUCUAAAUUGUAGUGUCAUCAUGUAGUAAAAUAGGUAGUAUAUGUGAAAGAAAUAGGCUUGAUUUAUUGUUGUGUAGUUUUGGAAACAAUAAAUUUUGAGAUACUUUUGUCUGUCUGAACAAUAUGUCACUAGUAGAAAACAGGGCUUUGGUUCGGCUAGAAAAGAGCAUUAAUCCCGGUUGCAUUACGAACCGGGACUAAUGUGAGCAUUAGUCCCGGUUCGAGUGGCUAGGGCACCGUACAAGCAUUAGUCCCGGUUCAAAUGGGACCUUUAGUCCCGGUUGGUGCCACGAACCGGGACUAAAGGGUGCGAUGCCCAUUAGUACCGGUUCGUGGCACCAACCGGUACUAAAGGUUAGACCUUUAGUCCCGGUUCGAGCCACCAACCGGUACUAAUGGGGUUUGAGGCAUUAGUACCUGUUCAUGGCACGAACCGGUACUAAAGGUCCCAUUGUCAAACUCUACCCCCACCCUGGAUCGCCUUUUCAGUUUUGUAAAAAGCAAAGAAAAUGAUAAAAACUUCAAAAAUUAAAAUCCUUCCAGAUGUAUAGUUAUGUUACUACAUGUACUAGUUAGGAAAAUUUAAAAACUUAAAUUUGGACAUGUUUUGCAAAAAGUGUAGGAAAAAUGUAAAACGGCUAUAACUUUUGCAUACGAUGUUAGAAAAAAAGUAUAAUAUAUCAAAAUGUUCAGCACGAAAAUCCGAAUCCGAUUUUGACCGCAUAUGACCCGUUUGCAAAUGUUUAGAAUCCUCAAAUUCUAAAAGGAAAAAAAGUUAUGCUCAAAUUUCUGUUUUUUUUAAUUUUUGUUAAAUCUGGUCAAACUACUUAUUCAAGAAGUAUUAAUGUUACUAAAUAAAUAUUCAAGAAUAUUAGUGUUACUAAAUAAUUAUUUCAGUUUUUUUGAAUUUUCGUCAAAUCUGGUCAAACUAUGGUCAAACUAAUUAUUCAAGAAAUAUUAGUGUUACUAAAUAAUUAUUUCGGUUGUUUUGAAUUUUGGUCAAAUCUGGUCAAACUGUGGUCAAACUGUGGUCGAACUAUGGUCAAACUACUUAUUCAAGAAAUAUUAGUGUUACUAAAUAAUUAUUGUUUUUUAGAACAAUAGUUUCAAACUCAAACAGUGAAAUGUGUGACUUCAUGCUCAAGCUAAGUUCCUGGGGGUUAAUAGGAUUGACAUCUUACUAUUGUCAGGAAAACAACAAGUGCAGACUUGGAAACGAGGGAGAAUAGAACCCGGAAGUUAAGCGUGCUCAGGCUGGAGUAGUGAGAGGAUGGGUGACCGUCCGGGAAGUUAGAUGAUUUGGAAUGAUGAGGGGUGAUUAGGGGUGACAAGUUUUUGAUUACUUGUCCGGUAAGUAUACGAAUUAGAAACCGAGUCGGUUUGGGAUUGUGGUCGCGACACAAUACCGCCUCUGGUCCUAAUAUAUAUACAGCUACCGGCUGCGGCCAGAGACACACCGAAAAACACCUAGGGUUUUGCCUCAUCUCACAACCUGCGCCGCCAUUGUAGUCUACUCCAUCCCAAACGCCGGCGUGCAUCGACGCGUGGGAGAGCAGGUCUCCGGAACCGUUCGUCUUUGCGAUCCUGCACCGGGAGAGGACGAAUUAGGUUUAUGGGAAGCGUUGUGCGCGACUGCUCAAAUUCGUCAUCACGGGUCGUCUUCCGUCCAAGUCGGGCGGUGCUACUCAUCGUCGUAUUCAUCGCCGUCAGCAGCAGAUCGUCACCAACAUCGUCAUCAACACUGUCACACCCUUAAUAGCUAACGAUCAGUACGUCCGACAUCCUCUGUUCAUGUCUGCUUCUACAGCUAUUGUUACGUGUUUGCUGCUGUUAUGCAUGUCUUGCUGUUCUUCUAGUUUGCUAGAUUAUUGCAUGCUAGUAUCUCUUCUAGUCAUGAAUUAUUUACUGGAAUCAAUCAUGAACUUGCCUAAUAUUCCAACAAUCCAAAAACCUAAUUAUAGGCAAUUUCCUGAGUUAACUAUGGCUGGAUUCGCUGAUGCACUGAGGCCGGAUAAGUUUACCGGUGUGCACUUUAAGAGGUGGCAGUUGAAGACCACGCUCUGGCUUACUGGUCUGAAAGUUUUCCACGCUAGUGUUGGUGCUCCAGAGGGAAUGACCGACGAAGAUCGGAGAAAAUUCCAGGAAGCCAAUACUAUGUUUGUGGGAUGCAUUCUGAGUGUUCUUGCUGACUGUCUGUGUGAUGUGUACAUGCACAUAAAUGACGGAAAGAUUCUGUGGGAUGCACUGAAUGCAAAAUUCGGUGCAACAGAUGCAGGCAGUGAACUGUACAUCAUGGAGAGUUUUCAUGACUACAAGAUGGUGAAUAACCGUUCUGUGGUUGAACAAGCUCAUGAGAUACAGUGCAUUGUGAAGGAACUUGAACUCCUUAAAUGUGUUCUACCUGACAAAUUCGUGGCUGGGCGCAUGAUUGCAAAGUUGCCUCCUUCAUGGAGGAAUUUCGCCACAACUCUGAAGCAUAAGAGACAGGAGAUAUCAGUUGAAAAUCUGAUUGCAUCUCUUGAUGUUGAAGAAAAAGCUCGGGCUAAAGAUACUACUGAAAAAGGAGGUGAGGUUCAGCCUACUGCUAACAUGGUGCAGAGGUACCCACAGAACAAGAACAAAGGGAAGAACAAACCUGUUUUCAACAAGCCUACCAAGACUACUACCUUCAAGAAGAAGAAGUUCAACAAGGCUGAGCUAGAGUGCUACGCCUGUGGGAAGCCUGGACACUUUUCCAAGGAAUGCCCUGAACAUGCAGACCGCAGAGGGAAAAUAAGCUCCAAGACUGUCAACAUGGUGACCGCUAGCAAUACUGAUGGGUAUGGUAAUUUACCUAUUGUGCUUUCAGUAUUUCAAUCAUCUUCGUGGUGGAUUGAUUCGGGUGCUAACGUUCAUGUGUGUGCUGACAUCUCCCUAUUUACUUCUUAUCAGGUCGCAAGGGAUUCUUCCGUCCUAAUGGGGAAUGGGUCACAUGCUUCGGGAAAGAUCGUGCAACUAAGGAACGUGCAGCAUGUCCCUACUAUGAACAAGAAUCUAGUUAGCGUCUCCCUUCUAUGUCGAGAUGGAUUUAAGGUAGUUUUAGAGUCCAAUAAAGUAAUCGUGUCAAGAUUUGGACAAUUUAUAGGAAAAGGCUACGAGUGUGGAGGCUUGUUCCGCUUUUCUCUUUCAGAUUUUUGCAAUAAGUCAAUAAACCAAAUUUGUGCUAGUGAUAAUGAUGAUGCAAGUAUUUGGCACUCUCGUUUAUGUCAUAUUAAUUUUGGUUUAAUGUCUCGGCUAUCCAGCAUGAGUUUAAUUCCGAACUUCAGAGUUGCCAAAGGUUCUAAGUGCCAUAGUUGUGUGCAAUCUAUGCAACCUCGAAAGCCUCAUAAGGCCGCCGAGGAGAGAAACUUGGCACCUCAAGAACUCAUACAUUCUGAUCUUUGUGAGAUGAAUGGUGUGUUGACAAAAGGUGGAAAGAGAUAUUUCAUGACUUUGAUUGAUGAUGCGACUAGAUUUUGCUAUGUUUAUUUGUUGCAAACUAAAGAUGAAGCAUUAGACUACUUUAAAAUCUAUAAAGCUGAAGUUGAAAAUCAACUAGAGAGAAAGAUCAAGCGUCUUAGGUCCGAUCAUGGUGGAGAGUAUUUUCCAAAAGUUUUUGAUGAAUUUUGUGAGGAACAUGGUAUUAUUCAUGAGAGGACGCCUCCCUAUUCACCUCAAUCAAAUGGAGUGGCCGAGAGGAAAAACCGCACAUUGACUAACUUGGUGAAUGCCAUGUUAGACACUGCUGGUUUAUCUAAGGCAUGGUGGGGGGAGGCUCUAUUGACUUCAUGUCAUGUCCUGAAUAGAGUUCCCAACAAUAAUAAGGAGAAAACCCCUUAUGAGGAGUGGGUUGGGAGAAAACCAUCACUUUCUUAUUUGCGCACUUGGGGAUGUUUGGCAAAGGUCAAUAUUCCUAUUCCUAAGAAACGCAAACUUGGACCAAAGACAGUGGAUUGUGUCUUUCUAGGGUAUGCUCAACGGAGCAUUGCUUAUAGGGUUUUAGUGGUAAAAUCUGAAGUUCCUGAUAUGCAUGUUGAUACUAUAAUGGAAUCUCGUGAUGCAACAUUUUUUGAGAACAUAUUUCCUAUGAAAGAUAUGCAUAGCAUUGCUAGAUUUUCUUCUGAGAUAAUUCCUGUAUCUAGUACAACUGAUGAAUAUUUCGAACAAUCACAUGAGGAAGUCCUUGAGAAGGAUAACAAUGAAGUUCCUAGAAGGAACAAGAGACAAAGGAUUGCAAAAUCCUUUGGUGAUGAUUUCAUUGUAUACCUUGUGGACGACACACCCAAGACGAUUGCAGAAGCAUAUGCAUCUCCGGAUGUAGAUGAUUGGAAAGAAGCUGUUCAUAAUGAGAUGGACUCAAUUAUUUCUAAUGGAACUUGGGAACUAACUGAUAGACCAUAUGGUUGUAAACCUGUGGGCUGUAAGUGGGUGUUCAAAAAGAAGCUCAAGCCUGAUGGUACUAUUGAUAAGUACAAGGCGCGGCUAGUGGCCAAGGGCUACACUCAGAAAGAAGGCGAAGAUUACUUUGACACCUAUUCACCCGUUGCUAGAAUGACCACCAUUCGAGUGUUACUUUCCUUGGCUGCCUCUUAUGGUCUUAUCAUUCAUCAAAUGGAUGUAAAGACAGCUUUUCUCAAUGGAGAGUUGGAAGAGGAGAUCUAUAUGGAUCAGCCUGACGGGUUUGUGGUUAAGGGUGAAGAGAGAAAGGUGUGCAAGUUGUUAAAAUCUUUGUAUGGUCUGAAACAGGCACCUAAGCAAUGGCAUGAGAAGUUUGAAAGAACUCUGACUUCUGCAGGAUUUGUCAUUAACGAGGCUGAUAGGUGUGUUUACUAUCGCCAUGGUGGGGGCAAUAGUGUCAUAUUAUGUUUGUAUGUGGACGACAUACUGAUCUUUGGUACAAACAUUAAUGCAAUUAAUGAGGUCAAGUCUUUUCUAUCAAAAAGUUUUGACAUGAAAGAUCUGGGAGAAGCCGAUGUAAUUCUAAACAUCAAACUUAUUAAGGAUGAGAGUGGGAUUACAUUAACGCAAUCUCACUAUGUUGAGAAGGUCUUGAACCGAUUCGGUUUUAUGGAUAGCAAGCCUUCUCCAACACCUUAUGAUCCCAGCGUGACACUCAGAAAGAACAAGAAAGAAACGAGAGAUCAAUUAAGAUACUCUCAAAUUGUCGGUUCACUCAUGUACUUAGCUAGCGCUACAAGACCAGAUAUCUCUUUUGCUGUGAGCAAACUGAGUAGGUUCAUGUCCAACCCGGGUGAUGAUCAUUGGCAUGCACUAGAAAGGGUCUUACGCUAUCUGAGAGGUACUAUGAGUUACGGAAUUACUUAUUCAGGGCAUCCUGCUGUGCUAGAAGGAUAUAGUGAUUCAAAUUGGAUCUCCGAUGUUGAUGUACUUUACGCAACAAGUGGGUAUGUAUUUACUCAUGGUGGUGGCGCAGUGUCAUGGAGGUCUUGCAAGCAAACCAUAUUGACGAGGUCAACUAUGGAAGCAGAAUUAACUGCUUUGGACACAGCUACUGUUGAGGCAGAAUGGCUGCGUGAGCUCUUGAUGGACUUGCCGAUUGUUGAAAAACCUGUACCGGCUAUUCUUAUGAAUUGUGAUAACCAAACGGUUAUCGCUAAAGUGAACAAUUCUAAAGAUAAUGCAAAGUCAUCAAGACACGUGAAAAGACGUUUGAAGUCUGUCAGGAAGUUGAGAAACUCCGGAGUAAUAACUGUUACAUAUAUACAAACAGACAAAAACCUGGCAGAUCCCUUUACAAAGGGACUAUCACGAAAUGUGAUAGAUAUUGCAUCGAGGGAGAUGGGUAUGAGACCCAUAGAUGUUACACCAUAGUACUAACCCAACCUUUGUGAUCGGAGAUCCCGUGAAUUAGGAUCUGGGAAGAACAAGCUAUUGGUUAACUGAGGAGAGUAAUAACUUAUGAUCGUCUCCAAGUGAAGAUGCAAAACUCUCAGAGCUGUAAAGCUCAGAUCUGUAAGGCAGGUUGGCAACAUGCCUUAAUGUGGUUCUAUUGGCUAUAAUUAGCAAAGAUGCUGUCCUACAGAGCAGUCUUGAAAGAACACACCUAUAUGAGUUCUGACUGUAAACGUCGCAGUCUAUGAGAUUUGGGUGAUCUCUAGUAAGCUCACGAAGAGACAAGGGAGUAUGACGUAUAAGCUCCAAACCGCGGGGUAGCCUACUGACGUAUAAGCUUCCUUUUGCCGUUUUAUUUUUAUGUCUUGGCAUACAAGUUUUUUAUUACUUGUCCGGUAAGUAUACGAAUUAGAAACCGAGUCGGUUUGGGAUUGUGGUCGCGACACAAUACCGCCUCUGGUCCUAAUAUAUAUACAGCUACCGGCUGCGGCCAGAGACACACCGAAAAACACCUAGGGUUUUGCCUCAUCUCACAACUUGCGCCGCCAUCGUAGUCUACUCCAUCCCAACGCCGGCGUGCAUCGGCGCGUGGGAGAGCAGGUCUCCGGAACCGUUCGUCUUUGCGAUCCUGCACCGGGAGAGGACGAAUUAGGUUUUUGGGAAGCGCUGUGCGCGACUGCUCAAAUUCGUCAUCACGGGUCGUCUUCCGUCCAAGUCGGGCGGUGCUACUCAUCGUCGUAUUCAUCGCCGUCAGCAGCAGAUCAUCGCCAAUAUCGUCAUCAACACUGUCGCACCCAUAUAGCUAACGAUCAUUACGUCCGACAUCCUCUGUUCAUGUCUGCUUCUACAGCUAUUGUUACGUGUUUGUUGUUGUUAUGCAUGUCUUGCUGUUCUUCUAGUUUGCUAGAUUAUUGCAUGCUAGUAUCUCUUCUAGUCAUGAAUUAUUUACUGGAAUUAAUCAUGAACUUGCCUAAUAUUCCCACAGACGCAAUAAUUGUUUUCGGGAUUUUGAAUAAAUCAGAAAAUGAUUUGUUUAAUUCCGAAAAUACUCCAAAAUUUGGAAAAUCAUGGAAAAUAAUCUGUAACUCAGAUGGAGAUAAUUUAUAUAUGAAAAAUUAUCAGGAAAAUAUGAAGAAUCUAUUUAUAGCAUUUUCAUGUAUGUUUGAACAAGUUAAGUUUUCUGUAUAAGACAAUUUGAAUAAAUGUCAUUUUAAAUUCUUAUGUGGAGUUUGAAUUUGAACCUUUGGUUCAAACCAACUUUAUUUAAAUUGUUGCUAGUUGCAUUAGUCCAAACACCAGCAUGCCAUGUCAUGAUCAUGCAUCAUACUGCUGCAUUGCAUUGAUUGUGUUCCCUCUCUGUUGCCGGUGUUUGUUCCUUCUCGAUAGAAGACGAUUCGGACGUUGUGAUCAUUGACACCGAUGAAGAGCUACUAUCUUCAAAGUGUCAGGCAAGCAAAUCCCCUUUGAGCAUUCUGAUACAAUCCCACUCUCUAACUCUUGCUCUCUUUUACUGCAUUAGGACAACAAUGAUUCAACUGUUACAUGUUGUGGUAGUUGAACCCAUUCCUCUGCAUGAUCUGUCUUUGCCACAGUAAAUAGUAAAACCCACUAGCAUGAGUAGGAGUAUUUUGAGCCAUGAUGUGCCUACUCAUUCAUGCUUGCUUGUUAUACCUGCUAUGCUUAGAGUUGUGUCAGGUUUGAUUCAUCUGGGUUGGCUUGGAAUGGUGAUGAACAUGUCCUACUGCUGAGCUCUAAGUGUGUGAACACGAUUUGGUAAAGGUAGCGAUGAGAGGCAAUGUAGGAGUACAUGGUGGGUUGUCUCGUUGAAAUCGUCCUUAGGAACUGAGUUCCGUGUUUGUGAUCCAAGACAGUUACUACCACACAUCGGGUUUCGAUAACUUGACCCCUCUCGACUUACUAAUCGCCUUGAUCUCUAUCUAGGAGUUGUAACUAGUUUCUGGUGUUUGUAGGAUGUGCUGGGGGCUGUACCUAGCGCUGACCGGAGGGGUAGGCUUUGUUACGGUAGGCACCAUGGCACGGUGUAUCAAGCGCAGUACUAUUGGUCGAGGUGGACAUGGGAAUCCUGCACACAUCGUUUGACGCCGUGAUGGAAACUUCGGCCGAACAUCCGUUACGGGUCAGUUCUCAGAUAGGCGAUAAACCUAGACUAGAGUCUUGCGUGGUUAGUCAGGUUGUGGCUGACACCCUCGCUAGGCUUCCGCUUGAAGGUUUCCGAGAUACAUGACGUGUAUAUGGUGUUAAGUGGUGAGAGCGUGUGUGAAGAAAUACACCCCUGCAGGGUAAUAUAAUCUAUUCGGAUAGCCGCGUCCUCGGAUAUGGACUACUUGGAAAGCUUGUAUGGUCCAUAGAUAACCUGAAGUGGAUACUCUAAAUGCGCAAAAUAAGUGUGAGUGCUAUGGAUGGCCUUCUCAUGGGGAGACGGGAGCGGAUCCAUAGUGGUGUAUUGAUAUGGUGAAUAUGUGGACUCACGUGCGCUUUCUCACCUCAAAGAAGUUAUUGGUAGUCAUAGUACAUGAAAGCCACUGAGUCAAAGCUGGCUUGCUGUAGUUAAACUCCACAACCCCAUUGUUGAUACUGAUGCAUAAGUAGAUAGUUCUGAUGUAAGUCUUGCUGAGUACAUUUGUACUCACGUUUGCUUAAUUGAUGUUUUUGCAGAGGAGAUUUCAAUCUCGCUAGUAGUUUCACAUGGGCUUUGACGGUUAGCUUGGGAAUCCCAGACAGAGGUAUGGCUCCUAUGGAGGGUAUUGUAGACAGACAUGCUUCCUAGCCUUCUUUCUUUUCAGCUGUCUAUAUUCAGACAGGUUUAUGCUUCCGCUUGUUGCUUGUAUGACUUUGUAUGUUGGGUCAUGAGACCAAUGUUCGUAAUAUCAUGUUAUGUGUGGCUCUUCAGAGCCUCUUAAAUAAAUACUUGAGUCGUAGAGUUAUAUUGUGACGACAUGUUGUAUCCACACAUAUUUGCAUGUUCUACAUACAUAUGAUGUGUGUUGCAAUGUGUUGGGUCACGAUAAAUCUUCUAUUGGAUUGCUUGAAUCUUUUGAUCUUUUGGUCCAACAAAAUUAUACUGUAAUAAUUAGGUCCAACAGAACAAAUCAGAAAACUUUGCUUGUACCAGACAUGGUUAGGUCCAAUAGAACAAAUGAAUCAUCUCUUCUUGGAGGAUUGUUUAAUUUAUCUUAGAUGUACCAAAAAUGAUCAUUGUGUUGGUCACCAGGAAGCAUCACAAGAUAAUUUAACAUCCAACAUGAAAGAACAUAGAUCUCAAUUCAAACAUCAUGCAAUAACUAACAGACUUCUCAAGUGUAAAUGGAAUCAUCACCACUAUAGCAGCUAUAUUUUGAACACCACGGAAACUCCAAUUUGAAACUGCAUCCUCAUUAAUAGAAACUGGAAAUUAGCUUGUCUAGUUCCAGUUUGAUUUGUUCAUCAACUAAAGAGUUAUAGUUUAAAUGACAAAUUUCACAUCCAAACUACAUAUCACAUCACAAAUUUAGGGUAAUUCAUACAUAGUAUAAAUAUAGGUAGCAUAGUACAGAAGAUCAGUUCCCAUCAAUCAAAUAUAGCAAUAGUCUUUGCAACAAAAUAUAUAAUAUAGACUUUCUUCUUGAGCUCAGCCACUUAGAUCAAUGACAUCAUCCUCUUCAAAAUUCCCUUUGAUAUUUUUCGGCUUGCCCUUGUGAAUUUCCCCAAUUUUAAGAAGCUCAGCUAUGACAUACUCUACCUUCUUAAUAUCUUUCCGGAUAACAUCCAUGUCCUUCAUCAUAGUCUCGAGCUCAUAUAUGUCCUUCUUCAGAACAUCCCUCUUCUUCAUCACAUCAUCCGAAGGGAAAGCUAGCUCCUUCCUAUCCUUUUUUAGGUCAAGGGUCUCCCUCAUGAUCAGAACCAUCUCCUUCUUGAGCCCAUCUUUGUCCACUUUCAGCUUAUCAUUAUCCUUCCUAGUGUUCUUGGUCACUUCUCGCUGAACAACAUGAAUGGCCUUGAGAUCACUGAUUACAUACUGCUUGUUCUCUAGCUGCUUCUGCAGGUCUAUAGAGUCCUCUGACAUCAUUUUUGGUAAUUCUCUUGCCACACCUUUUGGCAUUGCCUGACCCAGUGCUUGUUCCCAUCACUAGCAAACUCAGUGAAUUGGAAGUCCAACUACUUAAUCUUAUCUUUGAGAUUGAGCACUUCCUCUGCAGGAUCAAGCCCUUCCUGGGUUCUAGCAACCAUACACUUUUCAUAUUUUUUCCAGAGCAUGUGAAGUGCCUUUUUCAGGGCUUCGGGCCAGUCCUUCACUACUAGGGAAAACCUUAUACACAGAGGUAUAGCAGUAGCGCUGGUCAAAACAUGGCGCUAUUGCUACUUAUUAGUUGCGCUUGUUACAAAAGCACGCUACAACCAUUGUUGUAGCAGUAGCGCGUCUGCCCGGAAAAGCGCUACUACUAUAAUUCCCUCGUUGGUGCCGGUAGGCUAGGAAUAGUAGUGGCGGUUCUUCCAGAAGCACGCUACUGCUAAAAACUUUGUAGCAGCGCAUUUAUGCUGUAGAGCGCUACUGCUAUGAAAAGGAAAAUAAAUAGAAAAAUAAGUAGAAAAGUAAAUGAAAAUGAAAGAAAUAGAAAAAGGAGAAAUGAAAAAAAGAAAAUGUAAAGAAAACAAAAGAAAAAGAAAAAGAAAACAGAAAGGAAUAGCUGUAGCGCGUUUCGCUGGAAAACGCUAUAGCUAACUUAGCUAUAGCGUGUUUCGGUAAAACGCACUACUGCUAGUUUGACUUAACCCCCAGCCGCGCGGGCUCAAAAUUUUGCUAAGUCCUUCCCCCUCCACUCCCCCCUCUCCCCCAACUGCUCCAUCGCCGUUGUCGCCCUGCCGCCUUCAACCACACCGCCGCCACCCAAGGCCGUCUUCGACCACACCGCCGCCGCCCGAGGCCGCCCUCGACUUCACCGCCGCCGCCCGAGCCAGAGCCUGCCCUCGCCGUCGACCGUAAAGCUCUGCCUCUCCUUUCCCCUACCCUCCUAUCUCUCUUUGCUAGGGUAAUUCAUAUAUAUGUUGACGUUGUGUUGAUGUUCAUAUGAACCCUAGGUGUUCAUAUGAACCCUAGAUUUGUUGAGGGCAGUAGGCAUUUUUUGGCAUUUAGGAAAAAUGAUUGGCAAUUUUUUUAGGAAAUUAGCUAGGGAAAUUUUUUAUGAAAAUGCCUAAACAGUAAUUCCAUUUAGCUUUCAAUUAAUAGAGGGUAUGUAAAUAAUAGUAGCAUUUUGAUUAGAUUAAUAGACGCUAUAAACAAAAAACACUUAGAUAUAAAAAUUUAUUUGGACUAUGGACUUGAAUCUGUUCCAAAUUUCAUUCAAAUGAAAUUUGAAUUAUUUGGACUAUGGACCUGAAUCUGUUCCAAAUUUCAUUCAAAUGAAAUUUGAAUUAUUUGGACUAUGGACCUGAAUAUUUCUGAAGAAAUUGGGUGUAGGUACUAAGCUCUUGCUGCGGAAUUUUUGGUGAGGUCAGAAGGGUUAGAGAAAAUGGAGUUCCUAGACUUUUAGCUUUAGACAAAAAACAAAAGUAUUUAGCUAUAAAUAAAAAACAGUAGCUAUGGCAUUUAGCUAUAAACAAAAAACAGAAUUGUUUUUCUUUUCAAAAACUUGGUUAAACUAAUCGUUGCUAUGUAAACAAAAAACAAGAUUUUUGUUAUAUCAUAUAUGUCAUUGAUGUUCAUUUGCACAUUCCAUUAUUGUUGAUUAUAUCUUUUCAUUGAAGUGGCUAUGUUAUAUGCAAAUUCCUCAAUAGUGUUUGCUCAUGUUAUAUCUUUUCAUUGAAGUGGUUCGAUUGUGCCCAAAGUGGCUUCGUUGUUUCCAGGGAAUGAAGCCGAGUGGCCUAUGUUUUUCCGGAAUGUUGAUUCGUUUCCGUUCCGGCAAAUUUCAGGCUCUCGAUUUGUCCACUUUUUAGCAAAAGUCAUGCCGAAAUUUUCCGUGAAUUUCGGCAUGACUUGUGCUACAAACUAGGACAUAUCGAGUGCCCGGGAUUUGCCGCACAGGGAAGGAGUCAACGUUCCUGCAGAGCAUAGACCUUUUUUUAUGUCAUUAUUCAUUUUAUUAGGUCUAGAAUUAAUUGACUAAAUUUAAUCGUAGGAAACAUGGCUAGCAACGAUGAAGGACAGGGUUCUGGUGACUGCGACAACGUCUACCUGGCAGCAGAAGAAUUUUUUAUGGAAGAUGACGAUCAAGAGUUGAUGUUGCUGGGUCCACCUGUCACAUCAGAGAUUGAGACCGACAUCGAGACCGGCGCUGAGAUAGAGACUGGCACUGAGAGUGAGACCGGCAUCGAGACCGGCACUGAGACUGAGACCGGCGCCGAGACCGGCGCCGAGACUAGCGGAGCCGGUAUAGACCCGAAAGCAAAGAGGCAACUGCUUCCUAACAAGCUCAGGUCUAAUAGACUGGUGGUCACGGAGGUGGACGACGGCAAUUUUGAACCAAACGCGCCCUAGGAAGCGCGCGCGUGCUACGACAAUCAAAUAGGAUGCAUCAUACGGACAACCGCCACCAUCAAAGAUGAGAAACUAAAGAAGAUAGAUAAUAUGAGGCCCUCCCUCCUAAAGAAGUUGCACCUGAUAUUCUUGUUCCCGGGCCGGAAUGAAAAGGAUUAUAAAGAUCCAGAUAAGGACCUGGCAAUGAAGAAGAAAAACAAACACGUCAUGACCAAGUUUAGCGACGCGUUGGCCGCCUGGAAAUCAAGGGUGAAAUAUCGGAUCGUUGACAAAAAGGAACCCUACUCCGAGAUUGUAAAGGAUAAUCCGACAACCAUGGUAGAGCACUUUCAAAUAUUCAAGGCAGCUUGCGAGGCCGAAGCUGCCAAAAAAUAGUCGAAGUACAUGAAGGGGCUUCAAUAGAGGAACAUUGGGUGCCCCCACCUCGGAAGUCGUGGUUACGGCAGGAAGAGGUCCAUAUGGGCCAUGGAGGACGCGGAAGCCGCGAGUCCGGGCAUCCCAGACCCCUUGGCGGAGUUCACCGUCCCGCAGGAGCGUGACAUCCUCAGGGCCCGGCACCGUUGGGAUCCAAUGAAGAAGGUUUUCGAGACGAACGCGGUCACGGCGGAGUUCAUGUGACUGCUGGCAAUUUUAGUUUCUGAUCAAUUCGACUGCACGUUAGUCAUAUUUAUAAACGAUCCUUGUGCCAUUUGCAGAGAGAGCAGCGCAGGAUUGCGGCCGAAAGCGACUCGCCGUCUGAGGCGUUGGCGAGGCCCAAGUGGGACACUCCAUUCAACCGGGCGUUGAACAUAUUGAAAGGACUCCCGGUGGAGACUCGACUGUCGUAUGGACGCGUGCACGGUGUCGGAGAUGGCGCCACGUGGAAGAAGUACUACCGUGAGACCACGGAGGAGAGAAAGGAAAGACGGAGGUUAACUGAAGAAAACAUUGACAAGAAGGUUGAGAUUGCGGUUGAGAAGAAAUCAUCUAAGACAGUCGCAAUAGCGGUAGCUGCCGCAAAACAGGUGCUUGUACAUAUGUCUACUACCUUGGUUCCGGCCGUUUUCAAUUGGAGCAGGCAAAAUCUAGAAAAAAAUGCAGCGGAGUUUCCCCUUGCUGACUUCUUUGGGAGCAGCUCGACUAGCGUUGCACCAGCACCUGCAGCUGCACAUGCUCCCGCACCGGCUCCCGCACCGGCUCGUGCACCUGCUCCCGCACCGGCUCCCGAACCUGCUCCAGCACCGGCUCCGGCACCGGACGUGCUCGGCGGUGCUUCGUCUUUGGCUGAGCUCGACGCCCUCACGGUGUCUGUCACACCGGCCCCCAUCAAUAAAUGUAUUAUCUCCCGUUUUCGUUGCCUUUCGGAUGUCUCACGUCACAGACUUUUCUUUGCAGGCCGACGAAACCCCGUGCACCAUAUUGUACACCAUCGGCGACAAGAAGGUGGACGUGGGGAAGGCGACGAUAAUGGAGCCGAAGGAACCAUUGUUCCACAGCGGCUGAUCCCCCAGGACGUCUUCAAGGUUUCCGUGGCCAGUGUCAAACCGGGCCACGAGAAUUUGACUCCUCUGGUACUAGUGGGGGAUGACAACGAGACCCCACGGCGGCUUGGUAAUUGUUGCAAUGGGUGGGUCCUGUUGUGGCCAAAGAGUCUGCUUCGUCUGGAGGUGGCCGGGAGCACACCCACGAGCACACAGUUAGGUAUGAACAUCAACACCUCACCUACCCAAUUAGCGUCGGCUGUCGUGCUAGGUGAUAGCGGAGGGGGUGAGGAAGAGGCUCCAUUAGUCACUGGUGAUGUCGCCAUAGAUGAGGAUGAGGAUGACGAUGACACUCAACAGUAUGUCAAUACUGGUGCCUACUUAGGGUUUGAGCGUCAUGAGUCGGUGCCUGAAUUGCCGCCUCCGAAGUCUGAACGUAUUAUGGACAACCUUCCGGUAGUAAAGAAGUCUAGGAAGAGACCGAGGAAAGGCAAAAAAGCUGCUUCUAUGAUCCAGCCGCCUCAGCAGCCUCGGGUUCAAGACUGUAUAGAUAUCCCCGGUGCGGCAAAAUGGCAUAUCCAUGGUCAACCAAUCCUACCUAAAGCAGCGCUAGGGGCUAGAUUCGGCGAUUUAAGGAGACUUCAUGACGAUGUGCUGCGGAUAGAGAAAUGGCUCAUCGCCUCAAAAAAUCCAGGAUACCCACUCUACAUGGUUAACGUGCCGCGGCAAUUCUCGUACGUCGACACAUUCCCCGCGGAGAAGUUCUUCCUUCGAUUCGAUUACAUCUUCGACAUGUUUCACUUAAAGAAACUGGAUUUUACGUUUGUCCGCCUUUAUGUCUUGCACAUGAACUACCUCAUCAGGGUUGAGCAGAUACCUCAUAUCUGUGUCGCUAGCCCGUACUUCAUGCAUGAGGGCUUCUUGGGAGUCUGCGCAGAGCACCGUGAAUAAGCAAGGGAAUACAUCGCCAAUUUCAUGCUCACCAUAAGGACAAGGAGGCGAUUCUCGUGCCUUAUCAUCCCCUGUAAGUCAUCUGCGCGGAUAUCCUUCCUUUGAUUUCAAUCAUUCAUUUGCACAGUGGAGGCUAAUUAAUUUGAGGUGUACUUAUUUUUCGCAGCGGCGGGCGCGCCGUCCUCAUCAUCCUCUACCCCCGAUACUCCCACGCUCUUUACUUGGACUCGUCGAAGAACAUUAACAAAAAGGAUUACACCCACAUGAAGUCUGUUCUCGACAGUGCUAUGUUUUACUACGGCGCACGGGGUGGAGAGGUCAAGGACAAGAAGAAAAGGGACGGCAGGCCCGCCUUUGGCCAUAAGACCGACUUCUGCUGCAUCCACCAACCGAGUUAUUCUCUUAAUGAUGGAUUCUAUGUCCUACACCACAUGCUGGAGUACAGACGGGAUCACCAGAACCUUCGCAUGUCACCUAGAUCCGGCGAUGCCCAUAUUCUGCAAUGGGCAAAGAACUUAGGAGAUAUCGAGGAUCAUCGACUUCGAGCUGAGUUCUAUCACAUCCAGCGCAAACUUGCCCAAAUCAUCAUGAAGGAGGUCGUCGAAAAAACAGGGAUUUUCUAUGAAGAAGGACAAAUGUCGCGGGAAGACGUCCGAACACGCGUAGCGGCUCAGCUUCUCGACCUGAAGCCUUUCACUAAGCUUGGGGACUAUCUCCCUGACUUGGAUGCAUGGCACGACAUGUUGGAGUGAUUGUCGAUAUAUGACAAUGUGUCUGUUUAGUCCAUACUAUCUGUAUCACGAAACUCUGAGUUAUGCAUGACGAAACUUUAUUUGUUAUGUAAUUAAACCGUCCUCCUCGACUAGUGAAGAUCACUCUAGUUAGGGCUUUUUGGGUACGAUGAAUUUUGUUAUAUAUGCUUAUGGUAUGUUGCUUCUAUUUUUGCCAAGUCUGUCUCUUUCUGUUGCUCAACUAUAUAUGUUGCAUAUCAUCGACUCAUGUGACGAUGCAGGUGUAUAGAUCAUCGAUGGCGAAGAAGUGCUACGCCAGGAGUAUACGACGAGUGGCCGGAAUGUCAGGCCCAGGUGUACCGGUUUCCGGUUUCCGAGCGACAGCCAGUAGUUAGUUUAGGUUCACGCUAAUGCGAGAGAGGGAUACGAACUCAUGUACUGCAUAGUUCCGCUCUCACUCAAAGUGAUAGCUCUUCUCGCGUAUAUCAUUGUUUAGAUGGAUGACGACGUAGUUGCAAGUAAUCGAGACUUGUAUCGCUAUUUUUGAGAUGAUGACGAGAGACCACUUGUUGUUGGAUGAUGAUUAUGAUGAUGGCAUGAUUUGAUGAGACUAUUUGUAUGUAUAUGCUAUGAUUACAUUUGUAUGUGUAUGAUAUGCUAAAGAUUAUUGUAUAAAGCCUAUUCAAAUACAAAACAAAUAUGCAUAAAAAAAUAAAAACUAAUAAAACUAGCAGUAGCGAGGGGAACAAAGUUAGCAGUAGCGCUCCCUUACCAGUAGCGCUUCGUGCUAAAAAGCGCUGCAGAUAUUAGCAGCAGCGCUCUGCACUAAAGCGCGCUACUGCUAGCCAUGUAUAGCAGUAGCAUGGGAUGACAGGUGCUACUGCUACACGUUAGCUGUAGCGCCUUAUCAGUAGCACGUCGUCCCGAGCUACUGAUAGGCAAAAUACCCGCGCUACUGCUAGGGUUUUCCGUAGUAGUGCUUGUCAACCCAAUGAAUAAAUCUACCGUUUCCUAGUUGCAAUAAGAAACAAUUAGCAUUUAAUUAAUGGACACACAUUAGUCAAUAUAUUUUGAAAUGAGCAAAGUAUAGCAUAACUAGAUGAAAACCAAAUAUAGCAUAAGUGAGCUAGAAUGUUCCACAAACACGACAUGUCACAACUAAGUUACAAUGUUCUACCAACACAGCUUAGCAGCCAAACAAAACAUAGCUAUAAGACAUCCAAAUAUAGCACAAUAUAGUUGAAUUGUUCCACAAAAGUUGUGCAUGGGAUAACUGAAAUAUACAAUGGGUAUUGUCACAGAACACUAACUCUAGUUUAUACCAUUUACAUAUACUUUUUCCAGACAACCAUCACUUACUGAACAAGCAUCCCAUCAUUAGAGUCUGAGAAGAAAUGCAGCCUUCUCAGGGCGUCGAGAUCUGGGCCGUUGGAUUAAGCUUUCAAAAGAAUUGCGACCAUCAGAUCUUCAGAUGGAUCGAUCCGGGCCGUCGGAUCAUAGCAAACACUGCUACAGUGAAUAGUGUUGUUUCUUUUUUAUUUUGGUCUAUUAUUACUAUCUCGCUGACUGAUGGGCCACGCGGUAAGUGGUCCAUUGCUGUUAGUGAGAGCAGAGCACUAAGCGGUCGGUGCUGGUUCGUACAGGCUCAGGGGUCAGGCCAACGCCUGUGAAAUUGGGUAGCCGCUGAGGGCAAAUUCAACAUUUCACGUCAUCGCCCCUGCGUGACGCUCCGUGGAUGGCUAGUCAGCAAGUAAUGGCGAGGGAGCGACCCAUUGGCUAGAAACCUAGCCGCCUCUUCCCCGUCGUGUUCCUAUCUGUGUCGUUUGAGCUGCGGUCGCCAUCGAGGACGUGUCACUCGCACCGCCACUUCCCUGUCGAGCUCAUGCGUCCACUAGCCACACCGUCUCUUUUCCAUGCCUGCUCAUCCUCCGUUCCUCUUCGAUCACCGAGCUCGCCGUCGCUAUCGUCGGGAGGAAGCGAUUGGUGGACCUAGCCCACCGCCAUCAACGGGUGGAGCGCAGGAACCCGCGAUGCCCCUCCAGCGACCAGCACUUAUCCCUCGCCCAGCGACGAGGCCCCAUCGAACUCGCGUGUGGUCGCAGCUGGGAAUCCUCCUGUCCGCUCCUUGCUCCCCGCCGAGAGCCUUGAUUGGAUCUGGAUCCUGAGCUCUCCGUGCCCGCAUCGCCCCACCAUUCAUGGUGCACCACCAGCACGAGCUGCACAUCAUCAUGUCGUCAGAGGGAGAGCGGGAGGAAGUUGGCGCUGUUUAUCCCCACGAGGUGUGCCGUCGACGGUAGGAAGCCAGGCAGGGCGACGGGGAAAUACCGACGUAGUUCAAGCCGCAUCAAAAGGAAUUUCUGGCGCAGUUGCCAGGGAGACAUCAUCAACAUCUAUGAGGUUCCUAAUCACAAAUCCCAUCUCCUUGCAAUUUACAUUAUUUGCCAUUUGCCUCUCGUUUUCAUCUCCCCCACUUCACAAAAAAUUGCCGUUUUAUUCGCCCUCUUUUUCGUUUGCCUUUUUCUGGUUCGAUCUUAUGUUUGUUUGUGUCUCCAUGUGCCUUCUAUUUUGCUUGCAUCUUUUCUUGCUAAAACCUAUUGUUAUGGAUCCACUCAAAGUUUUGUACCUGGAUCUUGUUCGACCCAUAUGUGCUCGUGCUGAAACCCCAACUAGUUUAGUUGAGGGAAAAUCAUUAGAUGAGCAUGCUCUUUUUGCCCGUCAUCGUUUGUCUGAAAAAGGGAAGCUCUUAUGGAAUCAAAUAAAUUGUUUGCUAUGAUAUGCUUGGAAUCAUUAUGAAAUUUGUGAUUUUACUUGUUGCUCUAAGAACCCCAAAAAACACUUCCCCUAUCUAUGUGAGUUUAAUGACAAUGAAGUCUUAUGUUCUUAUGCCAAGGAGGUUUAUAGUUACUAUGAUAUCGAACAAAUUGAACAAUUUGUUGCUUUUAAGGGUGCUUAGAAGUUGCUUAUUUGAUUGAAAAGUAUGAUAUUACUCUCUACAAAUCUGAAAAUUUUGACAUACUUAAAUAUUGCUAUGAAAACUAUGCUCAUAAUGCCUAUGUUAAAGAAUUUAUUGAGAGAAUGUCCUAUGCUUUGAAAGAAAAUAGUGAUAUGCAUGAAGCUAUGGAUAACCAUGAUUCCGUUGAUUUGAUUGAAUUAUCCCCUCUUGAUGAACACGUUGCUAGCUAUUCUUGUGGCCAUGAUGCCAAUAUUAAUGAUGCUUAUGAAGAUGAACUUGCUAUAGUUCUUUAUGUUAAACAUGAAAUUAUUGCUAUUGCACGCACGCUGGAUAGCUCCUUUAAUGAAAAGCAUGAUUGCAAUGAUAUUAUUAUAGAUUCUAUUAAUCUCAAGUUUGUUAGUGAUAUGCAAAACCCCAAGCUUGGGGAUGCUUGUUUUGUUAUGUCCGCUACUUAUUGCAAUGAUCAUGAUUGGGGUGAUGAUGACUUUUAUGAUCUUGAUAGUCUAUUUAAGCCUCAUGAUGAAUAUGUUUGCAAUAAUAUUAAAAGUGGGUUUGGAAGAGUGUCAAAUAUUGAUAAAAAUAAUCCCACAAAUUUGGAGAGUGUUCAAUCUUAUGAUUUUUUUAUAAAAGUGGGCUUGGAAAGGUCAUGACUUUAUUUUAUGGUAAUCCCACUAUUUUGGAAGAGUGUCAACUUUGCAUGCAUGUGGAUCAUGUAGAGAAUAUGUUAUGUGAUAUCUAUAUUAUUGAAUUUGAACAUGAUUCCACAUGUAAUUGUUAUGAGAGAGGGAAAUAUGGUUGUAGAAAUUUCUUGCUACUAAGUCACCUCUCGUUAUGUUGAAUUGUCAAAGUUUUAUUUGUUUCCUAUGUAUAUGCUAGAUAUUUCUUGUUUUGAUAAUUUGUUUGCCUGUAAAAUUCCUAUACAUAGGAAAUAUGUUAGACUUAAAUGUGUUUAUCACAUGUUUUAUGAUCCUCUCUUUGUGUUUCAAUUAUUAUCUUUCAUGUGAGCAUCAUUGAAAUCGCAAAGCCUAUCUUAAUGGCUAUAAAGAAAGAGCUUGUUGGGAGGCAACCCAACGAAUAAAUUUUAUGUUUGCCUUUUUGUUUCUGUACAAUUAUGCCUCUGUUAUGAUUAUGUUUUUUAUGUUUUAAUUAGUGUUUGUGCGAAGCAAAGCCUUUUAGGAUCAUGUUGGGUGAUAGUUGAUUUGAUCUUGCUGAAAAACAGAAAAUUAUGAGUCCAGUAACACAAUUAUUAAAAUUCACAGAAGCGUGAUAAAAUUCUGAUUUUUUUACAGAAGAUUAAUACAAAUAGCGUAUGUUGUCCUAAUUUUUCAGAAUUUUUGCAGUUACAUAAGUAUACGAAGUUUUCAGAUUGCUACAGACUAUUCUGUUUUUGACAGAUUAUAUUUUCUUUUUGUUGUGUGCUUAUUUUGAUGAAUAUAUGGACUUUAUUGGAGGGUAUAAGCUAUAGUAAAGUUCGAAUACAGUACAUAUAAUGCAAAAAUAAAAUAUGAAUGGGUUUGCAACAGUACUUAGACUAGUGAUUUGCUUUGUUAUACUAACGGAUCUCACGAUGGUUUUGUUGAGUUUUGUGUGAUUGAAGUUUUUCAAGUUUUGGGUGAGAUCACGAUGGAUGAAGGAAUAAGGAGUAUGAAGAGACUAAUCUCGGGGAGGCCCAUGGCACCCCAAGUUAUUAUCCAAAGAGGAACAAGCAAUUAAGAUUGGGGAUGCCCCCGAGUGGCAUCCCCUCUUUCUUCUAAUGACCAUCGGUAUUUUACUUGGAGCUAUAUUUUUAUUCGUCACAUAUCAUGAGUUUUGCUUGGAGCAUCUUGUAUUAUAUGAGUCUUUGCUUAUUUUGCUUUUUUAUUUUGUGUCAUCUAUCCUUGCUGGACACACCUAUUUGAGAGGGCCCAAAUUAUGCUAUGGAAUCUUUUUGCUUCACUUAAAUCUUUUUGAGCUAUGGAAUUGAUCUUUGUGCUUCACUUAAAUCUUUUUGAGCUAUGAAAUUGCUCUAGUGCUUCACUUAUAUCUUUUUGAGAACGGUGUGCUUUGGUAUUUUUGAAGAAAUGCUCUCAUACUUCACGUAGAUUUAUUUGAGAGUUAGUAAAUUUUUUAAGAAAUCCUCUCAUGCUUCACAUAAAUUAAUUUGAGAGAAGAAAUUUUUUAUGCUCGUGUUCUUCACUUAGAUUUGUUUGAGCUAUCAAAAGCAACAUAUGAAAUUAGUCCCAAAGUGAUAGAUAUUCAAGAGGGAUAUAAUAAAAACUUUCAUGAAGAUCGUUAGACAAAAUAAACUUGAUUCUUUGUAAUAGUUUUGCGGUAUGACGAUAUAAUAUGUGAGUCAUGUUGAUGAGUUAUUACGCUUUAGUGAGAAUAUUGAUGUUAAGGUUUGUGAUUCUCUAUGUAAGCACGAAAGUCAAUAGUUAUGCAAUGAAAUUACAUCCUACUUGUCGUGCAUUAUUCGGUGUUAGUUCUGCUUAAUUCUUGCUUAUGAGAUUUUUUGUUUCUUGGUUGGAUGCUUCUCAAUAUUUUGCUAGCCUUCAAUUGUACUAAGUGGGAUUACUACUUGUGCAUCCAAAAUCCUUGAACCCAGUUUUUGCCAUAUGAGUCCACUAUACCUACCUAUAUGCGGUAUUCAUUUGCCGUUCUAAGAAAAUUUGUAUGUGCCAUCUCUAAUCUUCAAAAUAACUUCCUUUUUGUGUGCUCGUACCGCUCAUGAAACGGUAGGGGGUGGCUGAUAUUUUUCCAUGCUAGAUGUGUUAUUCUCAAGAUGAGUGUUUAUUCACUUGUCACUGCACGAGAGUAUGGCAAAGUUAUUAGGGAUGCCCAGUCCUGAAAUGAAAAAUGAAUUUACUUUAUGUUGUCAAAUAAUAAACUCCUUGGAAAGUGUUGGUAUGGACGGUACCCGUGGAUUCGGUUCGCCGUGGAAUGUGAAAGUAUGGUGGAAAAAGGAAUAAACUUUAUUUUCUGUUUGGGAACCACCUAUGAUAUAUCUAGCAUGGAAAGUAUUGGGAACUACUCGAUCGUUUUCAUUGACAGGAAAGGCAUGCCACCCAAAAUGUCUUAUCUCUAUCUUUUUCCGCUUUUAGCUCUGGCACCUCUACAAAUCCCUACUUCCCUCUGCGAAGGGCCUGUCUAUUUACUUUAUGAAAUUUUUAUUUUUAUUUCAAGUCUCCAUCUUCUCUUACAAAGCACCAACUAAGGGGCACUACGAUCGUACCAUAGCAUUGGGUGUAGCUAAUAUGCGAGUGUGUUUCAUGAAUGGAUCAAUGAUUGAGCAUAAUGGGCUAGGGAUAAAUUGCUUUAGUGUUGAUAUUUUGAAAGACAUGGUUGCUUGUUGAUAUGCUUGAGUAUUGAAAUCUUCAUAUCAACACUAGACUAUUCCUUUGAAUCAUAUAAAAGUCCAAAUGUCCAUGCUACAAAAGAAAAAGAAUAUGUGAUGAACAUGAUAGGCAACAUUCCACAUCAAAAAUUCUAUUUUUAUCAUUUACCUACUCGAGGAGGAGCAGGAAUUAAGCUUGGGGAUGCUGAUACGUCUCCAACGCAUCUAUAAUUUUUCAUUGUCCCAUGUUGUUAUAUUAUCAUUUUUGGAUGUUUUACAAUCAUUUUAUAACAACUUUAUAUCUUUUUUGGGACUAGCCUAUUGACAUAGUGCCUAGUGCCAGUUGCUGUUUUUUGCUUGUUUUUACACUGCAGAAAAUCAAUACCAAAUGGAGUCCAAAUGCAGCGAAACAUUUUGCAGAAUUUAUUUGGACCAGAAGACACACGAUGGGCCAAUAGAGUACUAGAGGGGGGCUCCGAGGGAAGCACAACCCACCUGGGCGCGCCCUGGUGGGUUGUGCACACAUCGGCUCGCUAUCGUGCCGCCUCUUUGCUCCAUAAAUACCCCGAAAAUCCAAAAACCCUAGGAGUCGACGAACACAAUUCCAGCUGCCGCAAGUUCCACAAAGCACAGAUCCAAUCUAAACACUGAUACGUCUCCAAUGUAUCUAUAAGUUUUUAUUAUUCCACGCUAUUAUAUUAUCUGUUUUGGAUGUUUUAUAUGCAUUAAUAUGCUAUUUUAUAUUAUUUUUGGGACUAACCUAUUAACCUAGAACCCAGUGCUAGUUCCUGUUUUUUCUUGUUUUAGAGUUUCGCAGAAAAGGAAUAUCAAACAGAGUCCAAACGGAAUGAAACUUUGGCGAUGAUUUAUCUUUGACCAGACGAUAACCAGAGGACUUGGAGUACACGUCAAGGAAGCCACAAGGAAUCCCAAGGGGGUAGGGCGGGCCCCCCACCCUUGCGGACCCCUAGUGACACCACCGACCAAUUUCUUCCGCCUAUAUAUUCUCAAAUACCCCAAAACCUUCUAGGAGAGCCACGAAACCACUUUUCCACCGCUGCAACCUUCUGUACCCGUGAGAUCCCAUCUAGGGGCCUUUUCCGGCAUCCUGCCAGACGGGGACUCGAUCACGGAGCGCUCCUACAUCAACAUUGCCUCUCCGAUUAAGCGUGCGUAUUUUACCACAAACCUACGGGUCCAUAGCUAGUAGCUAGAUGGCUUCUUCUCUCUCUUUGAUUCUCAAUACCAUGUUCUCCUCGACGUUCUUGGAGAUCUAUUCGAUGUAAUACUUUUUUGCGGUGGGUUUGCCGAGAUCCGAUGAAUUGUGUAUUUAUGAUCAGCUUAUCUAUGAAUAUUAUUUGAAUCUCCUCUGAAUUCUUAUAUGCAUGAUUUGAUAUGUUUGCAAGUCUCUUCGAACUAUCGAUUUGGUUUUGCCACCUAGAUUUGUUUUUCUUGCAAUGGGAGAAGUGCUUAGCUUUGGGUCAAUAUUGCGGUGCUCGAUCCUAGUGAUAGAAGGGGAACCGACACGUAUUGUAUUGUUGCCAAUGAGGAUAACAAGAUGGGGUUUUCAUCAUAUUGCUUGAGUUUAUCCCGCUACAUCAUGUCAUCUUACUUAAUGUGUUACUCUUUUAUUCAUGAGCUUAAUACUCUAGAUGUAGGCAGGAGUCGGUCGAUGUGUGGAGUAAUAGUAGUAGAUGCAGGCAAGAGUCGCUCUACUUGAUACAGAUGUGGUGCCUAUAUUCAUGAUCAUUGCCUUAGAUAUCGUCAUAACUUUGCGCUUUUCUAUCAAUUGCUCGGCACUAAUUUUUUCACCCAACGUAAUAUUUUCUAUCUUAAGAGAAGCCUCUAGUGAAACCUAUGUUCCCGAGUCUAUUUUCCAUCAUAUAAUCUUCUAUUUUCCAUCAUAUAAGUUUCCGAUCUACAAUUUUAGUUUCCUAUUUACUUUCUUUGCAAUAUUUUGCAUUCCGAUCUAUAAACCAAAAAUACCAAAAAUAUUACUUUACCGUUUAUCCAUCUAUAUCAGAUCUCACUUUGCAAAUAAUUGUGAAGGGAUUGACAACCCGUUUAUCGCGUUGGGUGCAAGUUGGUGUUUGUUUGUGCAGGUAUUCGGUGGCUUGUGCAUUGUCUCCUACCGGAUCGAUACCUUGGUUCUCAAAACUGAGGGAAAUACUUACUCUACUUUGCUGCAUCACCCUUUCCUCUUCAAGGGAAAAACCAACGCAAGCUCAAGAAGUACUGGGAAGAAUUUUUGGCGCCAUUGCCGGGGAGAUCUACGCCAAGCCGAGACAUACCAAGUACCCAUCAUAAACUCUCAUCCCUCGCAUUACAUUAUUUGCCAUUCGCUUCUCGUUUUCCUCUCCCGCACCUCUCACUACUAGGAAAAGGGCUAUAGACAAUAUGCACACUAAUGGCGCACCAGACAUGCGGUGCGCCACUACUAUAUAGCGGUGGCGCACCGUGUGCUGGUGCGCCAUUAGUGUGAUAGACACUAAUGGCGCACCACAACCAUGGUGCGCCACUACUAACAAAUUUUCUUUUUCUUUUUAAAAAAAUACUAAUGGCGCACCGCAACCAUGGUGCGCCACUACUAAUUUUUUUCCUUUUUUCCAAAAAUACUAAUGGCGCUACUUGGCACAGUGCGCCAUUACUAGUUUUAACUAGUAAUGGCGCACCAGUCACCCCGUGCGCCACUACUAUCAUUUUUUUGCAAAACUACUAAUGGCGCACCGCCAGCUGGUGCGCCAUUAGUAACCAGGGUUACUAAUGGCGCAUUUGUUGGUGGUGCGCCAUUAGUAACCUGGGACCAGCUAGAUAUUUUGGACAGCCACCUACACACUCACUUUCCCCACUUCAUUCUCUCCACCUCCUCCUCCAAGCUUGUCUCGGCUGCCUCCUCCUCCUCACCUCAUUUGCACCAUAGAUUCAUCCAAAUUAAGUGGUUAAAUUACCUUUUUUGAUAGGUAAGUAAGGGGAAAGCUUUCUUUAUGUUGUAGAUCUACUUUUUUCUCCCUCCAACAACGUGCACAUGCACUUUUUAUGGCCUAGCUAGAUCUAUGUAUGUUUGUGGUGUUGCAUAUGUUUGUGGUGUUGCAUAUAUGUUUGUGUUUGCACGUACCGGUAUUUGAAAUGCGAUAGUUGCCAAUAUUUUGCCAGAAUGUUGAUUCAUUUCCGUUUCGUCAAGAAUUUUGGCACUAUGCAUUCUUUUUUGUCCUAUUUUUAGGCAAAGUCAUGCCAAAUUUUUUCUUGGUUCUAAAAUAUCGUUUUGCUCUACCCUGCAGGCGACCAUGGUCUGCACGAUGACCGAAGGCAUCGUGAAUAGGUUUUUGAGCUCCGCGAAGGCCGAGAUGCUUCAAAAGAAUGAGACGGAGAUAAGAUGUCCGUGUCGAAGAUGCAAGCUGAGGAGCCUUAUGGACCCGGAUUCCGUACAGGUGCGGGACCACCUGCUCUUGCGUGGUUUCAUGGAUGGCUAUCGGUGGCAAGGUGAUGAAGAUGAUUAUGAAGUCGUCCAUGGGGGCCGGCCGGUAAGAAAUGAGGAAGGGCAGCAAGACAACCGCGGCGAGGGCGGGCGAGAAGACGAAGAAUCUCCAGGACAUGAUCACGAAGUAGAUGCAGUACGCAGUCAUCAUGUAGAAGAUGCCGGACAUAAAGAUGAGGAAGAUGCCGGAGCAGACGAAGGGCAUGAUCAUGAAGAUGAAGAUGCCGGAGCGGACGACGAUGGACCAUCGAUGGGCUGGGUGCAGGACCCUCAUAUUCAAGAGCUGCUUCUCAAGCAGACGGAUAACGCAAGAGCUGCCGCCCGAGAGAAAGCCAAGCUGGAUCAACUGGAGAUAGACGCGGUUACUCCAUUGUAUGAAGGAUGCAGGCCCGAGGAUACCCGCCUGAAAGUAACGCUCAUGGCUCUGGAGAUGAAGGUAAAACACAAAAUGACCGACGCAUGCUUCGACGAGAACAUGUCAUUCUGGCACGAACGUCUUCCCAAGGGGAACAAGUGCCCGACCAGUUUUGAGGAGGCGAAGAAAAUCGUGUGUCCUCUGGAUUUACCGCACGUGAAAUACCAUGUGUGCAUGAACAAUUGCAUCAUUUAUCGGGACGAGCACGCGGAGUCUACCAUAUGUCCGGUGUGCGGCGUCACUCGAUACAAGAAGAGGAAGAAAGCUCCUCGAAAAGCGGUGUGGUACUUUCCGAUCGCUCCUCGUGUGCAGCGGUAUUUCGCGGACCCUAAGGUAGCAAAGCUCUUGCGUUGGCACGCGGAUAGGGAGGAGAAGAAGCGAGAAGAUGACGCAAAUGAUCCGGAGAUAAAUAAAAAAGACAAGAUGCUGAGUCACCCUAAGGAUGGGAGCCAGUGGCAAGCGUUGAACUUCGAACACCCAGAAUUUGGGAACGAUCCAAGGAACAUCGUGCUGGGCGCGAGCACCGAUGGAGUCAAUCCGUUUGGCAGCCAGAGAAGCACACAUAGCACCUGGCCUGUGUUUGUGGAUGUACAACCUUCCCCGCUGGUUGUGCAUGAAGAGGAAGUACAUUCACAUGAGUAUGCUAAUUGAAGGGCCGAAACAACCAGGGAACGACAUCAAUCUGUAUCUGGGGCUGCUGAAAGAGGAGCUAGACACGCUGUGGAAAACGCCAGCCAAUACGUGGGACACCGCAGAGAAAGAAUAUUUCCCUAUGAGAGCCGCUCUGCUCACGACGGUGCACGACUAUCUCGAUUACGGAUAUGUCGCGGGGCAGGUGGUCCACGGAUUUUCUGGAUGCGUCAGGUGCAUGGAUGACACAACAUAUCGCCAGCUAGAUAGAGAUCUCAGGUCUUCGAAAACCGUGUUCAUGGGACAUCGAAGGUGGCUUCGCGACGAUGACUCAUGGAGGAAACGCAAGGAUCUGUUCGAUGGUGAAACCGAAACCCGAAGACGCCCGCGUACGAGGAGCGACAAGGAAAUAGACGAGUUGUUGAAAAAUUGGAAAGAUUGCCCACUGCCGGGAAAGAAGCAAAAGGCACCAGAGCCGGAAAAGAAGCGAAAGGCGCAAGAGCCGCUGCUGAAGGUAUGGAAAAUGAGGUCUGUUUUCUGGGACUUGCUGUACUGGAAGAUCCACCGUGUGCCUCACAGCCUUGAUGUCAUGCAUAUCACGAAGAACGUGUGCGAGAGUCUGCUUGGUACCCUGCUCAACAUGCCGGAGAGGACCAAAGAUGGGCCGAAAGCAAGGGCAGACUUGAAAUCAAUGGGCAUCAGGGAGGAGCUUCACGCUAAUGAUGAUGAUGAUGAGGCGAAGCAGGACACGGAAAGUCGUCGCAAAGGCAAAAAGGCCAAGAAGACCGAAAAUGACUUCCCUCCCGCGUGCUUCACUCUAAGUCAGGAGGAGAUCGAUCAGUUUUUCACCUGCCUCGUAGGAGUAAAACUUCCUUACGGUUACGCGGGGAAGAUAAGCAGAUACCUAGACUCAGCGAAGCAGAAGUUCAGCGGGAUGAAGUCUCAUGACUGUCACGUGCUGAUGACGCAGAUACUUCCAGUUGCAAUCCGUGGGAUCAUGGACGCGCACGUCCGUGAAACGCUAUUUGGCCUAUGCAACUUUUUCGACGUCAUCUCUCGGAAGUCGGUUGGUGUGAGGCAACUCAGAAGGCUACAUGAAGAGAUCGUAGUGAUACUAUGCGAGCUUGAGAUGUACUUCCCGCCCGCAUUCUUCGACGUUAUGGUGCAUCUGCUGGUCCAUAUCGUGGAGGAUAUCAUCCAACUCGGGCCGACGUUCCUGCACAGCAUGAUGCCGUUCGAAAGGAUGAAUGGUGUCAUCAAAGGAUACGUUCGCAACAUGUCACGUCCAGUGGGAAGCAUAGCCAGGGGCUUUCUGACCGAAGAGUGCAUCUCCUACUGCACGAAUUAUCUAGGCAUCGAGAACCCCGUUGGUCUGCCCGCCAACAGGCACCUCGGCAGGCUCGCUGGAUGGGGUCAUCGUGAGGGUUGCCGCGAAAUGCAUGUCGAUUUCGAGGGUCGACUCGCCGACUUUGAAAGAGCAAACCUAGUCGCGCUACAACACAUAGACGUGGUCGAUCCUUGGGUGGUAGAGCACAAAACCUUUAUUGAGAAGACGUACAAUGACCGAGACCAACAGAGGACGGACGGAGAUAUAAUCAAAGAGCACAACUCAUAUUUCACGCGUUGGUUCAAGCAGCAUGAGGAUUCUUCCGCGGAAGAACAACUCAAAUUCGCCUUGUCACAGGGCGCCGAGCACAACCUGAUGACGUAUGAGGCGUACAAUAUCAACGGCUACACAUUCUACACCGAGGGAAAGGACAUGAAGAGCGAUGGUUAUCAGAACUCUGGGGUAACGAUGGAAUCCUACACCGGUAACGAUAAGGACAGAUACUACGGAAGGAUCGAGGAGAUCUGGGAGCUGAGCUAUGCUGGAGAGAAGGUCCCGAUGUUCCGUGUCAGAUGGGCCAAGAGCGUCCUAAAAGAAGACCGGUAUUUCACCACCAUGGUUAUACCCGAAGCCAAAUCCAAGACCGCGGGCGCAAACGACACCGUGAAAAAUGAGCCAUGGGUACUGGCUUCCCAAGUGGACCAAUGCUUCUUCAUUACCGACCCGUCAAAGCCCAGUCGUGUUGUCGUGAGGAGAGGCAAAAGGAAGAUCAUCGAAAUGGAUGGAGUCGCCAAUGAGCAAGACUUCGACAAGUACGGCGACCCGAAGAUGGAACAUGACGACGAUGAUGAAGUACCAGCAUACACCACAAGAAGAAGCAGGACCACCCUACCUAAAGGACGUCCGUUCAAGAGAAGAACUCCAUUUACGAAAAAUAAGGGCAAGAAGAUUGUGAACAGAUAGCUAGCUAAGAUCGAUUGUAUUUAAAUUGUAGCCUUCAUUUCUCGAUUGUAUUUCAUGGGCACUUUUUGAACUCAUGAAUAUUUUUAAAUUUCAUGGGCACUUUUUGAAUUCAUGAAUAUUUUUUCAAAUUUCACCGCCGCCGCCGCCGACCCCCCGCACCCUCCCCCGCUCCACCGCCACCGACGACCCACCGCACCCUCCCCCGCUCCACCGCCNNNNNNNNNNNNNNNNNNNNNNNNNNNNNNNNNNNNNNNNNNNNNNNNNNNNNNNNNNNNNNNNNNNNNNNNNNNNNNNNNNNNNNNNNNNNNNNNNNNNNNNNNNNNNNNNNNNNNNNNNNNNNNNNNNNNNNNNNNNNNNNNNNNNNNNNNNNNNNNNNNNNNNNNNNNNNNNNNNNNNNNNNNNNNNNNNNNNNNNNNNNNNNNNNNNNNNNNNNNNNNNNNNNNNNNNNNNNNNNNNNNNNNNNNNNNNNNNNNNNNNNNNNNNNNNNNNNNNNNNNNNNNNNNNNNNNNNNNNNNNNNNNNNNNNNNNNNNNNNNNNNNNNNNNNNNNNNNNNNNNNNNNNNNNNNNNNNNNNNNNNNNNNNNNNNNNNNNNNNNNNNNNNNNNNUCCACCGCCACCGACGACCCCCCGCACCCUCCCCUCUGCCCUCUAUCACAGCGGGGACAACAGGAAGCCGCCGUCGCGCCCCUCUGCACCGGCUGCCCACGGCGCCUCCGUCCCGAAGCCGCAGCCCAAGUGCCCACCACUCUCUGUCCACGGUGAGCCAUCCUCUCUGUCCCAACUCUCUGUUCUUCUUUUUUAGCUAUCCUUUGUUGAAACAGUAGUUGCUGUGUAGCAAAUCUUUGGGAUUAGUGUUCAGUACUUUGUUGGGUGAGCGGCCAUCUGAGACAUCCUGCUUACAUAGUCUCCUUUUUAAAACUCGUCAAAUUGGUUUUAGAUAGAAAUGAUCAACACUCAAUUGGCCAACUGCAUGUGGAAUGAUUUCGAAGGGCGCCAUAACUUAUUGUAGAUGCUGACUACAAUAACAAUACUAAACUCAGUGUAGUCUGUUGUAAAGACACUUGUGCUUCUUUCAUCUGGAAAGGGGUCGUCUGGCCUCCAAAACUGUCAGAUUAGGUUGUGCUGUAACUCCUCACAUGGCCAUGUUUUUGGAAGAUUGGUCGUUUGUCACCGGCCCUUUGGUCACCCAGCAAUGGGACUUGUAUCAUAUUGCCAAUGAGGUUAAUAAAACAGUAGUGCAUCAGUACUUUGUUGGAACAGAAAGUCAGAAAAUCAGAAAAUCCACGGUACUUUGUUUAGAUCUUCACUGUUGACAAACGCAGUCAACUAAAAAUCCAGUUCAGUGCAUAAUUAGUGUUGACAAAUACACUGAUCUUUAUCUGCAGUAAUUCAGUUUAAACUGAAAAUUCAGUGUUGUAGUACAGAAAAUUUAAACUGAAAAUUCAUAGUCUCCUGGUGCAUAUUGAUCUCAGUGUAUGAAUUCAUAGUGUUUCAAAUUACUGAUGCUAUGGUCCAGGAGUAGAAAAAUUUGUACUCCAAGAUCAAUAUGGUUCAAUUUCUACUGUACUGUAAUCAAAGUGGAUAUAAAUUGCAGAGUGUUUAUGUUGGCAUUCGACAACAUCUAAAUUUACCAAAUGAUUGUGAACUCAGUUUAUGUUUGCAACCAAAUGCUUAGUUCAUUGUUUACUCCAAAUGAUUGUGAACUUAUUCAAAGUUUCCAAUAUUGUUCAGACACUACUUGUACUGGAACUGGAACUACUACUACUGAUGCAGCACCCCAUGUAGUUUAAGUUUUCUUUAUCUUAAACUCAGACAGCUCUCUAAUUAUUGGAGUUUAUAUCAUAUAUAUUGCUGGCAUGUAUUUCAUAUGUUCUGUAGCAUUAAGGCUACAUAGCAUUGCUUUUGUCUCUGACCAUCGUGUCGUGAUGAUAUUGUGGGGUGUUGUGGGGUUGCAGAGGCCCUUGAGUUUCAUCGCGAUGAUGCUAAUCGUGAUGACCGCAGCUCUCUUCUAUGUGAUGGUAGUUUAGAUGAUCGAUAUCGACUUGUAAUGUGAAGACAAACUCGCUACUCGCGGUUUCGAGACUUGUAGUGUUCUAACUUUGUUUGGUCUUUUGAAUUCGGAGACUAAUAUGAUGAAUUGUAUUCGGAGACUAAUCUUCUAUUGUAUUCGAUAACUCUGCUGUUUAUAUGUUGUGUGUCUAUAUUCUGUGCAGUAAUAUGUUUUGUAACCUGUGCAAAUAUCAGAAAAGAAAAAAAUCCCUAAUAUUCAUACUAGUGGCGCACCACCCAGAACUUUAGUGGCGCACUGCAAAAUGCAUACUAGUGGUGCAUCAGCAAGCAGUGCGCCAUUAGUAAGCCAGAGACAUGGUUAAAUAUGGCCCCCUGGGAGGCAUUCUAAUGGCGCAUCAUAGGGUGUACUAAUAGCGCACUACAUGGUGCGCCAUUAGUAUCUGAUAUACUAAUGGCACACUUGUGGUGCGCCAUUAGUAAUAAAAUCUAAUGGCAUGGUACUAGUGGCGCACCUGUAGUGCGCCAUUAGUAGGCAAAACAGGUGCGCCACUAGCAGCCCUUUUCCUAGUAGUGUCUAAAACGAUUUUCGAAAAAUUUGUCUUUUCUUCGCCCCUCUUUCGUGCGUCUUCUUCUUUUGCUCUUUGUUCGCUUGUCCGUUUGAUCUUUUAUCUUGCUGUCAUGGCUAGUUUUCCAUCCUUGUUAGCACUCCCAAUAAUAAGGUCCUCAACUUCAAACAAAGGGAAGGAGAAAAUUUAAAAGAUGCUUGGUAUAGAAUUUAUAAUGCUCAAAUUUGAUGAUUACUGCUGGAGAUGACUAACAUCCUAGAUGUUACUCACUAUGUCUAGAUACAUUCGUUUGAGUGUCAACUAAUUCUGAACAUCUUAGGUGUUACUCCCAAGUCUAGAUACAUUUUUUUGAGUGGCAACUAAUUCUGAAUGGAGGAAGUACACAAAGCUAAGCCACAGCCAUGAAAUAUAUAUAGGGCGGGGGGCGCUCGUUCCACAAGGAGCGGCGGGUAGCUUAGCUAUAGCUCGAUCGAUGAAUAUGGCUGUAGAUGGGUUUGGUGAGCUGGGCAUUCGUGUGGUGAGUCGCCGGCUGGUGCUCUGCCUGCCAGCUACUGCUCUGCCUGCCGCUCCACCUCCUUGUCGAUCGCGCCCACCCAAACGGACGUCCAUGACACAUACACCGACAAUGUGCUCCUCCACGGCCACGACUACCCAAGUAGUGGCCACGGCACCUCCUCCACAGGCUCGGGCGUGGGCGGUGCUGGUGGUGGUGGGGGCACGUUGGCCUCCACUCCGGCCGCCAAUUGGGCCAGCGCCUGCGCAAGGCCAGGCCACCUGGCCUUGCUCCUCGCGCUCGGCCUCCACGAUGGCCCUCCAUGUGGCCUCCUCGAGGGACACAACACAGGCCUCCUCGGCAUCCUAAUCCUCCUCCUUCACCACUCCCGGAAGUGGUGGUGGAGUGGCAAGAACGCGUGGUGCACCGGGCGCACACUUGACGCACUACCGGCAAUGUUGGUCGUGCUCGGUGGCAAACCACGCGUCCUAGUUACCGCAUACGUUGGGUCACGGCGGAGGUUGGCUAGGAGUAGAGCAUGGGAUCUCCGUCAGCUGUGCGCGGCCUGAGGCCGGCACCGGAACCCUAGCAAGGUUGAGGUCCCACCCGUGCGGUAGGUUCACACUGGGCUAUGGCGCAGGCACGCCAUACUCCCAAAAGUACUGGUAGCGGUGCAUCGGCAUGUAGUGCCGAAACCAUGGCUGCCGACUCAAGGUCGAUUUAUCUGUUCUUAUAAACUAGCGAAUUAGCAACUAUAUUACCCAAGAGUAACAACCAAGUCAUAUAUACAAUGUACGCUUGCAACCAUUGAAUAAAUUGUACAGAAUACCAAACAAAGAAGAUUGAACGAGGUCGUGGAACAACUCACAUGCACCAUCCACAGGUCAAGUGGAUGAUCCCAAUGAUGAGCGAAUGAUCCUAAUGACGAGCAGUUGGCGAGAUUAUGUUGCUCUUGUGAUGGUUAGUGAUGUCUGCGCUAGAGCUUGCUUACAACCUUGCGAGGUAAGGAGCUACGGCUACAUGCGUAUUAGGUUUUAUAAGCCGUGAAACCUCGAUAAAAGUUGCCGCUAUAAGUUUUUUCUUCAUGUCACUAUAAACCUUAUNNNNNNNNNNNNNNNNNNNNNNNNNNNNNNNNNNNNNNNNNNNNNNNNNNNNNNNNNNNNNNNNNNNNNNNNNNNNNNNNNNNNNNNNNNNNNNNNNNNNNNNNNNNNNNNNNNNNNNNNNNNNNNNNNNNNNNNNNNNNNNNNNNNNNNNNNNNNNNNNNNNNNNNNNNNNNNNNNNNNNNNNNNNNNNNNNNNNNNNNNNNNNNNNNNNNNNNNNNNNNNNNNNNNNNNNNNNNNNNNNNNNNNNNNNNNNNNNNNNNNNNNNNNNNNNNNNNNNNNNNNNNNNNNNNNNNNNNNNNNNNNNNNNNNNNNNNNNNNNNNNNNNNNNNNNNNNNNNNNNNNNNNNNNNNNNNNNNNNNNNNNNNNNNNNNNNNNNNNNNNNNNNNNNNNNNNNNNNNNNNNNNNNNNNNNNNNNNNNNNNNNNNNNNNNNNNNNNNNNNNNNNNNNNNNNNNNNNNNNNNNNNNNNNNNNNNNNNNNNNNNNNNNNNNNNNNNNNNNNNNNNNNNNNNNNNNNNNNNNNNNNNNNNNNNNNNNNNNNNNNNNNNNNNNNNNNNNNNNNNNNNNNNNNNNNNNNUAUAUAUGUAUAUAUAUAUGGGGCAUGAAACUGCAAACUACCACUAUUGUUGCCGGUGGACCUCCCGGCUCCGGUGCACAUCCCAACGUCGCCCUCGUGAAGCAAGCGAAUGGCCCCGCGAGCAUGUGGACGUUGUCCAUGUGGCAUUGGGUUCCCGCUUCUUGAGUGAACCGGAAAAAAAACCCAAAGCUGGUCAAUCUUCGGCUCGAAAGGAAGCCUGGCUUAUGGUUUUGUGUUUUCGCGCCGGCGUAGCCGCUCUCCGUCUGGGUGAGCGAGCGGUGGAGGACUGCCGCAAUGGAGGAGAUGGUGGUCCUUGGGCCCCGAUGCCUUUCGUGGCAUGAGGGCCGUGUCUUGUAUUCGAUGGCCGGGGACGCCAUCCGGAGCAGCUUGAGAAGGCACCGUCGGGGCUUUGCGCUUGCACCCCUAUGCAGCCAUGCCCGGCGCAGCGGGCUGUCCGCUGUGUGUCUUGCGGAGUCUGAGUGCAUCCAUCGGCUGAUUUUUAUUUUAUUCUUUCGAUGAGGAUUAGUAGUCGGAGAGUAGAUAGGUUCUUCCUCGAUCCCAUGAUAUAAAAGCUUGGGUGUUCGUUGACGCUAGCAAUGUCAAAAACGCUCUUAUAAAAUGGGAGGGAGUCCCUCGCAAAGAAAAAAAGAGAGUAGAUAGCUACUUUAUCUUUUAUUUUGAAGGUGGGAGUAGAUUGAUAACUACUUAGUGCACGUACGAAAAGAAAGACACGAUCGCCUAAAAAAAAGAAAUACUAUAUUGAGAUAUAUAUAGGGCGUGCGGGCGCUAGCAGUUCCACAACGAGCGGCGGGUAGCUAGGUUCAACAUCCAUAUAGGUUGAAUAUGGCUGUAGAUGGGUUUGGCGAGGUGGGCAUUCGUGUGGUGAGUCGCCGGCUGGUGAAGGCAUCCGACCCCUCCAUCCAACCGCAGGUGGUGCCCCUCUCCAACCUCGACCUGUACGUCGGCAACGUACAAGUCGCCAUACUAUGCCUCUAUCCCAAGCCUCCGGCGGGCAGGGAUUUCGCCGGCGUGGUGGCCACCUUCGAGUCCUUGCUGCCGGCUUUACUCAACGAGUUCUACCCUUUCGCCGGCCGCAUCGGCACCAACCCAAGCUCAGGCCUCCCCGAGCUGCUCUGCCAGAACCAGGGCGCAGAGCUGGUCGUGGGAGAGGUCCGCGUCGCUCUGGGGAGCCUGGACUACGGCCUGGCGGACAAGUCCCUGAAGAAGCUGAUGCUCCCGUACGCGGAGGACGUCACCUUCUCGGUGCAGCUGCUAUCCUUCGCCUGCGGCAGCUUCUCCGUGCUGUGGGCAACCAACCACCUCGUCGGCGACGGCCAUGACAACAUCAGGUUCCUGCGGAUGUGGUCUGAGCUCGCACGAACGGGCAAAAUCGUCGCCGACGGCGGGGACGGAAAGCUAAGCCACGACCGCUCGGUGUUCCGCCCUCGCAACCCGCCGUCAUACAGAGCCUCGCUCGCCACCGACCUAACGACGUUCGACCCGCGCCGGCUGGUAAACGUCCUGACGGCCCACGACAGCUUCGUCGACCGCCUCUACUACAUCGACGCGGCCGACAUCGCCAGGCUGCGCGAGAUGGCGAGCACCAAGCUGCAGCGCUCGUCACGCGUCCAGGCCGUGUCCGCGUACCUGUGGAAGGUCCUCGCCGGCGUGGUUGCCGCUUCCCGCGUGCCCGAGGAGCGCUGCCGCAUGGGGUGGUGGGUGAGCGCGCGCCGUCGUCUCACGUCGCCUGACCUCGCCUCUGCGAUGCGCAACUACUUCGGCAACGUCACGACCUAUGCCUACGGGGACGCGACGCUGGAGGAGAUCCAGCGCAAGUCGCUCGCGGAGGUGGCGGCCAUGGCGCGGGAGCCGGUCGCCUCCGUCAACUACGACGAGUACAUCCAGGAUCUGGUGGACUUCGUGGAGGUGCACAAGGGACAAGGGCUGAUGGAGACGGCCGUCGUCGGGCUGGGCAGCCCGACCCUAAGCCAGUCCGUGUUCGACUCAUUCCCACUCGACACCGACUUCGGCUUCGGCCAAGCUGCUCUCGCCAUGCCCAUCUCCGACUUCGCCAACCUCUGCUCAGCCUACCUGUCCAUCAGCGCGCGGCCGGCAGGCGACGGCUCCUGGCUCGUCAGUGCCUACAUAUGGCCGCGUCUCGCCGCCGCCCUCGAGGCCGAUGAGCAGCACAUCUUCAAGCCUCUCACGGCGGACUACCUUGGCCUCACAGCCUGCUAGACAACACCCACGCUAUUCUGUGUGUUCUUUUAGCCAACAAUAAAAUUCCUUGGUGUUUUGCUCUUCUUCCAACAAUAAAAUCCUUGUGUUGUGUUGUGUGGUGCUAUGUACUUUGGUUUUUUUCUUCAUCCAACAAUAAAGUUAGGAAGCGUUACUUUUUGAAAAAUAGCACACCUUAUAUAUACAUUUACUUUGAAAGUUAGAGAGGAUUUACUUUGAAAGUCACAGGUUUGCCAAGCACCUGAGGAAAAACACUCGGCAAAGCCAGCCCUUGGUUUCCGUCAGCCAAUAAAAGAUAGAUCACACGCGUGGCCGCCUGCUUAGCUAUAACCAAGGGCUCGCCGCCGCCAUACCCCCUUCACCUCCCCGCUGCCCCCAUCGGCCUCCUAAUUCCGACCACAGCCGCCUCUAUCCCCCACUAGCCGUCCAACUUUCUCCUCUUCAUAGAUCUAAAACUAGGAAUGGGUUGGAGGGCUCAAUGAACUAGAUCUACUAUAUAGUCAUCUUUGAGCUCAGCUAUUGGGCAUCAUUGCUAGUUGCAAGCUCCCAAUUGGUCACAUCACUGCUAUUCAUAUACCAGCGGGAUCAAAUUGGCCUCUACACGAGUAAGUUGGUCCCUACGGUGAAGUACAGCAGUGGGCCCAUAUUGGCACCCACCACUGAUAGGUGGCAAAGUAAAAUUGGCAUGUGAAAAGAAUUGCCAUGUACUGAUAAGAAUUUACCAGUGCGGUCCCACUUUGCACACACCACUGGGAAAAAAAUGAGACCAACCCAAGGGAUAACCCUCGUUGGCAUUUUCUUUAUAGGAGAAACUUCGCGAGCACCACACGUCCAAGCCGAAGCUCGAACUCGCGUGGGCUGGCAGCUACCCCAGCUACCGAGCCGACGGGUCGACGCCCCGUCCUCGCACACACCUAUGUGAUUUGGCUAUAUUAUGAGUUGGUGGGCCAUUAGUGUUUUAUGCAUAUUCCAAAAAAUCACAUUGUUUUACCAAUAUUCUGCGGCAGAAGCUUAUCCUCAAAGUGCACAUAUCCCAUAUUUACGAAAAAUACUCGUUUAUUCGUUUUUCUGCAGACCGCUCGGCGUUAAGGUUGGUUUACAGCCGAGCAAGCCGACUGCUCGGCGGGAUGAAGAUGAAAAGGCAGUGGGCUAAGCCGCGUGUGUUUUAUCAACUACAUGGGCUACAUUUAGGUAUUUCAAAACCAAAGGGCAAUAUAUAAGCCGAGUAAGGCGUUAGAGGACACUCGGCCAAUACCAAGACGUCGUCAUGGAGCCGUCAAGCACGUGGCAAUAGAAACACUGCAGUUGCUUGCGUGAGCCACACGUGUAUGCCGUGGUUUUUCUACAUAAUAUAUCGUGUUCUUUCUGUAGGCCAUGCGUCUUUUUACGUUGUAUUCGGUUUACAUGGAGCUAAGUUGAGGGACCUGCAAAUGCCGUGUGUUUUCAAGAUGGUACUCGGCUUAGGGUCUCUUUGAUUCAAAGGAUUUUGAUAGGAUCUUUGAAGGAUUAAAAUCCUGAGGAAGUUUUCCUAUGUUGGUCGUUUGAUUUGUAGGAUUGAAUCAUGUAGGAUUUUUUUCUAAAGAUGUAUUUGUACUACAUUUUACAGGAAUUCUAACAUCCACUCCAACCUUUUGGAAGAAAUCCUUUGUUUUCUCCAUGACACAAUCAAACAAACUCAAAUCCUAUAGGAAUCCAAUGGACAUGUCAUUCCAAUCCUACGUUUUUCCUAUGGAAAACUAUUAAAAUCAUCCGACUUAUUUUUCACGAACGUAAACCGUCUUUGACGGACGCCACGUGUCCCUGCUGGUCGCUCACUCCUUAUCCUUAUCUUUUCUCCAGAAGAAGCGUGAGCCACUCAUUCCUUUUCCUCCUUUUUCUUCUUCCUUCGAGCAAACAUGCUUUCCCAGGGACGGCUCUCUCCAGCAAUCCCAGUCGCCGCUCACUUCGUGUUGAUGUAGGGCUAGGCUGAGAGGAUGCUCCUUCCAUGGCCGGCGGCGGAGCUGCGUUUGGUGAUGCGCGACGAUGUUGCGGCCACGUUGACGGCAAAGCUGCGUUGGAGCAGAAGGUGCUACGAGCUGCUGCCAUGACCGGCGGCGCUACUGCACAGCAACGGCGAAGCUGCGUUUCAGCAGCAAACAGCUAUGAGCUGCUGCCAUGGCGGGCAGCAGAGCUACAUGGCAGCAUGCAGCAGGCGAUGCGUCAAUGAAACUUGGCCGGAGCUCCAUUGAAGCUUCGCCGGUGCGUCAAUGAAACUUCGCCGGAGCUCCAUUGAAGCUUCGCCGGUGCGUCAAUGAAGCUUGGCCGUAGCUCCAUUGGAGCUUCGCCGGGGCGUCAAUGAAACUUCGCCGGAGCUCCAUUGAAGCUUCGCCAGUGCGUCAAUGAAGCUUCGACGGGGUGGCUCGGUGUUGCUAUGGAGCAGCACCCGGUGGCUCUCGGUGUUGUGAUGCAGCGGUCGCCGGUGGCUCCGGGGACGCGAGGUCGCCGAGGCAGGGUGACAGGGGAGGGUCUGCGUUGCUCUGCAUCAGGAGGAGUUGUUGUGCGCUGCUCUGUAUCAGAUGGCUGGGGAUUAGUGGAGAAAGGCCCAGGUUGUGUCGCGGCGAUCGAACGACCAUCUGUGCGGACCGAACGGCUGGCUGGGCGGAUGAUAUCUCUAGGAAAUCAUCCGCCUGAUUUGUAGCAGCCGCCUCCUAUUCCUGUGUUUUUGCAAUUCUAUGAAUCUGUCUAAGACGAGUAUCCGAGAAAAUACACCCGGCUUACCAAAAAGCACUAAGCAACAUGUCUUUUUCUCGUAGUGGCCUUUUAAGGUUUUUAUUUUACUUCAUAUAGGGCUCAAAGAGCCAACCUCGCCACCAACAUCGCCUACCAAACUUUGCCCAAGACGUCAUGUCCAUGAUCACAGACCAGUCAGGUUUAAACAUGUUUUCAUCUCUAUGAAAUUCACACAAAAAUUCCAAAUUGACUAGGUGUUUAAACUUAUGUUUCGACAAAGACUCAGACACCUGGACAUUUGAAAAUAGGACAAACGUCGACGCUCACAUGGACGCACCUAGACUCACAUCUAUGAACUUAUACACUAUCUCACUAAAUAGCAUAAAACUACUACAAUUCGGACUAGAGUUUCAAAAAACUACUAAAUAUAUUUUUCCGCUCAUAACUACUAAAUCAGGGGUCGGCUGUUUCAAAAAACCCAAAUCAUCGAGUCUUUAGUAAUUGAUCACGAUUAUGACAGUUGGGGCCAAGCGUAAGAUAACCGUUUGUUUGACCGUUUAGUUUGAAUGUUAACUUACAUGUGGGUCCCACAUGUUAGUUUUUUUAAAAGCAAUCAGGUCCCUGUAAGUUUUCUAAAAUAGCAACCGGGUACAUGUGAGUUUUCUAUAAGGUCCCUAAAAGUUUUUGCAAAAAGCAAUAUAAUCAGGUCUCCAGAGGAGCCGCGCCCGCGGCAGCCUGCUCGAUCCCGAGCGCUCUGCCCGAACCACGACGCUGCCUCCAUCGGCCGGCCAGCCGCGCCCGCAACGGCCGAAUCCACGCCGUGCCUCGCCUGCCACCAUGGCGUGACUCGCAUGCCGCCAUGUCAUGCCUCGCUGGCGGCCGCUGCCACGCCGUGCCUCACCUGUGGCUGCCGCCAUCCCCUGCCGCGAGCUCCUCAAGCUAGACGUGGACGGCCUGCGCCGCUGCUGGAGUGCGCACCUCCCAUUGCCGCGGACGAGGUCGCUGUCUGCUAUGCCUCCUCGAAGCCACCGUCACCACCAGGAGCUACGGUGAGCACCUACCACGACCAUGGGGAGGGUGGGAAGGAGAGGGAGGGUCGCCGCCAGCCAGGCCCGGCCCGGAUGGAGGGGUAGGGGGCGGCCGCCCCAGGCCCCCGAAAUUGAGGGGACCCCACGUUCGUGUGCUCUCUGUAUCCAGCCCAUGUGCUCUCUGUAUCCAGCUGAUGAGAAAAAAUGAUUCUGGGCUACUUUUGAUGAAACAGACCUGUACAUGUAGUGGAACUUGUGUUUCCCUCGCGUAGGUCCGCGGAUGACGACAUGAGCGAUCAACCUAGCGAUAUAUCCUACAAGCCCGAGGGAAACCCCGCCGCCGACACAGCCUCCUCCCGUGGAGGCCUCCCCCGAUGAUUUCUCGUCCAAUGGCGGAUCGAGUAAUUUCAUGUUCAUCGCCCUGGACAGGAGUAACAACACCACCGGCCCUGGCAGGCAGUUUUAAACUACAGAGGUCAGGUUAGCAUCUUCCUGAUGCAUCAUCCAACGGAGCUAGCUAGAUUGAUAUGUGACUAGUUGGUGGCAGAAUUAUUAGAUCUAGUGUAUUAGCGGAGAGGAGUAGGACGUAGUUGUCCUUCUGACUAAUUUUUUUAAUGCAAUCCUUCCGAUUAAUUAAUCUGGUCGUGUUGGAGAUCGAUGAAAGAUGAGGGGAGAGGAUGUCUAGAAUCCAUGGGAUAAUGAUAAUUGGCAAGCUGAAAUUAAUUGGAGGAUUCAUGGUCGAUUCAAUAUGAUUAGGUGGCAAAAUUAAUUUUUAGUAGCUAAAAAAAUUAACUUUUAGUGUUGCAAACUAUGAAGCUAUUCUACCUGCAUGCCACCAAGAGCAGUUCAAAUUACUUUUUGUUUGCCAAACUAUGAAAUAUACAAUGCAUGAAACUUCCCUAUCAAAAUCUUAGCAAAAGUGAGAAAUAAUAAUUAUAAUAAUGUAUAAUUAGAACCCGGAACUAGGUCGACCAGCUGGUUUUGCACGCCAUGAUAAAAAAAUUAACAACAAUUCAUGUUUAAAAUUUAUCUAGACAUGCACAUAAUGAUUAUAAUUUUGGAUAUAUAAAGGGCCUCCGAUUGUAUUUUUGCCCCGGGCCCCUGAAAUCUCAGGACCGGCCGUGCCGCUAGCUUGGGAUGGGAGGGGACGGUCGUCGGCUUGGGAGCGGAGGGGAGGGUCGCCGGCUUGGGAGGGGAGAUGGCCUGCUCGGGAGACACCAGAAGAGAGACGAGAAGAGACAAAGAGGAAGAAGAAAGAGAAUAGCAAGAGGAAACUUACAUGUAGGCCCCACAUGUAAGUUAACGGCCAAACUAAGGUCAAACUGACAGUUUGUUUAGGUGCGGGCCCAACCUGUCGUGACCGUGAUCAACCGAUAAGGACUCGGGGAUUUGGGUUUUUUGAAACAGCCGACCCCCCGGCUUGGUAGUUAUCAGCAAAAAGAAUUUGGUAGUGUUUUGUAACCCUAACGUGAAUUGUAGUAGUUUUAUGCUAUUUACUCAAACGAUCUCUAUGAGCAUUUUCAAGAUACUGAACCGGCACAUCAUUUUGAGAUUGGUGAACACCACAGACGUCUUCAUAGUUGACAGAAACGUCUCCUCCCAAUGAACGAACAUCGCAAAAGCCUGAAAUAAAUCCCAAAAACUGUCAGCACCAUUACCAAGUUUAAAACUUGAACCCUGAUAGGGUUGGUUCCACCACAAGAAAUCUAACUAUUUGAGCCAUGCACAUCUCAUAGUUUUCCCUGUGGCCAUGGAGGGUGCCACAUAUGUAACCCAUUAAUAUGGGAACCCAUACCUGUAAGCUUGUCAGCAUUUAUAGGCUAUAUAUGCUAAUCAAUUAUAAAAAAAACUGGGAUAACAAGUUUGAACUACACCCAUUAUUCCUCCGCCUAUAUAUUGUCGUGCAUGCAUGCCAGUGCCAUAUACGGAAACAAACCGACCGAGAAGGCCCUUAAUUAACAGCUAGCUAGCUCUCUUGGUCGAAUAUGGUAACUGCUAAUGCUAUUGGCUCCGGCGACCUGAGCAUCCGUGUCCUGAGUCGCCGCCUUGUCAAGGCCUCCGACCCAUCUACCAAGCCGCACGUAGCCGCCUUCUCGAACCUCGACCUCUACCCUGGCAACGAGCAGGCCUCGAUAGUAUGCCUCUACCCCAAGCUCCCAAACGCCGGUGACUUCCCGGCGGUUGUAGCCACCUUCGACUCCAUCCUCCCGUCGUUGCUCAACGACUUCUACCAUUUCGCCGGGCGCAUCCGCACCAACCCAAGCUCCGGCCUCCCCGAGCUGCUCUGCGACAACCAAGGCGCAGAGCUGGUGGUCGGCGAGGCCGGUGUCGCCAUGGCCAGCCUGGACUACGGCCUGGCGGAGCAGUCGUUGAAGAAGAUAAUGCUUCCGUACGCCGAGGACGUCACGCUCUCGGUUCAGCUGCUCUCCUUCGCCUGUGGCGGCUUCUCCGUCGUGUGGGCGACCAACAACCUUGUGUGUGACGGCCAAGCCUUCACCAUGUUCGUCAGGAGGUGGUCCGAGCUCGCCCGAACUGGGCGCAUCGUCGACGGACCGCCCAACCAUGACCGCUCGGUGUUCAGCCCUCGCAGGCCGCCGUCGUACGGAGCCUCGAUCAGGGACAUGUUCGCGACGUACGACCAUGACCGGCUGGUGAACGUGCUGACGGCGCACGACAGCUUCGUCGAGCGCCUCUACUACAUCGAGGCGAGCGACAUCGCUGCCCUGCGGGAGGCGGCAAGCAGCAAGCUCCAGCGCCCGUCGCGCGUCCAGGCGGUGUCCGCGUACCUGUGGAAGGCCCUCGCCCGCGUGGUGGCCGCGUCCCGCGUGCCGGAGGAGCGCUGCUGCAUGGGGUGGAUGGUGGACGCGCGGCGGCGGGUGAAGGCGCCGGAGCUCGUCCGGGCGAUGGGCAACUACUUCGGCAACGUUACGGCCUACGCUCUCGGGGAGGCAGCCGUUGAGGAGAUACAGGAGAAGGAGCUGUCGGAGGUGGCGGCCAUGGUGCGGGAGACCAUCACGUCUAUCGACUACGAUGAGUACACCCAGGAGCUGGUGGACUGGGUGGAGGAGCACAAGACAGAGAGGCUGAUGGAGAAGGGCGUCAUCGGGCUCGGUACGCCCACCUUGAACCAGACGGUGUUCGCGUCGUUCCCGCUCGACACCGACUUCGGCUUCGGCCAUGCCGUGCUGGCAAUGCCCAUGUGCGACUACGGGAGGCUCAGCUCGGGGUACCUGUCGAUCGGAGCUCGGCCGGGAGGCGACGGCUCCUGGCUGGUCAACGCCUACAUAUGGCCUCGCCUCGCGGCGGCGCUUGAGUCGGACCAGCAGCGCAUCUUCAAGCCUCUCACGGCGGAGUAUCUAGGGCUCGUCUAGGCGUACCACUCUGCUGUCUGCCCGGUUUCUUCUUCAAUAAGUCUUUGCUUCGUCUUUUGAGGCAUGAAAGCAGCUCGUGCUUGUUUUACUUCCACCUAUUUUGCAAUACCCCAAAUAAAGCCCUUCUGUGUGGAGGGUAGUUUGUUUGAUCAAUAAAUGUUUGAGUCGUUCAUAAGGUUUCCUUGAUUAGUAUACAAAUCAGUUGAUGACUACGUUUCACAACUCAUGUGCAUGGAGAUGCUAAACCGAUAGUAUGGACUCGGGGAUGGAGACCACGCAGUCGGACAUACCAACUCUGAGACGCAGCGAGAUGUUGUCAUAUGUUAGUGUCAAGCACAAUGUUUAUGCCAUGUCCUAGACCUAAGGUCCUCGCAUGUUCUCGGGAUGAGUAUCGACUCACUUAAGGUCUAUCAAACGCUACUCCAUAACUGGCUAGAUAUAAAUGUAGCUUUUGGGUGGGUGGUGAGAUAUGCCGCGAGACAUGGCCGACCAAGAUGGGAUUUACCCCUCCUAUUUGAAGAGAUAUUUUCUGGACCCUCUCGAGGGAUCGGAUUCGGAAAGCAUGACCAUGCGACUUGGUUAAGUGUUAACCCAGUGCGGGAAUCUAUAUCACGGUGUCAAGAAGAGAGGUCGAGCUACCACAAGGGUGACAAGUACUCACCUUGAGCUUGACAACAUAUAUCGUGAGGCAAAAGGAAUGUUGCAGAUGAUACAUUGUCGAGGUUCUUCGAACGACUUUACACGCACAUGAGAGUUGGCACGUUCAGCGAGGAGCUGCUACCAACUAUCGACUCUGGUCGUGUCCAUGUGUACGUAAACCUAUAGGGUCGCACACUUAAGGGGCUGCAGGCCAUUCGGAUUGGAUUCGAGUGGAAAUGGUUUUACUCCUAGUGGGCCUCAAGUAUUGAGCCUAUCUCGGAGGUCUAUAUAUAGGGGAGUGGCCGCACAACUGAGGUUGAUCUUUUUCCACCAUGGACAGCCUCCAUCGCAACUCCCCACGCCCAUCCCGCGCGACCUAACCUAGAUGCCUACCGCCCGACGCUGCUCCCCGUACGUGUGGAUACCUUGCAGGCAUCGCAUCCGUGGUGCUUGGAUGAACUGUUCGAGGGAACCGCGAGGUGCCGUUCGCGGGAGAUCAACGUUCACAGGUCUUUGUUGUUCGCGGGAGAUCGACGACGCGAGGAGGAGACGCCUCGGGAGAUCGUCUACAUGCAUCUCCAACUCUAUUUUCUGCUGCGGUUACUGCGCGUCUAGUGGUAAACUCGAUCUCAUGAUCUAUUUCCAGCAACUUGAUCUUGGGUGCGUGGUAGAAUUUUUUUUAUUUGGCUCUAGCUUAGCAUACCGCGUGUUUCUACAGUCGUAUCAGAGCCUAUGCUACGUGGUAUUAGAUUCAAGGUAGAAUUUUCAAAUGAUGAUAUGUAGAUUGCUUUAUGUACUGGCCGAUGAGAUCGGUUGUCAAUAUGAUUGACUAUACAUGGUGUCAGGCAUUCGAAAUUGUGAUCUAAUUUUCCGUGAUGAUGUUGUGGAGGUCGUGGCACAAAUUACCUAUACCGGUCGGUUUCGGCCAUCGGGUAAGACAGUGGAACGUAAAGUCGGUCACAACACGCGAAGACCAAUGAGAUUGGUUGAAUCAGAUAGAUGGUCAAAAUAGGAUAAAUAUGAUUUGCCGGUGAAAAUUCCCAUGCAAAAAUGCAUAGAUAUUGCAAGGGCGCUGCCAGUUGACCCCACAGGGGGCAAAGCCCCAUCGACCCCCAUCCUGUUAAUCUCUUAGGGCGGUGGAUAACUUGUUUUUGCAGGUAAUGCUUGUGAUUUGGUACAACCCGGGUAUGUUGCAUGUACGUAAUUAUAUCAUGACCUGCGUGUCGAGAGUACAAUAACUGGUUGGAGCCAUAUGGUUGUCCCAUUAUUGUAUUAAUGACCUUCAUGUCAACAUGAGAAGCAUUGUAUUGUUAUUUACUUUCAAUAGCUAUUAGUUUGUAAUAGCGUAGUAUCUUAUGUAACACUUGGCGGUUGACACCAUGGCGUGGAGAUGAAGAUCUCCACGAGGACAACCAUGCAUGGAGAUGGAGAUCACCAUGGGCAGGCCGUGCAGGUGGAGACGAAGAUCACCAUGCGAUAUCAAAAGGGGCUAAACCAUAUCACACAUAUAAACUGCCUGUGAAAGUUUAUCUCUGUUAUGCACCCUUCUUUUGCAUGGUAGACGUUUCAAGUAGGGUGAUCCCUCAAAGAAUGUCAAGUAAAAAUGCCUCUCCAAAUGUUGCACCAUCACACAUCAAGUAUACUUAGUGGUGGGAUUAUAAAAUUAAGGUGCCAUUUGGUGUCCUUGAAGUGAUGGGUUCGGUUCGGACACUUACAUGCAUAGCAUUGGUUAUCUUGUCGUGGCUAUCAAAACAGUUUUGGGCCUCGAGGCGUAGGAGUUGGUGCGACAUGAGAUGUCCCCAACAACAAGAGUCGUAUGGAGACACGAUUAGCAAGAAAUACUUAUGGAGUGAUCUCGUCUUCUAGCAGUGAUGCAAAUGCUCACUAGUUAACAUGUUGAUCUUGGAUCUUGAAUCACUAAGUAUCAUCUGAGGGAUGUUGAUUUUAUUUGGAGUGAUGAUCUUAUUAAAAUGUUUAAUAUGAAUUACUCUUCAUGAAUACAUGUCUUAGUGUUUUGCAUCUUUCUGUUGGAGAUCAGAGGCACCACCUGCUCAAGUUACUCCUUUUGCGCUGAAAACAAUCCUAGAAAAAGAUAAAUGGAAUGGGACAAACUUUACGACCUGGUAUAGAAAUCUGGGAAUUGUUCUUAGGCAUGAGAAAAAGGACCAAGUUCUAGAAAAUCCGCUUCCAGAUGUACCUGCCAAGAAUGCUAAUGCCACAACCAGGAGUGCCUACCAGAAACCCAUUGAUGAAUAAAAUGAGAUCAUCUAUCUCAUGCCGGCUUCAAUGGAGCCCGAUCUACAGCAGCAGUUCGAAAACAUUAAGGCUUUCGAUAUGAUCGAGAACCUCAAAAGCAUGUUUCUGAUGUAGGCUAGGACCGAAAGGUUCAACGUCUGGCUAUCCUUGAUGGAUUGUAAGUUGAAUGAAAGUGAUCAAGAUGACUAGGUACAUGCAAGCUUUGGAUUGGUUGGGCUUCCCACUUGGGAACGUUCAACUCGAACUACCAUAUGCAUGGGAUGGAAAAGAAGCUCACUGAAUUGCAUGGGAUGCUCAAGGUGGCAGAGCAGGAUAUAAAGAAAGUUACGCAUCGUCAAGUGUUGAUGGUGCAGAACUGGGCUAAGUUCAAGAAGAGAUGUUCCAAGAAAAAGCAUAAGGCAAACGGCCAGGAGGAGAAGGCAACUCCAACUUCUGCCGUUGCGCCUAAGUCAGGGCCAGCCGGGGACCGUUUUCUUUCACUGUAAGGAACACGGCCACUAGAAAAUGAACUGCAACAAGUGGCUUGUCGAGAAGGGCAAGAAGACUGGAAGUGUCACUUCUUCAAGUACACUUAUUGUAUAUGUUAUAGACAUUUAUCUUGCUGAUGUUUCUAGUAGCUCUUAGGUAUAUGUUACCGGAUCGGAUGUUCACAUAUGCAUCUCGAUGCAGAGUCUAAGAAGAACUAGGAAUGUUGGAAGAGAAGUUGACAUACACAUCGUGAAUAAAGCAAGAGUUGAUGCAUUGGCCGUCAGCACUAUGCAACUUAAUUUACCUUCAGGAUUUGGAAUGGAACUUGAUAAUUGUAAUUAUGUUCCUGCUUUGAGUCAAAACAUUAUUUCUGCCUCAUGUUUGAUGAUACAAGUUUAUGAAAUAAGUAUUAAGGACAAUGGUUGUUCUAUGUACUUGAAUAAAAUGUUUCAUGGCUUUCCACCUAUUGUGAACGGGUUAUUAAUCCUAGAUCUUGAAGGUGAGCCAGUCUAUAACAUAAAUGUCAAGAGGCAUAAGCCUAACGAAAUAAACCCGACUUACAUCUGGCAUUGUCGACUAGUACACAUUAGUAAAAGUGCAUGAGGAAGCUCAAUGAUGAUGGAAUUCUAACUUCAUUUGAUUUUGAAUCAUUCGAGACAUGUGAGUGUUGCCUUCUUGGCAAGAUGACUCAGACUCCUUUUGCAAGGAGUUGCGAAAGGACGUCCGAGUUAUCGAAACUCAUCAUAGUGAUGUAUGUGGACCAAUGAGCACGACAGCAGGUGGUUUCCAAUAUUUCGUGACGUUUACAGAAAACUUGAGUAGAUUUGGAUAUGUCUACUUGAUGAGGCACAAGUUAGAAACUUUUGGAAAGUUCAAGGAGUUUGAGAGCGAAGUGGAGAAUCAACUCGGCAAGAGAAUCAAACUUCUACGAUCUGAUCGUGGCGGUGAGUAUAUGAGCCAGGAGUUUGAUGAUUAUCUAAAGAGUCGUGGAAUAGUUCCACAACUGUAUCCUCGGGGUAUGCCACAGAGAAAUGGCGUGUUGGAACGAAGGAAUCGGACUCUGUUAGACAUGGUCCAAUCAAUGACGAGUCGGUCGGAUUUACCUUUGUUAUUUUGGCGAUACGCUCUAGAAACUGCGUAUUUCACACUAAAUAGGGUACCAUCCAAGUUUGUAGAUAAGACGGCAUAUGAGAUAUGGACUGCGAAGAGUCACAGUUUGUCUUCUCUAAAAAUUUGGGGUUGUGAAGCAUACGUCAAGCGACUCCAGUCAGACAAGCGCACACCCAAGUCGGACAAGUGCAUAUUCGUGGGGUAUCCAAGGGAAACCUUGGGAUCUUACUCCUACAUCCGUGAAGACUGCAAAGCGUUUGUCGCUCGACAUGGAGUUUUCCUUGAGAAAGAGUUUCUCAAUCAGAAGGCUAGUGGGAGGAUGAUACGACUCGAGGAAAUUCGAGAACCACAUGGAGUUAGUCAGGGAACCCAUGGUGGAGUCGACGCCAAUUCCACGGAGGUCAGAAAGGUUGCGCAAUAUGCAUGACUGCAAUGUGUUGUUCUUGGAGAACAACGAGCCGGCAACGUAUGCGGAAGCCAUAGAGAGCCCUGAUUCCGAGUUAUUGCUUGAGGCCAUGAGAUCCGGAUUAAAGUCCAUGGAUGGCAAUCAAGCUUGGAACUUGGUUGAUCUGCCAGAUGGCGCUCGAGGCAUUGAGUGCAAACUGGUAGUGAUGCCUAAAUAAAUUAGGACCAUUCUUGCUAUAUCUGCAUAUUUCGACUAUGUUACUAUUAUGUUCUUCAACAGAAGGUCCCAAAUGUUGUUGUGCCUCUGCUGAUGGACGCCGAAAGUGAGAUGACAAUUGUUUGCCCUUUGAAGAUCAGAUUCAAAUAUACAUACUCGACCGAGCGUUAAUCAAAUGGAUGCCUCAAAAUUGAGUGAUGGAGGCAAAUAGUCAAUGAGCUCGGGCCACAAAUUGGAGACCGGGGAUCUCUGUGGUCCAUCAUGGAGAUGUAGUUUUUUUUCUCUGUUUUAUUCUAUUUUACCUAAGACACUGGAGUAGGUCAUAGUACUUGUCAUGUGCUUGAAAGUUACUUACCUAGGAUGAUGACAAUUAGUUAGUAGUGGUUAACUUAUGAUGAUGAUGAUGGUGAUGAUGGUGAUGAUGAUGAUGAUGAGACAUUUUUAUAUAAUUAUGAUCAUGAUGAGCUGUUAUAUCACUACGAUGAUGAUGAGUUAUAUCAUUUUGAUAAUGAUGAGUUGUUACAUGAUGAUGAUGAUGAUGAUGAUGAUGAUGAUGAUGAUGAUGAUGAUGAGUUGUUAUAUAGUUGCUUGUGUAUAAAAAUCUGUAUAAUUAUUGUAUAAAUAUAGUAUAAUAUGUAGAAAGGAAAUACAUAGAGUUAGUAGUGGCGGGGGGCCUCGCGCUAUAGCUAGUUAUUAGUAGCACGGGCCAAACACCGCGCUGCUCCUAAUGUAAGUAGUAUUAGAGCCGAGCCUGGCCCGUCUUACUAGGAACCAGUUAGCUACACGCUGAUGAGUUGUUAUAUGAUGAUGAUGAUGAUGAUGAGUUUUUAUAUAGUUGCUAAUGUAAGUAGCGAGGCAACCCGCACUACUCCUAUGCCUUUAAACCGCGCCACUACUAGCCUUAUCCCUUGUAGUGACGGGCAGAUGGAGCGAUGAAAUGCGCAUGUCCUCAAUGGGCUCCAAACGAGAACAUUCGCCUAACUCAAGAAGUGUGGCCGGUGAUGGAUCGAUGAGCUUCCCUAUGUUCUAUUUAGUGUAGAUAUCACUCUUAAUUAACUUGUUUUUCUGCGGAUAGUAACUAACGCUUUGAGCCUUUGUGGUUUAUCUCACAAUUUUUGUCUUCACAACUGGAGUAGGCCACAAUGUUGAGAUGCAAAAAAAGGUCCAUAAACUAAUUAAAUGGAAUAUCAUUUAGAUACGACACUUAUAAGAUACACUAAAUAUUAAGAGACGUGUUGAGUAUAUAAUGAAUAGGGGUCAUUGUCUCUAAAUAGUUUUCACUAAAUAGGAUGAUGUGUUAAGAGACACUGCGUUGUGAGUUCCCUUUCGCUAAAUUAAUUUGCCCUGGUUCGAUUGCAGAGAUGUGUGCGGAGUUUCUUGGGGGAGUUUGGCAGCCAAUCGAUGAUAACUAGUUCUAGGACGCUACUAGGUCAGAUUCAAAACUGAACAUAUGGCUUGGUCCAAGAGUUUCGGCUCUCACAACCUGAAAAUCUGCAGCUUUCACACUAAAUAUUAAGAGAUUCGAAACUGAACAUAUCUGUCAUUGGUUUGAUGCUGUGGGUCCGUUUCAUUAUCUUUUUUUUUAUCAGGUAGUUGGACGGCCACACCAUGCCCUGAAAAUCUGUCUAGAUCUUGAUCGGGAGGCAUAAGAUUUCUUAUUCUGACAACCCUGAAACUGUUUGCCAUGCAUGCAUUAUCCUUCGCAAAGCGAAUUAAGUUGCCCCUAGACAAGGGCGGAUGGAGUAUAGUUCACUGUAGCUUCAUGAUUCUUUUGUCAGCUUAUUUUUUAGAGCUGCGGCUAUCAUAUUUACACCUGCUGUUAUAUCUGUUUCCAGAACCAUGUGUCAGCAGCUUCUGUUAUCAUAGCCAAUAAAACUAUCACGAAGCUACAGUGUGAGCAAUGAAGACGUUAUAUAAACAGGGAUAAAAUAUAUUGUGCUAAACUGCUCUAUCCAAAACCAUGUGUCUGCUCCUCUUGUUUGUUUCUUUACUAUUUUUCAUAUUGUGGAUGAUCAUGACGAUACAUACUAAAGAGUUUUGCAUAGCAUAUGUAAUUUCAUGCAUACAGACAAUGUUUUUUUAUUGGUGUAUUAUUUCACUCUGUUAAGACAAAAUUAUAUUUUGGAAUAUUGAAAUAAUAAUAUUAGGUAAAUCAUACAUGUGCACUAUGAAGCUAACUUUGUGCAAGAGAAAUGAGUAAAAUUAAGGACAAGAUUUAUACCUAUGCAAUACAAAAAAAAACUAUCUGCAGCAGUAAAUUCAUGUAGCUGGCAACAUUACUGGUACAAAUUAGAUCUAAUUAUAGUGCAUACAUGUACCUUUUUUAGAAAACAAAUCUUGAAACUUCGAUAGAAAAUUUUACGAUUUAUGAAAUUUGAAUGGGAAAACUAAACCAAAACCAAAAGGCCGGGAGUUAAAUGUGAGUGAAAAUAAAUGUCAGGAGGUAUUUGUCAGUGAAAAUAAAUAUGAGUGACACUUCUCCAUGCAAAAAUGUUAGUGAAAAAACUUGAAUUUUCACUGUAAAAACAACCCCAAAAUAAAGGAGGAAGCAGAACCAUCGAAAUGUUUAUGAAACGAACAACCACCAACAUAAGAGAGAAGUCACCAUACUCAUUAAGACGCCCAUGUUCAUCUGAGUAGUUAAGCCACUGCAUAGCAAUUAAUAGAAAGAAAACUGCAUAGAAAUUAAUUUUGAUGGGCUCGUGGAUCACGGCAGAAGCAUGCAUGAAUGCAUAUGUCUAUCGUUGCAGGUCAUUCAUGAGAGCAAUGCAUUCAUAUCUAUCUUUGCACGGAUGGAAAAAUUAGUCUGGCGCCAUAUAUCUUCUAUUUGUUAUACUACAGAAAGACAUAUUAAAAUAAAGUUGCCCCUAAACAAGGUGGAUGGACGACCACUCAUUUUGGCAGACUGUACUCGCACAAUUCGUUUUCCCAAUAAUAAUGUGAAUGGAGAGAGUAUAAUUCACACUGUCGCUUCAUGAUUCUUUUGUCAGCUUAUUUUUUAGAGCUGCCUUUUUUUUUGCGGGAAUAUUUUUUAGAGCUGUCAGCUAUUAUAUUUACCCCUACUGCCAUAACUAUUUCCAGAGCCAUGUGUCGGCAGCUUUUGUUAUCAUAGCCGACAAAACUAUAACGAAGCUACAGUGUGAGCCAGGAAGACGUUAUAUUUUCAGGGAUAACAUAUAUAUUGUGCCAAACUCCUCUAUCCAAAACUAUUUGCCGGCACCUCUUGUUUUGUUUAUUUACAAUUUUAAUAUUGUGGAUGAUCAUGACGAUACGAAGUAAAGAGUUUUGCAUAGCAUAUGUAAUUUCAUGCAGGCAGACAACACUUUUUUAUCAGUGUAUAAUUUUGCUCUGUAAAGACAAGAUUUUAUCUUGUGAUAUUGAAAACAUAGUGUUAGAUAAAUCAUAGAUGUGAUCUUUGUGGAUAAAUUUGUGCAAGAGAAUUGAAUAAAAUUAAGAACAAGUUGUAUACCUGUGCAAUAAAGAAAACUAUCUGCAGUAGUAAAUACAUGUAGGUGGCAACACUCACAUUUUGGUUAUUCCUGUAUAAACAUUGCUAGUGCAAAUUGGAUCCUAUAUAUUGUGCACACGGUGUUCCCGUCCUCGGAUGGUUUCCCCUUGUUCGGUCUUGCUCAUUCUCGUUGCUCACAAGCUCAUGCAAUUGAGAACCUGAGAUCUUCAAUCUGGCCAUCUGGGAUUUCCGGACUUCUCCUUCGAAGGAAAACAAGGACUGGCACAUAUGGCGCUCUUUGGACACCUUGACUAGAUAGGGGCCUGUCGUGUGCACCCGCAACAUCAGCAUAACCAGCUUUACCGGGGUAUCGUGCAGCUCUGUUUUUGUUGGCACCUUGGGACAUGUCUGCACCAAGAUUCCCAUGGGAUCAACACAUGUGGAGAAUGUCAUGGCGUGAUUGAAGGACUUGCAAGUGGCAAAGGCGGGGUCUUGGAUGCGAUGAAGACUUUGCUUCAUAGGCAGUUGUUUAGACAUGGCUUACGGGAUAUGUUCCCAUCCAGACGGGACGUGAAUUCCUGUGAGCCUAAUGGUGCGUGACUUGCAGUAGUAGCCUCCGCAAGUGGGGGUGGCGGCAUUGGAGGACUUCUUUGUUAUUCGGUGCUCCUCUGAGUACCCAAUCAGGAUUUCCAAGGUGAAAACCCAAGGUCUGGCCUUUAUUGGUUGUGCCUGGCAGUAGUCUUGUUGAAGGCAUUAUUGUUGGGAACCUCAUCUUUCUCCAGGGUGAAAACGUAAUAUCUUUGAUCAGGCAACGACAACGCUUGUGCUUUGUUUCCUUCCUGGAGGCAUUGCUUUUGGAGAACCUAUUUUGUAGUCCGGGUGCCAUCUUUGGUGGUGGUUAGAGUGCGGCUACUUCGGGUAUUGAUCACCGUGGUGGGAUAUUUUUUCUUCUCUUUUUAUUUUGAUUUUUAGUUGUGUGCAUCCUGGAUGUUUUUAGGCAUCUUGUUGUUGCAGAGUCUGGGAGUAAUUGGUAUCUGCUUGAUAUUAAUACAUUCUCCUUUACAAAAAAAAAUUACAUAUGCCUUUUCUAGAAUUUUUUUCCUAAAACUUCCAGGGAUGAUUCUAUCAUUUGUUUAAUUUUAAUGGAAAAAUUAAACCAAAACCAAAACGUCAGGAGGUAAAUGUGAGUGAAUAUUAAGGUCAAGAGGUAAAUGUGUUUGAAAUAAAUAUGAGUGACACUUCUCCAUGUGAAAUUGUUAGGGAGAAAACUAGACUUCUCUCUGUAAAAAUAACCCCAAAAUUAUGGAGGAAACAAAACCAUCCAAAUAAACAAUAUAUUGAGAAGUCUAUGAAACGAACAACCACCAAGAUAAAAGAGAAUUCGCCAUACUCAUCAAGACGCCCACAUGUCAAUAGCUCAGUCAGUCAACAUUAUAGCAAUUAAUUUUGAUAGGCUCAAGGAUCAUAGUAGAAGCAUGCAUGAAUCGUUGCAGGUCAUUGAUGAGAGCAAUGCAGAUCACUAUCUUUGCAUGGUCAGAAAAAUUAUUCUGGCGCCACCUAUCUUCUAUUUGUUAAACCAUAUGAAGGCGCAUAUCUCAUCACGAACGAUUAAUCAACAAUAUAUACUACACAAUGACACAUUAAAAUUAUUGCACAUGGGCGAGAUUGAUGGCUUUAUCCUUCAUAUGAUCCAAAUAAUCGUAUUUAUUGUUCACACUGUAACAACAUAAUGGUUUUGUUGGCUAUCUACCCCUGCUACCAUUCCUAUCUCUUGAGCAACAUGCUAGUAUCUUUUGUUUAGUUUAGCUAAAAAGAUUGGAAUGAGAGAUUUCCUUUUUUUGUGCAAUAACAUGAUAGUACAAACUACUGAACUUUACAUAUUUAGGUACUCAAUAAAAUACUGUUAAAGAUAGCUAUAGACAUUAGUCAUAUUAAUUCAACCAUAAGAGAUUAUCAUGUACCAUAUUAGCAUGAUUACUGGUCCUGUUCAAGAAUUCGUCCGAUUAACCAGUUAACUUGGAAAUUAAUCCCUACUUGUAAGGUCAUCGUGUAGCCAAUAAACUGAUAAAUCCUCCGUUUAAUUUCUUAACAGGACAAUUAACUUGCCGAUUACCCUAUUAAUCCCCUACUCCCUAGCCAACCAAGCAGCUACCAGUUAACAAUUUCCUCAACAAAUUUACUGGUAUGUUCCUGUUUAGAUGGUUCACCAAUACACUUCCAAAGUUAUUUUUGAGAAUGAUGCACCCUUUUUACAUUUUUUUGGUAUUAUUCCAUCAAUGCUGCACUACAUCAUAGCAUCUUCUUCUUUUUGGAAUGGCUAUGAAAGGACACGAUAGGUAUGUCUGGUGAACUUUUUGUGGAGAUACUUGGGCUCAUGUGUCUGAGAAUAAGAGGAUGUCCUCCCAUAGGAUUUACAUAUACCAACAACUAUUAACCAUGUCUCAAUGUGAGAUUGGAGACUAAAGAGUCUAGAUUUUAUAAGAUUAACCGGAAGUGUUGACUUCAACCGUGUAUUACUAAUCCACUGCAGUUGAAUUUUUGCAGUUGAAUUUUGCAUAUGGCUAAUUUAUUAAUCAACACCUAGGAGGAAUAGUUUGUAGGAGUUACCUAUAGCGUUGCCCUGGCAAAAGGAAAUGUGAUUGUUUAUCAAAAUUGUUUCUACUUAUAUUGUUUUAUCCCGUUACUACUGCAGCACUAAUUUUUAGUUAACUAAUGAAAGAAAGGCAUCAUAUUGUUUUAUCCCAUUGAUACCAGAGCACCAAUUUUUAGUUCAUUAAUUAUGUUGCUAUCUUCAAGUAUUUUUAAUCUGGAGGAAGUUCCACAAAACAAAAAUGUGAGAGUCAAAAAGGUGAGGGGAAAACGAGCUGAAUACCACCUUCUUUGUCCUGUCUUGCUUAAUCCACUUGAAGCCAGAUUACCACUUCGGCAGGGUAUGCUGAUGGAACUCGAACUAGGAACCUCAGUGACAUUUGUAGCCAUACAUUCAAAACACCUCCAGGCACAUGAUUUCAAAAGAUAUUUUUGAAGCAACAGGUCACCAAGCGUCUAAUUGAGUGUUGUAGACAUGACAAUGUCUAAAAUGGCGACUUUGAGGAAGCGUAAUGGAACAAACAUUGUGUCAUGCAUGUGCUCUCUACCACACCCUCGACAAAAAUCAAGAUCCCAGUCCAGUGGAAUGAGGAGGACUAGGAUAUGGACGACGAAGGGCCCAGCAACUAGAUAGAGACAACUUAGGAGUGAGCCAUAGGAAGAUCAUCUAGUGCACUGGGUGUGUGGAUUUGAGGGCCCACUUGUAAGAGAGUGCGUAUGCGUUUAAAAGGGGCAAGUGAAUCAGACAUGUGCCGUAACUUAUCGAUGAAAUAAUAAUUGUUUGAACUCUCACCUACUCUGUUCUGCAUCUCACCCUCUUCAUCUGUUCUUCAACUUCUUCUCAUCCCCUACUCCAUAUUAUCCUCUCCAAUAUGUGAUUCUUCCACCAACACUAGUUGGACAUCACAGUUUGACAAUGGAAAUCUUGGUAAAUUUUUCUCUUUGACAGCACUCGGAAACAAUUGAUGCAGGCGCAAAUCCAUGAUAUAAGGGAUAUUUUCUGUAGCAUUGUUUGAAAAUACAUCAGUUACGCAAGGGCCCUUUUGCUUCUUUACUUCUUGUUCUGUGUGCACUCUGAUGUUCGAAGGUGCAGUGAUGGUAGACAGAUAUUUAGUUGGAAGAAAAAUAGAUAAACUCAGAUUUCGUGUAACCCGGGCUCACUCUUUUCAGUGAAUAAAUUAUUGUCACAAAAAACCAGCCUUUUGCUUCUCUUGAUGACAUUAUUCUUAGAAGUAAGAAUGUGCAUUUCUGCAGCCCAUGCUCAUGUGCUAUUUUUUCUUUUUAACUAGUGUAACAAAUGGGGUAGAUGUUUUUUUUUCUGUGCCAAUAAUGGUGUUAAGACUGCUAAAAUCUUGUAAGGGAAGAAAACAUUGAAGAGCAGAAAGAAGAAGAAAAUCAUUUAUUUAUAUAGAACUGACAUGCAUUUGAACAUCAACAGUCAUUUAUUAUUAAUAAUUCCGCAUUUUGUGAAUUCCUUUCUCCAAUGUUUUCUUCCAGGUUUAUUUACUAUGAUAGGCUCACCAGGAAAGGAACCUGAAAAUUUAAAUCGUGUCAAUUUCCUUUUCACACAAUUCUCUCAUGAUGCAAUGGUUUCAGAGAACGCUGUUGUUAUUUGCCAGACAUGUGAUGUUUAGUAUGACUUGAACUAACAUAACAUGCAUAAUACGUUUAUUGAGUACAUGAAGGUUGGUUUCUUUGAAUCAUUUUGGAUUAGCCUGUUUGCAAAGGCUAUUAUCAUUCCACCACUCAGUGAUUUAUGAAUAUCUCCCAUUCAUUUGAUGUGAGUUCCCUGCAACCACACACGAUAUUUCCCUUACUCCGUUUUCGGUAAGAUAUGGGAAACUAAACAUUCAAGGAUAUUGUUCCCACAAGUGGAGAGACUGAAAAAGUCGCGCGCGUUGCUCUCCNNNNNNNNNNNNNNNNNNNNNNNNNNNNNNNNNNNNNNNNNNNNNNNNNNNNNNNNNNNNNNNNNNNNNNNNNNNNNNNNNNNNNNNNNNNNNNNNNNNNNNNNNNNNNNNNNNNNNNNNNNNNNNNNNNNNNNNNNNNNNNNNNNNNNNNNNNNNNNNNNNNNNNNNNNNNNNNNNNNNNNNNNNNNNNNNNNNNNNNNNNNNNNNNNNNNNNNNNNNNNNNNNNNNNNNNNNNNNNNNNNNNNNNNNNNNNNNNNNNNNNGAGGCCGAACAGGUGAAGCCCGCCUCGGUGGGCGGCGGCAUCAGGGCAGUCUAUUCCCGCGGCAACUCAUCGCCCUGGACGGCGGAGCCCGCUCGCGGCACGGUGGCGAAAGUCGGCGCGUUGGAUCCCACGGUGGACCCCUCGUCAGCGUGGAGAGAUGCUUGUGUGUGGCUGACCGGGGUCGAGCACGAGGGAUUCGGGCCUUGUUCGCCGUAUCAAUCUCGCGACGACACCUAUGUCUUCAGCUGGUGCGGUCAGGGUGGUGACCCGGGCUGGCGGCGGCGACCGGUUCCUCCAUGGCUGGUGGGUUAAGUCCUUGACCUGGACGACCAUGUGACGAUGGGUGGUGGCAGAGGCCGCAGAACUAGCGUGCCAUCCAGAUCCAUCUCGGCGUGGCCUUGGCCGGCAGGCGAUGCGUGCAGGGACCGAUCUGGGGCGGCUGGAGGCCCUAUGCCGACGUUCCAGCGAUAGCUUACGUCUCCAUGGCGACGCAACUUCUAGUGAAAAUGUGCUGACUGCGGUCAUGGAAGAUGGUGGCAUCUCUAAUGUCGUUUCCUUCUUCGAGGCAUCGUCGUUUGUAAGCUGUGUCACUACGCUCGGGAUGUUCCGGGGGGAACUCUAUUUCUGGGUAUCCCGGAUCAGACGAUGACGGUGCCUUCAGCGCCAUUCUCCCUCCUAGGGGCAUUGUUCUGGAGCAGGUGCCGACUGGAAGAGACAAGUGGAGGAGCGGUGUUACAUCUACCGCAAGGAUGACGCAGGGUCUCGGUGGCGUGGCAAGGCAGAGUGUCGGCGACGAGCGCCCACGCUAGAUGGUUGAGCUAUCUGGUGUCGAGAUGGCCUGGCGAGAUGAAUACGUUGAUCGCUCCUGAAGGUGGGACAGCAGAACAUGGCGGUGGCUUAAUCUAAAGUGUGUGCAUGCUGUGCGCGCAAAGGGUCUAGCUAGACCAGUUGGUGCUCUCGAAUUGCCGGCAGACAUCUUGGUGAGGUGACCGGAAUAUAUGAUGUGUGUUGAUAAGUGGUCAGGGCACGGCAUUAAAGCUUGUAGGUGUAACGACAAUAGUUUCUAGGGAGGUGGCUUUGCCUUGAUCCAUAUAUUUGUUUUGUUUGGUUCCGUUGAAUAAUAUAAUAAAAUGGUUGUGUGCAUGGCCCGAUGCAUAGACUAGGGGUAAUCGUCUUUUUCGAAAAAAAGUAGAAUGGUACAGUCACACCAUUUUGCCAGUGACAUGCUAAAAAUGGCAUGAUAAACAAUUCCUGAAUGAUAAAUCACAUGGUGACAGUAUAUCUAUUUUAUAGGAAGAGCUGGAUAGAUUAGAGUAUACUGCCCCAGGAUUUUAAAGUGAGUGCGAGAGUUCAGAUUUAUUUACAUGUUUAGCUUCAGAGCUUCAGAACGUCUUUUUUUCACGAAUACACAAAGCUUGAAUAUCUUUUAUUGAUAGAAGAAAGAGAAUGAGUACAACAGAGGAUACAACACAUGGCAUGAACCCAAAGAGGCAUGAUCAUGGAACCCGGAGUAGAGAGACAAGGGGUGCUCAGCCCGAAUAGGGAAAUGACACAACUACACCCACAAAUCCUAAACAGAGAGGCAGGCCGAACAAGCACGGCGUCGAACAUCUCAAAAUCCAACACCAGGGACACCACGAGCGAACAAGAUAGCGCCUUCAGGAAGGGGUGCGACGUCGUGACACCGCCGCCAUCCGAUCCGAGGAACCGGAUCUAGGGUUUCCCCCAGCGCUCAAAGAGGGGCACGGAUAAAAGCCAUGGCAAAUAACUCACGAGUGUCGCCUCUGCCAACAUCGGCAAGAAGAGCAUGGAUUUCGCCUGGCCCAAGUCCGAGCAAUCCCAUAGCUGCCAAAUCAGGAUCCGAAGAUGAGGAAGACAAUCCGCUAGUCAACCACCGUCCCAGUACGGAGGUGGUGGGGCUGCACCUGCUGCCAAAAGAACACGAGCUUUGGAAAUGACAUGCCGUGGGUGUCGACGGGGUCGGGGAGGCAGCGUGGUAGACAGCUUGCAUGGAGGGUGGGAUGGUGACCGGCGCCGCUGACGAGAUGGAGCCGGAAGGGAGCACAAGUCCGAGCUGCCGGAGGUGAAGCCGCCAGAACACCGGCAAACCGAAGAUGCCGGAAGGGGACGCAGCGACCGGGGUGUUGGGGCUGAAAUUGAAGGAAAUAUGCCCUAGAGGCAAUAAUAAAGUUAUUAUUUAUUUCCUUAUAUCAUGAUAAAUGUUUAUUAUUCAUGCUAGAAUUGUAUUAGCCGGAAACAUAAUACAUGUGUGAAUACAUAGACAAACAGAGUGUCACUAGUAUGCCUCUACUUGACUAGCUCGUUAAUUAAAGAUGGUUAUGUUUCCUAACCAUAGACAUGAGUUGUCAUUUGAUUAACGGGAUCACAUCAUUAGGAGAAUGAUGUGAUUGACUUGACCCAUUCCGUUAGCUUAGCGCACGAUUGUUUAGUAUUCUGCUAUUGCUUUCUUCAUGACUUAUACAUGUUCCUAUGACUAUGAGAUUAUGCAACUCCCGUUUACCGGAGGAACACUUUGUGUGCUAUCAAACGUCACAACGUAACUGGGUGAUUAUAAAGGUGCUCUACAGGUGUCUCCACAGGUACUUGUUGGGUUGGCGUAUUUCGAGAUUAGGAUUUGUCACUCCGAUUGUCGGAUAGGUAUCUCUGGGCCCACUCGGUAAUGCACAUCACUUAAGCCUUGCAAGCAUUGCAACUAAUGAGUUAGUUGCGAGAUGAUGUAUUACGGAACGAGUAAAGAGACUUGCCGGUAACGAGAUUGAACUAGGUAUUGAGACACCGACGAUCGAUUCUCGGGCAAGUAACAUACCGAUGACAAAGGGAACAACGUAUGUUGUUAUGCGGUUUGACCGAUAAAGAUCUUCAUAGAAUAUGUGGGAGCCAAUAUGAGCAUCCAGGUUCCGCUAUUGGUUAUUGACCGAAGACGUGUCUCGGUCAUGUCUACAUAGUUCUCGAACCCGUAGGGUCCGCACGCUUAAAGUUUCGAUGACAGUUAUAUUUUGAGUUUAUAUGUUUUGAUGUACCGAAGGUAGUUCGGAGUCCCAGAUGAGAUCACGGACAUCACGAGGAGUCCCGAAAUGGUCGAGACAUGAAGAUUGAUAUAUUGGACGACUAUAUUCGGACACCGGAAUGGUUCCGGUGGUUAUCGGAUAUAUACCGGAGUACCGGGAGGUUACCGGAACCCCCUGGGGGUUUAAUGGGCCUACAUGGGCCUUAGUGGAGAAGAGGAGAGGCGGCUAGGGCAGGCCGCGCGCCCCCUCCCCCUCUAGUCCGAAUUGGACAAGGAGGGGGGCGGCGCCCCCCCUUUCCUUCCUCUCUCUCUCCUCUUUCCCCCUUCUCCUAAUCCAACAAGGAAGGGAAGGGAGUCCUACUCCCGGUGGGAGUAGGACUCCUCCUGGCGCGCCCCUCUCCUGGCCGGCCGCCUCUCCCCCUUGCUCCUUUAUAUAAGGGGGCAGGGGGGCACCCCAAAGACACAACAAUUGAUCAUUGAUCUUUUAGCCGUGUGCGGUGCCCCCCUCCACCAUAGUCCACCUCGAUAAUAUCGUAGCGGUGCUUAGGCGAAUCCCUGCGUCGGUAGAACAUCAUCAUCGUCACGACGCCGUCGUGCUGACAAAACUCUCCCUCAACACUCGGCUGGAUCGGAGUUCGAGGGACGUCAUCGGGUUGAACGUGUGCUGAACUCGGAGGUGCCGUGCGUUCGGUACUUGAUCGGUCGGAUCGUGAAGAAGUACGACUACGUCAACCGCGUUGUGCUAACGCUUCCGCGUUCGGUCUACGAGGGUACGUGGACACACUCUCCCCUCUCGUUGCUAUGCAUCACCAUGAUCUUGCGUGUGCGUAGGAAUUUUUUUGAAAUUACUACGUUCCCCAACAGUGGCAUCCGAGCCAGGUUUUAUGCCUAGAUGUUAUAUGCAUGAGUAGAACACAAGUGAGUUGUGGGCGAUACAAGUCAUACUGCUUACCAGCAUGUCAUUCUUUGGUUCGGCGGUAUUGUUGGAUGAAGCGGCCCGGACCGACAUUACGCGUACGCUUACGCGAGACUGGUUCUACCGACGUGCUUUGCACACAGGUGGUUGGCAGGUGUCAGUUUCUCCAACUUUAGUUGAACCGAGUGUGGCUACGCGCGGUCCUUGAGAAGGUUAAAACAGCACUAACUUGACGACUAUCGUUCUGGUUUUGAUGCGUAGGUAAGAAUGGUUCUUGCUCAGCCCGUAGCAGCCAUGUAAAACUUGCGACAACAAAGUAGAGGACGUCUAACUUGUUUUUGCAGGGCAUGUUGUGAUGUGAUAUGGUCAAGACAUGAUGCUAUAUUUUAUUGUAUGAGAUGAUCAUGUUUUGUAACAGAGUUAUCAACAACUGGCAGGAGCCAUAUGGUUGUCGCUUUAUUGUAUGCAAUGCAAUCGCCCUGUAAUGCUUUACUUUAUCACUAAGCGGUAGCGAUAGUCGUAGAAGCAUAAGUUGGCGAGACGACAACGAUGCUAUGAUGGAGAUCAAGGUGUCGCGCCGGUGACGAUGGUGAUCAUGACGGUGCUUCGGAAAUGGAGACCACAAGCACAAGAUGAUGAUGGCCAUAUCAUAUCACUUAUAUUGAUUGCAUGUGAUGUUUAUCUUUUAUGCAUCUUAUCUUGCUUUGAUUGACAGUAGUAUUAUAGGAUGAUCUCUCACUAAAUUAUCAAGGUAUAAGUGUUCUCCCUGAGUAUGCACCGUUGCGAAAGUUCUUCGUGCUGAGACACCACGUGAUGAUCGGGUGUGAUAGGCUCUACGUUCAAACACAACGGGUGCAAAACAGUUGCACACGCGAAAUACUCAGGUUAAACUUGACGAGCCUAGCAUAUAACAGAUAUGGCCUCGGAACACUGAGACCGAAAGGUCGAGCGUGAAUCAUAUAGUAGAUAUGAUCAACAUAAAUGAUGUUCACCAUUGAAACUACUCCAUCUCACGUGAUGAUCGGACAUGGUUUAGUUGAUAUGGAUCACGUGCUCACUUAGAGGAUUAGAGGGAUGUCUAUCUAAGUGGGAGUUCUUAAGUAAUAUGAUUAAUUGAACUUUAAUUUAUCAUGAACUUAGUCCUGGUAGUAUUAGCAUAUCUAUGUUGUAGAUCAAUAGCUCGCGAUAUUGCUCCCCGUUUAAUUUUUAUAUGUUCCUAGAGAAAACUAAGUUGAAAGAUGUUAGUAGCAAUGAUGUGGAUUGGAUCCGUGAUCUGAGGUUUAUCCUCAUUGCUGCACAGAACAAUUAUGUCCUUGAUGCAGCGCUAGGUGACAGACGUAUUGCAGGAGGACAUGCAGACGUUAUGAACGUUUGGCUAGCUCAAUAUGAUGACUACUUGAUAGUUUAGUGCACCAUGCUUAACGGCUUAGAAUCAGGACUUCAAAGAUGUUUUGAACAUCAUGGACCAUAUGAGAUGUUCCAGGAGUUGAAGUUAAUAUUUCAAGCAAAUACCCUAGUUGAGAGAUAUGAAGUCUCCAACAAGUUCUAUAGCUAAAAGAUGGAGGAGAAUAGCUCAAGAAGUGAGCAUGUGCUCAGAUUGUCUGGGUACUACAAUCACUUGAAUCAAGUGGGAGUUAAUCUUCCAGAUAAAGAUAGUGAUUGACAGAAUUCUCUAGUCACCAUCACAAAGUUAGUAUAACUUCGUGAUGAACUAUAGUAUGCAAGGGAUAACGUAAACGAUUCCCGAGCUUUUCAUGCUGGUGAAAUCAGAAAUCAAGAAAGAGCAUCAAGUGUUGAUGAUUAACAAGACCACUAGUUUCAAGAAAAUGGCAAAGGGAAAGAAAGGGAACUUCAUGUAGAACGGCAAGCAAGUUGCUGCUCAAGUGAAGAAGCCCAAGUUUGGACCUAAGCCUGAGACUGAGUGCUUCUACUGCAAAAGGACUGGUCACUGGAAGCAGAACUACCCGAAAUAAUUGGCGUAUAAGAAGGAUGGCAAAGUGAACAAAAGUAUAUUUGAUAUACAUGUUAUUGAUGUGUACUUUACUAGUGUUUAUAGCAACCCCUCAGUAUUUUAUACUGGUUGGCAACCUCUGCUUGCCUCUGCGAAGGGCCUAUCUUUUACUUUUAUGCAAGAGUCAUGGUGAUCUUCACCUUUCCUUUUUUUCAUUUUAUCCUUUGGCAAGUACCUCGUGUUGGAAAGAUUCUGAUAUAUCCAAUUGGAUGUAAGGCAUCAUGAACUAUUAUUGUUAACAUUACCCUUGAGGUAAAAGGUUGGGAGGCGAAUCUAUAAGCCCCUAUCUUUCUCUGUGUCUGAUUAAAACUUUGAACCCAUAAAUAUCGCGUGAGUGUUAGCAAUUGUGAAAGACUAAAUGAUAGUUGAGUAUGUGGAGUUUGCUAAAUCAAAGCUCUGACAUAGACUCUUCCUGAAAAUAAGAUGAAUUGUAAUUGUUUGAUGACUAAUAACACGGCUUGUUAGUUUUCAAGAAAGUUUAUGAUCUAUACUUUAACAUGUGAAUAGCUUGUUACUUGAUCAUGAAAAGUUCUAUGAGUUGAGCUACUGUUAUGACAUAUGAUGAUGCUAGAAAAAGUGAUUGAAAUUAUCAUUGAUCAAACUUGUGCACCUGCUAGCAUUCACACUUCAUAAAUUCUUUCUUUUAUCAUUUACCUACUCGAGGAUGAGCAGGAAUUAAGCUUGGGGAUGCUGAUACGUCUCCAACGUAUCUAUAAUUUAUGAAGUAUUCAUGCUAUUAUAUUAUCUGUUUUGGAUGUUUAUGGGCUUUAUUGAACACUUUUAUAUUAUUUUUGGGACUAACCUAUUAACCUAGAGCCCAUUGCCAGUUUCUGUUUUUUGCUUGUUUUUGAGUUCUACAGAAAAGGAAUACCAAACGGAGUCCAAUGGACGUCCCAAUUUUUGACGAUUUUUUAUGGACCAAAAGGAGACCCCGGAGCAAAAGGGUUGGGACAGGAGAGUCCCGGGCUGCCCACGAGGGUGGGGGGCGUGCCCUCCCCCCCUGGGCGUGGGCCCCUGCCUCGUGGACAACCCGGAGACCCCCCUGACAUGAGACCUACGCCAAAAAAUCCUAUAAAUACUGAAACCUCCAGAAAGCAGAAUAGAUCGGGAGUUCCGCCGCCGCAAGCCUCUGUAGCCACCAAAAACCAACCGGGACCCUGUUCCGGCACCCUGCCCGAGGGGGUAUGUCGGUGUCAAAACCGGCGGAUCUCGGGUAGGGGGUCCCGAACUGUGCGUCUAAGGCGGAUGGUAACAGGAGGCGGGGGACACGAUGUUUACCCAGGUUCGGGCCCUCUCGAUGGAGGUAAUACCCUACUUCCUGCUUGAUUGAUCUUGAUGAUAUGAGUAUUACAAGAGUUGAUCUACCACGAGAUCGUAGAGGCUAAACCCUAGAAGCUAGCCUAUGGUAUGAUUGUUUUUGUCCUACGGACUAAACCCUCCGGUUUAUAUAGACACCGGAGGGGGCUAGGGUUACACAGAGUCGGUUACAAGGGAGGAGAUCUGCAUAUCCGUAUUGCCAAGCUUGCCUUCCAUGCCAAGGAGAGUCCCAUCCGGACACGGGACGAAGUCUUCAAUCUUUUGUCUUCAUAGUCCAACAGUUCGGCUAAAGUAUAUAGUCCGGCUGUCCGAGGACCCCCUAAUCCAGGACUCCCUCAGUAGCCCCUGAACGAGGCUUCAACGACGAUGGGUCCGACGCGCAGAUUGUCUUCGGCAUUGCAAGGCGGGUUCCUCCUCCGAAUAUUCCAUAGAAGAUUUUGAACACAAGGAUAGUGUCCGGCUCUGCAAAACAAAUUCCACAUACCACCAUAGAGAGAAUAAUAUUUCCACAAAUCUAAUCUACUGACACAUUCUGCAGCAUGACAUCACACCAUGGCCCGGUCAUUAUUCGGACCGUUUUUCUUAACCAGCCACUGCACAUAUCGCGAGGCGGUUUUCUUGGCACGUCUUGUCGAAGCAGAGAUCGUGUCCCCCUAUCACGGGAUUGUCAUCAAUACGGGUGUGGGUAACCUAACCGCGCCAUCAAUUACAGCUCUUGGGGAAUAAGCGAGUUUACCAGGCAGGUGGGGAGGCGCAUAGUUCCUUCCGCCCUUAUAAAGAGACAAGGAUUCAUCUUUUUCACCCACGCCCUCUUCCUCCUUGCUCAUCCGUUCUUGCGCACUUGAGCUCCAACACCCAAGUUCGCAUUCUCUCCUCAAACCACUCCAAGCAUGUCCGGAGCAGGAGGCAAGUGGAUGGUCUCCUCCGUUACGAAGGAGGACAUCACAAGGCUAUGGGGAGCCGGAUACCUGGCCGCGGAUAUCGCGCACCGGCUACAAGAUGCGGGGCAGAUCGUCCCUACUCCAGAACCCCAUGAGAGGGUGAUAUUUCUUACCCACUUUGUCCGCGGACUGGGAUUUCCCCUCCACCUGUUUGUCCGCGGGCUCAUGUUCUACUACGGGCUGGACUAUCACGAUCUGGCCCCCAAUUUCAUCCUCAACAUCUCGGCGUUUAUCGUCGUGUGCGAGGCCUUCCUCCGCAUCAAGCCCCACUUCGGCCUGUGGCUGAAGACCUUCAACGUUAAACCGAAGGUGGUGGCCGGCCAGCAAGCGGAGUGCGGAGGCGCCAUGGUGGGCAAAAUGCCCAACGUCACCUGGCUAGAAGGCUCCAAUGUGGAGACCGUAAAGGGGUGGCAAUCGGGGUGGUUCUACAUCACCGAGCCGCGCGACACCAACUGGGUAGCGGCCCCCGAAUUUUUAUCCGGAAUCCCCAUGCGGCUCACCUCCUAGAAAGAGAAGGGCCUAUCCUGGGGUUCCUCGGUAGAGCUGACCGGACCCCAGACCUGCGUCAAAAACAUGAUGAGCAAGAAAAUCAAGCUUGUCAACAUGGUCCAAGUCAUGCUCUUCCGCCCGAUCCUCCCGUGUCAAAGACGGGCAUUCAAUUUGUGGGAGUUCGACCCGGCCGAGCACCAGACGCUGCGAGAGCUCUUCGACACGGCGCACAAGGACGUCUGGAAGGUGAUGUUCAAGGGCGCUGAGGUACCUCCUCCCCUUACCAAGGACCGCGGACUCAGCGCAAAGCGCCCUGCCAAUCCGGUAUGUCUUUUAUAUUUCAUAAGAUGUUCUUUUCCCCAGUAUAACCACACGCGGGAUCUAAGCCCCCACGCCAUUUAACAGGACUGGGUAGCGACAGCGGAGCAGAUCGAUUGUCCAGCCCCCCUGCCUGAAGAUCCAGCGGAUGCUCUCCUAACGGAGAUCCUGGUUUCGGCGCCUUAUGAGGUGCCGGAGAAGAAGGCCACGGGGACCAGGAAGGGUCUCCGGCGCAAGGUUAUAUCGGACUCAUCGUCCGAAAACACCGAGGCGCACUCCUCCCACGAAAACGGGGAGGAAGAGGAAAGUUCUCCCCCCCAGCCAGGGGGGACAGGACAAGGAAGGCUGCCCCAUCAGGGGAGGCCGAAGGGUCCAAGAAGGGAAGGACCCUCCUCCCGGACUGCUCCACAAAGGCCGCUUUUAGCGACGAGGAGUGGUUACCCAGGGACAAGCCCCUGGCAAAGUCGUGAGUAUCCGGAUACCAUAAUAAUUCUUGGUACGUCUUAUUGUACUGUUUCUUAUCACGCCGCGCAUGAUUAUGCAGUCCGUCCCGAGCCCAUAUCGACGUAUCUUCGUCGGAUGAUUCUUUGGGCCCGUCAGAUAUGAAUAGCGAUUCACUCCCGACUGCCUCCUCCCCCCGCCCUACGGACGACGCCGAGGUGUUGUCUCAAAGGGAACUAAACCAAGGGGAGACAGUUCCGGAGGCGCCCCAAGGCGACAUUCCAGGCGCUAGGUGCACGAGGGGCAAGACUCCCCUAGGCCCUAACACCGGGGGCAGUAAGUCUAGCCCCAAGCCGAAUACGGCGCCGGAACCUCCAGUGGUUCCGGAUUCUGUCAGGCAACCCCUCGCUAAGGGGGGUAAGCCGUCUGUGCCGAUGGCCUCUGUCCAUCCAGAGGCAUCGGACAACUUGCUAGAAGUGCUUCGCGGCGCUUCCAUUGACGAAGAGCACCGCACUAUUAUGAGUGCGGUAGUUAAGAAGGUUCAGUCCGCUAAGAGCGGACUGACUGAAGCCUGUGCCAACCUCCUAACCGGCUUUGAGGUAAGUAAUCAAAUUGUAAGAAAAUGUUACAGCAUAGACAGUAGCCCCUGAUGCUCUGUUUGGCGUUCGCGGAGAAAGGCCGAAUAGAGGAUCAAAUAAUAAUCGCAGGAGUCUAAUCAGAAUGUGUCUAUGUGAAUAAGCGGGCUUCACUGCUGGCCGCCGCCGCUCGUACUGCGGAGGUCACCGCACUGAAGCGGGACCUUGAGCGGUCCAAGGAAGAGCUCGGCCUUACCAAGAGGCAGCUCGAAGAGAACAAAGGUAAGUGACACCCCGUCUGAAUAUUGGUAAAGAAAAAUUUGGUUUUGGAAUAAUAGGAUCCUCAUGAAUUUUGCUAGGGGCCACGACCGAAGUGGCGGCCCUGCAGAAGGCGCUAUCUGAGGCCGAAGACAAAGCGGCCAAGGAGCACAUCGAGCGAGAGAAGCAAGAGGCCCGAGUAGGCGAGGUGCGGCAAGAGCUCCAGGCUCUCGUCAAGAAACACGAGUCCUUGGAGCUUGACUCUAUGACGCAAGGGUCCGAGCUUGCGAAGGCCCUCGAAAGCGCACAACAUGCCAAGGCCAAAGCCCAAAAGGCCCUCCAGGAAAUUUAGGCGGUUAAGAAGAUAGCGGCGGGUAAGGCAUUCAUUAUGCAAAGCAAGCAUGUGAAGGAAACUUUCUUUUUACUUACCCGAGUUCGGAGUUCUCCAGAAGCGUUCGCAGAUCUACCCCGCAGUGUGUCGGAUGCCACGGAGUUCUACCGGGCCGAGGAGGGGAGCUCGGCGGAGAAGUUGUUCUGGUCUCAGUAUACUGGGACCGAACAUCCAAUGCCCUUGAGCGACCAGUUGAAGCAACUGGUCGAGCUUCACAAGGCGGCCGAACAGGCCAUGAAGGGUCUUAUGGUCUGGAUGUGGCAUGGCGACCCCUGCCUGGUAGCUACUUCGGUCUGGUGAGGCGGCUUGUGAAUGCCUGCACACGGUUUGAAGUCAUAAAGCGGUCCGUCUGCAUUGAGGGUGCGCGCAGGACUUUUGCCCGGGCGAAGGUGCACAGGGCGAAGCUGGACGCCGAAAAGCUGGUGAAGGAGGGGCCGCCGGAGGGCAAGGAGCAUCGCCACCCCGAAAAGUAUUAUGAUAGUGUCCUGAAGGGUGCUCGCCUUGUGGCGGAGGAAUGUGCUAAGGAUGUAAUAUUUGAAUGAAUGUACUCAUGUGAUCCUGUAAUAUGAAACGAGUUCAUUUGCGUACGCAAUGCUUGUUAAUUUAAAAUAUUACCUUCUAUGCGGCCGUUUAUAAAAUCUGAGAGUUGGCCAGUCGUCGGCUUCUGCCCCCAUGUAACUAGUACUAAGGUGUUCGGGGUAAACCUGAGCACUCUUUAUCCCAAUUUUGGGUCCUUCGAAGGAGGUGUUUAGCACAAUGAACCAGGCAAUCGGACUAUAAAGCUUUAUCACUCUCACUUAGCCAUAGAAGUCUACAAUUUUAAAUUUUGGCGAAGCCCCUAGUAUUUCGAAGGCCGAAUUUGGGGCACUAUAUACGCCUAAGUCGGGCAAGACGACUCCUUGCCCGAAGCGGAAAGAGACUUUAAGGACUUGAGACCUCUCGAACAGCGACCAGCUCUCGCCUCAUUAUGACAGUCAGUUUUCGGCUUUCUCUACUGAGGUGCUCGUCCGGAAGAACCGGGACACAAUCGCAGUAGUUCUCCCAAGGCUACCUUAGCCGAUAUUGCGGAACGUAAGGUACCAAAACAUGGGAGCCGGGCAAACCCAACUAUUGACCCAAGACAUGAUUCGGAGCUGGUGCAUAUAAUUCUAUAAGUUCGGGGUGCCGCACUGUCGAAAGUGUUCGGACUUCUCACACUGUAUUAUGGGGUAUACUAAAGCCCCUGGCGCACUGGUCAUACCAGGAUGUACGGGUGCAAUUUGUCGUAAAUAAGCAGACAAGGAAAAAAAAGAAAGGGGAAUGCAAUAAUAGACUAACGAUAUGCAUUGUUAUUAAAUAAUACGUCAAAGCGACGGAUACAAGUAGUGCAAUAAGCAAAAAAUAAGACUAUUUGACAUGUCCUAUCCAAGGGCAAGCUGCGUAUGGGUAUGUAAAACAGGUAUUUCGAUCGUUAUCAGAGACCACCUAGGGAUUCCCUUGUACGUCAGAGCGUCUUGCUUCCUUGGUAUUUCCUUACCGCGAUGGGUCCAACAAUUAGAUUGCCGAAAAGGGCUUCCAGAGAGUAAGGUCCUGAAAGAGAGAAAAUGAUAAAGGUAUAUGGCCCCUGGGGCGGUUGAGCCACCUUGUGGGACGUGCCGUAGCUGUGCCUCCGCCUAUGCCCAUGGUAUCUUGAGUGCGUAGUUAUGUACGCGCGGCGCAAAUUUCGCCACUUGACUGGGACUAGGACGGAGGCCGAAUUGCUAGGCGAGCUCAAAACGUGCAUGGCGAUCCUCCUGCGGGGUACCCCGGACUCGCUUGAAGGUGUCCGGGGUCUUUUUCGCCGAAUUGGCGGUUUGCCUAUUAAGGCUGCUUUGCGCUUCUGCUGCGAGGGCUGCAGUGUGCUCCUCCGUGCGGAGCGAGCGCUCUGUGUUUCCAUUAACUGUUAUAACCCCGCGUGGUCCUGGCAUUUUGAGUUUGAGGUAUGCAUAAUGCGGUACCGCAUUGAAUCUGGGAAAUGCGGUUCGUCCGAGCAGUGCGUGAUAGCCGCUGCGAAAGGGGACGAUGCCGAAGAUUAACUCCUCGCGUCGAAAAUUGUCCGGAGAUCCGAAGACCACUUCCAGUGUGAUUGAGUCCGUGCAACAGGCCUCUACACCUGGGAUUACACCUUCAAAGGAGGUUUUGGUGGGUUUGAUCCUCGAGGGGUCUAUGCCCAUUUUGCACACUGUAUCCUGAUAGAGCAGGUUCAGGCUGCUGCCACCGUCCAUAAGGACGCGAGUGAGGUGAAAUCCGUCAAUGAUGGGGUCAAGGACCAAUGCGGCAGAUCCGCCAUGACGGAUACUAGUGGGGUGGUCCCUGCGAUCGAAGGUGAUCGGACAAGAGGACCAUGGGUUCAACUUUGGGGCGACUGGCUCCAUAGCAUAGACGUCCCUUAGUGCACGCUUCCGUUCCCUCUUGGGAAUAUGGGUUGCGUAUAUCAUGUUCACCGUUUUCACUUGUGGAGGGAACCUCUUCUGUCCUCCAAUGUUCGGCGGCCGAGGCUCCUCCUCGUCGUCGCUAUGGAGCCCCUUGUCCUUGUUUUUGGCAUUUAACUUGUCGGCCUGCUUGAAUACCCAGCAUUCUCUGUUGGUGUGAUUGGCUGGCUUAUCGGGGGUGCCAUGAAUUUUAACGAGCAAUCGAGUAUACGGUCCAAACUGGACGGGCCCGGAUUGCUUGUUUUGAACGGCUUCUUCCGCUGACCGGAUUUAGAGCCACUGAAUCCGGCAUUGACUGUCGUGUCUUCGGCGUUGUCGCCGUUGUUGUGGCGCUUGUGUCUGUUGCGACGUGGUCUGCCAAUAGUAUCUUUGGCGUCUGAAUUGCCGGGAUUUCUUGAUGUGCUGUUGCUGCGAGCUAGCCAGCUGUCCUCGCCCGCGCAAAAGCGGGUCAUGAGUGUCGUGAGGGCUGCCAUGGACUUCAGCUUCUCUUGGCCGCGGUGUCAGGCGAGCCACUCGUCCCGGAUGUUAUGUUUAAAUGCCGCUAAGGCCUCGGCAUCCGGACAGUCGACAAUUUGGUUCUUUUUAGUUAGGAACCGAGUACAGAAUUUCCUGGCCGAUUCCCCUGGCUGUUGGGUUAUGUGGCUCAAGUCAUCAGCAUCUGGUGGUCGCACAUAAGUGCCCUAGAAGUUGUCAAGGAAUGCGUCUUCCAAAUUCUCCCAACUGCCAAUGGAGUUUGCUGGCAGGCUAUUCAGCCAAUGUCGAGCUGGUCCUUUGAGUUUUAGUGGGAGGUACUUGAUGGCAUGUAGAUCGUCAUCGCGGGCCAUGUGGAUGUGGACGAGGAAAUCCUCGAUCCAUACCGCGGGGUCUGUUGUACCAUCAUAUGACUCAAUGUUCACGGGUUUGAAUCCUUCUAGGAAUUCAUGAUCCAUUACUUCAUCGGUGAAGCAUAGUGGGUGUGCAGCGCCUCUGUGCCGGGCUAUGUCACGACGCAGUUCAUACGAGUCUUGUCUGCUGUAUUCGGCCCCGCCGGAUUUGCUUUUAGUGUAUCCGGCAUGACGAUCAUCAUCACACAUUGGGGCGCGACCCCGUGAUCCGUAGAUCGAUCUUGUUUGUCCUGCUCUGUUUUCCUAUACGUCUCGCAGGUCCCGCGUGUUGCCCCAGGCCUUGGUAUUUAUGUUUGAAUGGCGGCGGGGUGCGGGCUGGACUUCGGGCUGAUAUGCCCCUCUGUCUCGGCCACGAGGUGGCCGAUCAGCCGCAUCAUACGCUGGUGAUGUAGGUUUUAAUGCUUCCUCCUCGAUUUGGGGUAGCAACCUGCGCUUUGGGUAACUCUUGGUUGGGCGCUCGAGUUCGUAUUCCUCUACCUCCAGGACUUCAGUCCAUCUAUCCGCUAGCAGAUAUUGAUCAGCUCGAAGCUGUUGUUGCUUUUUCUUCAGGCUGUUUGUUGUAGCUAUAAGCCGACGCUUGAAGCGCUCCUGCUUGACGGGAUCCUCAGGCACGAUAAAUUCUUCGUCGCCGAGGCUCACCUCGUCUUCGGAGAGAGGCAUGUAAUUGUCAUCCUCUGAUUCUCCGUCUGCUGCCUAUUCCGGAGGGCUAGCUUGUUCAUCCUCUCGCUCGAGGUCUGGCUGGAGGGGAUUGUCGUCGUCUUUGGCACUAUCCGGAGCGUUAUUGUCUCUUGUGCCGGUAUCGCUGCUUUUGCUAUGGCGGGACUUAGAGCGGCGCCGCUGACGUCGGUGCUUGGGUUGCUUCUUGGAGGGAUUAUCCUCGGUUGUCUUAUCGCCGUCGCCUUCUUUGGGGGUGUCCACCAUGUAUAUAUCAUAUGAUGAGGUGGCAGUCCAGCGCCCUGUGGGCGGUGGUUCCUGUUCGUCUCCUGUAUCGUCGUCCAUACCGUCGAUGUUUUCGGAGCCGAAAUCGAGCAUGUCGGUUAAAUCGUCGACAGUGGCUACUAAGUGGCUGGUGGGUGGGGAGCGAAUUUCUUCGUCGUCCGCAUCCCAUUCUAGCCAGACAUAGUUCGGCCAAGGGUCUCCUGACAAGGAGAGAGACCUCAAUGAGUUCAGCACGUCGCCCAGUGGUGAGUGCUGAAAGAUAUCCGCGGAGGAAAACUCCAUAAUCGGUGCCCAAUCAGAUUCGAUAGGCACAUACGCAGGCGGCUCAGAGCCCGUGGCCGGGGAUGAAUCCAGGUGUCCGGCGACACAGGUCUCAUAGGAGGUGAAGUCAGUAUUCGGCUCUAUCGCCACUCAGUGUGUGGCCUCCGAGGCGGGGUCCAUCCACCCGUCCUCGGACGGCGCAAUCGACUCCGGAUCUAGGGCCGGAGUAGCCAUGGGUGUGAUCUCCCGAACACCGUCCGGCGGCAGAGCUAAGUCGUGCUCGUCGUGACUGUGCGGCGCACCUGACAUGGGCUCGAAUCCGUCAAAGAUAAAGUCUCCGCGGAUGUUGGCACUGUAGUUUAAAUUUCCAAACCUGACCUGACAGCCAGGGGCGUAGCUCUCGAUCUGCUCCAGAUGGCCAAGCGAGUUGGCCCACAGUACGAAGCCGCCGAAUACAAAGAUCUGUCCGGGGAGGAAAACCUCACCCUGGAUCGCAUCGUUGGCGAUGAUUGAAGGAGCCAUCAAGCCUUUAUCGCGACGGCAGAGUGGAACUCUCAAUGAAAGCACCAAUGUCGGUGUCAAAACCGGCGGAUCUCGGGUAGGGGGUCCUGAACUGUGCGUCUAAGGCGGCUGGUAACAGGAGGCGGGGGACAUGAUGUUUACCCAGGUUCGGGCCCUCUCGAUGGAGGUAAUACCCUACUUCCUGCUUGAUUGAUCUUGAUGAUAUGAGUAUUACAAGAGUUGAUCUACCACGAGAUCGUAGAGGGUAAACCUUAGAAGCUAGCCUAUGGUAUGAUUGUUGUUGUCCUAGGGACUAAACCCUCCGGUUUAUAUAGACACAGGAGGGGGCUAGGGUUACACAGAGUCGGUUACAAGGGAGGAGAUCUACAUAUCCGUAUUGCCAAGCUUGCCUUCCACGCCAAGGAGAGUCCCAUCCGGACACGGGACGGAGUCUUCAAUCUUGUGUCUUCAUAGUCUAACAGUCCGCCUAAAGUAUAUAGUCUGGCUGUCCGAGGACCCCCUAAUCCAGGACUCCCUCAGGGUAUCCCUCACCGGUGGCCAUCUUCAUCAUCCCGGCGCUCUCCAUGACGAAGAGGGAGUAGUUCACCCUCGGGGCUGAGGGUAUGUACCAGUAGCUAUGUGUUUGAUCUCUCUCUCUCUCUCGUGUUCUUGAUUCAGCACGAUCUUGAUGUAUCAUGAGAUUUGCUAUUAUAGUUGGAUCUUAUGAUGCUUCUCCCCCUCUACUCUCUUGUAAUGGAUUGAGUUCUCCCUUUGAAGUUAUCUUAUCGGAUUGAGUCUUUAAGGAUUUGAGAACACUUGAUGUAUGUCUUGUCGUGCUUAUCUAUGGUGACAAUGGGAUAUCACGUGAUCCACUUGAUGUAUGUUUUGGUGAUCAACUUGCGGGUUCCGCCCAUGAACCUAUGCAUAGGGGUUGGCACACGUUUUCGUCUUGACUCUCUGGUAGAAACUUUGGGGCACUCUUUGAAAUACUUUGUGUUGGUUGAAUAGAUGAAUCUGAGAUUGUGUGAUGCAUAUCGUAUAAUCAUGCCCACGGAUACUUGAGGUGACAAUGGAGUAUCUAGGUGACAUUAGGGUUUUGGUUGAUUUGUGUCUUAAGGUGUUAUUCUAGUACGAACUCUAUGAUAGAUUGAACGGAAAGAAUAGCUUCAUGUUAUUUUACUACGGACUCUUGAAUAGAUCGAUCAGAAAGGAUAACUUUGAGGUGGUCUCGUACCCUACCAUAAUCUCUUCGUUUGUUCUCCGCUAUUAGUUACUUUGGAGUGACUCUUUGUUGCAUGUCGAGGGAUAGUUAUAUGAUCCAAUUAUGUUAUUAUUGUUGAGAGAACUUGCACUAGUGAAAGUAUGAACUCUAGGCCCUGUUUCCUAGCAUUGCAAUACCAUUUACGCUCACUUUUAUUAUUAGUUACCUUGCUGUUUUUAUAUUUUCAGAUUACAAAAACCUAUAUAUACCAUCCAUAUUGCACUUGUAUCACCAUCUCUUCGCCGAAUUAGUGCACCUAUACAAUUUACCAUUGUAUUGGGUGUGUUGGGGACACAAGAGACUCUUUGUUAUUUGGUUGCAGGGUUGUUUGAGAGAGACUAUCUUCAUCCUACGCCUCCCACGGAUUGAUAAACCUUAGGUCAUCCACUUGAAAGAAAUUUGCUACUGUCCUACAAAGCUCUGCACUUGGAGGCCCAACAACGUCUACAAGAAGAAGGUUUUGUAGUAGAUAUCAGGGGGAGGGGGGUGAAACCGCCCCGCCGCCGCCGUCCCCGAGCGCGGCGCGGCUUCGCUGGCCGGCCCUCCGGCGGCAGCGAUGCGGGGGGAGGGGGGCACUGGCGGAGGAAGGCUACCGGUGGCGAUGAAGGUUUCCCCCGUAUCGCCUGUUGCGGGCGACGCGGGGGCAGGGUUGACCAGCUCGAGGAUUUCGGCUGAGCUGUAGAACGUAUGAAAUAUUGAAGGAAAACAAAAACAUGAGAAUCAACAGAUAUUGGAGAAGUUGGUACAGAGUGGUACAUGGAAAGGAAAUUUUACUUUUACUGGAGGUUGAAUGAAGUUAUGUUUACACCUUCCAUUUCACUUUGUGGGCACUCCGAAGUUGCAAAGAAAAAAUAUAUAAAAUAUCAUCAUUCGUACGCAUUUAUAUGCAGGUAAUGAAAAUGGCUCCACCUAAUUAUAAGAUUAUUAAGCACUUUUAGUACCCGGGAGUCCCUGGUACUGUGAAGAUGAUAUUAAGACUAAUUAAUGGACAUGGAUUUGUUCUGAUCACACAAAGAUAGCUCAAACACCCAUCCGCUUACUUGCUUGCAUUUCAAAAGAUUGAUAACCACAUUUCAUCAUUUUUCCCCACUUCUCCACCUUGCUGGUGAUAUAUAUCCAGCUUCCGCAUAUAUGAUAUUUUUCACUCUAGCACUUUCAGCUUCUUUUUGAAAUGAAGAGUACUUUUCUUGCUGAUGCAGCAACAAUAGUAAGUCAGAGCUUUCUUAGGCCUUGUACAAUGCAAGGUGCUUUGAGAAAUAAACUAGGCUUUCCUUAAGCACCGAUACUUAUUUGUACAGGAUACUUUAUUAAUUUUUCUCACAAGAUCUUACAAAGUCAUACAACAGUAAGACUAAAGCCGCCGUCUAAGCAACAAACUGUCGCUACACCUAUCCAGUUGAUGAAGGGACGCAGAUAGCCUGGGCCUAAUACCAAACAGACAUCGCAUCCAAGCCUAACAUCUAAGACCUGAGACCCCAACCUAGCCACUUGCCGGGUCUGGGGCACACACUGGUCCGGCGUGCUCUCAGAGGCCGCCGCCGCCAACUGCCACCGCUCCAUCUUCAGAAUUGUACUGAUGCAUCAACCUUACUCGGUCUAGCUAUCGUCGACGCCACCACUGCGCCCAGCGGCACCUCCUCCCUGCCCGCAAACAACUGAGCACAUCGCGGUCGCCACUGAUACACCUCAGCACCAUGCUGCCAAGUACCACCAGCUGACACAGCUUGAAGUCCUUGGAAGAUCUUUCAUGCGUAGCACCUGCCGACCAAGUAUGACAAAGUGUAGCACCUGUCGGUCAGGCAUGACUUGACAUCUCCACCGAAGCUCCGUGCAAGACGAAGCCGCUCCACCUCCUGCCUCUGACUUCCAGCGCUGCUCCACAAACGAUGCUCCCAAGAGAGAAACGAGACAGCGGUGCCACAAUCGUCCGAUCUGGAACACCAGAUCCUAGAGUUUCCCGUGGAGCAGCACGAGUGGGUCGACAGUAGUUACACGAUGAUGCCUCCAUCAAGGUAACGACGAGAACGCCGCCAUCGCCUACCGUCGGCUCGAUUUUCACCGGCAACCAUGUCUCCCCUACUCGCAGUCGGGACUAGAUGAUGGAUCUCGAGAUCCGAUCACCAAGCCUCUGGCCGGCCAUCUCUGGAAGAAGAUGACCACCACGUCCACCAGCGUCACCACACCGGGCACGCGUUGCCGCCGGCACCCCCAUGGUGCCUAGAGGCCGACAAGCCCCGACGAACACCACGCCUCGCCAGCCGCCAUAGCCCAGGCCCAAGCACCACCAGAUCCAGAUCAGAUCGGGGUCAAGGGCCCCAAGCCGCAGCCGUCGCGGAGGCAGCACCACUAGACGGUGCCCUGCCCUCCACCCCGCUGUAGGAUCGAGUCAUCGCCGGAGCUCCGCCACGCCACGCCGCCAAGACGCCGCCGGAAGAACUCGCGCCGCCGCUAGGGGAGAGAGAGACGCGCUAGGGAGAGGCCCCGCCGCUGGCACUGCCUUGGCUUUGCCCGGCUGUGUCCCUCGGCGGCGGCGAGGGGGGAGGGAGGGUGGAGGAGGGCCGGCGGCGGAGGGGGCUAGGGUUCCCCCGAGUCGCCUCAGAGAGGGACGCAGGCGACGGGGUGAGAAAACUGAGAGAGUGGAUAUGGCCUUUACUCGAGCUCAUGGGGUGGCCCGACUGCUGGUGAGUGUUCUCGAUAUUGAGUUCGUGCCUGAUGUGGUUAAGUGGACAUAUAGGGGACAGAUUUUCAACCUCGAGAUUGAGUUUGAGGAUGCCGCUCUCUUCGCUGAGGCUAUCAAUGGGACUGAUGUAGAUAUGCACGAGGGUGAUGACAGCUCGGGUGCUAAGGAGGCACCGGUUGAUGAUGUUGGACGAGAGUUGUCCAACUAAUCGGGGCCCGUUCCUCAGACGCCCAGGGACGGGACGGCACCAUCCUCUUCGGUGCCUAUGAGUUCUCUGAGAUUUGGGUCGUUUGAGCCAGCUUCUGCUCCUCCCAGACUCUGGAGUGACCGGGUGGAGUCCGAUGACGUGUUUGAGCGCACGCUACCUACCCUGGAUUUUGUUGCUGCUGAUAGUCCCGUGCUUGGAGGUUUGGAGGGGAUUAUCUCUGUGCAGACCUCGGUAAGGGGAGGGGAGGCGGAGCUUGGGCAGGUGGCCCCUCUUUCCCCCGCUCUCCCUGCGGUGUCACCUCGGGAGACGGAGUCGACUAUGGAGGCUGUCCCUAGGGAGGGAGUCCAUGGCAGGUGGCCUCGGCUCCUUCUUCUCUUCUCGCGGUGCCGGAGCUGCAGAUGGCGGUUGUGCUUAGGGGAGGCGGUCCAGGGCAGGUGGCCUCGGCCCCCUCUUCACCUCUGGCGGCUAGGGAGGCCACACCCCCUAUGGCGCCGGAGACCUCUUCUAGCCAGAGGGCUGGGGCGGGAGGAGCGUACGGGCAGGCGGCCCACGCGCUUCCCUCUCCCGGCGCGCCAACGUCCCAGGGCCUCGGUUCGAGGUGGACGUCAGUGGGGCCGGGGAGGUCCCCGCCGCUGCCCCCGGCAGCUCCCGCCGACUCUUCGACGUGUGCAGCUUCGCGGUGUGCUGGGGGUGAGGCCGGUGGCUUUACUCCGAGCGGGGUCACUCGGGAGGAGGUCAUCGCCUUUGGAGGGAUUCUAGAUCCUGUCUCUGCGGGGCGACGGAUGAGCUGUCGUCUCUAGGAUCAUCCGGAGGUUGAUGACAUGCAGCAGCGGUGCGCCAUGAGGGCGGCCAAGCUUCGUGACAUUGAGGUCACUACUGGUAUGUCGGUCAACACUUCUAAUUCCAUUCUGCAUUUUUCUAAUAAUGAGAUUAUUAAUAAUUCAAAUCAAUUGGGAGUUUCACUAGGUAGUAAUGAUAGUGAAAUUUCUAACUUUGUAAAUGAUAUCCUGGAUUUGGAAGCGGAACGCGCUUUAGAAAUGAUUCAAAACUUAGCAGCGGUUAAACCCAUGAAUGAUGCAGAUAUCGAUGCGUUGGGGGUCAGGGUGCUCGAUAAUUUUUGUGCAGAUCUUGCACCAUCCAUUCCUGAGUCAGAGGAAGAGGAUAACACUUUUGAGGCUGCCGUAGAUCGAUCCAUGGAGCCCGGUUGUGAGGACUGGGUGGAGGAUCAAAACAAACCUAAACGCAAGUGGAAGCGGAAGAUCUACCCUGCUUCGGCGGUGCGUAGGAGUGCUAGGAUCCGUACUAUUAAAACAUUUCAUGAUGAAAUAUGAAAGGAAUCUUUUGGAAUAGCAGAGGUCUGAAAGACUUGGCUAAAAGAAGGUUUCUUGCAGAUGCGUCUAUCGAGCAUAGGUUGGAUUUUAUCACUCUCUCGGAAACUGGUAGAGAUAAUUUUUCGCCCCAGUUUCUCAGUACUUUAUCGGGAGGUGUUGAUUUCAAUUGGCACUGCCUGCCUCCGAGAGGAAGAUCGGGUGGGAUCUUACUUGGAGUGAGAUGCGAUUCGCUAGAAGUCUGAAGUGUAGUGAUGGGAGAUUUCACAAUUAAGUUCCGGGUUAGGUCGAAAGCCAACGGGUUUAAUUGGGCUCUGAUGGCGGUUAUGCUCCCGCGCAGCCCGAUCUCAAACCAGAGUUCUUGGCGGAUCUUGUUCAAAUUUGCGGCUCUGAGCAGCUCCCAAUCCUGGAUGGGGGUGAUUUCAACAUCAUUAGGAGGAGAGAGGAAAAGAAUAAUGAUAAUUUCGACGGCAGGUGGUCGUUUAUGUUUAAUACCAUUAUUGAAAGCUUGGAUCCUAGAGAGAUAGAGCUUUCGGGUAGAAAAUUCACCUGGGCUAAUACUUUGCCAAAUCCGACGUUUGAGAAGCUGGAUCGAGUCCUAGUGAGCGUCGAAUGGGAACAGAUAUUUCCUUUGGUAACGGUCCAGGCUCUUUCGCGUGGUAUUUCUGACCACACGCCUUUAUUUGUGGACUCUGGUGAGCCAACCCACAUGGGGAACAAAAACUCCUUUUCUUUCGAGCUGGCAUGGUUUGAACGAGAAGGCUUCUUGGAUAUGAUAGCCAGGGAAUGGGCUAAGGAUGCAGGAGGUAGGACUUCGAUUGAGCGCUGACAGAAUAAGAUAAGGCACUUGAGAAGUUUCUUGCGUGCGUGGGCUAAGCAUCUUAGUGGGGUUUAUAAGGUCGAAAAGGAAAGGCUCCUUACACUUAUUCAGUCUCUAGAUUUAAAAGCCGAGUCCACAAUUUUGCAAGCCACAGAGCUUCAUGAUAAACUGGAGGCGGAGAUGAGAUUGAAAGAGCUUCUCCGUGAAGAGGAAUUAAAGUGGGCGCUGCGGGCUAAGGUUCGCAAAGUUGUCCAGGGGGACGCGAAUACUCAAUUCUUUCACAUGAUCGCUAAUGGCAAGCACAGAAAGAAUAGAAUCUUUCAGCUUGAACCAAGAUGAAGGAACGAUUUUAGGACAGGAAAACCUAAAAUUAUACAUAACCGAAUACUACAAGCAGUUGUUUGGGCCUCUGGAGGAUAAUUGUGUAUCCCUGGAUGAGUCUAGGAUUGAGGAUGUGCCUCAACUUACUGCUGAUGAGAAUGAUAUUUUGAUUGCCCCUUUUUCGGGGAAAGAGGUGUUUGAAGCCAUUACACAGAUGAAAAACAAUAAGGCUCCAGGGCCGGAUGGAUUUCCGGCGGAAUUCUAUAAAAAGUGUUGGCAUAUUAUUAAGGGGGAUUUGCAACCAAUGUUCCAUGAUUUAUUCUCUGGACAGCUUCAGUUAUUUCACUUGAACUUUGGAAUGAUAACAUUGCUUCCUAAGAAAACAAAGGCUGUGAGAAUUGAGCAGUUCAGGCCGAUCUGUCUUCUCAAGGUUAGUUUCAAAAAUUUCACAAAGGUUGGGACUAAUAGGCUCACGCAGACUGCGCAUUCUGUGGUGCAGCAUUCCCAAACUGCUUUCAUGCCGGACAGAAACAUCCUAGAAGGGGUUGUGGUCCUUCAUGAAACGCUCCACGAAAUUCACACGAAAAAACUAGAUGGAGUUGUUUUCAAGGUGGAUUUCGAGAAAGCGUACGAUAAAGUCAAAUGGCCUUUCCUUCAACAGGCCUUACAUAUGAAAGGUUUUGAUGAAGCCUGGCGACGCCAGGUAGAAUCUUUCACGCAAAAAGGGAGUGUUGGAAUUAAAGUGAAUGACGACAUAGGUCAUUAUUUCCACACACAUAAGGGCCUGAGACAAGGGGUUCCGAUGUCUCCUAUUUUGUUCAACAUUGUAGUUGAUAUGUUGGCAAUUCUAAUAGGAAGGGCUAAGGAGGUUGGUCAGGUGGGUGGCUUGGUGUCUCAUCUAGUUGAUGGAGGUGUGUCUAUCCUACAGUACAGCGAGAAAUAUGAAGCUGGUGUUAUGCUUAUUUGAACAAUUGACCGGGUUAAAGAUUAACUUUCACAAAAGCAAAUUGUUCUGCUUUGGAAGAGCCAAUGAGGAACAAGAGGCUUAUAGGCAAUUGUUUGGGUGCGAAUUGGGGACCUUACCAUUUACGUAUUUAGGUAUACCAAUUCACCAUCGUAAGCUGACAAACACAGAAUGGAAGUGUAUCGAGGAUCUCUUUGAGAAGAAACUGAGUUGCUGGAAGGGCAAGCUCAUGUCAUACGGAGGCCGAUUAAUUCUGAUUAAUUUGGUUCUCACGAGUAUGCCUAUGUUUCUCUUGUCUUUGUUCGAAGUCCCAGUUGGAGUUAGGAAAAGGCUGGACUUCUAUCGAUCCCGAUUCUUCUGGCAGAGCGAUGAACUAAAAAGAAAAUACAGACUCACCAAAGGGAUAUUAUCUGUCGACCGAAAGACCAAGGGGGUCUUGGCAUUGAAAAUCUUGAGGUCAAGAACAGAUGUCUUCGCAGCAUGUGGCUGUCUAAGUUAUCUGUAGAGAUCGAUGCCACAUGGGCGCAGAUUCUUAGUAGUAAGUAUCUUCAUUCCAAAACUUUGUCCCAGGUGACAGCGAGGCCGACAGACUCACCUUUUUGGAAAGGGCUUAUGAUAGUCAAAUUAGCCUUUUUUAAUAGGACAAAGUUUAUUAUCGUCAAUGGCGCUAGCACGCGAUUCUGGGAGGAUACUUGGCUCGGAGAGACCCCCUUGCACUUCAAUACCCGUCUCUGUAUCGUAUUGUUCAACGACGUGAUGCUUUCGUUGCAACGAUACUUCAAUCCAUCCCCCUUAAUAUUUAGGUCAGGAGGACGCUAGCCGGUAAUCGUUGGGAAGAGUGGCUCCAUCUAGUGAGUAGACUGAUGGAGGUUCAGCUGUCUCAACAGCCCGAUCAAUUACGCUGGAAACUUACUAGGUCUGGAGAGUGUACAGUUAAAUCAAUGUAUCUCGAUGUGAUCAAUUCUAGCUCUAUUCCUAGUUCCAAAUAUGUUUCGACAGUCAAAGUUCCAUUGAAAAUUAAAGUGUUUACGUGGUUUGUACAUAAACAAGUCAUCUUAACCAAGGACAAUUUGGCAAAGCGUAACUGGACAGGACCUACUAAGUGUAGUUUUUGUGAUCGGGAUGAAACUAUCAAACACCUUUUUCUUGAUUGCUCGAUGGCCAAAGUUCUAUGUCGGACAGUCCACAUAGCCUUUGACAUUUCCGAGUUCUGUUAGCACGUUAUUUGGAACGUGGCUUAAUGGGAUAGAGUCCGAAACAGCGAGACACAUUCGCGUAGGAGUAUGUGCUUUAUUGUGGGCAGUCUGGAACUGCAGAAAUGAUUUGGUUUUUAACAGAACAACAAAUAUUCAUUUUUUGCAGGUUAUCUUCCAAGCCACUGCGUUGAUCCGUACGUGGUCACUACUCACUCCGACGGAGGCCAGGGAGCGUUUGGUUACUGGAUCUAUCCGGUGGGAGAUGGUAGCACGGGAUAUCUUCAACCGGUUUGAAUGGCGGUCAUGUAAUAGGAUAGGCAAUUAGUUUACCUAUCUUUCUUAUGCCGGCCGAUUGUGGCUUUUUGGCUAGUUUGUUAUUGGCCCUUUGGCUCUUUAUGAGCUUUCCUUUACUUUCGUUUGAGACUUUAAGACCUUGUUAAACCUAUUUGCUUUUUUAUAAAGUUGGCCGUAUGCAUCGUUCUGAUGCAGAGGCCGGGGAGCCCCCACUUUUCGAAAAAAAACCUCUUGUUAUCUUGUAUUCUUGUGUGACAAUGCUCGAAGAAUAUAAAAGGGCUAGGUGGAAAGACCCCCAUAUCGAAAACUUGCCUACCUACGAGUUUUAUAGACACAGAGCCUCAUUGGAUUGUACUAGAUGGAGCCUCCAGUGAGAGCUGAAGACGAGGCGAUGAGCACGGAGGAGCUGCUCCAAGCCCAGACGGAUCUCUACCACCACUCCCUAGCCUACAUCAAAUCUAUGGCGCUCGGUGCCGCCACAGAACUCAGCGUCGCCGACGCCAUCCACGGCCGUGGCGGUGCCAUCACCUUGUCUGACCUUGCGGCCGCGACCGGCGUCCACCCGACGAAAGUCCAACACUUCGGGCGGCUGAUGCGCGCGCUUACCGUCACUGGUGUCUUCACCUCGGAAGAAAAAGAAGGCGGUGGUGGUGCCCUGUACAAGCUCACUCGGAUUUCACGCCUCCUUCUCGGAGUCGGCAAGCGUCGGCUCUCCCCGAUGGUGCGUAUGCUUGUCAGCGAGGUCAGUUUCACUACUCCCAUGAGCAUCUGCGAGUGGAUCACCACUGAGACGCCGGCCAGGGCCAUGUUCGAGGCCCAUUUUGGCUCUACGCAAAAUGGGUUGUGGGAGAAGGACGACGCGUAUGGUGCCCCCUUCUACUCAGCAAUGGCUGCGGACAGCCGUCUCGUCAUGGAGGUUCUGCUGAGAGAGUGCAGCAGCGUCUUUGAGGCCGUUGCCGGCUCACUUGUCGAUGUCGGCGGCGGCAGCGGAGGAGUCGUGGCUGCCGCCAUUGCCACAGCGUUCCCUCACAUCAAGUGCUCCGUGCUGGACCUCCCCAACGUGGUAGCCGCGGCUGACGACACCACCAACGUGCAGUUUGUCUCCGGCGAUAUGUUUGACUACAUUCCACCAGCGGAUGCCGUUCUACUCAAGGUACGUACUUACAUAGUACUCCCUCCGUAAGGAUAUAUAAGAGCAUUUAGAUCAUUAUUAUUUUAGUGAUUGAUCCAAACGCACUUAUAUUUCUUUACAGAGGGAGUAGCACAUACAAAUGCAGCAAGCUAUCCAUUUCUUAUAUAUAUAAUGAACCAAAUUAAUCAACCAAUCCUUCCUAUAAAUUUUGUAGUGGAUUUUGCAUGACUGGGAAGACCAAGACUGCGUCAAGAUACUGCGCAAGUGCAGAGAGGCCAUCCGCACAAGAGGUGCUGGGGGGAAGGUGAUUAUAAUCGAUUUCGUCGUCGGUGCUGGUUCUUGCAAGGAGACGGAGACACAGGUUCUGUUUGAUCUUUACAUGAUGAUGGAGAAUGGGGCUGAGCGGGACGAGCAAGAGUGGAGCAAGAUUUUCUUUGAAGCUGGAUUUAGUGACUACAAGAUCAUGCCAGUCUUAGGCGCUCGUUCACUCAUUCAAGUAUUCCCAUGAAUUCUGGCGGUUUGAUGUCCAAAUGUACUUCCUGUUUCCAAAUGUUUGUUUGCUUUCACAUCAGAAUAAUGCCUAGGACUAUACUAUAUAGUCUCGACUUUGAAUCUGAAUAAUGAAACUGUUUGUUAUCCUACGUGUUGUUUUCGUUCAUAAUUCAUAUGCUCACAAUGAAAUACAGUCUGCUAUUUUUGUUUACAUUAAAUUAUACUUUACCUAGCAAUAUGGUAAACAGGCUCACUUAGCAGAGGCUGGCUUGUUCGCUUAUUCGCCGCCCUAGGAAUGCGAGCUCCUUGCCGAAAUGAAAUUCUAGUAGCACUGGUUACUAUCGGGUCCUGCAUGUUCGUCAUUUGUGCAAGUAAACACAAUGCAUACGAGUACUCUACUGAAUUGAACUUUUUUGUAUUGUUUUCAUUGGACCAUCCACUGUAUAGUAACAGAGUAUUUAUUGCACACAGACUAUUUUAUUCUUUCAACCCAUAGUUCAUCCACCCACACUUUUAGUCUGAUUCUAAAAUUUGUAACACUUUUAAAUUUUGAACUUGUUCUGAACAAGUAAAAUUCCAAAUUUGACACCAUAAUGAAACUUAUGUCAAAUGUGAGAUCAUAUGAAAUGAAACUGAAGUGAACCAAUAAUAAAAAAUGCAAAAAUAAUUUAAUAAACCAUAAUAAAACUUAUAUCAAAUUUGAGAUGAAACAUAGACGAAUUGUGGAUUGAAACAAUAACGAAAACAAGCUAAGGGGAAUCUAUGAAUAAAUAAUGAGAACAUGUAAAAUUACGAUGACACGGAAAUGAUAUCGUAUGGAAAAUAUGCUAAGAGAACACUUUCAUUGGCCAGCCCAACCAUGAAAGGUAAUUUAACAAAAUGAUAUGAAACUUAUUUGAAAGCUCGAAAAAUAGAAAUAAAACCAGAAUGAAAAUAAUAAUGAAACAUGUAAAAAUACGAUGAAACACAUAUGUAAAAAUAAGGCCGCGAGAUCGUCGUCCUCUGAGUUGGAAGUUUAUGGUGAAGGUGACGUGGGAUCCAUUGCAGGCGCGCCCGGGGUCUGGUGUGGUUGUGGAACACAUAUGUGGAGAUCAUAGUAGCGGUGAAUGACGAACGUGAGCGCUCCGAAGAAUAUGGUGCAGGAAGGAGAAGUCGGUCUGUUAGUGUAGAACCGGCCUUCUGCGAUGAAGGUGAGGAAGCCGAUGGUUAAGCCGUGAGAUUGCCAGCCGUUAUUGAGGAUCUGAUCUAGAGUCGGUCCCCAGCUGACAUAGCCCCUUCCUGUGCUAACUGAUGGUAUGGGAAUUUGCGAGUAUCCUUUGUAGGGUGGCGAACAUGUCCGGAAGUACAAGAAGGGAGUUCGCCAAGGGGGUUUUCCAGAUUUGCGCCCUCAUGGCGAGGAAAUACCUUACGUCCUGCUAUUUGUUUUCUAUUGAUGAUGGAGAACGUUGAGCGAGGGGUUACAAGGGACAUAAAUAUGGCCAUAGGAGUAUAGUCUACGGGAGUAGAUUGGAAUCGCUACCCCUAUCCUCACCUUAUAUAGGUGACGGGGCUAGGUUUUACAUGGCGCCUACAUGAUCUCACACUGCCAUCAUCUUGGCUUCCACCCAAGAUGGUCUUCUGGCUUCCAGGACCCCCGGGCUGUCUCUUGAUGCCAGACCUCCUUCAAGACUUUUGGGCCCGAAGGCCGGCCCACUAUUGGGUUCAUAUCUAGUGUGCCAUCCACGUUGUAAUGCACCAUCACCAACCCCGAUUUCUGGGGCCUUAAGAGUGAAGCGAUUCCUAAUUCUUCUUGGUAACAUGCCAAAGUGUUGUGUCCCAAAGGCUCGACUGGGUAUUUUCGUCAUUGCGGUUGAUAUGGAGAAGGGGUGGGUCGCAUGGAGGCAGAAAUGGGUAAAUGAAGACAGAAACGAGGGGCUGGCCUGACAGUGGUUCAUGUAGACGACGAGCAAGAGCAUGUGGCCAAUUUUUCCGCAAGCGUUAGAAGCAUAGCCAUAAUUCCAGAAAUUUUAGUGGCGGCAACUGAAUUUGCCCUAUUAUAAGAAGGUAUUGCCCCACAACGGUGCGCACACGGGUGACCUUCCUCUUGGUCCAAUGACAGGUGGGCCAUGGACUCGCCGGGGGCCAUAUUAAUGGGACAUUGUCUAUCGUGCUCUUGUGAUUUCUCUCUCGGGUGAUGGGCGGGCUAGACCCACCUGUCGGUUUUUUCGGACACCGUUGGGCUGGCUCAGGUGUGCCAGGGGGCCAGGUCAGACUGUGGUGGGCCUAGACCCCGGCGGGUGUGCGUCGUUCAGGAUGGCCGGCCACGCGGGUGUGCCAUGCUGUUUGAUCGCGAGAGCUGGCAAAGCACGGGCACCAGGUUGUUCGGCUUGUGUGAGCGAAACAGGCGACGGUGAGUCUAUCGUCCAAGAGACGGGCCGAAUAUACCGACAGGCGGAUCAGGCUUCCUGCUCUUGUGCAAUACGAUGAGAAAGGGUUCUCGCGGGAGCACCGAGGCCGCUCCAUGAGAGUGGCCCUGCACGCACCCGCGGUCCACCCGUCAUGGACCCCCGAGUGCACGUCCACUAGUUGAAAACGGAGUUUUAUCACCGGUUCGUAAGGGCCUUUAGUGCCGGUUCUGCAACCGGCACUAAAGAGUGGGGACUAAAGGUCCCCCUUUAGUACCGGUUUGGCACGAACCGGCGUAAACGUGCCACCACGUGGCACGAGCCAGGCCUGGGUGCGUGUAGGACAUUAGUACCGGUUGGUAACACAACCGGUACUAAAUGUUUGGGUGUGUUUUGGUUUUAAUUUUUAUUUUUCCUUUAGUUUUGUGUUUUCAAUUUAAUUUAGUGAUUGUUUUACAUUAUAAUGAGUUGUUAAAUCAUUAGGUGAAAGUACCGCAGAUUAGUUUCGACUGGAUGCAUGUGGAUCCUAGCUAAGUGAUAAAGUAUAUGCCAUAUCCAUAUUACUUAGAUCUAAGUAAUAUGGAUAUGGCAUAUAGUUGAUCACUUAGCUAGGAUCCAUCCAGUUGAAACUAAUAUGCGGUUUCUUUCAUAAAUGAUAUAAUAACUCAUCAUCAUCAUCAUCAUAUUAAUAUAAAAACUCUUGCAUCAUAUCAUCACCAACAACAGUAUAUACUAGCUAGCAAAGAUAUCAUCGAGUUCAACAUGGUCAUGAUAUUAUAAGCAUUCAUAACACCACAAAAGCAAAUCACUCUUUGAGAUUAAGUUCAUGACGAAGAACACGGACACGCAUGAGAGGACAAGAAGUACUAAGAGCAUGAUAACUAGCUAAAUCACUCCUGCUGCUCUCUCUCAGGUAAAAUAGCAUAGAACAUGUAUAGCUCUCCUGAUUCAUCAUAUUGGAUCAUGCAGAUGAACCUGUCUCCUAAUCGUGGGCUGCGCUUCUGAUUGCUGCCCCCUAGUACUUCUUUGCGAUCGUUAACAAUUUUGCUCCAAUCUUUCACUAUUAAGCAUUCAUCGCUUUCAGAAAUUCUGAAUGCACUCAUGUGCACUGUAGGAUAUCUUGGCCGUAAGCUAACAAUUGACAUGCGACCUUUAGUCUUGAUCCACUGAGGCACAACUAUUAAGCAUUCAUCGCUUUCAGAAAUUCUGAAUGCACUCAUGUGCACUGUAGGAUAUCUUGGCCGUAAGCUAACAAUUGACAUGCGACCUUUAGUCUUGAUCCACUGAGGCACAACUGUCAUCGGGAGUCCCUGUUGAAGAACAUCGUAUAGUAAUUAAUAUACUUAGCAAUGAAAGUUUAGCUUGAAAAAUAAUGUAUGCAAAAGAUGCACUGAGGACUAAUAGUAAAAAUCUUACCAUCUUUCCUAAAUACAUGUGACCGUAGUUCAAUACGAUCACUAUUGGUCGCACGUUUUGAGUACUAAGAUUUUCAAAUUCAGGAAAAUGAUUUCUCUUAACAGCAUCAAGAUCCUCAAGCCAUGAAACAUAAUGACUUAUCUCCUCGCAGUUUAGUUCAGCCCCGGGACAGUGGAUGGUCCUGUCUACCAAGCGCCGAACAUGUUUGCUUGAAUCAAAAUAAGCUGUCAAUAGAAAUUACUUGUCAACUAUUUUUGAAUAAACAAUAUCGAAGACAUAAAUAUGGUUGAGAAACUCACAUAAUGGUAGAACUGGAGGCAUCUGCACAUCGACCCAGAUAUCUCUAUUACCUUCAAUAUCAUCUUCCGGACGAAUAUCAAAGGUGAUAACCAUAUCAGGCUCAAAUGCAUAAGUCUUGCAUAGUGCUUGCCAAGUUUUGCAUUCAAAAUAGGUGUAUGUGUCUGCAUUGUAUAAUUUGACGUUGAAAGUAUAACCAUGCUCGGUCUUCAGGUAAACUCUCUUUGCCUCCAUAGUUUCCAUAGCACUGAAACCUAUCUUAUCCAAGACAAAAAUUCUUGCAUGGCAGGGGAUGCGCUACUACAAUAGUGAAAAUUAAAAAUUAUAAGUUGAAGCAAAUGAAGCAUAAGUCAUGCUUAAUUAUGAAAAAAGACUUGUCGUUGUGACUUACUGUAUCCACUUCGAAGGUCUCAUCCAGCUUGAUGCUGAAGCGCCUAUCAUCAACAAGGAAAUUUCUGUCGCACAGGCCGCGCUGGUCUUCACAGUAUUCGCACUUAAUGAAAUCUUUUUCGUCGUCAGACGACAUUUCCUAUGUUCAUAUAGGUGAAACAUUAAACACUUACUAGUUCUAUUAAUUCAACUAGUUCAACUACUUCUAUUAAUUCAACUAGUUCUAUCAAUUCAACUAGUUCUAUUAAUUCAACUAAUUCAACUAAGCAUUUACUAAAAAUAAACUAGUUCUAUAUAUAUAUAUAUAUUAAUAUUUUAAUUAGAUCAUCAAAUCUCAAAUACCUAAAUUUUCUUACUAAAAAUAAACCAGUUCUAUUAAUUCAACAAAUUCAACUAAGAAUUUACUAAAAAUGAACUAGUUAUAUUAAUUUUCUUACUAAAAUAUAUAAAGUAGCUAUGUAUAGUAAUAUUUUAAUUAGAUCAUCAAAUCUCUUAUACCUAAAUUUUCUUACUAAAAAUAAACNNNNNNNNNNNNNNNNNNNNNNNNNNNNNNNNNNNNNNNNNNNNNNNNNNNNNNNNNNNNNNNNNNNNNNNNNNNNNNNNNNNNNNNNNNNNNNNNNNNNNNNNNNNNNNNNNNNNNNNNNNNNNNNNNNNNNNNNNNNNNNNNNNNNNNNNNNNNNNNNNNNNNNNNNNNNNNNNNNNNNNNNNNNNNNNNNNNNNNNNNNNNNNNNNNNNNNNNNNNNNNNNNNNNNNNNNNNNNNNNNNNNNNNNNNNNNNNNNNNNNNNNNNNNNNNNNNNNNNNNNNNNNNNNNNNNNNNNNNNNNNNNNNNNNNNNNNNNNNNNNNNNNNNNNNNNNNNNNNNNNNNNNNNNNNNNNNNNNNNNNNNNNNNNNNNNNNNNNNNNNNNNNNNNNNNNNNNNNNNNNNNNNNNNNNNNNNNNNNNNNNNNNNNNNNNNNNNNNNNNNNNNNNNNNNNNNNNNNNNNNNNNNNNNNNNNNNNNNNNNNNNNNNNNNNNNNNNNNNNNNNNNNNNNNNNNNCUGGGGCGGCGAUGGGGGCGGCGACGACGGCGGCGACGACGACGGCGACAGGAUGGGCUGGGGCGCGAUAGGGGCGGCGACGGGGGCGAAGAACAAACUGAAACGAACUGAAAAUAUUCGUAAGUGGUGCUUAUAUAGCGGUGGCCAUUAGUACCGGUUUGAUACUAAAGGCCUAUUUUGGCCAGGCCAAGAGGCGGGAAGAGCAGGCCUUUAGUACCGGUUGGUGGCUCCAACCGGUACUAAAGACCCACCUUUAGUACCGGGUUGGGCUACCAACCGGUACUAAAGGGGGUGCGCUGCCACCCGCGGUGUAGAAAGUUUAGUCCCACCUCGCCGGGCGAAGGGCAGCCGCACUGGUUUAUAAACCCAGCCGCGGCUGCUACUUUGAACUCCCUUGUAAAGCAGGCUUCUGGGCCUAACUAUGGCACGCUGCCCUGUGAGCCUGCUGGCCCUUGUGGGCCUGAAUUUCCACGCCCGUGGUCUUGUAGGCCCAUUGGGAAGCGCCCCAAUAAUUUUUUAUAUAGUUUGUUUCUUUUCUUCUUUAUUUAUUUUCUUCUAUUUAUUUCUGAGUAGUUUUUUAUAUAGUUUUUUCUUUUCUGCUUUUUUUUAUUUUCUUCUAUUUAUUUCGGAUUAGUUUUUUAUAUAUUUUUUUCUUUUCCCCAAAUCGGUAAAUGACUGAAAAAUAGCAAAUGUUGUCAGAAAGUGUUGAAAAUUGAUGACGUCGCUUUGAAUGGUGUGUAUGGAACGCAAAAAAGUCUGGAGUUGUAAUAAGUUUAAAAAAAUGAAGUGCCCAUGUAACAGAUGAGUUCUCGUCAGAAACCCUGAUACUACAAAAAAGAUAGUCCAGUUUGUACACGAAGUGCGUCCAGUUUUUGCCAUAACCCUCUCUACUCUUUUGCACAUGCUAUGUGGGUGAAAUGAUGAUACCAUGCCAAGUUUUGACAUUUUCAGAGUUUAUUUUGUAGUGAUUUUCAAUUUCACGGUCAUUUAACUCUCUAAACAAAUCGGUAAAUGACUGAAAAAUAGCAAAUGAUGUCAGAAAGUGUUGAAAAUUGAUGACGUCGCUUUGAAUGGUGCGUACGGAACGCAAAAAAGUCUGGAGUUGUAAUAAGUUUAAAAAAAUGAAGUGCCAGUGUAACAGAUGAGUUCUCGUCCGAAACCCUGAUACUCCGAAAGAGAUUGUCCAGUUUGUACACGAAGUGCGUCCAGUUUUUGCCGUAAUCCUCUCUACUCUUUUGCACAUGCUGUGUGGGUGAAAUGAUGAUACCAUGCCAAGUUUCGACAUUUUCAGAGUUCAUUUUGUAGUGAUUUUCAAUUUCACGGUCAUUUAGCUCUCUAAACAAAUCGGUAAAUGACUACAAAAGUGCAAAUAAUGUCAGAAAGUUUUGAAAAAUGAUGACGUCGCUUUGAAUGGUGUGUACGGAACGCAAAAAAGUCUGGAGUUGUAAUAAGUCUGAAAAAUCGAAGUGCCAAUGUAACAGAUGAGUUCUCGUCAGAAACCCUUAUACUUCGAAAGAGAUUGUCCAGUUUGUACACGAAGUGCGUCCAGUUUUUGCCGUAACCCUCUCUACUCUUUUGCACAAGCUAUGUGGGUGAAAUAAUGAUACCACACCAAGUUUCGACAUUUUCAGAGUUGAUUUUGUAGUGAUUUUCAAUUUCACGGUCAUUUAGCUCUCUAAACAAAUCGAUAAAUGACUGAAAAAUAGUAAAUGAUGUUAGAAAGUGUUGAAAAUUGAUGACGUCGCUUUGAAUGGUGCGUACGGAACGCAAAAAAAGUCUGUUGUUGUAAUAAGUUUAAAAAAAUGAAGUGCCAGUGUAACAGAUGAGUUCUCGUUCGAAACCCUGAUACUCCGAAAGAGAUUGUCCAGUUUGUACACGAAGUGCGUCCAGUUUUUGCCGUAACCCUCUCUAAUCUUUUGCACAUGCUAUGUGGGUGAAAUGAUGAUACUAUGCCAAGUUUCGACAUUUUCAGAGUUCAUUUUGUAGUGAUUUUCAAUUUCACGGUCAUUUAGCUCUCUAAACAAAUCGGUAGAUGACUAAAAAAUAGCAAAUGAUGUCAGAAAGUUUUGAAAAUUGAUGACGUCGCUUUGUAUGGCGUGUACGGAACGCAAAAAAUUCUGGAGUUGUAAUAAGUUUAAAAAAAUGAAGUACCCAUGUAACAGAUGAGUUCUCGUCAGAAACCCUGAUACUCCAAAAGAGAUUGUCCAGUUUGUACACGAAGUGCGUCCAGUUUUUGCCGUAACCCUCUCUACUCUUUUGCACAUGCUGUGUGGGUGAAAUGAUGAUACCAUGCCAAGUUUCGACAUUUUCAGAGUUCAUUUUGUAGUGAUUUUCAAUUUCACGGUCAUUUAGCUCUCUAAACAAAUCGGUAAAUGACUAAAAAAUAGCAAAUGAUGUCAGAAAGUGUUGAAAAUUGAUGACGUCGCUUUGAAUGGUGCGUACGGAACGCAAAAAAAGUCUNNNNNNNNNNNNNNNNNNNNNNNNNNNNNNNNNNNNNNNNNNNNNNNNNNNNNNNNNNNNNNNNNNNNNNNNNNNNNNNNNNNNNNNNNNNNNNNNNNNNNNNNNNNNNNNNNNNNNNNNNNNNNNNNNNNNNNNNNNNNNNNNNNNNNNNNNNNNNNNNNNNNNNNNNNNNNNNNNNNNNNNNNNNNNNNNNNNNNNNNNNNNNNNNNNNNNNNNNNNNNNNNNNNNNNNNNNNNNNNNNNNNNNNNNNNNNNNNNNNNNNNNNNNNNNNNNNNNNNNNNNNNNNNNNNNNNNNNNNNNNNNNNNNNNNNNNNNNGACUAAAAAUAGCAAAUGAUGUCAGGAAGUGUUGAAAAUUGAUGACGUCACUUUGAAUGGUGCGUACGGAACGCAAAAAAAGUCUGGAGUUGUAAUAAGUUUAGAAAAAUGAAGUGCCAAUGUAACAGAUGAGUUCUCGUCAGAAACGGUGAUACUCCGAAAGAGAUUGUCCAGUUUGUACACGAAGUGCGUCCAGUUUUUGCCGUAAUCAUCUCUAUUCUUGUGCACAUGCUGUGUGGGUGAAAUGAUGAUACCAUGCCAAGUUUUGACAUUUUCAGAGUUCAUUUUGUAGUGAUUUUCAAUUUCACGGUCAUUUAGCUCUCUAAACAAAUCGGUAAAUGACUACAAAAGUGCAAAUAAUGUCAGAAAGUUUUGAAAAAUGAUGACGUCGCUUUGAAUGGUGUGUACGGAACGCAAAAAAGUCUGGAGUUGUAAUAAGUCUGAAAAAAUGAAGUGCCAAUGUAACAGAUGAGUUCUCGUCAGAAACCCUUAUACUUCGAAAGAGAUUGUCCAGUUUGUACACGAAGUGCGUCCAGUUUUUGCCGUAACCCUCUCUACUCUUUUGCACAUGCUAUGUGGGUGAAAUGAUGAUAUCACGCCAAGUUUCGACAUUUUCAAAGUUGAUUUUGUAGUGAUUUUCAAUUUCACGGUCAUUUAGCUCUCUAAACAAAUCGAUAAAUGACUGAAAAAUAGUAAAUGAUGUCAGAAAGUGUUGAAAAUUGAUGACGUCGCUUUGAAUGGUGCGUACGGAACGCAAAAAAAGUCUGUUGUUGUAAUAAGUUUAAAAAAAUGAGUUGCCAGUGUGACAGAUGAGUUCUCGUUCGAAACCCUGAUACUCCGAAAGAGAUUGUCCAGUUUGUACACGAAGUGCGUUCAGUUUUUGCCGUUACUCUCUCUACUCUUUUGCACAUGCUAUGUGGGUGAAAUGAUGAUACUAUGCCAAGUUUCGACAUUUUCAGAGUUCAUUUUGUUGUGAUUUUCAAUUGCACGGUCAUUUAGCUCUCUAAACAAAUCGGUAGAUGACUAAAAAAUAGCAAAUGAUGUCAAAAAGUUUUCAAAAUUGAUGACGUCGCUUUGUAUGGUGUGUACGGAACUCAAAAAAUCUGGAGUUGUAAUAAGUUUAAAAAAAUGAAGUGCCCAUGUAACAGAUGAGUUCUUGUCAGAAACCCUGAUACUUCGAAAGAGAUUGUCCAGUUUGUACACGAAGUGCGUCCAGUUUUUGCCGUAACCCUCUCUACUCUUUUGCACAUGCUGUGUGGGUGAAAUGAUGAUACUAUGCCAAGUUUCGACAUUUUCAGAGUUCAGUUUGUAGUGAUUUUCAAUUUCACGGUCAUUUAGCUCUCUAAACAAAUCGGUAAAUGACUGAAAGAUAGCAAAUGAUGUCAGAAAGUGUUGAAAAUUGAUGGCGUCGAUUUGAAGGGUGCGUACGGAACGCAAAAAAAGUCUGGAGUUGUAAUAAGUUUAAAAAAAUGAAAUGCCAGUGUAACAGAUGAGUUCUCGUCCGAAACCCUGAUACUCCGAAAGAGAUUGUCCAGUUUGUACACGAAGUGCGUCCAGUUUUUGCCGUAACCCUCUCUACUCUUUUGCACAUGCUAUGUGGGUGAAAUGAGGAUACCAUGCCAAGUUUCGACAUUUUUAGAGUUCAUUUUGUAGUGAUUUUCAAUUUCACGGUCAUUUAGCUCUCUAAACAAAUCGGUAAAUGACUAAAAAAUAGCAAAUGAUGUCAGAAAGUUUUGAAAAUUGAUGACGUCGCUUUGAAUGGUGUGUACGGAACUCAAAAAAGUCUGGAGUUAUAAUAAGUUUUAAAAAAUAAAGUGCCCAUGUAACAGAUGAGUUCUCGUCAGAAACCCUGAUACUUCGAAAGAGAUUGUCCAGUUUGUACAGGAAGUGAGUCCAGUUUUUGCCGUAACACAAGAAGUCCGGAGUUGUUAUAAGUUAUUAAAGAUAAAAAAGAGGCACAAUGCUCGUUAAUUAGCUUCAAGCCUUUCGGAAUAGUGCAAACUGCACUGCACAUAGCUCCGUGCAGUCUACACUAUUCCUCAAGGCUUAAAGCUAAGCAACGUGUAGAUGAGCAUUUCACGGUCAUUUAGCUCUCUAAGCUAAUCUAGUAGCCAUGUUAAGUCGAUAAUGACGUGGAAUUGUUAUAUGACAUGCAAAUACCUUCUGAGUUAAUGGCACUAGUCAUCAACCCGUGCAACUGCAUGGGCUAGUUUUUUAAACGGUUCAUAGUUACAAUACUUUUCAUGACCACUUGUUUCUUUGCAUCCAGCAAGAAUAUAAAUUUGUUGUGUGUGAACCAUUAAAUGAACAAUUAAUAUGAAAAUAGAAAACUUAUAUCCUGAAAGUUUACAAUCUUCAUAAAAUAUUUAUAUUUUAUUUUAAGACAAACGGGAAAUUAAAAAUCCUACUUAUAGAGAUCCUGAAACAUAAUUCAAAUGUCGCAUAAAUUACGUAAUUUUGAAUGAUAAGUACUAAAAAUGUAAUAAUUUGUUUAGUUAAUAUUAAUCCUUUUUUUAUUUGGGAGUCUACUUAAUCAUGGGGUAUUUUGCAUAAUGCUUAGGCUUGUCAAAUGAAAUAAGCAUUUCAUAACAACAGUGUACCUCCCUACAGUUUAAUAACAAACUUACUCUACAAACACCGAAAACCGAACCAAAGACUGAAGAAGCAAUCAUAAGUGUCAUACUUCUUAAAUUCUCCUUUUUUUUCCCGGCACCACCCAUGGAGUAGUCUUUCCACCGUGUUUGACUCUCGUUGUGGUAGCAAAUGAUGGGUCCAAGUUUUCGCAUAGUAUUGUCCGUUUGUUUUAUCAUGAUAGAGUACUCCAUUAGUUGGCACCGCUCUUAUAUUUGUGUGUGAUCUUUUAGCAGUUCAACAUUAUAGUUCUUCCACCCAUAUGUUCGCAAUGUUAAAUCUAUGGAGAAAAAGAUUCAAAUCUUCACUAUUGUACCACAAAAGCAAGUCACAUGAAUAGCUCGCAAUUAUUUAACUACUGGUGGUUGGUGCCAGGUAUAUUAGCGUUAGGAAAGUAAAUGUACAUACUGAACAUUUGACUGUGGAAGAAAAUGAAUUUUCUUAUUUACUCUUAUUGAAUUCUAAAUAUAUUUUGGAUAUUUGUUUUCAGUAAUACACCUAAUUUUGGAAAAUCUAUUUCAUAGCCUUGUAUUUUUGAAAUAUUUUACAAAACAUGACACAAAUUGUUGUGUUUUUUCACAUACAUAUUUAUAACAUUAAUACACUCUUUAUAUGUAAUGUGAUAUUUAUUAUAUAAUUUUUUAAUCAUACAUAACUAAAUUCUUAUUAUUUUCAAAUCACAAAUUUUAAAUGAUAUGAUAACUUACAUUUUAAAAGCUCUAUUUCGGGACAUUAUAACUAAAAACUAUCUGAGCGAAUCGGGCACCAUAAUGUAUUUGGUGUCUACACUUUGUCGCAUACAUAGCCUUUUUUAUUUUUAAUGUAAUUGCUAAAAUAUGUAAUUAUGUAGAACUUAAUAUUACAUUCUAUUACACAGAUUGGACUUAUAUAGGUUGGAAAAGAAUUAAAUCUAUGCUGUCAAACCUACCGAAUAGCAUUCCUCCGGCACAUUGUAUAUCUGGCAUUUAUUAGUAAUGUGUCUAAAUCAGUUCGGGAUAAAUUCACUCUACAUCGUCAUAAUGGCUUGUUGUUAAAAUUUGGCAUCCUGACGCAUUACUUGGAAUUUUUAUAAACUCAGUGUAAACAGUUAUGUUAUCUUUUUAAACAUAAGUUAUUUAGUUCAAUUCGGAGUACUAUAUAGUAAUUUUCAACAGUAAAUCUAGCCUAUUUCAACUCGGUCAUUAUAAACAAUAAAUCUAGCCUGUUUCAACUCGGCCAUUAUAUUUAACUUAUUUAAGACAUAAGGUAAUCUAACUUUUGAACAAUCUUUAGAAAUCUACAUAUGUAGAGGUCAAGUAGGACAUACAUAUGUGAAAUUCCUUAAAAUAAUUUGAUAAUUGUUAUAUUAAAGAAAAUAAUAUUAUAAUUUAUUAUCUGUACUUACUAUAAUUGCAAUACUUUUUGAUAGCAUGUUCCCGUUGCAUAGUGUCGCUUACUGCACAAUAUCUUAAUUUGUUAUGUGUCUCGGAUAGAAAAAUAUUGUAUUUCCGCGUAUGUAUAUGCAUGUCUAUAUAUGUUUCACACACAUGAAAUUUUUUUAUAUAUUAAAAAAUGAUUUCGCCUGAGUUACAUCCAUGCAUGCUAAUUUCCUGUCUAUCAUUGGAGUUUAGAUCUAUGCAUGUAUGUGCUUGACUAAGCUCUGCACAUAUAUACGUGCCGGUCAAAUCAUAUACAUGAACGUACAUCACUCUAUUCUACUAUUAAGGGAUUCGUUGAGCACCUCGUCAAAGAAACAAACCUUUCAGAUCAACUUGUAAAUUUUCUUUUUACAUAUUUGCAUUUUUUUAGCAUAUUUGCAUUUCUUUCCUAAAAUAUUGCAAUAUUUGCAAAUAUCUGAAUCAUAUUCUUUUGAUUGACAAUAACACAAUGGCUUACCAGCAGAUCAAAACAGAUAUCUAGCUAGUGCGAAGGUUGUGCCACCUCUUGAUUGUUUCCUCCAUGAGCAAGCAAGCUUCUGGUAACGGUAACAGUCAUGGCGACGGAACAUGAUGUGCCGGCGAGCCGCAGACAUUAGAAAGAUCUGAAAAGAAGCAGAUAGGCAUGAUGCAUAAAUCUGGAAAGGAAGAAGAAUAUGCAUAACUCAAAAGCAUUGAAGCCGUCGGUUUUUGCAUUGCUCUACGAUCAGUUAAUGUACGCAUGCAUCGUAUAUGUACGCAUCCAGCCGCCGGAAUUUACUUCUCCUGCCUUCGUUUGUCAAGGGCAAAAAUACUGGCCAGCAGCACAAAUUGAAGACCAGCUUUCGGCACCUCCAUAACGCUCGUAGAAAAGUUCUCAAUGACUUGCAUCGGGAAUAUCUCUCCAGACCAGGGCAUGCGCCAAUUAAUGCUUCUUGCCGUGUCAUGUAUGCCGGGUCAUGUAUCUCUACGGGGACAACAAAAUUCAACUUGUUUAUUUUUGGAUAAUCAUUGGGAGAUAGAGACCCAGCACAGGACGUCUCCCAUGCGUGGGACAACCGAGGUUUUUUUUUUCAAUCUUAGGCUUCAUCAACGGCUAAAAUAUAUUAUAUUUUAAUCUGACGGAUGUAAAUCUUUAACUUAUAAAAUUGACGUGAAUCCUCGUAUGGCUCUUCCAAUUAGUAAAUAUAUAAGAUAGUAGUAGACGUGAAGAAUAAAGGGGCAGUAAUGGGAUAUUAAAUGUGGCAGCUAACUUGCUAGGCCUUCGAGUUAUAUUUUGUUCAGCAUUAAGUGGAAAACAUAUUUUGGCAUCCUUUUCCUCCUCUCGACUCUGACAAAAUGUUAGUGAUAUUCAAAUGGAAAAGCUUAGGCAAGAAAUAUUCCGAGGAAAAAUAAUGCAUCUACUCUAAAAUAUAUUUUCAUCAAUAGUAGUCCACUACUACCAUGAGCCAAUGGCCAUGGUUCUAUUCAAAAUUUUAAUUUAUCAAGAUCAGGCGUAGACUUGAUGUUGACAUCAAUGGCUAUCUAGGCUUAGAGAGAUGAGAGGAGUGAAGAACAAAAAAGGAGCGCCAAUAAUGGUUAUAACCCAUAGGGGAUAAAAUAAGGACGCCGCUAGUUGGCAUGAAUUGAUACAGGUAGACAUCACUUACUCUGCGUCCCUGAAUAGAGGCCAUAAUUUGUGUUGCUCUAGGGACCCAUAAUUUAUGAAUUCUGCUCACAAGAGAUCCGACUGUUGUGGGGAUCAAACUUUAGCACGCUGCCCUUAGAGCAACUCCAACGCGUCAACCCAAAUGGACGGCGAUUUUGUUAUAUUUUCGUCUGUUUGUGUCGACCGUCCACUCGGUGUCCGCCUAAUUUUCUUUUUGGGUCAGCAGUGCGCCCAAUGCCAGCGACUCAUUUCAUGUCCGUGCACAAAUUUUAAAAAGGCCCGCGGCUGUAGAUCAUGGCAGCGGCCAAGCCGUCACCCAAAGUUCAUGCCGGCACCAUGCCAGCAGCCGACAUACAAUGCCAGCUCCAAAAAAGCACCACACAGUUUGUGUUGGCGCACUUGCCAGCGACUGGCAUAGAUGCCAGCAAACAAAAAAGGGGCGGGAGUUCGACCACGCCAUCGCGACCGUAGUCAUGCCAACACACUUUUCGGCAUGCAAAAAAGGAUGGCGCUUUCCGCCAUAAAUCACUCGUCGUCGAACUUGAGCAUGUCGGCUUGCAUCUUGUCGAACCACGACCUCUUCCUCGGCGACAUGGUGUUGAGGUCCACCUUCAUGAUCUCCACACCCGUCAUCAUGCUAGCGAGAACCACUUCUUUCGCCUUGGUCUUGACAUUUGCGGCAUCGAUAUCUAGCAUCUUGGCUUGCACUGGUGCAGAACCGGGCUUUAGCACCAGUUCGUAAGGCCCUUUAGUGGCGGUUCUUGAACCGGUACUAAGGGGGGGGGGGCUUUAGGGAUUUUGGUUUUAUUAUUUAUUUUUCCUUUAAUUUUGUAUUUCCAUUUAUUUUAUUUUUCAUUUGCUGGUAUUUUACGAACUACAUAUUGUACACGUUAUGCAUAUAUAUAAAUAUAAUUUCUCGUAGAACCGAUCAUAUANNNNNNNNNNNNNNNNNNNNNNNNNNNNNNNNNNNNNNNNNNNNNNNNNNNNNNNNNNNNNNNNNNNNNNNNNNNNNNNNNNNNNNNNNNNNNNNNNNNNNNNNNNNNNNNNNNNNNNNNNNNNNNNNNNNNNNNNNNNNNNNNNNNNNNNNNNNNNNNNNNNNNAGCUAAUCAUUGAUAUAUACUACAUACUAAACGUACAUACUCUCUAUUUUGACGGAUACUACAUACAACAUACAAAAUGCAAGUGGUGGUAAUUACCACCGCUUGGAGGAAGCAUUUGAGGCACCACCAUUUGAAGCACCGCCAUUCACACAUAGAGCAGAAAAGAGUACCGGUUGGAGCGACCAACCGGUUUAAAGGGGUGUGCUGGCCCAGGUGCGAUGCACAAAGUUUAGUCCCACCUUGCUGAGCGAAGGGCGGCCGCACUGGUAUAUAAACCCAGCCGCGGCUGCUCCUUUGAGCUCCUCCCUAACGCAGGCCUUCUGGGCCUACUUGUGUUGCGCUGCCCUGUUGGGCCUACUAGCCUUGCGGGCCUACCUCCUGGCCCGACUACAGGUUGGGUUUCUAGUCGCAUGCAGGCCGCUGUGGCCCAGUAGGCGGGCUUUUAAAAAAAUAUUGUUUGCUUUAUUUAUUUUCUUUUAUUUAUUUCUGAGUUGUUUUUCCUGUAUUUCGAAUUUCUUUGUGAAUAUUUUUGCUUUAGGUACAAAAAAUUACAAAAUUUCUGUUAGUGCCAGUAGUUUUCAAAUUUGAAUAGUUUAAAUUUGUCUCCUUUAUUUAUUUUUAAGUUGUUUUUUGCUGUAUUUAGAAUUUCUUUGUGAAUAUUUUGCUUUAGGUAAAAAAAAUUACAAACUUUAUGUUAGUGCCAAUAGUUUUCAAUUUUGAAUAGUUUAAAUUUGUCUGCUUUAUUUAUUUUCUUUUAUUUAUUUGUGAGUUGUUUUUUGCUGUAUUUAGAAUUUUUUGUGAAUAUUUUUCUUUAGGUACAAAAAAUUACAAAAUUUCUGUNNNNNNNNNNNNNNNNNNNNNNNNNNNNNNNNNNNNNNNNNNNNNNNNNNNNNNNNNNNNNNNNNNNNNNNNNNNNNNNNNNNNNNNNNNNNNNNNNNNNNNNNNNNNNNNNNNNNNNNNNNNNNNNNNNNNNNNNNNNNNNNNNNNNNNNNNNNNNNNNNNNNNNNNNNNNNNNNNNNNNNNNNNNNNNNNNNNNNNNNNNNNNNNNNNNNNNNNNNNNNNNNNNNNNNNNNNNNNNNNNNNNNNNNNNNNNNNNNNNNNNNNNNNNNNNNNNNNNNNNNNNNNUAAGUUGUUUUUUGCUGUAUUUAGAAUUUCUUUGUGAAUAUUUUUGCUUUAGGUACUAAAAAUUACAAACUUUCUGUUAGUGCUAGUAGUUUUCAAAUUUGAAUAGUUUAAAUUUUUCUGCUUUAUUUAUUUUCUUUUAUUUAUUCCUGAGUUGUUUUUUGCUGUAUUUAGAAUUUCUUUGUAACUAUUUUUGCUUUAGGUACAAAAAAUUACAAACUUUAUGUUACUGCCAGUAGUUUUAAAAUUUGAAUAGUUUAAAUUUGUCUGUUUUAUUUAUUUCUGAGUUGUUUUUUGCUGUGUUUAGAAUUUAUUUUUGAAUAUUUUUGCUUUAGGUACAAAAAAUUACAAACUUUCUAUUAGUGCCAGUAGUUGUCAAAUUUGAAUAGUUUAAAUUUGAAUUAUUUGAAAUUUUUGUGAAUAACUAGUUUCGGAAUAACUUUACUUUAAAAAUAGAUUUUUCAGUGAUUCGUUUUUCUUAUGUCUAACAUUAGUGUGUUUUAUCAUUAUAUUCAAUUUGGUAAUACUUAGGUUAUUUAAAAAAUGAAAUGCCAUUGUAACAGAUGAGUUUUCGUCUAAAAACUCUGAUACUUCGAAAGAGAUUGUCCAUUUUGUACACUAAGUGCUUCCAGUUUUUGCCAUAACCCUCUAUACUUUUUUGCACAUGCUAUGUGGGUGAAAUGAUGAUACCAUGCCAACUUUCAACCUUUUCAGAGUUCAUUUGUAGUGCUUUUUAAUUUCAGGGUCAUUUAGCUAAAAAAAUCAUUAAAUGCAUGAAAAAUAGCAAAUGAUGUCCGAAAGUGUUGAAAGUUGAUGACGUGGCUUUGAAUGGUGCAUACUGGACGCACAAAAAGUAUGGAGUUGUAAUGAGUUUCAAAAAUGAAAUUCCUUUGUAACAGAUGAGUUUUCGUCCGAAACCCUGAUACUCCGAAAGAGAUUGUCCAUUUUGUACACGAAGUGCAUCCAGUUUUUUCCAUAACCCUCACUACUUUUUUGCACAUGCUAUGUGGGUGAAAUGAUGAUGCCAUGCCAACUUCCAACCUUUAAGAGUUCAUUUGUAGUGUUUUUCAAUUUCAGGGUCAUUUAGCUAAAAAAUCAAUAAAUGCAUGAGAAAUAGCAAAUGAUGUCAGAAAGGUAUGAAAGUUGAUGACGUGGCUUUGAAUGGUGCAUACUGAAUGCACAAAAAGUUUAGAGUUGUAAUAAAUUUAAAAAAUGAAAUGCCUUUGUAACAGAUGAGUUUUCGUCCGAAGCCCUCAUACUUCAAAAGAGAUUAUCCAUUUUGUGCACGAAGUGCAUCCAGUUUUUGCCGUAACCCUCUCUACUUUUUUGCACAUUAUAUGUGGGUGAAAUGAUGAUACGAUGCCAACUUCCAACCUUUCAGAGUUCAUUUGUAGUGCUUUUCAAUUUCAGGGUCAUUUAGCUAAAAAAAAUCAGGAAAUGCACGAAAAAUAGCAAAUGAUGUCAGAAAAGUUUGAAAGUUGAUGACAUGGCUUUGAAUUGUGCAUACUGAACGCACAAAAAGUCUAGAGUUGUAAUAAGUUUAAAAAAUGAAAUGCCUUUGUAACAGAUGAGUUUUCGUCCGAAACCCUCAUACUUCGAAAGAAAUUGUACAUUUUGUACACGAAGUGCAUCCAGUUUUUGCCGUAACCCUCUCUACUUUUUUGCACAUGCUAUGUGGGUGAAAUGAUGAUGCCAUGCCAACUUUCAACCUUUGUAGAGUUCAUUUGUAGUGCUUUUCAAUUGCAGGGUCAUUUAGCUAAAAAAUCAGUAAAUGCAUGAAAAAUAGCAAAUGAUGUCAGAAAGUGUUGAAAGUUGAUGACGUGGCUUUGAAUGGUGCAUACUGAAUGCACAAAAAGUCUGGAAUUGUAAUAAGUUUAAAAAAAUGAAAUGCCUUUGUAACAGAUGAGUUUUCGUCCGAAACCCUGAUACUCCGAAAGAGAUUGUCCAUUUUGUACACGAAGUGCAUCCAGUUUUUGCCGUAACCCUCCCCUACUUUUUUCCACAUGCUAUGUGGGUGAAAUGAUGAUACGAUGCCAACUUCCAACCUUUUCAGAGUUCAUUUGUAGUGCUUUUCAAUUUCAAGGUCAUUUAGCUAAAAAAUUAGUAAAUGCAUGAAAAAUAGCAAAUGAUAUCAGAAAGGUUUGAAAGUUGAUGACGUGUCUUUGAAUGGUGCAUACCGAAAGUACAAAAAGUCAGGAGUUGUAAUAAGUUUAAAAAAAUGAAAUGCCUUUGUAACAGAUGAGUUUUCGUCUAAAACCCUCAUACUUCGAAAGAGAUUGUCCAUUUUUUUCUACACGAAGUGCAUCCAGUUUUUGCCGUAACCCUCUCAACUUUUUUGCACAUGCGAUGUGGGUGAAAUGCUGAUACCGCCAACUUUUAACCUUUUGAGAGUUCAAUUUUAGUGCUUUUUAAUUUCAGGGUCAUUUAGCUAAAACAAUCAGUAAAUGAGCUAAAAGUAGCAAAUGAAGUCAGAAAAGGGUUGAAAAUUGCUGAUGUGCCUUGGAAUGGUGCAUAUUGAACACACAAAAAGUCUGGAGUUGAAAUAAGUUAUUAAAAAUAAAAUCCUUUUGUAAUAGAUGAGUUUCGUCCGAAACCCUGAUACUUCGAAAGAGAUUGUCCAGUUUGUAGAAGAAGUGCAUCCAAUUUUUGCCGUAACCCUCUCAACUUUUUAGCACAUGCUAUGUGGAUGAAAUGAUGAUAUCAUGCUAAGUUUCAACCAUUUCAGAGUUGAUUUGUAGUGCUUUUCAUUUUCAGGGUCAUUUAGCUAAAAAAAUUCAUUAAAUGCAUAAAAAUAGCAAAUGAAGGCAGAAAAGAGUUGAACAUUGAUGAUGUGACUUUGAAUGGUGCACAAUGAACACACAAAAAGUCCGGAGUUAAAAUAAGUUAUAAAAAUGAAGGAGAGGCGCAAUCCUCACUGGCACAUUGCUUAGCUUCAGGCCUUGACAAACUACACAUAGCUCUGUGCAAUCUACACCAUUUCCUCCAGGCAUGAAGCUAAGCAACGUGCAGGUGAGCAUUGCGCCUCUCCUUCAUCGUUCCUCGUCUCUGCACUCAGGGCUUAUAAACCGCUGAUACGUCUCCAACGUAUCUAUAAUUUUUGAUUGUUCCAUGCUAUUAUAUUAUCAAUCUUGGAUGUUCUAUAAUCAUUUUAUAGUCAUUUUUUGGUACUAACCUAUUGACAUAGUGUCAAGUGCUAGUUGUUGUUUUCUGCAUGUUUUUUACAUUGCAGGAAAUCAAUACCAAACGGCGUCCAAAUUCAAUGAAACUUUACGGGGAUUUUUUAUGCACCAGAAGACACCUAAUGGGCCAAGGCUGCGCCUAGGGGGUGCUCCGAGGAGAGCACAACCCACCAUGGCGCGCCAGGAGGCCCGGGCACGCCCUGGAGGGUUGUGCCCACCUCGGGUGCCCCUCGGGCCGCCUCUUUGCUCUAUAAAUAUCCCAAUAUUCCAGAAACCCUAGGGGAGUCGACGAAAAUCAAUUCAAGCCUCCGCAGAGUCCAGAACCACCAGAUCCAAUCUAGACACCAUCACGGAGGGGUUCACCACUUCCAUUGGUGCCUCUCCGAUGAUGCGUGAUUAGUUCUUUGUAGACCUUCGGGUCCGUAGUUAGUAGCUAGAUGGCUUCCUCUCUCUCGCCAAACUCUCAAUACAAUGGUGUCUUGGAGAUCCAUAUGAUGUGACUCUGUUUGCGGUGUGUUUGUUGGGAUCAGAUGAACUUUCAGUUUAUGAUCAGAUCUAUCUUUUUAUAUCCAUGAAAGUUAUUUGAGUUUCUUUGAACUAUUAUAUGCAUGAUUUCUUAUAGCCUCGUAUUUCUUCUCCGAUAUUUGGGUUUUGUUUGGACAAAUUGAUCUAUUUAUCUUGCAAUGGAAAGAGGUGCUUUGUAGUGGGUUCGAUCUUACGGUGCUUGAUCCCAGUGACAGAAGGGGAACCGACACGUAUGUAUCGUUGCUACUAAGGAUAAAACGAUGGGGUCUAUCUCUACAUAGAUAGAUCUUGUCUACAUCAUGUCAUCAUUCUUAUUGCAUUACUCCAUUUCCCCAUGAACUUAAUACACUAGAUGCAUGCUGUAUAGCGGUCGAUGUGUCGAGUAAUAGUAGUAGAUGCAGGUAGGAGUCGGUCUACUAAUCUUGGACGUGAUGGCUAUAUAUUGAUCAUUGCCUGGAUAUCGUCAUGAUUAUUUGGAACUCUAUCAAUUGCCCAACAGUAAUUUGUUUACCCACCGUUUGCUAUUUUGCUCGAGAGAAGCCACUAGUGAAACCUACGGCCCCCGGGUCUCUUUCUCACAUUAUUUGCCUUCGCGAUCUAUUUUAUUUGCCUUUUGUUUGCAGAUCUAUUAAACCAAAAAUACAAAAAUACCUUGCUGCGUUUUACUCUUAUUUAUUUUAUUUGGUGUUCGAUCUAUCAAUCUACUACAAUUAUCUCACGUCUGUUUGCCAAUUUCUGGCGCCGCUACCCGAAAGGGAUUGACAACCCCUUUAACACGCCAGGUUGCGAGGAUUUGUUAUCUGUGUGCAGGGGCUAUUUACAUUCUAUUGCUAGGUUCUCCUACUAGUUCGAUAACCUUGGUUUCAUAUCUGAGGGAAAUACCUACCGCUGCUAUGCUGCAUCAUCCCUUUCUCUUUGGGGAAAUACCGACGUAGCUUCAAGCCGCAUCAAAAGGAAUUUCUGGCGCCGUUGCCGGGGAGGAUCUUCAACAUAUACGAGGUUCCGAAUCACAAAUCUCAUCUCCUUGCAAUUUACAUUAUUUGCCAUUUGCCUCUCAUUUUCCUCUCCCCCACUUCACAAAAAUUUGCCAUUUUAUUCGUCCUCUUUUUCGUUCGCCUUUUUCUCGUUUGAUCUUUUGUUUGCUUGUGUUGCCAUGUGCCUUCUAUAUGCUUGCGUCUUCGCUUGCUAAAAAUAUAUUGAUAUGGAUCCUCAUCCACUUGCUAAUCUUUUUAAAAGAUCCAAUCAUGUUGAACCAGUUGCUAGUGAGUUGAGUGCACUAGAUUAUCUUUAUGAAGUUUUUCUUGAGAUUCGUGAAUCUAAAAAUUGCGAUGAAGAAAUUUAUGAAGUGAUUCAUGAUAGCUCCUUGAAUGAAAAGCAUGAUUGCAAUGAUUUUACUAUAAAUCCUAUUAAUGUCAAUUGUGCUAAUAAUAUGCAAAACCCCAAACUUUGGGAUGCUAAUUUUGCUAUGUCCACUACUUGUUGCAAUGAUCAUGAUUGGGGUGAUUCUUCUUAUGAGCUUGAAAUUUUAUUUAAACCUCAUGAUGAAUAUGAUAUUGAUAAUAAUGUUUGCAAUAAUAUUGAAAGUGGGUAUGGAAGAGCGUCAACUUUAGGUAAAAAUAAUCCCACAUAUUUGGAGAGUGUUCAAUCUUAUGAUUUUUUUUAUGAAAGUGGGUUCGGAGGGGUCAUGACUUUAGUUGAUGUUAAUCCCACUAUCUUGGAAGAUUAUAAGACUUGUAUGCAUGUGGAUCAUGAAAAGAAAGUUUUAUAUGAUUGCUAUAUUGUUGAAUUUGAGUAUUAUCCUACAUGUAAUUAUUAUGAGAAAGGAAAAUAUGGUUGUAGAAAUUUUUAUGUUACUAAAUUACCUCUCGUUAUGUUGAGAUCGUCAAUGUUUUAUUCCUCUUCUUUGCAUAUGUUAGAUGUUUCUUGUCUUGAUAUUUUGUUUUCUUAUAAAAUUCCUAUGCAUAGGAAGUAUGUUAGACUUAAAUGUGGUUGUCAUAUGUUUCAUGAUGCUCUCUUUGUGUUUCAAUUAUUAUCUCUCAUGUGAGCAUCAUUGAAAUUUUAUGCCUAGCUAGGGGCAUGAAACUAUAGCGCUUGUUGGGAGGCAACCCAAUGAAUAAAAUUUGUUUUUACCUUUUGCUUUCUGUUCUUGAAUGUUUGCACAAUUAUGCUAAUGUUAUGAUUGUGUGUUUUGUGUUUUAAUUAGUGUUUGUACCAAGUAGAACCUAUAGGAUCUUCUUGGGUGAUAGUUGUUUGAUCUUGCUGAAAAAACAGAAACUUUUGCGCUCAUGAAAACAAUUCUUAUUUUUUACCAGAGCGUGAUAAAAUGCCAAUUAUUUUUGCAGAAGAUUAAUAUACAAAUUUCUUAGGUCUUCCUAUUGUUUUAGAAUUUUUGGAGUUUCAGAAGUAUUCGAACAAUUCAGAUUGCAACACAUUGUUCUGUUUUUGACAGAUUUUGUUUUCUUUGCGUUGUGUGCUUGUUUUGAUGGCUCCAUGGUUUUCUUUGUUGAGUUUUUGCCAUAGAAAAGUUGGAAUAUAUUAGAUAUAAUGCAAGAAUAAAAUAUGAAUAGGUUGCAACAGUACUUAUAGUAGUGAUUUAUUUUCUUAUACUAAUGGAUCUCACGAAGGUUUUGUUGAGUUUUGUGUGAUUGAAGUCUUCAAGUUUUGGGUUAUCUUACGAUGGAUGAAGGAAUAAGGAGUAAGCAAAGCCUAAGCUUGGAGAUGCCCCGGCAACCCAAGCUAUUAUCCAAAAGAUAGCAAGCAAGUAAGCUUGGGGAUGCCCCGAGUGGCAUCCCCUCUUUCUUCUAACGACCAUCGAUAUUUUACUCGAAGCUAUAUUUUUAUUCGUCACAUACUAUGUGUUUUGCUUGGAGCGUCUUGUAUGAUAUGAGUCUUUGCUUGUUUUAUUUUGUGUUUUAAGUCUUGAUUCCUUGCGGGACACACCUAUUUGAGAGAGCCAAAAUUAUGCAUGACUUAUUAGAAUUGCUCUCUAUGCUUCACUUAAAUUUUUUAUGAGCCAUGGACUUGCUCUAGUGCUUCACUUAUAUCUUUUUGAGCACGGUGUGCUUAGUUAUUUUUUAAGAAAUGCUCUCUUGCUUCACUUAGAUUUGUUUUAGAGGUAGUAAAUUUUUCAGGAAAUUCUCUCUUUCUUCACUUAAAUUAAUUUGAAAGAAAGAAAUAUUAUGCUCAUGAUCUUCACUUAUAUUUGUUUGAGCUUAUCAAAAGCAACAUAUGAAAAUUAGUUCCAAAGUGAUAGAUAUCCAAGAAGGAUAUAAUAAAAACUUUCAUGAAGAUCAUUGGACAAAAUAAACUUGAUUCUUAGUAAUAGUUUUAAGAUAUGAUGAUGUGAUAUGUGAGUCAUGUUGAUGAGUAAUUAUGCUUUACUAAGAAUAUUGGUGUUAAGGUUUGUGACUCCCUAUGCAAGCACGAAAGUCAAUAAUUAUGCAAUGAAAUUAUAUCCUACUUGUGGUGCAUUAUUCGGUGUUAAUUAUGCUUAAUGCUCGCUUAUGAGAUUAUUCGUUUCUUGGUUGGUUGCUUCUCAAUCUUUUGCUAGCCUUCAUUUUGCACUAAGUAUGAUCUCUACUUGUGCAUCCAAAAACCUUUAAACCAGUUUUGCCACAUGACUCCACUAUAUCUACCUAUAUGCGGUAUUCUUUUGCCGUUCUAAGCAAAUUUGUAUGUGCCAUCUCUAAUUUUGAAAAUAAACUUCUCUUUUGUGUGUUCGUACCGCUCGCAGAGCUGUGAGGGGUGGCUAAUAUUUUCCAUGCUAGAUGUGUUAUUCUCACGAUGAGUGUUUAUUCACUUGUCAUUGCACGAGAGUAAGGCAAAGGUAUUAGGGAUGCCCAGUCCCGAAAUGAAAAAUGAAUUUACUUUAUGUUGUCAAAUAAUAAAUUCCUUGGAAAGUGUUGGUACGGAGGGAAACCGUGGAUACGGCUAGCCAAGGAAAGUGAAAGUAUGGUUGAAAAAAGAAUAAACUUUAUUUUCUGUUUGGGAACCGCCUAUGAUAUAUCUAGCAUGGAAAGUGUUGGGAACUCUAAGUCGUUUUCGUUGGUGGGAAGGACACACCUCCUGAAAUGUUCUUAUCUCUAAGUUUUUUCGCUUUGAGCUUUGGCACGUCUACAAAUCCCUACUUCCCUCUGUGAAGGGCCUUUGUUUUACUUUAUGCAAUUUUUAUUAUUGAAUUUGAAUCUCCUUAUAAAAGCACCAACUCGGAGGCACUAUGAUCUUACUUGAGCAUUGGGUGUAGCUAAUAUGCAAGUGUGUUUCAUGAAUGGAUCAAUGAUUGAGCAUGAUGGGCUAGGGAUAACUUAUUUUAGCGUUGAUAUUUUGAAAGACAUGGUUGCUUGUUGGUAUGCUUGAGUAUUUAAGUUAUCAUAUCAAAACUAGACUAUUGCUUUGAACAAUAUAAAAGUCCAAAUGUCCAUGCUAUAAAGAAAACAAUAUGAUAUGACAUGUUACGCAGUAUUCCACAUCAAAAAUUCCGUUUUUAUCACUUACCUACUCGAGGACGAGUAGGAGUUAAGCUUGGGGAUGCUGAUACGUCUCCAACGUAUCUAUAAUUUUUUAUUGUUCCAUGCUGUUAUAUUAUCAAUCUUUGAUGUUUUAUAGUCAUUUUAAAUAAUUUUUUGGUACUAACCUAUUGACAUAGUGCCAAGUGCCAGUUGUUGUUUUCUGUAUUUUUUUACAUCGUAGGAAAUCAAUAUCAGACGGAGUCCAAAUGCAAUGAAACUUUACGGAGAUUUUUUUAUUGACCAGAAGACACCUAAUGGGCCAAGGUUGCGCCUGGGGGCGCUCCGAGGAGAGCACAACCCACCAGGGCGCGCCAGGAGGCCCAGGCGCGCCCUAGUGGCUUGUGCCCACCUCGGGUGCCACCCGGACCACCUCUUUGCUCUAUAAAUACCCCAAUAUUCCAGAAACCCUAGGGGAGUCGACGAAAAUCAAUUCCAGCCGCCGCAGAGUCCAGAACCACCAGAUCCAAUCUAGACACUAUCACGGAGGGGUUCACCACUUUCAUUGGUGCCUCUCCGAUAAUGCGUGAGUAGUCCUUUGUAGACCUUCGGGUCCGUAGUUAGUAGCUAGAUGGCUUCCUCCCUCUCGCUAAAUUCUCAAUACAAUGGUCUCUUGGAGAUCCAUAUGAUGUAACUCUUUUUGCGGUGUGUUUGUUGGGAUCAGAUGAACUUUAGUUUAUGAUCAGAUCUAUCUUUUUAUAUCCAUGAAAGUUACUUGAGUUUUUUUGAUCUCUUGUAUGCAUGAUUUGUUAUAGCCUCGUAUUUCUUCUCCGAUAUUUGGGUUUUGUUUGGCCAACUUGAUCUAUUUAUCUUGCAUUGGGAAGAGGUGCUUUGUAGUGGGUUCGAUCUUAUGGUGCUUGAUCCCAGUGAUAGAAGGGGAACCGACACGUAUGUAUCGUUGCUACUAAGGAUAAAAUGAUGGGGUCUAUCUCUACAUAGAUAGAUCUUGUCUACAUCAUGUCAUCGUUCUUAUUGCAUUACUCCCUUUCCCCAUGAACUUAAUACACUAGAUGCAUGCUGGAUAGCGGUCGAUGUGUGGAGUAAUAGUAGUACAUGCAGGCAGGAGUCGGUCUACUAAUCUUGGAUGUGAUGCCUAUAUAUUGAUCAUUGCCUGGAUAUCGUCAUGUUUAUUUGUAGUUCUAUCAAUUGCCCAACAGUAAUUUGCUUACCCAUCAUUUGCUAUUUUUCUCGAGAAAAGCCACUAGUGAAACCUAUGACCCCCGGGUCUCUUUCUCAUUUUAUUUGCCUUCGCAAUCUAUUUUAUUUGCCUUUCAUUUUCAGAUCUAUUAAACCAAAAAUACAAAAAUACCUUCUUGCGCUUUAUUCUUUUUUUUUUAUUUGGCGUUCGAUCUAUCAAUGUACUACAAUUAUCUCACGUAUGUUUGCCAAUUUCUGGCGCCGUUACCCGAAAGGGAUUGACAACCCCUUUAACAUGUCGGGUUGCGAGGAUUUGUUAUCUGUGUGCAGGGGUUGUUUACGUUGUGUUGCUAGGUUCUCCUACUAGUUCUAUAACCUUGGUUUCAUAUCUGAGGGAAAUACCUACCUCUGCUCUGCCGCAUCAUCCCUUCCUCUUUGGGGAAAUACUGACGUAGCUUCAAGCCGCAUCAACCGCUGCGAGUCCCUCUUGCUAGGCGAGGUGGGACUAAAUUUUAGCCAUUGCCAGGACAAGGCCUUUAGUCUCGGUUGAUGGCUCAAUUAAAAUAUUUUGUUAUGAUCCACUUAUAGAAAGUUAUAAUAUUCUUCAAUAGCAAAAAGAAUCAACUAAAAAUCUCUAGUACCGGUUCGUGGCAUGAACCGGUACUAAAGGUGCUGGUGGGGGGCCCAGCCUGACAACAGCCUGCCACCACCUCUUUAGUACCGGUUCGUGGAACGAACUGGUACUAAAGGUUCGCCACGAACUAGUACUAAUGAGCACCGCCCGCCUAGCUGUUGGAACCGACACUAAUGGUCACAUUAGUGCUGGUUCAGUUACAAACCGGGACUAAUGUGCUUCACAUUAGGCCCUUUUUCUACUAGUGUUGCUUCUCCGCCUCCAUCUCAAGCAUCCUCAUUUGCUUCUCUGCCUCCAUCUCAAGCCUCCUCCUUUAGAUCUUCAUGAAGGCGUUCAUUUGUUCUUCCUUGUCUUGUCGGCGCUUCUCCUCCCUUGAGUCCUUCUUAGUCAUCAUGCCCUCCAUGGUAGCGAUCAAGGCAUUGGACGCCGCAUCCCUCUUGUCCUACUUCUUGGAGUUGGUCUUCCCCCACGGCCGUGGCUUCUCGCCCUCCCCAACCUCCUCCACGACUUUCUCUCCCCCACGCAACAUGAGGGCGGCAUAUUGCACCUUGAACUUCUCCUCGUCUUUGAUGACCCUCCAACAAUGAGAGAGGUUGAAGGACUUACCAUCAUGUUGGACCUUGAAUGCCUCCAAAGCUUGGAAUGCCUACAAAUGAAAUGCAUGCAAGCAUAUUGGCAAAUGGAUAUGAAUAUGGACUUGCAAGAAUAAACGGAAGAGGGGCGCAUGCAUGCAUACCAUAUCUUGCAUGCCGAUGCCGCUCACCGGGCGUGACUUGAUGCUCUCAAAGGUGGCACAAAACUUGUCAUGCUCUUGUUGGAUCACCUUCCAUCGGUUCGAAAUGGACACCCACCCGCGCAUGCUUUAUAUCUGGUACGGCAGAAACUUCUUGCGUUCGUGGAACUCACGAUGGACACGAGUCCAAAAGGUUGAUUCCUUUUGUUCGGCACCGACCAUGGGGUCUUGCCCAAUGUCCCUCCAAAACUCACAAAGGAGCUUGUCCUCGACCGUGGUGUAUGCCUUCGUCCGCCUGCUCUUGUGCUUUGGCUUCAGCCCGGCGGCUUGGCUGGCGAGCCCGUCCUCUUCCUCAAGGCCGUAGUCCUCCGGAAACUCGUGGUCGAACAGGAAGUCGUCUAGGUCCAGGCCGAAGUGAUCUUGCAUGAAGGCGUCCUGCAUGCUAUCUUGAUCAUAGGUCGACGGCGUGAACGGCCCUCAGCCGUCCUGGCUUUGUGUCUCCUCUGAAUCGUAGGCAGCCGCGGCGGCACCACAGGCGGCCGACGUACCACCCUCGAAGAUGAUGCUCACCAUGAAACGGUCGGCCGUCUUGUCUUCGCCGGAUGACGAGGCACCGACUACCGGUGUGGCGUUGAGAUCGAUGGGCGCGGGCGCGGGCAUGGAAUGCGCCACCACGCUCACCUCCAGCGAGCAUUCCCUGAAGAAUUGGGAGGCUUGCAAGUAGACGUGGAAGCCGGGAAUCGAGUAAGACGCCGACGCGCGAGGCGACUCUGGGAGCACCAUCCGAGGAAACGCGGACGAGUCGGAGCUGGCCACGGCCACAGCGGCGUUGACGAGCCCGUGCUGGCCAGGGUUUAGCCCUAGGUAGAUUAGCGCCUCCCUCAUUGCCGCGGCGACGUGGGCGGCGGUGUCCUCCUGCUGCGCGGCGGCGGCCAUGGCGAUGGCAGCGGACGCUGCUUCGUCCCACGCGUCCGCCGCGUGCCUUCGGCCCUUUCGCUUCGGUGACUCCGCGGCCCGCUCCUCGGACGUCAGCUGCUUCUUCUUCUUGGGCACGGUGGCAGUCUUGCGGGAGGCGCGCGGCUUGCCUUUGCCGAAGGGGGCGGCUGUGAUGCUGGACGAGGCAAGGGCGACGAGGCCGCCGACAGUAUCGAGGUCCUCAUCCAUGGCGUGCGGCCGGGAGCGAGCACGGGCGGAAGGUUUUUGAGAAAGUGGACGAAAAUGUUGGAGGCUUUGCCACCAAUUGGCAGGUCAGGGGUAGUUGGCACGCAACGCGCUUCUCCGUCUCGUGUCGCGCGCCAACGCAAAUGAGGCUCAAAAUUGGGCUGAGAAUGGGUCGGCAGGCGAACGAAAAGCGGACACGCGUCCAUUUGGGUCGGCACAUUGUGCCGACUUUUCUGUCCGCACCGACCCAAAUGAACGCGCGCGAACGAAAUGGGUCGUCACGUUGGAGUUGCUCUUACGUGGCACUGUAACAAGAAAUGAGGACCAGUGGAAACCAGCAUAUGCACCUAGAAGAAUCGUAUGGAUCUGCAUAUGUAAUUGAUCUAUAUCAUACGGACCCAUAAAUGAUAGGAAGGUCCUAGCUACCAGGUACCAGCUAUCCUGGUUACUCCAUUUGCUGCCCCUCCAACCUGGGUUCCGGUCAUGUCCUCGGGGUCUGUCGGUGGUUCCGUGUUCUUGUUCUGGACGGACGCUUGUAAGAUCAGGUUUUCGAUCGGGAGCCUUCUGUUGACAUUAUAAAAGUGCGUGUAUUCAAAGGAGAUGUAUGCAUUUCUCCGUGACAAAGCAAAUUAAGUUCUGCUGCUAGCUAUUUUCAAAAAAGAGUCUUGCCCCACCACUUGCGUCGUUUGCAAAGCCCUUAAAUAUACUGAUAUGUUAUACACACACACAUAUACACAUGAGAUUUAAUUUUAAAGAGCACACGGACAUGUUCGUUCUCGUGUUAAUGAAAUCCUAGAAAAUCUCAUUAAUUAACCAUGGGAUCUAUAAUUCCGAGAUCUUUAGCUGUUGGAUGUAUGUAAUGCCUUAAGAUGCAUUAAAACAAAUAUACGUGAGAUUUAAUUUUAAAGGCCUUAAGGUGCAUAAAAAAUACGCAUGAGAUUUAAUUUUAAAUAGCACAAGGACAUGUUCAUUGUCGUGUUAAUGAAAUCCUAGAAAAUCUCAUUAAUUAACCUUCGGAUCUGUAACUCCGAGAUCUUUAGCCAUUGGAUUUACAUAAUGCCUCAACCUGCAUCAAAAAAAAUAUACGCAUGAGAUUUAAUUUUAAAGGCCUUAACCUGCAUAAAAAAAUAUACGCAUGAGAUUUAAUUUUAAAGAGCAGACAGACAUCUUCAUUGUCGUCCGCUGGCUGUAUGAAUUAGAAUAACAUAUAUUUACUUAGUUGGAUUAGAGAGAAGAGAAAAGAGAAGAGAAGUGGGCUCUGGAUUAAAGCAAGUACAAUAAAAUGACGUAGGCGGGCUAUAAAAGAUGUCAUCUUAAAUUUGUGCUUUUUUAGUUAACCUUAAAUUUGUGCUUAGUUGAAGGAGAGAGAAGCGGGCUACAAGUGUGACAAAAGCCUUUUUCAGUAGGCAGGCUACAAACUUACAAUCGACUGUAGCACGAGCUCAAACAACCUUUGUAAGAAGAUAUGGGCCAUAUAUUAAUUCACAGUGUGACUUAAUGUUGACAUGAAUUGAUACAGGUGGACAUAGUUAGAGCAACUCUAGCAGACCCCGCAUCCCGCCCCGACUGUUAAAAUAACCGCCAAAAUGCGGGUCGGGCAGGAAAACCAGCCCGAUCAGACCCCGCAUCCCGCCCCCGCCCGCAAAAAAAUUUAGGGGGCGCGGCAAAAUCCCAACCCCAACCCGGGAAAACGCGGGUUUCCCUCUCGCGGCUGCGGUGCCCUGCAUAUAGGAGGAAGCGGCUGGUGAGGGGACAUUUCAUGCCGCGCUUUCUCCCACCAACCACCUCUCCUCUCCCCCCUCGCGCCGCUGCCGGCCGCCGCCCAAGAUUCUGGCGAAAGCAGCCGGCAGGAGCACGCCGGAAGGCCGCCACGCACACGAGGCCUCCCCUUCCUCCCCCUGCGUCGGCGGGCCACCGGAUUUGCAGAUUUGCAGCACUUCAUCGCGGGUCGCCGGAUUUGGCUUUUUCCGGCCGCCGGUUGCUGUCCCAAGCUAUGGAGUGGUCGGGGAGCCUCUCCCACAGCCCAGGCAAGGGCGCAUUGCCGCAUGCAGGUACGGGUUCGUCCGCCCGCCGCCGCCGAAGGUUUGCGGGCUUGGACUCAUCCGGCCGUCCACCGGGCUCGGCGCUCACGCAGCGUCUUUGUGGCAUGCCGAUGCCGCUCAUAGAGUGUGACGACUGCACGCGGAAAGUGCUGCGGCUCACUUCGGGCACGCCGAAGCACCCUGGGUGGGUGUUCUUCAAAUGCGAAAAUGACGGGGUACGUGCACUUGCGGUAGCUCGUUUCAUAGUUCAUUCUUUAGUUCAACUGCGGUAGCUCACUUCGAGCUUGCUCACUCUUUUGUGUAGGACGAUGGAUGCUCAUUUUGGUUUUGGGAAGGCCAAUACAUUUAUUUGUUGAUAGAAAGAAACUUAAUAGAUGUUAGUGCACUCCUUAGUACAAUCGAAGGCAAUGAUGCGGCUGCAUGUGCAAAUAGAGGGGAAGCAACGUCUACUUCUUUCGAACCAAAGAUGAAGAAAGAAGAAUGCAAAAUCAAGAAUCCACAGAUCAACAACGAAUGCAUGGAGAAGAUAUUAGUCCAACUAGUGGGGGCAGUUAUGGAAGUUGGAAAUCUUCUAAAAUGCAUACUUGUGGUUCUUAUUUUCUUUGGUCUUGCUAUUCUAGCAAAGAUUUGGUGAUGUCUUUUGUAUCCAAUGUUGUUGAUAAAGCAAAGCAAUGCAAUAUGCUAGAUCAAAUUAAGGUGCAAAUUUAAGUUUUGCGGGCCGGGAGAAGUUGCACCAGAUCAGACGCGGCAACCCAACCCGUAAAAAAGCAUAUUCCAGGAAUAUCGUUUUUACGGAUCCAUUAUGCGGGGUCUGCAACUGCGGCCGUCCGCGCCGGCCCGCAAAGCCGUUUUCCCGCGAACUGCAAAAACGUUUAGCGGGUCGGGAGGAUGUGGGGUCUGCUAGAGUUGCUCUUACUCUGCGUCUGUAAAUAAAGGUCAUCAUUUUUAUUGCUCUAGGGACCCAUAAAUGAUAGGGACUGUCCGCUACCAGCUACCAGCUAGUAGCUACCCUGGUGACUACAUUUGCUGCCCCUCAAACAUGGGUUCCCGACAUGUUCUCAGGGUCUGUCGGUGGUUCCAUGUUCUGGCCUUUGGGGUUGGUUUAACUAGUGGUAUGGGGGUUCUUGCAUCGCCCUGUACUCUCGAUCGGGACCCUUUAAUUCUAGGUGACAUACAGUGCGUGUAUUUAAAGCCGAGGCAUGGAUCCUCCGUGCCAAAGAAAAUUAAUUCAGCGGCUACUCGGGGAGAGUUGUGGCAGCAUAUCCGGGAUGCCAGCUUUUUAUUUUGGGUUUUGAUUGUCAAAGUUUUAGAUCUUAAAAAAAACUAAAAUUAAGUGCUGUUUUCAUAUUCGUGUUUCUCGUGACCAGCGCCUUGAAAUAAUAUCCAUUUUGAAUAUAUUUUGACGACUUUGAAAAAUGUUAAGUUUCAAAUGUUGAAACUUAGUAUGAGCAACCAAUAAAAAUCAAUUAUUUUGUACCUACGCCUGACAGAAAAAUGCUUACAGUUAUAUCCCUGAAACUUGCUGAAACUUUGCAUUUUUCAUCAUUGAAACUUAAAACUGUUUAAGGGAUUUUCUUUUUUACUGUGCCCUCAUGUGGGAUUCAACUACUCUUUUCUCUCCGUGAGAUCCACAUAAAAAAAGCACAAAUUUAAGAUGAGUGCCCUGCACUUACAUGCCCCUGCGAAUUUCCGCAGCUACUAGCUAUUUUUGGAAGAAAAAAAUCUUGCCCCGCCACUCCCAUCAUUAGCAGAGCCCUUAAAUAUACUCACAUGUACCAAAUUACGAGUCAGAAUCAAACAUGCGUUGGCAUCAUUACCUACGAACUCUACUAAACAAUGUUCCAACUAUCCUGCGAGUCAAAUCUAAUAACUCUUGUCUUGCACGUUGCAUUGUCCAUUGGCAGAUCUUUUUAAGAAUUUUACGUCAGAUCUAAUUUUAUUUGAACGAAUGAAAGAUAAGCAAGUAGUAGUAAAAUCGACCCAAUUUGCACAGCCGAAAUGUGGACCAGACAAUUUACUCUUUGUUACGGGACUAAGAAAUUCGGACCGGCUAAUNNNNNNNNNNNNNNNNNNNNNNNNNNNNNNNNNNNNNNNNNNNNNNNNNNNNNNNNNNNNNNNNNNNNNNNNNNNNNNNNNNNNNNNNNNNNNNNNNNNNNNNNNNNNNNNNNNNNNNNNNNNNNNNNNNNNNNNNNNNNNNNNNNNNNNNNNNNNNNNNNNNNNNNNNNNNNNNNNNNNNNNNNNNNNNNNNNNNNNNNNNNNNNNNNNNNNNNNNNNNNNNNNNNNNNNNNNNNNNNNNNNNNNNNNNNNNNNNNNNNNNNNNNNNNNNNNNNNNNNNNNNNNNNNNNNNAUGUCUCCCAUUUCUCAAUCCCAUCCCGACGGUGUGUCUACCAUGUUUAGAGGGCGCAUGGGGGAGUUACUCCAUUGGUUCUCGCGGGAUUUGAUCGAUGAUGGUUUUCCGUGGAUUUCCUUGAAUCCAGUUUUUGUUCAUCCUCAUCCGUGCGUUUAAAUAUCCCAACAAGGCGAAGAUUUGGUUGUGCACAGGCAACUGAGGAGGUGACCUACUUCUUUACUGUCUCCUAUGUCCCUUGUUACCCACUGAUCCUAGAUCCACAGCUCGAGACCCCCUACCCUGAGGUCUACCAGUUUUACCACUGACAACCGGCCACAAGGGAGAAAUCCCUUUGAAUUUAGAGAUAAGAUCUUAUCUCUAGAUUUAACCCUUUAAAUUUAGAGAUAUGACCUUAUCUCUAGAUUUUAAAGACAUGGAACUUAGGGACGAUGCGGCCAGCCCAUGUGGGUUGUUGCCCCACCCCUCGGUCUAUGUGGGGACUUUUCGGGUCGUUGGGCCCCAUGGUGGAACCCCGGAACAUUUCCGGUACUCUACCAAAUAUUCCCAAACUUUUCUGGAACCCAUAAAACCACUUUCCUUACAUAACUCUUUACCUCCAGAGCUCCUCGUGAUGUCCCGGAUUCUAUCCAGGACUCUGAACUACCUUCAGACUUACCACUAUGAAUGUCCCAAAACUAUCCAAUAGUGGUAAGUCUGAACGUUAAGUGUGUGACCCUGCGGGUUCGAGAACAUGCAUAAAUGACCGAGACACCUCUCCAAUCAAUAAUCAAUGAACAUCUUUAUCGGUUUGAACCACGAUGUCAAUGAUUCAGUUAAUCCCGUAUACAAUUCCCUUUGUCCAAUGAUUUGUUAUUUGCCCGAGAUUCGAUCGUCAGUAUCGCCAUACCUAGUUCAAUCUCAUUACCGGCAAGCCCCUUUACUCAGUCCUUAAUACAAGAUCCACGUGACUAAACACAUUGGUCACAUGCUUCCAAUCUAUUCACGAUGUUGUAUUACCGAGAGGACCUAGAGAUAUCUCUCUGUCAUAUGGAGUGACAAAUCCUACACUCGAUCUAUGUAACCCAACAAACACUUUCUGAGAUACCUAUAGAGCACCUUUCUGAUCACCCAGUUACGAAGUGACGUUUGUUUACCCAUAAUGUAUUCUUCCAGUAUUAGGGAGUGGCACGAUCUCAUGGUCUAAGGAACAGAUUCUUGACAUGAAGAAAGUUGUAGAAAAUAAACUAAGUGAUACGAUCUGAUGCUAAGCUUAUGGUUGGGUCUGUCCAUCACAUCAUAAUCCUAAUGAUGUGAUCCCAUUAUUAAAUGAUAACUCGUGUCUAUGGUUAGGAAACCUUAACCAUCUUUAAUUAAUGAGCUAGCCUAGUAGAGGCUCACUAGGGACACGUUGUCUAUUUAUGUAUCCACACAUGUAUUUAAGUCUCUGGUCAAUACAAUUCUAGCAUGCAUAAUAAAUAUUUAUCAUGAACACGGAAAUACGACAAUAACAUCUUUCUUAUUGCCUCUAGGACAUAUUUCCUACAGAUUAGUAGGAUAAAAGAUCAAGGUGGCCUUGGCAUUCAUGGCAUGAAGGUCAAGAAGGAUGCCUUACAUAGGAAAUGGUUAUUCAAAAUACUUACUAGGGGUGGCGUUUGGCAAACCUGUUGCGAAAGAAGUAUCUAAUACUAUGCCAAAAACUUAUCUCUCACACAUAUUGGAAAGCUGGUGACUCACACUUUUCGGGUGGUGUCGUGGAAUUCUCACGGCAGAUGUCCUAGUGUGAGGACUUAGUCGUGAGGCCAACGCAUCUAUGUGGUAGCUUGAGAGGGGUUGAUUGGGACGAGAGACGCAACACACAAGACAAGAAUUUAGACAGCUUCGGGCCCCAGGAAACAUCAUCCAAUAAUAGCCCUACAUGCUGUUUGUGGCUAGGUCUCAUUAUGAUCAUGAGAGAGUCAUCGGUAAGCCGGCUCUUUGUGUCUAGCCCUAGAGAUUGUUUCUUGUUUCUUGUCCCUCUUGGGGUGCCCUGCCCCUCCUUAUAUAAGUUAGAGGGGCGGGUUACAUAUGGAGUCCUAGUAGGAUUAGGACUAGUCUAUCUUUCUUUACAAGUUGAAUACAAGUCCGGGUCUUGCUUCCUUGUGAAGGAAAUAAUCCUCACGCCUUUCAUCUUAAACCGGCCCACCAAAGUAUAAGCCAGCCUGCUGGGCCUUGGGCCUUGUCGUCCGUCUGAUCAGCCCGCCGGGUCUCCAGUGAAUUACAAUGUCCAGGCGGGUUACCCUGUGAACCGCCAUGUUCGGGCGGAUCGCCAGUGAGUCGCCAAGCUCCAGCCAGGUCUCUGGUGAGUCGCCAAGUCCGGCCGGGUCAUACCGCGGGGUAUAUCCCCGACAUUAGCCCCCAGUUUAAUUUGGAUUUAUCCAUGUUAAACUGAUCCUGCAACAUAAACACAAGAACAAAUUUGACAGGUUGUGCUCCGGGUUAAAUAUUCUUGUAAGCCGGCACCUGAUCAUCCUUAAGUCCUUGACAUUUUCUCCUGAAAUAUCCGGGUCAAUAUUGGUCUUGAAAUAUCCAGCUUCAUAAUCCAUUUGCUGACAUUGGCUCUUGUAAAGAAAUAUUAUAAGAAAUAAUCCAUUUGAUUCGGCCUUCAAUGCUCUGAUUUGACAAAAAUAUUGCUCUUGAAAUAUCCAACUGAUAUUCAGCCGGCUUAAAGAUGUAGAUUCUUGCCGACGAUUGCCACAAUUGUCGGGUUAGAAAUAAAUGAUGCCGGGUCAUGAUUGUUGCAGACACCGGGUUAAUCUGGUCUACUCCAAACUGAGAAUUUGAAGAUUUUUUUCUCCCUUAUAUGCAUAUUACCUGUAGCCCCUAAGUCUUAAGGGGAGAACAUAGUGAUAACUUAAGACUUGCUUCAAUAUAAGUGUUGCAACCUUGAAGAAAUCCGGUUUAUUCAUCUCAAUCAUUAGUCAUAAGCUGAAUAUUCCACAUUCCACAUAUGUAGCCCCCAAGUGCCGAGUUGUCAUGCUUGCAGCAACCUGGGACUUGUAAUUGCCUUAUGCUCAUAAAAACUUCAACUAGUGUAGCCCCCAAGGGCCGGGUCAUUAUGCAAUAAUGAGCAGGGACUUUGUAAAUAUGAUCAUGUAAACUUGACCAGCAACGUGUAGCCCCCAAGGGCCGGGUCAGUAAGAUAUUACCGAGCUGGGACUUUGUAUAUGAUUCAUCGAUAAUAACAGCAUAUGAUGUGAUCUCCACCAUGGGGUUUGAACCCACGUCCAUAAGGUUAAGAGCUUUGUACUCUACCAACUGAGUAGUGGAUCUUUCAAUAUAAUGGAUUAAGGCUUGUGUACCUUGAAUUUUCGACAAGAGCAAUUGGUAGCCCCCAAGGGCCGGCUCAUUUAGAAUGUGAUGAGUCGGGUCUUCAAUAAGUUGAACAAAAAAUGACUUUGCAUUAGCCCCCAAGUGCAAUGGUACAUGCUGGCAGUAACAUGGGACUUGCAUAUUCGAUGUAAUAUCAAUUUGAAUAAUGUAGUCCCCAAGUGCCAGGUCGUAAGCCUGCAGCGACUCGGGACUAUUCCUUACAUUAUAGAAUAAAUCAUAUCCAUCGAUAAAAUAAUAGCCAUUGCGCCAAAGCGACUUUGAAUACCUCAUCUGUUGAUAAGUAAAUCCGGAGUUUAAAUACCCGGCGGCUCUUGGCCGAUGGCGAUUUAAUACGCCUCCAUUGUAAGCCGGAAUUUUUAUAAUCCGGCGGCUUAUAGCCUUUCAGAACAUCAAGAAUUGAUAACCCUUCUGAGACUCCAAUUUCAAUCUAUGAUGAUGGGCUUGAACUUAAUCAUUUAUGUAAGUCAUAGCUCUGCAAAUCCUGCAUAGAGUUUAAACAACAUAUGCCCUGGCGACUUAACGUCAAGCCAGGGCGGGUAACCACCCAAAUGUAGUAUCCUGCACACAAGUAGAUCACAAGAUCCCUUGGCGGUUUACCGCAGGGCGGGUCAUAAUAUCUCACUGUUGGAAAUAUGCCCUAGAGGCAAUAAUAAAAUGGUUAUUAUUGUAUUUCCUUGUUCAUGAUAAUUGUCUGGUGUUCAUGCUAUAAUUGUAUUAACUGGAAACCGUAAUACAUGUGUGAAUACAUAGACCACAACAUGUCCCUAGUAAGCCUCUAGUUGACUAGCUCGUUGAUCAAUAGAUGGUUAUGGUUUCCUGACCAUGGACAUUGGAUGUCAUUGAUAACGGGAUCACAUCAUUAGGAGAAUGAUGUGAUGGACAAGACCCAAUCCUAAGCAUAGCACAAGAUCGUGUAGUUCGUUUGCUAGAGCUUUUCUAAUGUCAAGUAUCAUUUCCUUAGACCAUGAGAUUGUGCAACUCCCGGAUACCGUAGGAAUGCUUUGGGUGUACCAAACGUCACAACGUAACUCGGUGGCUGUAAAGGUGCACUACAGGUAUCUCCGAAAGUGUCUGUUGGGUUGGCACGAAUCGAGACUGGGAUUUGUCACUCCGUAUGACGGAGAGGUAUCUCUGGGCCCACUCGGUAAUGCAUCAUCAUAAUGAGCUCAAUGUGACUAAGGAGUUAGCCACGGGAUCAUGCGUUACAGUACGAGUAAAGUGACUUGCCGAUAACGAGAUUGAACAAGGUAUUGGGAUACCGACGAUCGAAUCUCGGGCAAGUAACGUACCGAUUGACAAAGGGAAUUGUAUAUGGGAUUGAUUGAAUCCUCGACAUCGUGGUUCAUCCGAUGAGAUCAUCGUGGAACAUGUGGGAGCCAACAUGGGUAUCCAGAUCCCGCUGUUGGUUAUUGACCGGAGAGUCGUCUCGGUCAUGUCUGCAUGUCUCCCGAACCCGUAGGGUCUACACACUUAAGGUUCGGUGACGCUAGGGUUGUAGAGAUAUUAGUAUGCGGAAAUCCGAAAGUCGUUCGGAGUCCCGGAUGAGAUCCCGGACGUCACGAGGAGUUCCGGAAUGGUCCGGAGGUAAAGAUUUAUAUAUGGGAAGUCCUAUUUUGGCCACCGGAAAAUGUUCGGGAAUUUUCGGUAUUGUACCGGGAAGGUUCUAGAAGGUUCCGAAGUGGGGCCCACCUGCAUGGGGGACCCACAUGAACGUGGGUAGUGGGGGCAAGGCCCCACACCCCUGGUCAAGGCGCACCAAGAUCCCACCUUAGAAGGAAUAAGAUCAUAUCCCGAAGGGAUAAGAUCAAGAUCCCUAAAAAAGGGGAUAACAAUCGGUGGGGAAGGGAAAUGAUGGGAUUUCUUUCCCCCACCUUUGCCAACGCCCCAAUGGACUUGGAGGGCAAGAAACCAGCCCCCUCCACCCCUAUAUAUAGUGGGGAGGCGCAUGGGAGCAGCAACCCAAGCCCUGGCGCCUCCCUCCCUCCCGUGACACCUCUUCCUCCCCGCUUGCGCUUGGCGAAGCCCUGCCGGGAUCCCGCUACUUCCACCACCACGCCGUCGUGCUGCUGGAUCUCCAUCAACUUCUCCUCCCCCCUUGCUGGAUCAAGAAGGAGGAGACGUCCCCGCUCCGUACAUGUGUUGAACGCGGAGGUGCCGUCCGUUCGGCGCUAGGUUCAUCGGUGAUUUGGAUCACGACGAGUAUGACUCCAUCAACCCCGUUCUCUUGAACGCUUCCGCUCGCGAUCUACAAGGGUAUGUAGAUGCACUCCUCCCCUCUCAUUGUUAGCAUCUCCUAGAUUGAUCUUGGUGACACAUAGGAAAAUUUUGAAUUUCUGCUACGUUCGCCAACAGUGGCAUCAUGAGCCAGGUUUAUGCGUAGAUUCUAUGCAUGAGUAGAACACAAAGUAGUUGUGGGCGACGAUUUGUUCAAUUUUCUUACCGUUACUAGUCUUAUCUUGAUUCGGCGGCAUUGUGGGAUGAAGCGGCCCGGACCGACCUUACACGUACUCUUACGUGAGACAGGUUCCACCGACUGACAUGCACUUGAUGCAUAAGGUGGCUAGCGGGUGUCUGUCUCUCCCACUUUAGUCGGAUCGGAUUCGAUGAAAAGGGUCCUUAUGAAGGGUAAAUAGCAAUUGGCAUAUCACCGUUGUGGCUUUUGCGUAGGUAAGAAACGUUCUUGCUAGAAACCCAUAGCAGCCACGUAAAACAUGCAACAACAAUUAGAGAACGUCUAACUUGUUUUUGCAGGGUAUGCUAUGUGAUGUGAUAUGGCCAAAAGGAUGUGAUGAAUUAUAUAUGUGAUGUAUGAGAUUGAUCAUGUUCUUGUAAUAGGAAUCACGACUUGCAUGUCGAUGAGUAUGACAACCGGCAGGAGCCAUAGGAGUUGUCUUAAUUUGUUGUAUGACCUGUGUGUCAAUGAAAAACGCCAUGUAAUUACUUUACUUUAUUGCUAACCGUUAGCCAUAGUAGUAGAAGUAAUAGUUGGUGAGACAACUUCAUGAAGACACGAUGAUGGAGAUCAUGGUGUCAUGCCGGUGACGAAGGUGAUCAUGCCGCGCCUCGAAGAUGGAGAUCAAAAGGCGCAAGAUGAUAUUGGCCAUAUCAUGUCACUUUAUGAUUUGCAUGUGAUGUUUGUCAUGUUUACAUCUUAUUUUCUUAGAACGACGGUAGCAUAAAUAAGAUGAUCCCUCACUAAAAUUUCAAGAGAUGUGUUCCCCCUAACUGUGCACCGUUGCGAAGGUUCGUUGUUUCGAAGCACCACGUGAUGAUCGGGUGUGAUAGAUUCUAACGUUCGCAUACACCGGGUGUUGACGAGCCUAGCAUGUACAGACAUGGCCUCGGAACACAAGCAAAACACUUAGGUUGACUUGACGAGCCUAGCAUGUACAGACAUGGCCUCGGAACACAAGAGACCGAAAGGUCGAACAUGAGUCGUAUAGUAGAUACGAUCAACAUGGAGAUGUUCACCGAUGAUGACUAGUCCGUCUCACGUGAUGAUCGGACACGGCCUAGUCGAUUCGGAUCAUGUAUCACUUAGAUGACUAGAGGGAUGUCUAUCUAAGUGGGAGUUCAUUAAAUAAUCAAAUGAACUUAAUUAUCAUGAACAUAGUCAAAAGGUCUUUGCAAAUAAUGUCGUAGCUUACGCUUUAGUUCUACUAAGAUAUUUUCCUAGAGAAAAUUUAGUUGAAAGUUGAUAGUAGCAAUUAUGCGGACUAGGUCCGUAAACUGAGGAUUGUCCUCAUUGCUGCACAGAAGGCUUAUGUCGUUAAUGCACCGCUCGGUGUGCUGAACCUCGAGCGUCGUCUGUAGAUGUUACGAAACAUCUGACAUACAUGUUUUGAUGACUACGUGAUAGUUCAGUGUGUGAUGCUAACGGUUUAAAAUUGUGGCACCAAAGACGGUUUUGAAAUGUCGCAGAACAUAUGAGAUGUUCCAAAGACUGAAAUUGGGAUUUCAGACUAAUGCCCACGUCAAGAGGUAUGAGACCUCUGACAAGUUUCUUAAGCCUGCAAACUAAGGGAGAAAAGCUCAAUCGUUGAGCAUGUGCUCAGAUUGUCUGAGUACUACAAUCACUUGAAUCGAGUGGGAGUUAAUCUUCCAGAUGAGAUAGUGAUGGUUCUCCAUAGUCACUGCCACCAAGCUAUUAGAGCUUCGUGAUGAACUAUAACAUAUCAGGGAUAGACAUGAUGAUCCUUGAGCAACUCGCGAUGUUUGACACCGCGAAAGUAGAAAUCAAGAAGGAGCAUCAAUUGUUGAUGGUUAGUAAAACCACUAGUUUCUAGAAGGGCAAGGGCAAGAAGGGAUACUUCAUGAAACGGCAAAUCAGUUGCUGCUCUAGUGAAGAAACCCAAGGUUGAACCCAAACCCGAGACUAAGUGCUUCUGAAAUGAGGGGAACGGUCACUGAAGCAGAACUACCCUAGAUACUUCGUAGAUGAGAAGGCUGGCAAGGUCGACCGAAGUAUAUUGGAUAUACAUUAUAUUAAUGUGUACUUUACUAGUACUCCUAGUAGCACCAGGGUAUUAGAUACCGGUUCGGUUGCUAAGUGUUAGUAACUCGAAAUAAAAUAUGCGGAAUAAACGAAGACUAGCUAAAGGUGAGAUGACGAUAUGUGUUGGAAGUGUUUCCAAGGUUGAUGUGAUCAAGCAUCGCAUGCUCCCUCUACCAUCGAGAUUGGGGUUAAACCUGAAUAAUUAUUAUUUGGUGUUUGCAUUGAGCAUAGACAUGAUUGGAUUAUGUUAUCGCAAUACGGUUAUUCAUUAAAGGAGAAUAAUGGUUACUCUGUCUAUUUGAAUAAUACCUUCAAUGGUCUUGCACCUAAAAUGAAUGGUUUAUUGAAUCUCGAUCGUAGUGAUACACAUGUUCAUGCCAAAAGAUAUAAGAUAGUAAUGAUAGUACCACAUACUUGUGGCACUGCCAUUUGAGUCAUAUUGGUAUAAAACGCAUGAACAAGCUCCAUGUUGAUGGAUCUUUGGACUCACUCGUUUUUGAAAAGAUUGAGACAUGCGAACCAUGUCUAUUAGUAUAUAUGCAUGAAGAAAGUCCAUACAGAUGGAUCAUUUGGACUCACUUGAUUUUGAAUCACUUGAGACAUGCAAAUCAUACCACAUGGGCAAGAUGACUGAAAGGCCUCGUUUUCAGUAAGAUGGAACAAGAGAGCAACUUGUUGGAAGUAAUACAUUUGAUGUGUGCAGUCCAAUGAGUGCUGAGGCACGCAGUGGAUAUCGUUAUGUUCUUACUUCACAGAUGAUUUGAGUAGAUGCUGAGAAUAUUUACUUGAUGAAACACAAGUUUGAAUUAUUGAAAGGUUCAAGUAAUUUCAGAGUGAAGUUGAAGAUCGUCGUGACAAGAGGAUAAAAUGUCUGUGAUAUGAUCAUAGAGGUGAAUAUCUGAGUUACGAGUUUGGCACACAAUUAAUAAAUUGUGGAAAUUGUUUCACGACUAAUACCGCCUGGAACACCAUAUUGUGAUGGUGUGUCCGAACAUCAUAACUGCACCCUAUUGGAUAUGGUGCAUACCAUGAUGUCUCUUAUCGAAUUACAACUAUCGUUUAUGGGUUAGGCAUUAGAGACAACCGCAUUCACUUUAAAUAGGGAACCACGCAAUUCCGUUGAGACGACACCGUAUGAACUAUGGUUUAGAGAAACCUAAGCUGUCGUUUCUUAAAAGUUUGGGGCUGCGACGCUUAUGUGAAAAAGUUUCAGGCUGAUAAGCUCGAACCCAAAGCGGAUAAAUGCAUCUUCAUAGAAUACCCAAAACAGUUGGGUAUACCUCCUAUUUCAGAUCUGGAAGCAAAAGUGAUUGUUUCUAGAAAUGGGUCCUUUCUCGAGGAAAAGUUUCUCUCGAAAGAAUUGAGUGGGAGGAUGGUGGAGACUUGAUGAGGUCAUUGAACCGUCACUUCAACUAAUGUGUAGCAGGGCACAGGAAGUUGUUCCUGUGGCACCUACACCAAUUGAAGUGGAAGCUUAUGAUAGUGAUCAUGAAACUUCAGAUCAACUCACUACCAAACCUCAUAGGACGACAAGGAUGCGUACUACUUCAGAGUGGUACGUAAUCCUGUCUUGGAAGUCAUGUUGCUAGACAACAAUGAACCUACGAGCUAUGGAGAAGCGAUGGUGGGCCCGGAUUCCGACGAAUGGCUCGAGGCCAUAAAAUCCGAGAGGAUCCAUGUAUGAAAACAAAGUAUAGACUUUGGAAGAACUACUUGAUGGUCGUAAGGCUGUUGGGUACAGAUGGAUUUUAAAGGGAAGACAAACAAUGAUGGUAAGUGUCACCAUUAAGAAAGCUCGACUUGUCGUUAAGAUGUUUUCCGGCAAGUUCAAGGAGUUGACUGCGAUGAGACUUUCUCACUCGUAGCGAUGCUAAGAGUCUGUUAGAAUUAUAUUAGCAGUUACUGCAUUAUUUAUGAAAUCUUGCAGAUAGGAUGUCAAAACAUUGUUUCCUCGACGAUUUUCUUGAGGAAAGGUUGUAUGUGAUACAACCAGAAGGUUUUGUCAAUCCUGAAAGAUGCUAACAAGUAUGCAAAGCUCCAGCAAUCCUUCUAAGGAUUGGAGUAAGCAUCUCGGAGUUGGAAUGAACGCUUUGAUGAGAUGAUCAAAGAUUUUGGGUUUAUACAAAGUUCAUGAGAAACUUGUAUUUCCAAAGAAGUCAGUGGGAGCACUAUAGAAUUUUUGAUGAGUAUAUGUUGUUAACAUAUUGUUGAUCAGAAAUGAUGUAGAAUUUCUGGAAAGCAUCCAGGGUUGUUUGAAAAGUGUUUUUAAUGGAAAACCUAGAUUAACCUACUUGAACAUUGAGCAUCAAGAUCUAUAAGGAUAGAUCAAAAAUGCUUAAUAGUACUUUCAAAUGAAUACAUACCGUGACAAGAUUUUGAAGGAGUUCAAAAUAGAUCAGCAAAGAAGGAGUUCUUGGCUGUGUUACAAGGUGUGAGUAUUGAGUAAGACUCAAGACCUGACCACGGCAGAAGAAAGAGAAAGGACGAAGGUCGUCCCCUAUGCUUUAGACGUAGGCUUUGCAAUAUGCUAUGCUGUGUACCGCACCUGAAGUGUGCCUUGCCAUGAGUUAGUCAAGGGGUACAAUAGUGAUCCAGCAACGAAUCACAUGACAGCGGUCGAACUUAUCCUUAGUAUCUAGUGGACUAAGGAAUUUUCUUGAUUAUGGAGGUGGAAAGGGGGUUCGUCGUAAAGGGUUAUGUCGAUACAAACUUUGACACUAAUCCGGAUGACUCUGAGUAGUGAACCAGAUUCGUAUAGUAGAGCAGUUAUUUGGAAUAGCUCCAAGUAGCGCGUGGUAGCUGCAUCUACAAGAUGACAUAGAGAUUUGUAAAGCACACACGGAUCUGAAUGUGGCAGACCCGUUGACUAAAACCUCUCUCGUAAGCAUAACAUGAUCAAACCCUAGAACUCAUUGACUGUUAAUCACAUGGUGAUGUGAACUAGAUUAUUGACUCUAGUAAACUCUUGGGUAUUAGUCACAUGGCGAUGUGAACUUUGAGUGUUAAUCACAUGGUGAUGUGAACUAGAUUAUUGACUCUAGUGCAAGUGGAAGACUGUUGGAAAUAUGCCCUAGAGGCAAUAAUAAAAUGGUUAUUAUUGUAUUCCCUUGUUCAUGCUAUAAUUGUAUUAACUGGAAACCGUAAUACAUGUGUGAAUACAUAGACCAGAACAUGUCCCUAGUAAGCCUCUAGUUGACUAGCUCGUUGAUCAAUAGAUGGUUAUGGUUUCCUGACCAUGGACAUUGGAUGUCAUUGAUAACGGGAUCACAUCAUUAGGAGAAUGAUGUGAUGGACAAGACCCAAUCCUAAGCAUAGCACAAGAUCGUGUAGUUCGUUUGCUAGAGCUUUUCUAAUGUCAAGUAUCAUUUCCUUAGACCAUGAGAUUGUGCAACUCCCGGAUACCGUAGGAAUGCUUUGGGUGUACCAAACGUCACAACGUAACUCGGUGGCUGUAAAGGUGCACUACAGGUAUCUCCGAAAGUGUCUGUUGGGUUGGCACGAAUCGAGACUGGGAUUUGUCACUCCGUAUGACGGAGAGGUAUCUCUGGGCCCACUCGAUAAUGCAUCAUCAUAAUGAGCUCAAUGUGACUAAGGAGUUAGCCACGGGAUCAUGCGUUACGGUACGAGUAAAGUGACUUGCCGGUAACGAGAUUGAACAAGGUAUUGGGAUACCGACGAUUGAAUCUCGGGCAAGUAACGUACCGAUUGACAAAGGGAAUUGUAUACGGGAUUGAUUGAAUCCUCGACAUCGUGGUUCAUCUGAUGAUAUCAUCGUGGAACAUGUGGGAGCCAACAUGGGUAUCCAGAUCCCGCUGUUGGUUAUUGACCGGAGAGUCGUCUCGGUCAUGUCUGCAUGUCUCCCGAACCCGUAGGGUCUACACACUUAAGGUUCGGUGACGCUAGGGUUGUAGAGAUAUUAGUAUGCCGAAAUCCGAAAGUCGUUCGAAGUCCCGGAUGAGAUCCCGGACGUCACGAGGAGUUCCGGAAUGGUCCGGAGGUAAAGAUUUAUAUAUGGGAAGUCCUAUUUUGGCCACCGGAAAAUGUUCGGGAAUUUUCGGUAUUGUACCGGGAAGGUUCUAGAAGGUUCCGAAGUGGGGCCCACCUGCAUGGGGGGACCCACAUGAACGUGGGUAGUGGGGGCAAGGCCCCACACCCCUGGUCAAGGCGCACCAAGAUCCCACCUUAGAAGGAAUAAGAUCAUAUCCCGAAGGGAUAAGAUCAAGAUCCCUUAAAAAGGGGGAUAACAAUCGGUGGGGAAGGGAAAUGAUGGGAUUUCUUUCCGCCACCUUUUCCAACGCCCCAAUGGACUUGGAGGGCAAGAAACCAGCCCCCUCCACCCCUAUAUAUAGUGGGGAGGCGCAUGGGAGCAGCACCCCAAGCCCUGGCGCCUCCCUCCCUCCCGUGACACCUCUUCCUCCCCGCUUGCGCUUGGCGAAGCCCUGCCGGGAUCCCGCUACUUCCACCACCACGCCGUCGUGCUGCUGGAUCUCCAUCAACUUCUCCUCCCCCCUUGCUGGAUCAAGAAGGAGGAGACGUCCCGCUCCGUACGUGUGUUGAACGCGGAGGUGCCGUCCGUUCGGCGCUAGGUUCAUCGGUGAUUUGGAUCACGACGAGUACGACUCCAUCAACCCCGUUCUCUUGAACGCUUCCGCUCGCGAUCUACAAGGGUAUGUAGAUGCACUCCUCCCCUCUCGUUGCUAGCAUCUCCUACAUUGAUCUUGGUGACACGUAGGAAGAUUUUGAAUUUCUGCUACGUUCCCCAACACUCACAUAUAACCACUAUGAUAUUGAAUUUGUACUGCCGGUUUACAUGACCUGUGCAAUAAGGGUGAUAACCCAAUCUUUAGAAAUCAAGACUUCCAAAUGUUUAUGAUUGUCAUAUGAUGGCGACUUAUCAACCAAAGUCAAGCCGGGUUAAUCGAAGCCACAUAUAUACUUCAGAUAUGAUCAAAAGAACUUCAAAUAAAAUACAAAAUUUUGUUUGCAAAAAGAGACUUCAAAAAUUUUGAGGCUUCUGAUUCGAAUACUAUCAGAAAACCGUCCCAAAGGGGUUAAGCUAAGAUUCGAAUACGAUCAUAUAGCCCCCAGUGGCUUUGGCGUUGCCGAUCAAGAGGGUACCGACAGCUAUGUUCUCUUUGGUUCGAAUACGACCUAUGUUUGAACAGGAAGCCCCCAAAUGACCUGGAGAGUUGUUUAACGACGCUGAUUCGAAUACGAUCCAUGUCGGUUCCCAAAAGGGGUUGAGCUAUGAUUCGAAUACGAUCAAGAAGCCCCCUAGUGAGCUCAGCAGUGUGCCGAUCAAGAGGGUACCGACAGCUAUGUUCUCUUUGGUUCGGAUACGACCUAUGUUUGAACAGGAAGCCCCCAAGUGAUCUUGAGAAUAUUUAACGACUCUCAUUCCAAUACGAUCAGGGUCACACCAAAAGGGUUAAGCUAAAUUUGAAUACGAUCAGCUCCCAACGGUCAUUAAAGCAGGUAGUUAUGUUUGAGUUGUGCUUUGUAACAGACUCUCCUUGGUCCCUUUAAUUUUUCUUGAAAACUUGAACUUUGCGAGAGAUAAAAUCUUUUUAAAACCGGAAGUUCUUAAACCGGAUAUUAAGAGUUUCAAAGCAUGGUGAUAGACAAAUUUACCUUGAACCGGGUUUUGAACCGGAUUUGAGAUCUUCAAAGCAUUGUGGCAGAUAAAUUUCAUUUGAACCGGAUUUUAAACCGGACAUUAAGAGCUUCAAUGCUUUGUGGGAGAUGUCAAGUCUCUUGAUAAGGAUCUAAACCGGAAUCCUUCUUUUUAAGCCAGAUAUUUUUCUGACGGUCUUUAAAUUUUUACCAAUAUGGCGGUAGCCUCCGGGACCGGGUUAUUUUUUUCCUCCAAUGACCCAGAGUUCUUGAAUGCAUUGAAACCGACCAAUGUUGCCGAGUCAUAUCAUUGUAACCCCUGAGUCUCAAAACGACUCAAGGAGUUGGCUUUGAGAUUCUCCAUAUUGACCAUAGCAUAAGGUGUAUAUCAUUGGUGUUGAUAGUGCGAUGUGAAUCCACAGAAGGUUGAGGUGACUGCGGCGGAUUAUAAAUGAUCAUGUAUGAGCCGUGUCAGCAACUCGGCCAAUGGUCCCUUCCAACUGGCUGUUUGAAGUUAACCAAACUAUAGUGGCGGCGACUUGUGCGCCUGCCCAUUUAAACCAUCCAGUGUAGACGGCGGCUGAUAAUACAUGAUAAUUUGCCUCCAAUUUUGUUGGAAGAAAAACCAGGCUUCCCAAGCAGUGACUUGCUCAUACUCGAUGAUCAGCUCACGCAGACAGGUGCGGCCCGGUAUGUUGAUAUAGACCAGGCCGCAAGAGACAGAUGGUAAAAACAACCGUGGCAUCAAAGGUGGUACAGACAGAUGAGUUGGUCACGACGUUGUAAACCGGUGUGGUCGGGCGAGUCAAUCGCCGGCGCGGUAAGCCGCGCGGAUGGGCGAGUCAACCACGUCGUGUUGAUGUAGUGAACAAUUGUCCUACAUCAAAAACAUCGCAAGCAAGAGUAAUUGCUCUUUUUUAAAGAAAACAAUAUAUAAUAUAUAAAAAUUUACUGGAUUGAUUUCACCUGAUAUGUUAGGCCAGAAAAUAUCCACCGCGGAGUUGAUCAUCACGACGGUGAAGCUGAAAUCAAUCACGGCCGAGUCGGCCGCGGGAACAGACAGACGGGUCGGCCGCGGCGUUGUAAGCCGGUGCGGUCGGGCGAGUCAAUCGCAUGAGCGAUAAGCCACGCGGACGCUGAGUCGGCCGCGGGGGCGGACAGGUAAGUUGUCCGUCACAUUGUAAGGCGGCGCGUUGAUGUAGACCGGACCACAGGGGCGGUGGCUUGCGCCCACCUGUUGACCAGUAAGCGGUCGCAGAUGCCGUUGCAUGAUGAUGCUACCGCACACUCCAUGGAUACGGCAUUACACCAUCUUUAUGAUGAAUCCUUGUCCUGCACAUAAAAGUGUACAUAGCAAAGCGAUUGUUUUUUGACAAAAAACAAUAUGCGCUUAAUAAAAUAAUCUUAGAUGGAUAUCACCUGAUUUGUUCGGAUGACCGAUGAUCCAUUCAAUGCAACAAAAAACGGCUCUGGUAGACCGGUAACCCAUGGCGAGUCAACACAGCAGAAGCGACUCAACGCAGCCCCGGCAGCUCGAGGCACGGCGGGUCUCAGCUCACGGCGGGUUGAGGUGUGGCGGUUCAAGGUCACAGCGGGGGGACUCGCAGGCUCAGGCGAGGCCGUUUUGAAGAUGGUUGGCAGCGGCGCGGUGACUCGCCACGGUGCGCCGAAAUAGCAGCAGCGUAGUGGGAGAAACAGCCGGUCUGUUGAUUUUGACCGUGAUGUGAAGCUCGCGGGGCAGCCACGAAGGCGCUGGGACGGAGUGGCUCCGAUGUGCGAGACGUGCCACCACAAGGACGCACGUAGGAGAAGACCAGAGGGGCAUCGAAGUCGGGUCCGCGGCGGCUCUGGAGAUGACAAGUGUGCGGGAGGCAAGGCCGUGCUGGCCAGCAGAAAACGGCGAGGUGCCGGCGACUUAGCGUAAAACCGCGGGUCAGAGGCGGCUCGGAGUUGAGUCCAUGUCCUGCUCUGGUCGUUGUUGGUUUGACAAUUCCCUUUAAGUGCUCCUUUAAAAUUUCCUUCAUCACACGUGGUGUCGUGCCAGGCAACAGCAUGGCCGGACUAAAAAUCCACUAGACCUUGAUUUUUAAUGCUCCUGUAGAUCUUGGGGACUGCGUGUGAGCUGACUAUUAAAACCUUCAAAUUCAUGCACGUACAGUGGCUGUACUAGUUGAUGCUACGUGCAGAAGGUAAGGUAAUCUAUCAGGCUUUGUUUUUCGCGUUGAUCAGCACUUGGACCCUUGAUCAACAGUUGGCUUGAUCCGGAGACUUCACAGGGCUGAAGCAAACUGUCUUGAUCGCCGCUGUACCAACAGAUGGCGCUCGUGACGCGUGUUUGGCUGUCUUUGAUCACCUCGGACUUGGACAGCUAUAUAUGGACCAGCAGAAGCGACCUGGCGAAUCGGACACGGCGGCUAGAUUUGACAGCGGCACAGUAGAAAUUCGAGUCGGCCUCGGUGUACUGCUGCAGCAGAAACUAACCCGGACUCGACGGAUCAUCUAAUUGUGGCGGCGCUCACCAUGCAACUCUAAUCUUUCUUGAAUUCAGACCUCGUACGAGUAUUAGAUCUGACUGCUCGCUUUGGAGACAAUGUAAAUCCUUCCGCGACGAUUCUUCUUUCAUCCGAAGAAAUUGUCAACUUCUCGACCCUUGAAAGAGAUCCCUCCAAGAACUCAUCACCACCGUGCGCAGCCCCACGGUGGGCGCCAACUGUCGUGGAAUUGUCACGGCAGAUGUCCUAGUGUGAGGACUUAGUCGUGAGGCCAACGCAUCUAUGCGGUAGCUUGAGAGGGGUUGAUUGGGAUGAGAGACGCAACACACAAGACAAGAAUUUAGACAGCUUCGGGCCCCGGGAAACAUCAUCCGGUAAUAGCCCUACAUGCUGUUUGUGGCUAGGUCUCAUUAUGAUCAUGAGAGAGUCGCCGGUAAGCCGGCUCUUUGUGUCUAGCCCUAGAGAUUGUUUCUUGUUUCUUGUCCCUCUUGGGGUGCCCUGCCCCUCCUUAUAUAAGUUAGAGGGGCGGGUUACAUACGGAGUCCUAGUAGGAUUAGGACUAGUCUAUCUUUCUUUACAAGUUGAAUACAAGUCCAGGUCUUGCUUCCUUAUGAAGGAAAUAAUCCUCACGCCUUUCAUCUUAAACCGGCCCACCAGAGUAUAAGCCAGCCUGCUGGGCCUUGGGCCUUGUCAUCCGUCUGAUCCGCCCGCCGGGUCUCCAGUGAAUUACAAUGUCUAGGCGGGUUACCCUGUGAACCGCCAUGUUCGGGCGGAUCGCCAGUGAGUCGCCAAGCUUGUCCGGCCGGGUCAUACCGCGGGGUAUAUCCCCGACAGGUGGUCUAAUACGGGUAAAGAAACGCAUUUUUCGCUUUGGAUCCUUUACAAUAAAAGAUGGGUCAAAAAUUCGAUUCUGGGAAGACAAGUGGCUAGAAAAUGCUUGGAUCCAAUAAAAAUAUCUAUCUUUGUACUGCAUCAUUCAUCACAAUAAUGAUACUCUUGUGCUAGUGCUUAUUUCUUUCAUGCCAGAUAUUUCUUUCAGGCGAGAUUUGAUUGGCCUAUGUCUUAUGUGAUGGUAAAAUCAUUAUCCUGAUUGGAUUUAAUUAACCUGACACAAGGGCGGGGAUGUGUUUCAUUGGAAUCUCUCUACAUAUGGGUCCUUCAAGUCAACUUUAUGUACCAUGCACUAACGCAUUCAGAGGUCCUAGUGGAUAAUAAAAUAAUAGAAGAAGAUAUGGGCCAUACUCCCUCCGUCCAGUGAAGAGUGAAAUCUAGAGAUUUUAGGACAAAUUAUGGAGUAAAAUAGAAAAUGCAUUGGAAAGGUGCAAGCCACCAUCUUUCUUCUCUUUAAUUAUCCAAUCCCUAAUGUGUUUAGUGCAUGUAAAAAUUAAGAAGACCAUGUGUAGAUUGUUAUUGGUCUUGGUUACCAUGUGAUGAGAGAGAAAUAUAUUUUUUUCUACUUUAAAGUGCAUUGAGAAGAUAGAAGUACACUCUUUUGUGGACAAAUUUUAAAGCCAAACGUACACUCUUCACCGGACGGAGGGAGUAUAUUAAUUCCUAGUGUGACUUAAUGUUGACAUGAAUUGAUACAGGUGGAUAUAGUUACUCUGCGUCCGUAAAUAAAGGUCAUCAUUUUUGUUGCUCUAGGGACCCAUAAAUGAUAGGGACUGUCCGCUACCAGCUACCCUGAUGACUCCAUUCGCUGCCCCUCAAACAUGGGUUCCCGACAUGUUCUCAGGGUCUGCCCGUGGUUCCAUGUUCUGGCCUUCGGGGUUGGUUUAACUAGUGGUAUGGGGGUUCUUGCAUCGCCCUGUACUCUCGAUCGGGACCCUUUAAUGCUAGCACUUCUGGUGACAUACAGUGCGUGUAUUUAAAGGCCAGGCAUGCAUCCUCCGUGCCAAAGAAAAUUCAUUCGGCGGCUACACGGGGAGAGUUGUGGCAGCAAAUCCGGGAUGCCAGCUUUUUGUUUUGGGUUUCGAUUGUCAAAGUUUUAGAUCUUAAAAAAACUAAAAUUAAGUGUUGUUUUCAUAUUCGUGUUUCUCGUGACCACUGUUUUGAAAUAAUAUCCGUUUUGAAUAUAUAUUUUGACGACUUUAAAAAAUAUUAAGUUUCAUAUGUUGAAACUUAGUACGGGCAACCAGUAAAAAUCAAUUAUUUUGUACCUACGCCUGACAGAAAAAUGCUUACAUUUAUAUCUCUGAAACUUGCUGAAACUUUGCAUUUUUCAUCAUUGAAACUUAAAACUUUUUGAGGGAUUUUCUUUUUUACUGUGCCCUCAUGUGGGAUUCAACUACUCUUUUCUCUUCCGCGAGAUCCACAUGAAAAAAAGCACAAAUUUAAGAUGAGUGCAGGGCUUGGCAGAUGAGUGCCCUGCACUUACAUGCCCCUGCGAAUUUCCGCAGCUACUAGAUAUUUUUGGCAAAUUUAUUGUUUGCUCUUUUACAGGUGUGCCACUUAAGUAUUUAAACCUAUAAGGAUUUCUGCACUGGUGCUAAACUCACUUAUGAGAGCAUACCGGAUUUUCUCAUAUGAGCUAACAAAGAAUCAAACAUAGUUAUAUCUUGUAUUAUUUUCUCAUUAAUUACUUACCCACUGGGCUGAAGCAGUUAUUGUAGCAUAUCAUGCAACACUCAUGGUUUUCCAACAUGUUUCCUUAAGGGGUCUUAAUCAAGAUGAUUUACAUUCAAAAACAAUCAUUGAGUAUGGAUCAUUAAGAAUAAUUUGAUCCUACUUAAUCCAUGCUUAGGAAAUAAGAAAAUGGUUACUCAAUGAGCAAACGCUGCCUGUUGCUGCCUCCUCACCAACAAACUUUGGUUCUUCACAUCCCUUACCGAAGAGGCACCUUUACAUUGCAUCCCUUGUAUACUACUAUAUAUAUGUGAUCUUCAUAAAGAGUUCAGCGAUUUCUCCAUUGUUGAGUUCCUUACACUCAAUAUUCAAUAAUAGUUAUUUCCAAAUUCACAUAAUCAGUUGGCAGGAUGGUCACCAAAGUACAUUCAUCCAUCGAAAGAAACACACAAAAGAAAACAGUAACAGCACCAAAAAAACUACACGUUGUCCAAUUAUGAAUAAUGUUUCGUCCGUGUAACAAGAGCUUCGACGGUCAUUUUCUUAAGCAUAAUUAAAUAAAAAACUAAUCAUAGACUCUGAUUGUAAAGCAUUCCAAAAGAAAUUCAUAUGUCAGUUCUUCAACGCUUAUUGUGUUGGAAGCCUGUCCUCAAAUAUUCUCUCCUUCGCCUUGUCGGCCUGCAAAUAAAUAUCAGUUAUUUUUUCUUACUAUCCUUGGUACCAGUGCUUAGGGUUUUGAUAGACAGGUCGCUAGUUAUUGAAAUGAAACAUUUAAGACAAGGAGAAGCAUGCAUUAGGGCAACUCCAACUAUGUGCAUCAAAUCGGACACAUCUAACAUUCAUGGGCACGUCCGGACGUGUCCACAAAGAGCAUAUAGGGGGCGGCCAUCCAAGCCUAUGCACCAAAUGUCCGCACCUUUUCAAAGAAAAUAAAAUAAAGCUAGACCAAAUGUUGGCUCACUUUAAAUCAUCGAUCGAUAGCAAUUCAAAAGUGUUGGAUGAAAGUACUUCUCGAAAGCAGCCUUCAUUACAUACUUUCUCUCCUCGAGUUUGCACUUCUUCAUUACAAAUGUUGUUCAUCCAGAUGUUGUGCCCUUUGAGCUUCAUCCAACAGUGCAUAAAUGCGAAGAACUUGCCCUCCGUCCUUUGGUAUAGCAUGGGCUGCGCGUCUGGGCUAUACAAUGACGUGAUCAUCAAGUGUAACAUUGAGCAAUUUGCCAUUUGUGCUUGCUUCAUGUUAAACAAGGAGAAAGUCAAAGAAAUUCUCAAUGGUAUUUGGCCGAACACUUGCCGGGGUUGGCCUCCAUUAUGGAGGGCAUCGGCAAGGGGGCGGCCAAUGCAUGGGCUGCCGCCGGAUACUGGGUGCAACCGCGGCGAAGUACAAUGCGCCUGGUGGAGCAAUGGAGGUCUAGCAAGGCCUAGGCGCGGGACGGAGUGGUAUAGCAGCGGCGGUCUUGGUGGGUGCGGAUACAGAUUAAGAGUGGGACNNNNNNNNNNNNNNNNNNNNNNNNNNNNNNNNNNNNNNNNNNNNNNNNNNNNNNNNNNNNNNNNNNNNNNNNNNNNNNNNNNNNNNNNNNNNNNNNNNNNNNNNNNNNNNNNNNNNNNNNNNNNNNNNNNNNNNNNNNNNNNNNNNNNNNNNNNNNNNNNNNNNNNNNNNNNNNNNNNNNNNNNNNNNNNNNNNNNNNNNNNNNNNNNNNNNNNNNNNNNNNNNNNNNNNNNNNNNNNNNNNNNNNNNNNNNNNNNNNNNNNNNNNNNNNNNNNNNNNNNNNNNNNNNNNNNNNNNNAUAGUCCGACCAGGCGGGCGUCCGGACUCCCAAACCUCCAAUGAGUUUGCUUCCGGUUUGGCUGAUGUUGGACGUCCGGAUUAGGCCGCGGGCAUUUGAUGCAUGGCAGUGGAUGGCAAAAAAUGUACAGGCAGCGCAGUCCGGACCUUGCGGGCAAUUUGAUGCAUGGCAUUGGAGUUGCCCUUAGCAAUACCUAAGGCAUGUUCUGAUCACGAAUCAUCAGGCAUAAAAACUGAGAAAGGACUUACCAUCUUGUUCCAGUUUGUGGUAGCCGUAAUAACAGACAGGAGAGUGACCUGUGUGGCUCCACCAGCCAGUAUGCCAAUCCAAAACCCCUUUGCUCUUAGUUGCAUUGCAAAACCAAAGUAGAGUGCAACGGGGAUACCAACAAGAUAGAAGGCACCCAGGUUAACAUAAGCCCCUAGAUGCUGCCAUCCACAGCCCCGAGACACACCUGAGUGGUGCAAUGGAAGCAUUCAGUCUAUUAGUUUAAUUUAGUUUAUGAUGCUAUAUGCCAAAAGAAAGACAUGUGGAUACCUUGAAGGACUGCCAUGAGGCUGUCUGUAAUUGCUGAAAUGGAAAGUAGGGGUACCAUUCUUGUGACAUAACGCCUGACCUCUUCCUCAUUGCUGAACGCAAUUCCAAUAAAGUGGCGCAGUAAUAGAAGAGUUGUGCUCACUAAGAAUGCUGAGCAGACCACAAUAGACAAGGCAACACACACCACCAAGCGGGGACCUUGUGUGUUGCCGGCGCCUAAUUCAUUUGAGACGCGCACACUGGCACACGGACAACAUAUAUACGUAGCAUGUUAAAUUCUGUAGAAACAGGUGAUACUGACGAUAUAUAGCAACAAAUGCACUAGCUAGUAGCUACCCACCUGGUAGCUAUUCCAAUGCCGUAAGGAAGGUUGGCCAACAGUAUCAUUGUAGAUACGCUGUUCCAAAAGGACAUCAGUAUGGUAAACUUCAUAGAAUAUGAUGGAUUCAAGUAUAAUCUUAUUUAGGGUUCUACUAAUGCAUACCAUAUAGAAAGCACAGAGGUUUCCAGUGCAGGAUUUGGUAACAUCCCGGAAAGCAGAACAAGCAGCUCGUAAGACCACCACUCCAGACUGUGGUCAAGGAAAGCUAGGUUAAUAUUCAGAGGUUUCCGGGAUGUUUUGAUGCUAGAGAAUACAUAAUUAGAAGCUAAACUUAAAGUAAUAUAUGUGCAGAAAUUAUCCAGUUCAUUUCAAGAGGAGAGGGAAGAAUAUAUCCAGUGGUAUUGCGAGCGGGUGGCAAAAAAACAAAAGGUAUCUGAUCAGGAUCUGCUCACAACAAAGGCGAAGACGAAGACGGACUUUCUUUUGUUGAAAGAUGUCUUCACAACAAAGACGAAGAGGAAAACAAACUUGAUUUGGACAAUCAAUCCGAGACGAGCCGACAUUUCAAAUUUUCAAAUGGUUUGUAAAAGACCAUCAUCCUUUUCUGACAGUAUUCUAACAGACCAAUCAAGUGUGCAAGGGUGCUGUGGCAAGAACAACAGAAAAAUAGUAUUUCCUCCAUCCGAAAAUAAGUGUCGCUCAAAUAGAUGUAUCUGGACGUAUUUUAGUGCUAGAUACAUCCGUUUGAGCGGUACUUAUUUCCAGACGGAGGGAGUAGGUAUGAACGAACAUAAGUAGAAAGAGAUAUAAAAAAUAGCAACAAUGCUUGGAUCUUAUGGGCUGCAAGUGCACCACUAUUAAAAAGGUUUUGCCACGUACUUGUUAUUAUUAAUAUAUUUUUUGAGAGGAACGUACUUGUUAUUUUCCAUGCUGACACCUUUAGAAACGUUGGCUACUGAUACACAAACUAUAUAGAUUUGUCACAUGAAGAUACCAUUAGUGUUAUGAAUGAUCACAUCAUUAUAAUUAUAAUCUUAAUUAUUUGCCAAAAGGUGCACGUUGGAAACUAUAUUAAUGUCCACAAGAACAAGUAAAAGUGAAUGAAGAGUGCAUAAGAGUUUGCUGUAUUGGACAAUAUUUUGCUUGCCAAAAUAUGAAAUACUAGAUAAAAUAGCAUAUGUUAUUUUUUGUGCUAGAGGUUAAAACAACAUCAUUAUAGAAACAUGGCAAAUAACAUUUACUUACCAAAUCAUAAGAGCCGAUGGUACAGCCAAACGCAUGAAACUGCCAAUCCCUCUAAAAGCUUCCCACGAUGGUGGAGCGCGUGUUUUCUCACAAGAGGGUGAGAACUUAAUGUAAAGGCCAAGAAAAGUCACUUCAACCCAAUCACAAAUGCUAACGGAUAAAGCAGCUCCAGCAUUACCCAUCCCAACUUUGUAAACCAUGAACCAGCAAAGAGGAAGAAAUACCGCAAUUGUAAUCAAGGAGCUAAGAACCAUUGGAAAUAUUAGGCUUUGACAUUGCAGAAACUUUGAAAAGCAUUGAGUAACACCGAAGGCAAAUAAACCAGGGAUAAGCCAUAAUGCAUAUUUGCCAGCCUCAUUUGCAAUUUGUGGUUCCUGGCCCAUGAGAGGAAGUACUUCCGGGAUGAAACACCAAACAAUGGAGAUGGGCACACUCACAACAAGAAGUGCAAUGAUGGACCUGUAGGUACAUAAAGAUAAUGUAUGAUAUUGUUCUGCUCCAUAGGCCUGCCCACAAAGAGUUUCCAAUCCGCCUGCCAGUCCAAUCUAAAAGGGAAACUGCAUCAGUAACAAAUUAUACAUAUUGUUGCUGAAUAAAUGGAAGUUAAACUAGGAUAAAGUGCAUCGACAUUACUGAAAGAAGAGUUUUGCUACACCUACACAUUAAUCUUAUGGAAUUAAAUUUACAGGAUGAGGUGGCAACAUCUGAUUGGAAGGGAGGAGACUCAUAGUAAAUUCGGGGAAGACGGGUUACUUGGAGGUUAGGGGGGAGGGGUGGCAGUCCAUACGGGUCGCUCAUAAGUUUGGAUUUUCGCUGAAAGAAUAUCAAGAAUAACAAACGUGGCUUGUGCAAGGUGGGCAACAGUUGCUAUGAAGAUUUUGUUUCAAUCAUCACUGCAAAGAAUGCGAACAUCACCCUGGCCGAAUUUUCUCAACACCCAACUCAGUCGGAUCAAGUGACUGAUUAUAUUUUUCGCGGGAAUAUAAUAGAUCGAUAUUGCCCACCGAAACUAGCUAUAUGUACAGCGGGGUGGGGUGAAUCAAGCACCACAGGUCCAUUGUAAAAAAGAUUAAUCGAACGACCUAGCUAGCCGCGUGCGGUCGGCGCUAAUCAGAAAGGUUGAGAAAUGGAACCAUCUGAUUUGAUUCAUUCCCAGUAGUCAUGAGAUGAUCAUUUUUUUUUAGAAAAGAGGGGAGAUCCUGAAUGAUCCACACAACCUUUUGUUUAUCAUAUCAAAGUACAUCAUCUGACCAUAACAAAGUUCAUCUUGCCAACGGAUGCUUCUAUUACACUCGUGGUCUCUAAAAGAUGAGAACCCACUAUGUAGCAUCCACAUCAAUAAUUCAAGCAUUUAUGUCCUUAGUACGAUUCUUUGUAGGAACUAUCCGUAAUAACAAAGAACAUCAGAAGUAGCAGAGAUCUCCGCACGAUGCAACUGGAUAAAUGGCGGUCGCAUGGAGGGAGAAGACACUGAGACAUCUGGACCGGUCGCCGAUCUUGUACACAUCCGGAUGGGAUUCAGGGGCUGCUCUAACGGAAUUGAAAGUACCAAUAGCUAAACAUAAACGAAAUAAAUUAAUGUGCGCUGCAUGCUUGCUCACAAGGACGCUGAAGCCGGAGACGUUGGUGAGGGAGUUGGCGAUGGCCGCACCGGCGAGCGCGACGUCGCCGAGGUGCCCCACCAUGACGGUGGAGAUGAACUGCAUCGUGACCUGCAGCAGCAUCACCACCACCAUCGGCGCCGCAAGCCCCGCCAGCUGCGCGGCUUCCCUACACCAGCGCCGGCUGGUACUGCCGGGCUCUUCCCACCUCGCGGCCAGCAGCGGCGCAUCGGAAGAAGAGUCCAUGGAUCCCCCCGACCAAAGCUCUGCCCAAGCAACGUGGGUGUGGUUAAUGAAAAUGGUAAAUGCGGGAGCUACCAUCCGUCUAGCUGUCUCCCUUUGCACAAUGCAUGGAGCUCGAACUAUAUAUAGAGUAUUACUCCAGUCGUAGUAGCUACGGAAACUAUUUCCUCUGUCCAGAUUUAUUAGUUUUGUCAGAGCAUCGGUAAUUGAGGAGCUAAUUUGAUUUCAUAUACAUCCACUGACCCGUCUUGGCGCUGUUCAGGCAUAUUCACUUAAGCCCACAUUUAUCUGUGCACGCAGUGGUAACCCCACUUUUCUCCCUAUUAUAUGCCCGAUUACAUGCAUAUGAAUGGUAGGGACAGAACCUCAAAAAAAAAAGAAUGGUAAGGACAAAAAAAGAAAAUAAAAGAAAAUAGUGAAGGUGAAAAAGUGGUCCGGACUCUGGAGUGUGCCAAAUUCGACGUGGCAGACUGCUCAGACAUACCACAACAUCUCAUACCCUUUCCACGUAUGGGCUCGGUAUAAGGGGUGCCAGAAAGCCCGCGCCCAUGUAUAUAGUUUUGAGUUAAUGAUACUCCCUUUCAUCCAUAUUACUUGUCACACGGACGUAUUUAGACGUUUUUCAGUGCUAGAUAAAUUCGUUUGAGCGACAAGUACACUAGUAGAAAAAGGACCUUACGUGAGACACAUUAGUCCCGGUUCAAUUUUGGCUCGGUACUAAUGGUAUUAGUCCCGGUUCAAACGGCUAUGCAUUAGUCCCGGUUCAUGUUGAACCUUUAGUACCGGUUCGUGCCACUAACCGCUACUAAAGGGGUGGUGGCAGGCUGGCGUCAGGCCGGGGCCCCACGAGCCCCUUUGACUAAAGGGGUUUAACCUUUAGUCCCGGUUGGAGACACAAACCGGGACUAAAGGGCAAUUAUCAAACUCUACCCCCCUCCCCUCUCCCUGUCUAUCGCCAUUUCAGUUUUGAAAAAAACAAAACAAAAUGAUAAAAACUUCAAAAAUUAAGAUCCUUCGAGAUGUAGUUAUGUUACUACAUCUACUAGUUAGGAAAAUUUAAAAACUUAAAUUUGGACAUGUUUUGCAAAAAAAUAUGAUGAAAAGGUAAAACAACUAUAUCUUUUGCAUCCGAUAUCGGAAAACAACGUAUAAUAUAUCAAAAUGUUCAGCACGAAAAUACGCAUCCGAUUUUGACGGCUGUAGGCCGUUUUGCAAAUUUUUAGAAUCCUCAAACUCUAAAAGGAAAAAAGUUAUGCUCACAUUUCAGUUUUUUUUUUGAAUUUUGGUCAAACUGUGGUCAAACUACUUAUUCAAGAAAUAUUAGUGUUACUAAAUAAUUAUUUCAGUUUUUUGAAUUUUGGUCAAAUCUGGUCAAACUAUGGUCAAACUACUUACUCAAGAAAUAUUAAUGUUACUAAAUAAUUAGUGUUUUUUAGAAUAAUAGUUUCAAACUCAAACGAUGAACGUGUGACUUCAUGCUCAAGCUAAACUCCUGAGGGUUAAUAGGAUUGACAGCUUAAUAUUGUUAGGAAACAACAAGUGCGGACUUGGAAACUAGGGGGAAUAGAACUCAGAAGUUAAGCGUGCUCAGGCUGGAGUAGUAAGACGAUGGGUGACCGGCCGGAAACUUAGGUGAUUUGGGAUGAGUGAUCCACACUUGAGCAGUUAUGAGUGGUGAUUAGAGACUAAAUCGUCAAAUAAUUAAGAAAAUUGAAAAUCGGGAAAAAAAUCAAAGUUUUUUCCAAAAAAUUCAAAAAAAAAACCUUUAGUCCAGGUUGGUGUUACCAGCCGGGACUAAAGGUCCCGCAUACCACGGCGCGGGCUCGUGCCACGUGGUGGGCCUUUACUGGCGGUUCGUGUUGAACCGGGACUAAAGGGGGGGCCUUUGGUCUCCAACCUUUAGUGCGGGUUCCGAACCGGCACUAAAGGCCCUUAAGAACCGGCAUGAAAGCUCCGUUUUCUACUAGUGGUAAUACAUAUCAGAUGGAGUAGUGGAUUUAACUAGACGGGGAAGCAACGGAUGGGCGGCGGCUUUCAGAUAUGACGAUGGUGGUCCUACCGGGGUGGCUUGUUCGGCGGAGCGGGUUGGGAUGGCACGGGCCAGAGGCUGCUUCGCUGCCUCCCAAAGGUGGUGGUGGGCUGCGGGUGUAUGCGACAACUCAGAUCCGUCGUGGAUCAUCUGGUUGAUGCGGGAUCGACUCUGGCCUACCUUGGCUUCUCUGACGCGGCUCUGGUGGGCGGAGGGCUAGGUCAUGGCAGGGAGCUCCCCCUGCCUUGGUCUUGUUCGGCCGUCAUGGCAGCGAGCUCCCCCUGCCUUGGUCUUGUUCGGCCGUCAUGGCAGGGAGCUCACCCUACGCGUUUUGGCUCACGGGCUCAGAUGAGUCCGGGAAUGAACAAAAAAUCAUUAAAAAUUACUAAAUAAAUUCAAAAAAAAUCUGAAUUUUUUUUGUGCAGAAAUAUAACUGAGUGUCUGAUGUUCGUACCGAAUUUCAGAACACUUGAAUGUUUGAGUAGCUCUCAGCAAAAAAGGACGAAUUUAAUGUAUGUGAAAAAGGUUACUAUUUGUGCAUUGUCUGGACCCUUUUUUUACUGAGAGCUAAUCCGAUGUCCAAAUGUUUUGAAAUUUGGCACGCACUUCACACACUAAAAUAUCUUCCAUUCAAAAAAAUAGAUUUUAAAAAAAAAAUCUAUUUUUGCUGAAUUUACUGUUCACCAGGUGGAGCAGCGUCGAAGACCACAGACAUGGUGUCGGGCGAGCGCGCUCGGAGACAGAUGUCUGUAGUUGUGUCUCCCCCGGUCCACCGGGACUGGCUGGAGAUGCAGGCGUGGGUGCCUCCUACCAUGGAGGCAUCGAUCCAGACUAUGUGGCUGAUGUAUGGCUAUGAUUGUAAGGGGACGCCAUUUGCUUCUCCUACCGUGGUGGGUGCACCGUGAUGUGGGCGGUUGGUGGUGUCUCUGAUAUGGAUGUCGAGGUGGCAACCCUGGAUGGCGGUCUGAUGGUUCGCUCUCUAGCGGGCCCCAUGGCAGCAGUGAUAGGUGGAGCGACGGGUGGCUCGGGUGUGCUCUUUGUCUCCGGCAGUGGUGACACCUAGAUCCAGAUCUGGAGGUCUGAACUCGUCGUGCUUACCCUGGAGACCUCGUGGUGUCAUGGGGGAGCUGUCGAGUAAAGCCCCAUGCUUUGCCGUCAACGAGGGUGAUGCUCGCGGGUGCCGCUUUGCUCUUAAAGAUAUCACCGUGGUGCUCUUCUUCUUGUCUGGGCUCGGAGUAAAAACCUUUGUUCGGUGUGGACUCAACAACGCUGACACUUAGGGCUAUUCGCUCUCCUAAGAGUGUUGUCGUUGAGCUUAGAUGUUAUAGGGCAUAGUGUGACGUUGCUAUCGGUUCUUCCUAUGCUCACUUUGGUAGUAUAGCUGCAUGCGUUCUGUGUGAUCCGGUUAUCCUGGGAUCUAUUAGAAUAAUCCGAGGCAUACCGUUGAUCAUCCGAGGACCAAGGAACCACACGAGCACGACACCGAGAUUUGUUAACGAGGUUCACCUUGGCUACAUCCCCGGGGCUUGACUAUGGGCGCUCCUCCCCAUGACAUCGCUACAAUACCGCACCCCGUCGCCCUGCACGCCGGCACAUGCCGCCGGCUUCCCUUGCGUUCCUAUGCUAUUAUGUUGGCAUGGGUUACAUCGUGUGUCUACCCCCAUUAUAUAUGAGAGGCCUAGGAUACAAGUGUCCUAUUAGGACACGACUCUAUAUCCUAUCUAAACACAAUACUACUCAAAGUCCAACUCUAACCUAUCUUAUACGCAAUAUUCGACACAACUCUAACAGGAUCUGCAUUGUAUGAGGACUACCUCAUCACCUUGUAUUGGUCAGCCAUGCACUUUGUUCGGUUGUUGCAUUAUACUCUCUCUGUUCAGAAUUAUUGGUCGCAGAAAUGGAUGUAUCUAGUUAUAUUUAUAUAGUUCUAUAUACAUCAAUUUCUAUUCAUUUUUGAGACAGGUAGUCCCGGACGGAAGGAAUAUAUAAAGCGGGGCGCCUGGUUCAAACUUUAAAGAGAGACAUAACCACAAAGGAGACGUAAGAAGGCAAAUAACUACAGCGCAAUUGAUGUCAUGUCAGCAAGAAAUGUUCUUAAGGGCCACUCCACAGCUUCCCACUACGAACCUAAAUCUUCAUGAAACUUGAGAAAAUCAUACUCGACGAAAAUCAUACGCUUGUUUUAGAUGCCUGUCGUCGUUGGUUGCUACAGAAGAUGGAUUUAAAUAAUUGAAAUUAAGUUUUUUUUUAGCACUCUCUCUGAGCCAAAUUAAUUAACAUAGCUCUAGUACAACUUUUUCUUUUUGAGUUUGGACUUGGUUUGGCUGUGUGCAUCUUUUUUUUUGAAAUGUUGGCUGUGUGCAUUUUAGUUAUGCAGAAGCCAGAUAAUACUUAAAAACUUUGUAAGCAAUAAAGCGCCCCUUAUCGAACAAUAGAAUUAUGCAGAGGACUAACACUUAACUCUCGAGUAGUAACUGGUUGAAACUUACCAGCUCUACGUGGUUGAUGUUGACAUCCAAUUUCGAAUACAGAACAUAUUUCCCAAACCAUUCAAAAACAUCACAUUGCCAUCUUGGUUAUUACCCUUUAACCUCCUCACAGCAGAUUCCAUCUGCAUACACUCAGUGUAAGAACGCAGCAGAUCCAUUAAAACAUGUAGUACGAAUUAUCACGUUAUACUAAAAUUUUAGAAUCAACAAGACAUUAGCUACAUAUUGACUUCUUUAAUUAUUUAUGAAGACUGCCUCUAGAGAAUUGUUGGCAUGUCUAUGACGGUAAAUUUGCAGCUCAGUUAAAGUGUGCUUGGUUGGUUAAACAAGGUAUACUAGAUGAUUUUCCCGCGCGUUGCUGCGGGAUUUUAAAGAUUAAUUUUGGAUAUAUUAUAUAAGAAUGAAAUGAUCUAAAUCAAAAGCUAUUAUUUUCAAAAGUAAUUAUAUGUGAACAAAGAGUAUGCAUGUACGUUGGACCAUUGGAGAUGGAACAAUUAAAUUGGAGUAUGCAUGUGCUACAAAAUAAUUCUAGUGGGUGAUGAUAUGUGGAGGGCUGCAUGUUGAGAUAAUUAGACUUAAUGGGAUCAACUAUAUAUUUAUUAUAGAUGGGAUAGGUUGUUUGCUUGGUUGGGUGGAUGGGAGUAUCAAAAAAGAUUAAUUAGCUAAAUGAUACCUCCUAACUUCUACAUUAACACCAUCAAGACCUAGUGAACCUACUUAAGUCAAACCAGAAAAACAUGUACCUGUUUCAGAUAAUCAUCCAUGAACAUGAUUGCAUGGUCAUCAUGCCCAGUACUGAGUUUGAAAACAUGAAGUACAUUGUCUUUCUUCAAUGACUGCAAAAAUGAUUUCUAUAUAUGUUCAGAUUUUCAUCAAAGCAAGGAAAAUUUUCUCUGGUGCAGUUGAAGAUUACUACACAUUGGUAAACAAUAAUCACCAACAGUUUAACACAAGAAUAGCUAGAAAAGAAUCCAAAGGUAAAACACAAACUCAUCAUUGCAUUACAACAGUUGUGUAUACAUAAAGAAUUAUUGCAUAAGUUCAAAACAAUACCUUGAAAUCUCUGGCAGCUUGUGUCCUGUCCUUCACGCUAUUAUAGUUUGGGACUGCAAAAUGAAUGGUUGUGUCACAGCCUACAAGUGAACACAAGAAAAAGGUGAAUUUCGGAUCUGAAUCACCAUUAAAAAAGGAAACAGUUAGAGAAGAAGCACACACUGAGUUUAUAUAACCAUCUUUAUUAUAUAACAACAUGUUACAUGGGAGUAUUGUUACAUCCCUCCAUUAAGAGGAGGAGCAAACAUAAGUACAAGAGUUUAAUAGUGGCCGUGUCCCCCAACCCACAAAUAACUUUGGCACAUGCACGCACAGACCAGAAUUUUGCAACAGAAAACAUCACUAACCUAUGCACACGGUGGCUCUCGCAGCCAGUGAUGGUAGGCCUGAAUCGUCGCUCCACCUCUGCCUUGAUGUUGUUGGCCAUUGUCUGAAGGUCCUGGUUCUCUCCCUCGAACACCAGGUAGCUAUGUUCUCUCCAAAAUCCCUACGGGCCAAAUUUGUACAAUCACUAUCGAGUCCAGGUCUUUUUGCCGAUCUUUUGGCAGUGCUUUUCACCUAGACAGCCACCAAAUUCACCUGAAGUGGCGAGCUGUUCAUUUUAAAAUGACUUGCCACAGUUAUGUCAACCAGGAUCAUUGCUCUCUUUCUCGGCCUCCCGCAGAACUUCACAAGUUAUGAGUUUGCUGUAUGAGUAUAUAACUGAAUGAAGUAGUCUUUGAACCUGCAAACAGAGCACUUAAUCUACUUCUCAACGCACUGGAAUUUUUUGCAAUGUCUCUCUGUACUAAUUGUCCACUGCUACCCUACCACGAAGAAGUAGCGAUUUCUCCACCAAUCCAGCUCGCAAUCGGAUUAAACACUAGGCAAAGAAAUUCCUCUCUGCAACUAUAUAUCCAUACAAAAGUACCAUUUACUCCUGGAUCGAGCACUAAGCCACUAACUGACGGACGGAGAAUGGAUGACUAACCUUCUAGUUGCAACCGCAUGACCUCUGACCUGCCCUGCCGGCGGCUCACAGCGAUGGAUAGCGGACUAGCCUGCCAUCUAGGGUAAUUGCAGACGGCCAGAGUUGCAACGGAGGCCUCAUCGUGAUACACGACGACCUCCGUAGCUGGGAUCAGAUGUAUUUUCUAAUUUGAAUUGAAUAUGUAGUGUCACCAUUCCAGAUUUUUGGUACAUAUGAACAAAAAUAAAUUUAUUCAUGGGCCAUUCAACACUUUUCAACUCAUCGGAUACUGGCUCAGAUCGAGUUCACAUAUCAUUAACAUAUUUCGAACCAAAUCCAUAAUCAUAAAAUCCUCUGGUUUUAUUCAAACAAGCGGUGGAGAUGCCCCAUCCCUCCUAGCAUUGUUUUUCCUUAUCAUUUAGGAUCUCUUCAUUCAGCCUUUAAUAGAUUAAUAACAAAAAAACAUAAGUAUGGCCUAGAUAUAUAAGAUGCUUCAGAAUAGCUGGGCACAAACAAGUUGGCAUGAAACGGUCUAGAACUUCUUUUGCGGGAAAAAAUCUAGACCUUCUCAAAAUCCAACAAAUAAAAUAUGCUCGUUGUCCAUGAUCUAGGAGGGUAUCUACGAAUAGGUACUUAAGGUUUGUUCAUGAAAAGUAUUAAAAUAUUUGGCAAUUUUCCUUUUGGGUAGACAAAGUACCUAGAAAUAUGUAAAUUCAUGCUUAUACACCUGAACAUGCACCAUAGUAGACCAAAUUAUGUUGCCAAAGUAUAACGAACAUAUUAUAUUUUUGAAUAGGUUAUCUGUGUAAAUGGUCUACACAAUUCAAAUAAGUAUCAACUUCAUGCCCAAAAGAUUUAGUAAAAGGUACCGGGUGGUCCCAAUGAAAUAUUUACAUAACAUUACAAACUUAGUCCACCAAAAGAAUGAUUUGAUCCAGAAAAAUCCUUCUUCACACAUAGAUCGAACUGAUGAUGACGUAUCUAGAGUUAGGACCGGAUAUAUGCUAGUAACUUGUAAGCAAUUACCAUCCUUUACAUGUAAGGGAAUUCUAUGAGUCAUGUCAUGAUCUAUACCUCUCAGUUCAUCUUAUCAUCUUAGAGAACAAUACAAAGUUAGUUUUAUAAAAAAGCAACCGAGUCUAGACGAACCCUCCACAUACAAGGCUUUAAUAAUCGAGCAUAUCUUAACAGUCCACACACGAUUGCAACUUAGUCCUACACAGGUUUUGCCUUUCUUGUUUAUGGUUGACAGCCUAUACAAGGUUCCAAACUCGGUUGCAAAAGUGAUACUAUCCUGAUAAAUGUGUGACAUGUAAAGUGAAUAAGGCGAGUCAUAUAUACCACACAUCAGGGUUUCUAUAAUUUGUGUGUGAUCAUAUGCACAACUAAAAAGCAACUUUGAUGAUCAAUCCAAAAGUACGCUUGUAGCUAGUGCAACCUAACACAAUGUACCAAAAAAUCAUUUCUGAUGCAUCCAAAUAGAAUUAUUUAAGUUGAUGCAAAGAAGGAAAGAGGUGGUGCCCGGACUACUAUAAAUAGGCAUGAAGUAUAAUGAUCAUCACAAGCACAAGCAUCAAAACCAAGCAAAAGUAGUUAGCACCAAUCCAUCAUGAAGACCUUCCUCGUCUUUGCCCUCAUCGCCGUUGUGGCGACAAGUGCCAUUGCACAGAUGGAGACUAGCUGCAUCUCUGGUUUGGAGAGACCAUGGCAGCAGCAACCAUUACCACCACAACAGUCAUUUUCACAACAACCACCAUUUUCACAACAACAACAACAACCAUUACCUCAACAACCAUCAUUUUCGCAGCAACAACCACCAUUUUCGCAGCAACAACCAAUUCUAUCGCAGCAACCACCAUUUUCACAGCAACAACAACCAGUUCUACCGCAACAAUCACCAUUUUCGCAGCAACAACAACUAGUUUUACCUCCACAACAACAACAACAACAACUUGUGCAACAGCAAAUCCCUAUUGUUCAGCCAUCCGUUUUGCAGCAGCUAAACCCAUGCAAAGUAUUCCUCCAGCAGCAGUGCAGCCCUGUAGCAAUGCCACAACGUCUUGCUAGGUCACAGAUGUGGCAGCAGAGCAGUUGCCAUGUGAUGCAACAACAAUGUUGCCAGCAAUUGCAGCAAAUCCCCGAACAAUCCCGCUAUGAAGCAAUCCGUGCCAUCAUCUACUCCAUCAUCCUGCAAGAACAACAACAGGGCUUUGUCCAACCUCAGCAGCAACAACCCCAACAGUCAGGUCAAGGUGUCUCCCAAUCCCAACAGCAGUCGCAGCAGCAGCUCGGACAAUGUUCUUUCCAACAACCUCAACAGCAACUGGGUCAACAGCCUCAACAACAACAACAACAGGUACUACAGGGUACCUUUUUGCAGCCACACCAGAUAGCUCACCUUGAGGCGGUGACUUCCAUUGCACUCCGUACCUUGCCAACGAUGUGCAGUGUCAAUGUGCCGUUGUACAGCGCCACCACCAGUGUGCCAUUCGGCGUUGGCACCGGAGUUGGUGCCUACUGAUAAGAAAAGUUGU